AAAUUGCAGUUAAGAGGCUUUCAAGAACCUCAGACCAAGGACUCAUUGAGUUGAAGAACGAAGUCAUCUUGAUUGCCAGACUACAACACAGGAACCUCGUCCAAUUAUUGGGAUGCUGUUUGGAAGAACAUGAAAAACUCUUGAUAUACGAAUACAUGCCCAACAAAAGCCUGGAUGCCUUCCUUUUUGGUUUGAGCUUUAGCAGAUGCAAUGAAUUUUUGAGCUAGUUAAUUUUAGUUUUAUAAAGUUGAGUUUCAUCUGAGUCUCUCAUCUUUGACAGAUUCGAAUAUAGGGCAAUAUCUAGAUUGGAAGCUGCGCAUGAACAUCAUCUGUGGAAUAGCUCGGGGACUUCUCUAUCUGCAUGAGGAUUCUCGCCUGAGAAUUAUCCACAGGGAUCUGAAGGCUAGCAAUAUUUUGCUAGAUGGCGAGAUGAAUCCAAAGAUAUCCGAUUUCGGAAUGGCAAGGAUCUUCAGUGUAGAUCAAGACAGGGCAAACACGAACAGGGUCGUUGGAACCUAGUAAGUGCCUCAAUAUCUUUCUACGUCCUUUACAUGUUUUGAUUGAUUCAGUAGGCCAACAAAGGACUCUGAUUAUCUGCUCAACAACACCAGAUAGAGCACAUUCAUAUUUCAGAAGUUCCAUACAGAAGUUUUACUUUUCUCUUUUUCUUACUUCCAACUAAUUGUUCUUCAUUACAUAAUUCUGGUUAGUGGAUACAUGGCACCGGAGUAUGCAAUGCAAGGACUCUUUUCUGUAAAAUCAGACGUCUUCAGUUUUGGAGUUCUCUUGCUAGAGAUAGUAAGCGGGUGCAAGAAUAAUGGUUUUCAUCUCCAAGUAAAGGGUGAAAGCCUUCUCACAUUUGUAUGUUCCUAAUCACCAUCCCAGUUUAAUAUGAAAUCAAAGAUUUUCGUGUAGCUAUGCUUGUUAAAUUUCCUUGCUAAAUGACAGGCAUGGAAGUUGUGGUCCGAAGGUCGAGCAUUGGAACUUAUCGAUCCAUUAAUUGAUGAGUCAUGUGGUGAAGUUGAAGUGCUGAAAUGCAUACACAUCGGUCUAUUGUGCGUCCAAGAAGACCCGGCGGAUCGACUGACUAUGUCACUCGUGGUUCAUAUUUUAGCUGGCGAUACUAUCACACUCAGCUCACCAUCGCAGCCUGCAUUCUCCGUUGGGAGAGAUGCGGAAAAACUUAAUCGUGCCUCGACUGUCAAUGGAGUAACCCUUUCGGUUGUUGCGGCUAGGUGAUCAAGUUUUAUACAAUGGAAAUGCUGUUAGAGAUAAUUAUGGUAUAUUUUGUCUUUUAGGACUGUGUAUAUAUAUUUCCAUUGUAAUAUAUUUAUAUCCUCCUACUUUCUAUAUUUUUUAUCACGUAAAGCUGGCUUAUGUUCUCUUCUGUAUAUAUACGGAAUAUAUAGAAAUUAAAGAAUUCUUUCACAUAUUUCUUAUCUUAGUGUUAGAGGUAGACGAUCUUGAGCAAUUUUUGAGUGCUCGAGUGGGACACAUCCGAGUGCACACCCGGAGCACACCUUCACGUAUCGCGUCAUGUGAUUCAUUUUUGUUAUAAUUACUGAUUCCCUUUCUGAACAUCAAUUCUUAAUAUUUUCAUUACGUACGAAUAAACGUCAGCCUAUUGCUGCGUAAUCUACACGUUGGUCGGUUCACUCUUCAGCACAUGAAAUCACCUCUUUGGAUCUUUUCUCCCAACUCCGUUUGACUUCCUCUUCGUCACAUUGAGUUUGAGAGUUUGUUUAAGAUAAUUAAGAUUUUUAACUUGAUCCUCCAUUUUUUAGGGUUGUGAAUAUAUAUUUCACUGGCAUGUGCUAUCAGUAAUUUCUUAUGCAAUGCAAGGACUCUUUUUUGUAAAAUCAGACGUCUCCAGUUUUGGAUUUCUCCUGCUAGAGAUAGUAAGCGGGUGCAAGAAUAAUGGUUUUCAUUUCAAACAGGGUGAAAGCCUUCUCACAUUUGUAUAUUCCUAAUCACCAUCCCAGUUUAAUAUGAAAUCGAAGAUUUUCAUGCAGCUAUCCUUGUUAAAUUUCCUUGCUAAAUAACAGGCAUGGAAGUUGUGGUGUGGAGGUCGAGAAUUGGAACUUAUCAAUCCAUUAAUCAAUGAAUCAUAUGAUGAAGUUGAAGUACUGAAAUACAUACACGUCGGUCUAUUGUGGGUUCAAGAAAACCUGAUGGAUCGACCAACUAUGUCUCUCGUGGUUCAUAUUUUAGGAGGCGAUACUAUCACACUCAGCCAACCAUCACAGCCUGCAUUCUCAAUGUGGAGAGACGUGAGUAAACUUGAUCGUGUCGUGCCUAGUCACGAAGCCUUAACUGUUAAUGGAGUAACCCUUUCGAUUGUUUCGGCUAGGUGACCGAGUAUCAUCACUCUUCCUUCAGUUUAUUUCUCUUUUAUUCAAUGGAAGGUAGAAUGAUAAUAAUUAUGGUGUGUGAUCUCUUUUAGCAUCGUGACUGCCAUUUCUGAAUCAUUUCCGUGAUCAUCAAUUAGUAAGCGCAAGGUUAAAAAGCUUGUUAAUUAGUCAUCAUUUCUGUUCAAUUCGCCGCUUAUGUUCUAUCAGAAUGAUACAUAUAAUUGCUUGAGUAAUAUAUCAAUUCUACAAGUACCCCAUCGAUAUAUUAAAAAAAAAAAGCAUAAAUAAAUUCUAUAUUCUAGCUUUAGUAUAUAUAUUGACACAUAAUUCGUGAAUAAUACUAGGGCAUUUAAUACUAAACUACGGCUAAGUAGGAGGUCCUAAAUUCAAUCUUUUAAGACCCUUAUUUGUCUCUUUUACUAUUAUGUCUACACUUUAAUUUUAGGCCAAAGUUCGGUUUACAUGUGUUGAGGAGUGUCACGACCUCUUAGAAAGCGGGUUGGAUCUAAACUUAACUCGAACUAUCCUAAGCCUAUACCAAUUCACGACUUAGGUUUAAGUUAUUUAACAUGCAAAUGAUUUUUAUUUAAGUGUCGCUACCAAUUAAUUUAUGAUAGGUUGAUUAGAUAACUAAGUAAAAUAAUGUGAGAAUUAUUUUACUCUUACGAAUUAAAGAUUUUGGGUACGGAGACUUGAUCACACUAAAUUACUCUAACACCAUUUUGGUACAUUUUUUCUUUUAUUUUCAAAAAAUGUUUAGCAGGCGCCUUGGAUCAAUUUUAUUACACUUAACAUGUAAGAUAAUCAUGCAGGUGUGCAUAUCACCAAUUUAACAAUGAAUAAAGCAGUAAAUAAAUUGCAGGAGACACCUUAUAGCAAUGAAAACAUCUACAAUAUUAGCUCAGAAUUCACAUCAAUAAUCAUAGAUAUGAUCUAUCAUUAACAUGUAGUUGCUAGGGGUGAGCAUCGGUCCAAGGGUUGACCCUGGACCGGCCCAACCUUGCUGGUUCUGGUCCGGUUCCUAGGGAGACUAGGCCGGUCCUUGAUCCUAGAAUUCCUAGACUAGCACUGUGUUGGUCGAUCCUCAGUCUUGAGAGUUCUGUGUCAGUCCAACCCAGACCAAUCCUGACUAUAUAUAUAAAAUAUUAUUUAUAGUUUUUUAUAUAAAGAAAACCUUAAAAUAAAUAACGUCAACAACAUUAAAUGGCUUUUUAGUGAGGAGUUCAAGUAAUUUUACAUUUUAUUUUAAUAACUUAGAUUUUUAAUGUUUUUUACAGUGUCAACAGUCAUAAUUUACGAAAGAGAAAAAUGUUUUUGUUAUGAGUUCUCAGGGCGUUCAAAAAGGCUUAAAUAGCUCCUUAAGGCAUCCUCAUAUAGUAUUCGUUUUCUUUUGUCUUAUUUGUCAUCUUAGUUUUCAAUUUGCCAAAAUUGAAAGAAACAACUUCUCCGCUUGCUACUUAACACUCACCUAGCUCACUUUGGUCAUUUGUGCUACUCGCUACUCAAUGCUCACCUGACUUGUUGCUCCCCACUCGACAUUCGAUGCUUAUCUUGUUCGAUGCUCACCCCACUUAACCCUCACCACUUGCCUUUUUUAGCUGACCCCUUUCAUCAUCGAACCCGUUGGGUCGGUACGGUCCUCGGUUGCCCUUUUAAGGAGUACAAAAAAUGAAAUAAAAAAUUAUUGAUUGAUCUUGGGUUACUUAGAAACCAGACCAAAUCCAUUGGGUCAAUCCAGUCCUUAAUCGCUUUUUUGAAAAGUACGAAAAAUGAAAUAAAAAAUUAUCGGUUGGUCUCGGGUUGACCUUGGAACCGGACCGAACCCAUCGGGUCAGUCCGGUCCUCAGUCCCAAGCUCAAUAGGGUUGGUUCCCGGUCCCGAAAAUUGAGGACCAAUACUGUAUGGGUUGGUCCUAGAGUUAGGGGUGGACUGACCCAACCUGAACCAUGCUCACCCCUAGUAGUUGCUCAAUUGUUUUUUUUGGGGGGGGGGGUGGUUUGCACUUAUUUAAAUGAAAUCUAUAAACUCUGUGCAAUGCAAUGCAAUGACGUGAUUAUAAUUACUUCAUUACCUUCACCGAUGAUCAGUCACGGUAUGAUUAUUUACAUCUCAUGAAGUAUAAAUCUGAAUCCUUUGAAAAGUUCAAGGAAUUCAAGGCUGAAGUUGAGAAAUAAAUAGGAAAAUGUAUUAAAGCUCUUCGAUCGGAUUGAGGAGGUGAAUACCUUAGUACUGAAUUUCUGGACUAUCUUAAAGAUAAUGGUAUUUUAUCACAAUGGACACCUCCUAGAACUCCAAAACAUAAUGGUGUAUUUGAACAAAGAAAUCGUACUUUAUUAGAUAUGGUGCGAUCUAUGAUGAGUUACACCACAAUAUCCCUUUAGGGAUAUGCCCUUGAGACAGCUGUAUAUAUACUUAACAUAGUACCAUCCAAAUCUAUUCCAACCAUGCCCUAUGAGAUAUGGCAUAGUAGGAAACCUAGUCUUAAUCAUAUUAAGAUUUGGGGUUGUCUAGCUUUUGUAAAAAAGCUGAAAAUGGAAAAAUUGGAGGCAAGAUCUGAACAAGGUCGCUUCAUUGGGUAUCCAAAGGAAACUCUUGGAUAUUAUUUCUAUUUUCAUUCAGACCAAAGAAUUUUGGUAAGCAAGCAUACUUCUUUUCUGGAGAAUCAGUUCGUCCAAGAAGGUGGUGUUGGGCGGAAAACAGUCUUAUAAGAAGAAAAUAAUGAAUUACCAAAUAACCAAGUUCAGAUACUAAUCUCUGAUUCAGUGGGAAAUUCUAAUACUCUACCUCUUAGGAGAAGUGCGAGAACAUCUCACUCACUUGCUCGUUAUAGACACUUGGUUGAUCAUAUUGAACCAUUAUUCAUUGUGAAUGCUAGAGAUCAACUUGGUGAUUCUAAAACCUAUGAUGAGGCGAUGUCGGACAUCGAUUAUGGUAAAUGGCUAGAAGCCAUGAAAUUUGAAAUGGAUUCAAUGUAUUCCAAUGAAGUUUGGACCUUAAUUGACUUGCUUGAUGGUAUUAUACCAAUUGGCUGUAAAUGGAUCAUCAAGAGGAAGAUGAAUGCCGAAGGUCAAACUAGAACUUACAAAGCACAGCUGGUGGUGAAAGGAUAUCGUUAGAAAAAAGGAAUUUAUUAUGAUGAAACUUUCUCACCCAUGGCCAUGCUAAAAUCCAUUUGAAUUAUGUUGGCUAUAACUGCACACCUAGAUUAUGAGAUAUUCCAGAUGGAUGUCAAAAUGGCUUUUCUAAAUGGUUUUCUCAAAGAGGACAUCUAUAUGGAACAGCCACAGGGUUUUGAAUCCAAUAGUGAAAAACGGAAGGUGUGUAAGCUUAAAAGAUCCAUUUAUGGACUUAAACAACUCUUCAGAAGUUAGAAUAUCUGUUUUAAUGAGGUAGUCAAAUCAUUUGGCUUCAUCAAAAAUCCGGAUGAACCUUGUGUAUACAAGAAGAUCGGUGGGAGUGCAAUUGUAUUUCUAGUUUUGUAUGUCAAUAAUAUACUUUUGAUUGGAAAUGAUGUACCAAUGAUAUCAUUGAUAAAACUAUUAUUGUCACAGAAAUUCUCCAUAAAAGAUUUAGGAGAGGCAACCUACAUUUUAGGUAUCAAGAUCUAUAGAGAUAGAUCAAGAUGAUUGAUUGGCCUUUCAUAGUUUAGGUAUAUAGACAAAGUGUUAAUACGUUUUAACAUGCAAUGUUCCAAUAGAGAAUUAUUGCAUUUUAGGCAAGGGAUCCAUCUUUCUAAAGAGAUGUGUCCCAACACUCAUGAAGAAAGAGAGCGGAUGGCAAAGAUACCAUAUGCAUCUGCUAUUGGAAGCAUAAUGUAUGGUAUGCUAUAUACUAGACUUGAUAUUACACAUGCUAUAAGUAUUACUAGUAGAUAUUAGUCUGAUCCAAGAGAAGAGCACUGGAUAGCAAUCAAGAAUUUUCAUAAGUACUUGCGAAGGACUAAAAUCUAUUAUUGAUAUAUGGAGAAGGAGAAUUUAAAAUUGUAGCUUAUACCGAUUCCAAUUUUCAAUCAGAUUCUAAUGAUUAAAAGUCUACGUCUGGGUUUAUCUUUACAUUCAAUGGUGGUGCAGUUAGUUAGAAGAGUUCUAAGCAAAUCAUAACUGCCGAUUCCACUACUAAGGCAAAGUAUGUAACCGCUUUUGAAGCAACAAAGGAAGCUGCUUGGAUGAAGAAGUUUAUUUUUGAACUUGGAGUUGUUCCCUCAGUUAAGCAACUGAUUACAUUGUUUUGUGACAACAAUGGGGGGAUAGCUCAAGCCAAGGAAUCAAGGUCUCACCAAAAGUCCAAGCACAGUGAGAGAUGCUUCCAUCUCAUCAGAGAAAUUGUUGGGAGAUGUGAUAUCGCUUUGCAAAAAAUUUCCUUAGUAGAAAACGUGGCAGAUCCCUUCACUAAGGCCCUAUUUUAGUCUUCUUUUGAAAGACAUAUUGACAAAAUGGGUUGAGGUACCAGACAAGUUGGAUUUAGUGCAAGUGGGAGAUUGUUGAAUGUAUGCCUUAAAGCUACUAUGUAAUAGUUACAUGUUAGGGAUUUCAGUUGUACUAUCAUUAUUAUUAUUUAAUUAAUGGCAAUGACGUAUUCAUUCAUUUGUCAAAUUAUUUUAUAUUUAUAAAUGAUUUCAUAAGAUUAGUUGUAACUAGACCUAUUAUUAAAACAUUAAGAAUAUAUGUGACAGGGUUAUAGUUAGACCGAAUAUUUAAAUCGUUCCUAAUUGAGACAGGUGUGUUCAUAACUUCAACAAUAACUUCACCAUUAAGUAUUUGAUACUUAAGGGAAUGAUGAGUCACAAGUUAUUGGGUAAUGUGAUGCCUAAAUUAAGAACACGAGUGUUUUUUUUUGGUACCUAGGGAACCUCCGUGCGCCGCUUCGCGGCGGAGUAAACCCUGGAGGAGCAGUAGAGUCACCACCACCCUUGCUGCCUCGGAUAAGUCGUGGGUUCAUUUCUCGCAAGGCAGACAACACAGCGAUUUGAACUUAGGACCUCUCCUGAAAGGAACCUGCGCUCAACCACUACGUUGCCACCACAGGUGGUUAAGAAUACAAGUGUUUGUAUUAGACAAGUUCACUAAACGUGACACAUAUGGAACAAUUAGCAACAUGAAAGUUAUUAGCGUGGUCAAUGUCUAAUUGUUCAUGCUUUGGUCUUGUGUAAUUAAUCUUUAGACCUGAGAUACAGUGUUAACUUGUGUGUCGAACAACUAUGGUUCACAGGUGCACGUAAUGCCGGGUCGUUGAUCUGUCUUUAUACCUGAUGGUCAUAGUUUGUUUAUAUACAAAGUUGCACAUGUGCGCAAUAUGAAAUAUGUCUCAUUGUUACAUAUAAGGUAUAAUAAUGAUGUCCUAUGUGAUCUAAUUAUGACAUUGCAUCGAAAUCCUCGGCUGAGAUUGUAACCGAGAAUAAAUUGUUUAUAUCUCAAAUAAUAUGCACGUCAAUUAGAUUUGUAUAUAUGAUUGAAUUUGUGACUUGACAAAUAUUCCAUGGUCUUUAUUUGAUCGGGACAUAGUAAGAUAAAGUGAUUGAAUUACACUAUAGCAAAAACUAAUACGUUCAUUAUGUUCUUAAAGCAUUCAUACUAUCUAAGUAGCCAUGAUAGAUUGCUAGAUGUCAAUCAUGGCUUGUAGGACCAAAAGAUUAAUCGAGACAAUUAAUUCUUUUGGGAGUACUAAUAUGUUAGUACAAGUCUUACCAUCAGCUUAGUGAUGAACCUAGGGAUGUCACACACCAUAAACAAUUAGGAUAACGUGGAACAAGAGAGAAAUAAUGUUGUAAAUGUGUUUGCAAUUAUUGCAAUCGAAUUGAGUCGACUUGAAAUUAAAUUAAAUAAGAUUUACUUUAAUUUGCAUUAUAGUCAUGAGCCUACUUGCAUAUGAUGCACUUGCAUGCCCAAAGUGAAUACAUAUUAAUAUAUUCCAAAUGUAAAUAUAAAAAUUAUGUUCUUUUUAUUUUUAAGGGGAUUGAUUAAUUAUUUAUUUAUUCAUUUAAUUAAUUAAUUAAUUAAUUAAAGUGGAAAUGGUCAGCAAUUCUUGCUGACCAUUUGGCAUGAAUCAUUGUGAACAUGUACGAUUGUGCAUGGUUGCUCAUCGUUUAUUUUUUUUUUUUUUUAAAUACUGCUUAACGAAGGGCUGAAAAGAUGGUUGUUGAAAAUAGAAAAACGUGUGCAUGUUCUUGUGUUUUUUGAGAUGCGAGAAAGAAGAGGCAUUCUCUCUCGUUUGAGUUGUGACUAAAAACAUCAAGGAUACGACGGAUUGUCUCCACGAGAUUGCUAGCACGAUCAUAGUGGUGAUUAUCCGAAAGUUCUCUCUUUCAUUCGACAUCCAUUAUUGGUGUGUCUGAACUAAAGGUCCAACGUUUGUGGGAUUCGAACUGAAGAACAUUCGAACCAAUUUGUUUAAAGCGUGAUUCGAGAGAUAAUUCGUUUAAUUCCCUUUUCAUAUUUAGAUUUUUUAUUAAAGCACACGAACAACGCAUUCGAAGAAUCAUGUAUAAAAUAUAUUAUGUUUGUUUCUGCUACGUUCUUUUUUUGUUAAUUUUACCUAUACAUAAUUCGUGAAACCCCAACAGAUAAUAGUCGUUGGUGGGAACUCAGCAACAGGAAGUGAGUUGCGGCCGUCGAUAGAAGGAGUUGAGCUGAAGUGUCAAGCACCGUUUCCAUGAAUGUGUCAGAUAGGACGCGGGUCUUCUCUUUUUGCUUUUUCACUGGAUAGUAUCUUUCGAGAUGAAAGUGUCCUCUUCUCUAUUCACAGACCUUGGGAACCAGCAAGAAGAGAGAAAAUAUUGGCUGUAGCUAUGAGGCCAGCUCAGCAAAAAUUCAGUCUACAGCCUCACAAGUCAUUUUCUGUCUCCACUUCUCCCUCCCUCACCCUUUCUUCUCUCUCUUCACAUCUUCCUCUUUUUCUCUCUCCUUCGCCUAACCCCUUUUCCCUUCUUCGACCUUGACCUUGAGCUCGACCUCAAACACACUGCCAUUGCUUUCGGCACGUUGUCUCUAUCUAUGCCUCCAUCUUCGCUUAAUUCUUCCCCGACCUCCACUGCCGCCACCUCUUGUUCAACUCUUCCUGUGUCCUCUGUGUUUGCACUUGCGUCGACCAGGAGGUGGAGGUCCUACACGCGUCGACGAACCAUGCCUUUGCCGCCACCUCGCCGUUUCCUAAGCCGACCCUAGUCAACCUUGAACCAACCCAAAUUUGAGGUUAAUCUGAGGCUCAAGUUCGCCAGCCAAGCUCGAGCUCAAUGAUAGAGGAUUGAGACGGCGAUGAGAUGGUCGACUGAGAUGGUAGUGAGGAGGUGGUAGUUACGUCUAUGCUUGUCCCCGUCGGAGUGAAAGGAAGAAGAAUUUUUUUUUAAAAAAAAAAAGAAAAGAGAAAAGGGGUUAGGCGGAGGACACAGAGGAAGAGGAGACGUGAAGAGGAAGAUAGAAAAAUAAUUCUCUCUCUCUCUCUCUCUCUCUCUCCACGCCAUCUCCUUGGCAUGAUUUCCCUCAAUGUGCUGCCUAUUCUAGUGUGUGUGGCCCCCUUUCUUUUGCAAAUCACACUGGUUUUUAUAAUGCCCCCUCACCAACUUCCUCUUAGGAUAUCAGCAUAUUUUCUUUCUUUAUUUCAUCAACAAAAAGUUCUUAAUUUUGCCGAUCGAAUCCCACCUCAACGUACUUUUUUCUUUUAUUUAUGAAUAUAUGAAAGAUCCACCACCAUAUGAUUUUAUCUUUUUGUUUCUUUUCGUUGGCCAAAUUUUUCUUCUAUGCUUUUGAACGACUAUUGGAAGAAUAAUACCGAUUUUUUCUGAAAUAUACCAAUCUUUGAACUCGUCUCUCCUCAUAAGUCAAUUUUCAGCCAUUAAAGAAUGACAGGCUUGGCCAUGUCCUUCUCACUAUGGGCUUGGUCCAACUAGUUAAAUUAAAGCUCAAAACCAUCCAUUCAAACCCAUCUAUCACUGGUCCAAUGCAAACGCAAUAAUAAAAACAAUAAUAAAUGCUCCCAAAACUAUAUGCUAUGUAAUUUAAUAUUAAUAUUUUUGUUUACGGGUUAAAAAUUAAUAUCUAAUUUUCUAUGCAAUAAAUAAAUGAUUAGAUCGCCAAAAUUUAGGUAUCAAUAGCUGCUCAUCUUUGAAGGUGAGCUCAUAAAGGUUGCAUACAAAAACAAAUUGAGACCUAAAUUUUUACCAUGCAAAUAUAAUGUGAUAAAUUUUUAUGUGAGGACAUGUGUUUUGAUGAACCCAUGCCCAUUUUUUAACGUAAAAUAUGAUGCAAAUGCUAAUAAAGAAAUAGAAAACAUACCUUUAGUUACUCACCUGAGGAUUUGAGAAAGUAAACUUGGAUAUAGGGAUUUUAUAAACCAUGGGUUAUGAAAGCUCGCCAUGCUGAUGAAAAGAACUUCGAGUUACAGAAGUACGUCACGUCAAUAGAAAGAGACUCUGGGCUAUGAAAGCAUGCCAAGUCGAUGAAGAAGAACUCUUAGUUAUGGAAGCACACCAGCUUAAUAAAGAGACUCUGGGUUAUGGAAGCACAUCGUGUCGAUUAAGACAGAUAUCAGGUUAUAGAAGCACGCUGUGUUGAUAGAAAUAGACUCUGGGUUAUGGAAGCGCACUAGGUUGAUGUAGAGAUUCCGGGCCACGGAAGCACUUCGUGUUGGUUAAGAGGGGCAUUAAGCUAUAGUAGGACGCUAUGUCGAGAGACUCUAGGCUACAAAAGCAUACCAAGUAGAUGUAGAGGAACUCUGGGCUACAUAAGCACGUCAGGUUGAUAAAGAGAUUCCAAGCUACAGAAGCACACUAUGCCAAUUAAGAGGAGACUUCGGGCUAAGAAAGCAUACUGUGUCAAUAGGAAUAGACUAUAGGUUAUGGAAGCAUGCCAGAUUGAUGUAGAGGAACUCCAGGCUAUGGAAGCACACCAGGUUGAUGAAGAGACUCCGAGCUAUGAAAGCAUAUCAUGUCAAUUAAGAGUAGACUUCGAGCUAUGGAAGCACGCCAUGUCAAUAGGAAGAGACUUUGGACUAUGGAAGCAUGCUAGGUUUGAUGCAGAGGAGUUCUAAGCUAUAGAAGCAUGCUAGAUUGAUGAAGAGACUCCAAGCUAUGGAAGCACACCGUGUUGGUUAAGAGGAGACUUUAGAUUACGGAAGCACACUGUGUUGAUAAGAAGAGACUCCAAGUUACAAAAGUAUGCCAGAUCACUAUAGAGGAACUUUGGGCAACAGAAGCAUAUCAGGUUGGCAAAGAGAUUCUGGGCUACGGAAGCACAUCAUGUUGAUUGAGAGAGACAUCGAGUUACGGAAGCACAACAAGUCAAUGAAGAUAACUCUAGGCUACGGAAGCACACUAGUUCAAUAUAAAAGAACUCUAGGCUAUGGAAGCACACCAGAUUGAUAAGGAGACUCUGAGCUACGGAAGCAUGCCAUGUCGAUUACCUAUGGAGAUAAAAUUCAAGAAUGUUUAGAUGCAUUUCGAGGCUUCAGAGAGUAAUUGGAACAUCGGGUAUUACUUGAUCUUCAAGGAAAUAUUACCUGUCAAACAUGGUUAGAGCUAAAACAUAUAUGUAGUCAUCAAAGAAAUAGACAAUCUGAGCUACUCUAGAAUGCACACUCCAAAGUCCACUAAAGCUUUUAUCAAUUCAAUCAAUGUUUAUGCAUAAUGAUUCUACCAUAUUUGCACCACCAAAUUUCCACUGGAGAGAAUUAUCAUUCAAGACAAUUUUCACUUAUAAUUUCAACUUCUUGAAAACGUUAAUUGAGAGAUUUUUAGUUAGAAAGGACUUUCACUCACUUCAUUUAGAAAUGCUAUUUUAUGAGAAUCAUUUCAUCUCACCAUCAUCAUAUUGACAAGGGUCUAAGUAUUCUCGCGAGCGGUACAACCUUACCAAUCCGAGAGGAAUUUUUUAGGACCGUAAUGUAGGCUUGGUCAAUGACUUAACAAAGGGGGACUCUUUGAGUCAAGGUUGUUGAAAGAACAAAACUCCACAAUCAUCUCCGGGUUUACAAGUCAAGAAAAUUGCGAAAUGAGAUAGAAAUAAUCUUGCUCACACUUCUUCGAGCAAUGUUUAUAAACAUAUGAACACCUAUGUUAAUUCAAGUGCCAUAAUCUAAAAAAACUUUGCAAGGAACAAAACAUAGGCUAGGUUUAUAGGUUGAAAAAUGAAAUGAUUAUUAGGCUCAAAAUGUGUAUAGAGGGAUAAGAGUUGAUGAUCAUCUUGGCAUUGCCAUUAGUUUUCUUCUUAACCAUCGGGGAUUGUCUUCAUAAUACUCCAUUGAUUGCAACACCUUGGUAUUUGGGUACUUUGAUUAUUGCUCCAUUGGGGAUAUAUCUCUUGAUAACCGAUGGCCAUCUAUCUUGACUUUUUUUUUUUCAUUUUCCCCAUGGACAUUGGCCUUAUUUUUACUAGGCACACUGCUUUUUCGUGUCCUUAAAUUUCAUUCAUUUUUUCUUCACCUCUUUUUUCAUGAACAUUGACUUUACUUUUAUUAGGCACACUACUUUUUCACGCUUCUUAGUUCUAUUUUGAUUUCAAGUUUUGACUUUUGACACAUUGUCUACAUUUAUAUUGAACAGCCACACACAUUGGUUUAUUUCUACCAAAUGAUUUAACAUUUGAACUCACAAGGUAUUCCUCUUAUGUUGGCACUCUCUGUCUUUUGCUGGCACUCUCUAUCAUGCUACUUGAAUGAUUGUCUUUUGCCUUACCCCAGUUUAGGGGAUAAUCACCAAUCGGGUUUGUAUGAAAUGAAAUGCAAGCUCAAGUGAGCUAUGCAAAGGAUAUGAGUGUAUAAGAUAGAGAAAUGACCGCUCUUCAUCAUCUUAAGGCACUUAAUUACCAUAUGAAUUCAUCUCUAAUAGCAAUACUUGAAGAUUGAUGUAAGUGAGAGCAGGAAAAUUCCUAUCUAUUUCCUCACCUAAUGAUGUUGUCCUACCUCAUGUUUGUCCCAAUUUUGGUUUUUCUUGAUAGGGGUAAUUUGAAAAAAAAAAAAAAAAUUCUCCCCAAGUGUAUGGGCUUAAAGGGAUUAAACAAUAGAUUACUUGUAGUGUUUGGGAUAGAAAAAUGAAUUACCUCUCAUCAUUUUAGUCAUCAUACCUUUCGUGAGAGAACCUUUUACCUUGUGGAUAUGGAAUUUUUCCACACUCACCUCACCUUGUAUAAACAAGGGAUUGUGUAUAGAUAAGGCUUGCCUUUCUUCAUCUUGAUGCAUCUCAUUUAGCAUGCUCAAUCCACUUCACAUCAUUCAUUAGAUUAAUCUAUCUUGAAAAAUCUCCACACAAAAUUGGCCAAUAAAACAGGUAAAGUCACCAUGUAAAUUCUCUUUUCAAAAGCACCUAGCAACUUUAAGCAUGAAAAACUUGGUAACUUCUGAGCAAACAAUUUACCAUACUUAAAAAAUGUUUUCAUAAGCAUGAAAACAUGUUUUUGAGUAUUCAUUCAAGGAAUUGCCUGGUGAAGGGAUUGUCUCAACAAUAGGUGCUCUUGGAUUGCCCUUAUCUAAAUGGAAUGAACAUACGAGUUGAUCAAUCGAGACUAAAAAUUCAAUUUUUGAUUUGAUAAACACUCCAUUCAUGCUUUUGUUCCUGCACAAGAGAACGUUCAUGAAUAAGAUACUGUACAAACAAAAGGAAAUGCAAAUUGAACAUCUAGUUUGGCUCAGAAUGAGAUUUUAUUUUGGUUGGGUCAUUGCCAAAACCUAUCAUGCCCCCAAUCUAUAGUCUUUGAUGGAAAGAAUACAGAGUCAUUUCCAAAAUCAUUUAUGUUCAUGAAUGAGAUGUACCUCUUUUAUCAAAUAUGGACGAUCCUCACUUGACUUGCCCCUCAUUUUCUCAUUAUGUCGUUUGGCUCUUCGGGGUUGACAUCUCACAUGAGAAGUAAUGAGAUGUGCCUUCACAUCUCACUUUGAAAGCUAGGUGAUCUUCUUUUGGCUUGCCCUCAGUUUCUUAUUGAUGUGCAAGAAAACAGCUUGGGACAACAGUGGAAAUAGGAAGUAAUAGGAAGUGUUGAACACCUUCUUCAUUCUUUGGAGAUGCCAUCACAAUCAACCAAGAAGUGAUCCUUUGCUCCCACGUGAAUUUUUCCUUCAGAUGUAUGUUCCCAAAUUUGUUGAUUAUCAAUUGAAUCAAAUUCUCUAUUAUAAAAUGCUGUUGAAUUAUACUCUGAGACGUGAAGUAAAUGAGUUAGAAAAACAAAUAAGCCUAAGCUAAUGUAUGCUUUAAACAAUUGCUACAAAAUGAUUAUUUUAUUUUAUUUUUUUUUGAAUUUUUUUUUUUGGGUGAGGAAAUAUGAUGAAGCCCAGGUCUCAGAAUUCUCCUUGGAUCUUACACUUUUUAUCAGUUGGAUAUCAUCAUCGGGCCAGUUUGGUGUACCCCAUCAUGCCCUCAAAACAAAACUUGUAACUUUAGUGAAAUUCACCAAUCAAAUUAUAUUUAUUGGAGUGAAAAGUGCAACAAUCAAUUCCUAGAAAUGAAAUGAAAUCCUAGCAAGCAAGCAAAUCUUAGAAAGCAGCAAAAAUUCCCACGUAAGGGAGGGUGUAACUGAACAUGCCACUAAUUAAAUAAGGAAAUCAAGCUACUUAGAACCAUGAAUUAUGUGUACUUGGGUUCUUCACCCUCCUUAGUCUCUUGAGGUGAAUGCUCUAGGGUCAAACAUUCUUCCUUCUAGAUACAUCACCAAUCUUACUUGGUGGCAUCAAAUUCGACUACCUUAGAAAAUUAGAUGGUUCAAGAGUCCCCUUAGCUCUCUUCUUUGGAUUGAAAUUUCCCACUGAAGAUGAUGUAUCCAUGUGAUCAUAGCGCUUUCGCUUGACAAGACAAGCUACAGUAGCAUGCAGCUCGUCAGCUUGACUUUUUGGAGGCUUGCAAUUCACUUGUUCAUAUCAUUGUCAAAAUUAGCAAUAUUGCUCAGCACUUCAUUUUGGGGAUAAGUACACUAAUGGUGCUAUAAGUUGUGUACGGCGCUAACUUUGGUGUCAAAAGUUUCCGUUGGAUCACUUAAGUGCCAAAUCGGAGGAAAAACGAUCACUUUGGUGCCAUCAGCGAGAAAUUCUAGCCAAAAUGAUUACGUGACUUUUAUAUUUAAAAAAAAAAUCGACGUGGCUUAAGAUUGUCCACGGUGGAUAGCAUAAAACGAUGCAUUUUUCCUUUCUUCGUAGAAAUGAUGUCGUUUCUUGUCAUCCACCGUGGAUUCACAUAUAAACGACGCUGCGUUGCUCCAUAACAAAAAACGAUGUCGCUGAAGAGGGAGUAAAAUAGGGUUCGUAUACGGUUCUCCUCGACGCCGGCCGUAGCUCGCUCACCCACCGUUGUUCACCACCGUCGUUCGCUCGCCUGCCGUCGCUCGGCCACCGCGUAGUUGCGCCGUCAUUCACGAUCGUUUAGGUUUGUCUUGUCCUCUAUGUGGAUCAAUUUUGCGAAAAAUUUAGGGUUCUAAUGGGCAAGUUAGGGCACGGAGGGCAAAUUGAGGGUUUGGCUCAGGGGGAAAGUAGUGGGGAAAGUGGUGGGGAUGUCACUUUUAUGGGGACAUAAUAGAAAAAUUGAUUCUUCCAUCGUUCGUUUGCUUUCUGUUGUGGGGACUGAAUAGAAAAAUACGGUGCGGAAGGCUUGACUCGGAGGGAAACGGUGGUGGGACCGAAUUUGUUUGUUUAAUUAAUUUGUCUGCUUUUGUGAGGGACCGAAUGUGAAUGUGAUUGAAUUGAAAAAUGGGUGGUGGGGACCUCACUUUGUUUAUUUAAUUCAGUUUCUUUUGUUUCUGUAAAUGCACCGAAUUGGGGAUAUUUUAGUCGCAUUUGUUCCUUAACAACAAAACGACAAGGACUUGCAUGUGAAGUUGCCGAUUCUGUCAUGUGGUUCCAACAAAAUGACAAUGACUCUUUUCUUUUUUUCAUUGAGUGCAACAUCGACAUGGAUGGGAAUCAAGUAGGCGUCAUUGUUUGCUAUGGUGGAGAGUUUGUUAUUGGCACUGAAGAUUGGGAAUAUAGUGGUGGAAAUGAGGUACUAUUUAUGUCAAUGUUUGGAAGCCAUCAUAUAUUGAUUUUCUGAGGGAUUUGGUGUAUUUUUUACGAUGCAAAGUGCAAAAACUACAUUACUGUGUUCCUGGGAAGGAAUUGAAGGAUGGGUUGAGAUUUUUUAAUGACGAUAAUGAUAUUAAGAAUAUCAUUUACCAUUAUCUUCACGGUGAAGAAGCUAAGGUAUAUGUUGAGUAUUAUAGUGAGGAUGAGGAUGGGGAUGAGGAUGGGGAUGAGCAGACCACCAUUGAAGGAGGAGAAGUGAGGGAUCCUGUUCAAGCGAGUAAUCAGGUCGGAGAUGAGUAUAGGUUAGAUGAAGGACAAAAUGAGAGGGAGAUAAGUCAUAUUGAUAGAGAUAAACAAAGAGGGAGAUGUCCUGAAAUCUUGAGUGAAGAUUUGGGUGAAGAUGUGGGCGAUGAAGACUUCAUUGGAUUAGAAUGAGAAAUUACUUUAUCUAGUGAAUCGGAAGAUGAAUGUUUGGCUUUAGUAAAUUUCCCAAGUGACAAAAAUGAUGAUGAACUCGCACAGUCAAGACAAAAGCAAAAGGAAUUUCUGAGAAAAAAACUUGCAGCUUCAGCAAAAAGGCCCGAGCUAAUAAAUAGGGAUGGAGAUCCAGUUGAGGGUAAUAGAAGUGAAGAGAAGAAAGCUAUGGCGAUGAAGUUGCUAGUUCGGAAAAUGAGCUUGACAAUGAUGAUGAAAAACCUGCUCCUCGAAGAAAAAGUAAGUACCAUUGCUAUGAUCCGACUGUUGAUAAACCUGUUUUGUUGGUGGACAUGAGAUUUGACGAUGCCAAACAGUUCAAGGAAGCUGUUGUGAAGAACUCAAUUGGUGAACAGAUGAGCGUUAAAUUCAUUAGAAAUACGAAGGAAUUUGUGAGAGCUAAGUGUUCACAACCUAAUUGUUCAUGGAAGCUCUAUGCCGCACUUAGUAAGAAUGGUUUAUUUCAGAUUAGGUCCUUUCAAGAGGAGCAUACUUGUCUAAUUAUCUUUAACAAUAAAAGGGUAACAAGUGUGUGGUUAUCAAAGUAUUUUUUCAAUACUAUCAAAGCAUUGCCCGAGAUCAAGAGUCCUUAAUUUCAACAGUUAGUGAAGGAGCAAGUGGGGGUUAAUGUGUCGAGGAAUUAAUGUAAGAGAGCUAAGAUGAGGGUGAUGAAGAUAUUGAUGAAUGGGUAUAAGGAAGAAUAUGCGCAGGUAUGGGAUUAUGCUAGUGAAUGCAUGUUUCAAAACCCAUUUAGUAUGGUAUAUGUAGAGGUUGUGGAGAGGCCACUCCUUGAUCUUGGGCCUAGAUUUGAUAGAUUUUAUGUCUGUUUUGAUGCAUGCAAAUGGGGCUUCUUGGCUGGUUAUAGAAGAGUUAUAGGAUUGGAUGGAUGCUUUCUAAAGGGUUUAUGCAAGGGGGAGUUGUUGGCUGCUGUGGGGAGAGAUGCCAAUAAUCAAAUGUUUCCGCUAGCUUGGGCAAUGGUAAAGAUAGAGAACAAGGAUAUUUGGUCCUGGUUCCUAAAAAAUUUGAUGGUUGACCUUGAGAUAACCGAUGGGGGGAUGGGCAUUCAUGAGCGACCAACAGAAGGUAAUUUCAUUGUCAAUUAAUUCACUCCCUUUUAAUAUUAAUCACUUGCAUAUUUUUCUUGACUUGUAUUUAUUGGUUUGAAUUUUUGUAGGGACUUAUUCCUGCAUUGGCUGAGUUGAUGUCACAUGCUGAGCAUAAAAUGUGCGUGAGGCACAUAUGUGCAAACUGGUCAUGGAACUUCAAAGGAGAUAGGCUGCAGAAGCAGUUCUGGCAUAUAGCAAAGAGUACGAAUAUGACUAAUUUCAGAUUAGCCAAACAAGGAUUGUUGCAGUUGACUAAGGAAGGUUUUGAUGCACUAUUCUAGACAGAAGCUAAGCAUUGGUGUCGGGCCUUCUUCAGCGAAGAAUUCAAAUGCGAUAUCAUUGAUAACAACCUUAGUGAAACUUUCAAUGGUAGAAUUUUAGAAGCCAGGUGCAAACCAAUCAUCAGCAUGCUUGAUGAUAUUCGAGUUAUGGUUAUGACUAGACUACAUAGGCAAAGAGAUGAGGCUACAAAAUGGAGUAGAGACUAUGGCCCUAGGAUUGUGAAGAGAUUGGAUGCAAAUGUUGCUGCUAGUAGGUUUUGCCAUCCAGUUUGGAAUGGAGAUAAUUGAUAUGAGAUUAUUCAAAAUCAGGAUAAGUAUGUUGUCAACCUGGAUAGAAGAAAAUGUUCAUGCCGAGCUUGGCAACUGAAUGAAAUUCUCUGUGCUCAUGCCAUUUGUGCUAUUCAAAUGAAGCAAGAAAACCCAGAUAAUUACCUAUAUGAUUGGUACAAAAAAAGCUCAUACCUUGCUUCAUACCAAUUCAUGAUGCAGCCUAUCAGAAGCAGCAAAUUUUGGGAGCCAACAAAUCAUGAAAGCUCUCUACCUUUACCGCUAAAGAAGCAAAUAGGAAGGCUGAAAAAGAGAUAAAGAAUGCAGCAGGAAGAUGCAUCAAGUCAAAGGAUGAGUAGGACUGUAUCAAAGAUGAAAUGCUCUUAUUGUAGCAAGGAAGGGCACAAUAAGAAAGGUUGUGAGCUGAAAAAGCAGCAUUAACAGCAAGAUGUAAUGGCUGAUUCAGUGCCAGGGACAGGACCUACUGAAGAGUUUCUUGUUGGGCCUAUUGAAGGGAGGACAGAAGGCCCUGUUGUAAUGCCUAUUGAAGGGCAAACAGAAAGCCAUGCUGUAAGGUAAGUAUCUUCUUUGUCUCAGUAACUUUACAGUUCUUAUUCGAUAGAGUUUGAUGGUUGACCAUGUGUAUUAGCUUCUCUUGUGCUUUUCCUCUGUCAUGCACUUGUAAUUUGAGAAGUUCUCUCCAUUUGUUUCCACCAUGAAAAUGAGUAGAUGUCUAAUUAUUCAUUGGAGUUGGUCAUAAUCCUAAUAUAGUACAUUGUUGUAAGACUUACUAAAGGGCCAGAAAAGGCCCUGUUGUAGGCUCAAGUGCAGGGACAAGGACUGGAAUGGGCAGGAUAGCAACAACAACAACUGAGUCCACUAUUGAGCAAAUAAGAAAAAAAUAUCCUAUAAGUUGUACAUCGCUGUGUUUGGUCUUUUAUGAGCUAAAAUUUACAUUUAUUAUGUGUUUCUCAAGUGAGAAGACGAGCAACUGCACAAGUUGCAGAUAUUGCUACAAGGAUUGUUGUUCCUGAAAAUGAUGCACCACAACGAACAAGAGGGGCUCUUGGAAAAAGAUUAAGGCAAUAUGGUUAUGAGAUUUACACAGAUGAACGUACUGGAAUGACUAUUUUGAAUGUAAGAUUUAUAGGUCUCAUGCAUUUUAUUUGUUGUACUUCAAUUCAUUUGGUUGAUAAUAUCACUAUGUUCUUGUAGCCUGGGAGAACUUCGGAGGUACUUCUUUCUUAAGGUGGACCAACUCAAGUGAUGAUGCCAGCUUGACAUGCACAUGCCUUUUUUUUUUUUUUUGUAUUUUUCAUUAAAAUAUUCGAAAUUAAUUAUUUACUCUAAUUUAAACGUGCAAACUAUCCUAUAAAAGAAUAUUCAGUUUAUUCUAAAACAAUAUUUUGGUAAUUUAUUAAAUUCGGAAUUAUAAAAUAACCAAAAUAAGCAUGCAAUCUAUCCUAAAAAACUACAAUAUAAUGUUUUUGGAUUUUUUUAUUAGAAAUAAAGUCAAUUAAAAUCAAACAAAAGUAGAAAGAAGUCAAAUCCAUAACGAACAUGCUGUCAAAUCACACUAGAUAUUAUCGAUAUCCAUUUAAUUUUUCAAAUAAAUUAACGAAUUGUAUCUCAUGCAUGAGAUCAGAUUAGCCAAUUCUUAUGACAUGGCGAAUCAUAUUUUGGGCAUAAGAUUGAAUUGACGAUUUUCUGCGUGAUUGUGAGUUGUAUUUCGGGCCUUACACGUUGUGAAGUUAGGAAAAUUUCCUAAUUCAUGGGGAUUGAAAAGAAAUUUUUUUGGAUAUGGUAAUAUCAACCAAAGAUUAAAGCAAGAUCGCAAUUUUAUGAAUUAGGUAAUGAGAUAUAUGCAAAUCAAAUUAAUUGAGAUUCUUACAUAAUUCAGGAUGUUACACGGAUGAUGUUUCUGAAUUUGGACGGACAAUGGAUCACGGGAAUCGUGAUGAGGAUGACCAGCAAUCGGCGGCGCUCAUGGUUGCUCGAUAGUCGCCAGACGGGUUCCACAAGCUACGCAAGGGACCGAGAAUCGUCGAUGGAUGGGGGCAAGGACAGCAGGUAUCGGUCCUUCGAUGUUGGUGUUGUGGGCUGGAAGCAGAUAGGUACAGGAGCUCGCGGUGAUGCUGAUCACGGUGCGGUAUCCUCUGUUCGUGCGUUUCUCACUUAUCGAAUAUUCCGGAAUUCUGUCCGAGAACUUAAGCUUCUUUUGACUUUGCUUACAAACUUCACCUUUUAAAAAAGCUUGGGCAAAACAGGACAAAUUUCACCGCUUCUCUCGUAUUGCGAACGCCCUCUUGUGCCCAUUGAAGAAUCCAGGCGAUGUCGCCAAGAACCUGCAAAGGAAAAGUGCAAUCGUGAUUGACGUGGGGGCUCGCUGGCCGCAGGACGUGAGCUUUUGUAAAUUCCCCAUAAAAGUACAUGGAGAGAAAACAUGCACCUAAAUAGGCAACUACAAUCAAGCGAAAGAUUUCGAAAAGUAAAAUCGUAUUCACUCCCUUCAGCCUUAUACAGGGCAACCCUAGUUUGUAUGAAACUAUCACAGGACCAAAAUUUUAGAGGAUUAAGGCAGCAACCCAGCCGCUAGCACUACCCUAUAGCUUACUCACCAGACAAACACACACAAUCACACACCAUACCCAGCCCCACCUCAGCAAACAGCAAUCACCACAAAAUAGAACCGACACGUUGAGGAGGAUCUUGAAAAUUGUAAGAGUUAUACUACUACUCACAAGGCCUUGCUAUUCGAUCCGGUGGGCCCAAUAUCUCCAAAGCAAACCCUUGAGAAACGCCCAAAAUCAAUUUUGAGAGCCACGCCAGCUUAGCCCAUGUUUGGCAAAAAGUAUUUAUGUUCCCCGGAAUAAAAAUUUAUGUUCUUUUGUUCCGGGAAACAAAAAAAAUAGAAACAUGUUUAGUAAAACUUUUAUUUUCGGGAACAGAUUUGUAAUAGAAACAAGAAGUAGAAAAAAAAUUGCUUCUUAUUCUCGAGAACAAUUCUGAAAACAAUUUUUCUCUCUCUUCUUUUAUCUUCUUCUUUUUUCUUUCAUUCUUCUUCCUUUUAGUCGGUCGCUGGCUUCAGCCAUUGCUGAUGACCUUACUAGAGCAUCGCUAGCCGGCGCGAGGCUCGACCUCGCCAUGCUAGGGCGAGGCCGACCUCGCGUCGCCUGGGAGAGGUUGAGCCUCCCAGAUCUGGUGAGGCCGAGCCUCGUAGUGGCCUAGCGAGGGUCAGGCAAGCUCGCCGAACCUCACCCAGCCAGUCGCCAGUGGAUGCCAUGGCCGACGACUAGCCAUAAAGGAGAGAGAAGGAAAAAAAAGUAAUAAAUAAAUAAUAAUAAUAAUAAUAAUAAUAAUAAUAAUAAUAAUAAUAAUAAUAAUAAUAAUAAUAAUAAUAAUAAUAAUAAUAAUAAUAAUAAUAAUAAUAAUAAUAAUAAUAAUAAAAAUAUUGAAAAAUUAAAAGAAAUAAUAAAAUUAUACAAGUUUAUUAAACACAUUUCUAUUCCCGGAAUAGAAAUUUUUUGCAGUUACCAAGUGCAUUCUUAUGCUCAGAAAUUGUUCUCGGGAACAGAAAUAGAAAAAACUAUUUAUAUUCAAAAAUUGUUCUCCAAAACAGAAACGUUACCAAACGCUCCCUUAAUUGAUACCCACAUCCUCAUCAAAAACCCUAGAAUCAAACACACAAACUUUGAACCAAAUAGCUCAAAGCAAAAGAAACAACAGUCUUUGGAACUUUUUCACUCCUAUGAAGUCACAAAUUGAAGUCUCGCAACAAUCCAAUUAGUUCUCGAGGUAAAAAAACAUUAGACAUUCCACCAGCAAAACUAGUUCAAAAGAGAUCUGAGCACUUCGGAUCUUCUAAUGUCAAGCCCUUGAAGUUUCGGUCAUGGCGAAGAGAGACGGAGAUGGAGUGAAGUCCCUAAUUGAAGUCGUGACUCACAAAAUGAAUUCUUCUCUCUGUGUUUGUCACUCUCACUAAAAAAGAAGGAAGUUCAGAUGAAGGGUGUAGCUUGUUUGGUAACCAUUCCGUUCCUGAGAACAAUUUAUGCUUAGAAAUAGUUUUUUCUAAUAUUGUUCUUUGGACGAGUUAUUUAGCAUUUGACCGUAUUAGUAAUUGCAUAAAAUUUAUGUUCCUCAAAUAGCUAGUCACUGAGCCUUAGCGAUGGCUAGCGGCUAGCCAGAAGGGAGAGCUAGCGACUUUGUUUGCUUUGGGGGCCACUCGUCGGUCUUGGGGGAGCCUCACUGGCUCUUGGUGAGGCCGACCCACCCAUCCACGGUGAUGUCAAGCCUCACCAAGAGUCGACGAGGUCGCUAGACCUUGUCUUUGGUUGGUUACUGGACAUUGCCGAGCCUAGCAACGAUUAGAGAAGGAAGAAGAAGAAAAGUAUAUAUAUAUAUAUAUAUAUAUAUAUAUAUAUAUAUAUAUAUAAAGAAGAUAAUGACUUGAUUUCAGAAUUUGUUUCUAAAAACAAAUAAGUAACUUUUUUCUACUUUUUAUUUCUGUUCCAAAUCUAUUCCAUGACUACUAAUAUGUUUUCGGGAAUAGAAAAAUUAACUAAUAGUAUUAAACGGAUUUUUGUUCUUCGGAAUAAAAGAACAAAAUUAAUUAAGAAUUAACUGGUUACCAAAAAGGGCCGAAGUAAAGCGUAAAGGUAUAUAGAGGGUCGUGGACUUGUGGGUGUCGUGUGGGUUUUGAAAAUAUGGGUUAAAAUAUGGGUCACGUCUGUCUCGUGGGUCUCGUGGGUCUCGUGGGUUGGGUAUAUUGGCUCUUUUUUUUGGUCUUUAGUUUUCCAUAACCCACUUAACCCAUUUUGAAAGAAAACGAGUUACCCUAAUAAUAUUGCGCCUCUUAAAACUGAGUUAUAAAAUAGGUACACGAACCAUUUUGCCGGCCCUACUUCUGACCAACCAUAUCAGGGUCAAAUUAGUCAGCAUCCUACUUUAUAUAUUCUCCUUCUGGCUUUCACCAUCCAUGAAAUCAAUAUGGAAGAGAAUGGUUUUUUACUAUCAUUUGCCAACAUAUAAUAAAGAGGAUAUCACAUCGUCUUCCAGGCCGUGCUUAUAUAGGCAAGUACAAAAGAAGAAUGGCAGACCUGUAAUAUACUCAAUGAACCUCCGCAAAAGUUACGGAGCUUCAUGACUUUCGAAGCAGAGAACACACAUUUGGAAGAAAAUCAAAAAGACAUAGAGUGCUCUCGAGUGUUCACUUUCAAAGAGCAAGAAUCGAUAUCUCUGAGCUUCAAGAACGUAAUAAGCAGCUAAGUCUUGUCGGAUCAAUCUCCUUAGUCCCAUCAUCUUCAUCAACAUGUAUUCGAGUUUCCUUUUGGCUCUUUAUUUAACAAAGGCAUCCGCACCCUUGUGACUCUGAAGAGAAUCACAUUGGGUGUGGCAGUUACCCAUCCCACAUAUACCGAAUAAUUUAUGGGAGAUGUGCAUUCCUAUGCUCCUGGAUGACUCCAAGAGAAUACGCAAGAAUGAUGAUUCAAAUUAUGAUCUUGAACACGAGAGAUGAACACACGUAUGACUUGAGCAACCCUAACUCAUAAUUGGACUUAUAACCACCUCCUAGUCCUUGUCAGCCUUCCAGUCAACCGCUUUUUUGUUAGGUAGCGCAAGCCAGGAAUGUUCAUCCUCAUUUCUUCUGGGAAAAUGAAGCCAGUUGGGUAGUCUCUAGUGAUUACAGCAAUUGAAUAUUUGACUAAUCCGUCAUUUCUGAAGCCGGCAUCAGGGGGGGCACCUGCAAAACUUGUUCUUGGUCAAAUCAGACAAAUGCAAGACCUGGAAGUUACUGAUAUCAAACAAGUUUGUGUAUCUUGCCCUCCGAAAGUUGCUCAUCAUCUACUCCUCUUUGAAUUACUCUUAUUGUACUUGCGUUCUUUCCAAAUUAACGGAUCAAGAUGAUUAUCGAUGCACCAAGAUAUAUUGCAUUCGCUUUCUUGAUUUCAGGCCCGAUCCUCUUCAUCCCAGACACUCCUGUCAAUGCACAGACAUAUCUUCAAGAGGGGAGCUCUAGUAAGGGCAAGUACACUGCUUUUAGCAAGUUCCAAAACAACCUCUACAGCCUCCUCGACAGGUAGCUUCACAACGAAGGACGCGUUAACUGUUUCUACAACAUGACAGAAGCGGAAUAUCCAGACAAAGUUUAUGGUCUAUUCCUCUGCAAGUAAAUCACAUGGAAAAGACAUCCAAAGUUUCUACUCUUUAGUAAUACCUUUAAAUUCAAUCCUUAUAAUCUUUGGAAUCGGCUCACUUGGUACUAGGUGAUGCAAGCCUAGGGUAGGCUUUCUCGAACAGUAGGAUCGGGAGAGUGACUCACACAUGGGAAACAGGACGAACAUAAAUUUCAGCACUAUGCAAGCUCAGGAGAACACAGAUCGGAUCGACUUGAUUCCAAAGCCAAAUGAACAAAGACUUAUCGAUCUACAAUUUCUCUGUUUUGGGUUUUAUGAAAUAAGCACUGUAGAAUGUUCGAAUUUGGAUUGGAAAUAACGAACAAAACAGGAAAAGAUAGAAACUCCGUUGGUUGCUCUUCUAGGCCUCCAAGGAAGUUGAGGGGGCACCGAUUCUUCUAGAUCGAUGACUGCAACUCUUCAAGGAUGCAGAUUUCGAAAGCUCCGACUCUUCAAGGACGGAGUGAAAACUCUUCUAGGUUUUCAAGGGUAUAAACUCUACAAGGUUCACGAUACUUGCUUCAAAGCAAAGUUUUCAUUCAUCAAAAGUCGUUUGUCUUCUACAAGAAAUUGGAUGGCUUAUAUUGUCAAAGAAAUAAAGAUAGAGCAUUGAAACUAGGAGAAAUAUCAAAUAGCAUAGAAACGAUAAACUAGUAAAAGCGUCAUGCGGGCUCCCAAGGUGUCUUUCAAGCUUCCGAGAUGGACUCAAGAUAUCGAUACGGCUUCUCGAUUUUGUUGAGCUUGAAUGCAGGCCGAUCUUCUUGGUUGAGAGAGCUGGUCUUCAAUGCGGGCUGCAUCACUAGGAUUUAUAAUGAACCUGAUGUGUUGGUCUUAAUUGAGAUCCUCUAAAAGUAUGGUGAUCCAAUGCCAACAAUUUGGUUGAUACUAUCCAAACUUAAGUAACUACCAAUGCAACUUUCCUAUCCCUUUUUAGAGGUUAUGUUGCCGCCAAUCUCUGUCAGUCUUGCAUUAAAUCAGCUACUGGCAACAUCUUAGAAUGAUGUCCAGGAGAGAAAGGGGUGACCAUAGGGUACGGUGAGUGUCUCGUGCACUACUCUGACAGAUCAUUCUUCUCUAUCAUGGAGUCAAUGCCGGCUUUUUCAAUGUACAACCUUAUGAAUGUACCAGAUCCCAACCAGUUCCUCCCGGUUGUAGGGGAAACUUUCAGGAAAGUGAUGGACUCGGCAAUCUCCUCAGAAAGCUUAUUCGCAACCAUCAAUGUUAGUGUCUCAAGUUCAGUGAGCUUGUAUACACUUGCGCAGUGCACCCUUGACUUAUCAAAGUCAAUUUGUGAACAGUUUCAGGGCUGCUGCAAUCGCUCAUUUUCCUACCUUCAUUAGCGAUGGAAAGCAAGGUGCGAGAGUUCUUCUGCUGAGUUGUCAGGUGCAGUUCGAACUGUAUCCUCUUUAUGAGGAAAUUAGAUGCCAAGCAACAGCACAUUCUCCAACUAACAAAACCAGCAUCAAUUCCGGUACUAGAGGUAUAAAAAUUGUAUAAUGCUCAAAACGUGCAUUCAAUUUUCAUGGUAAACAUAUAAAGGUACUCAUUAUAAGCUGUUUUGUGUAUCAUAAUGCACUUCACUUGCUUUUACGAUCUAAACUUUGAUCAUUCUCUGAGUUCCUGUUACUAUUUAUGCCUAGUGAGAAAAAUCUGCAGACUAAAUUCAAGGAAUCACUUUGUCUUGAUAGGGGUGAAACAAACAAAAGUUCCAUGGAUUGCAAUAGUUAGCUCAGUCAUUGGAUCGUGUUUACUCUAUCCAUCAUAGGUUCAUGCAUUUUUUUAAACAGGACAAAGAGAUUGAAGAAAGGUAUAUAUGAAUUCAUCUUGCUUGCCAUUAGAAGACCAUCUUCUAAACUUCACCUUAUAAGAGUAACCUCUUUUACUGUCAGAGAAGGAAAACAGCCUAGAGGUUCAGUUACUUUAUCUGAGACUAGAAAUUGGAGUAGAGUUUUUAGAGGAAAACUAUCGAGGAGAAAAGCCAGUGGAUCCUCGAGAAUUCACUCUGAUACGAUUAGACGUUAUAUGCACAGCCACCGGGAACUUCUCUGACGAAUGUAAGCUUGGGGAAGGCAGGUUUGGUCCUGUAUACAAGGUAAGCAUUUCAGUGACUAAACACUUAUUUAUGGGGAUAUUAGGAAAUUCUUCUAAUGGCAGCAAAUUGGCUGUCAUUAUUGUCAAAUCUCUACUAACGUUACGCUGUUUCAGGGCACAUUGGGAGAUGGAAAAGAAAUUGCAGUUAAGAGGCUUUCAAGAACCUCAGGCCAAGGACUCAUCAAGUUGAAGAACGAAGUCAUCUUGAUUGCCAGACCACAACACAGGAACCUCGUCCGAUUGGUGGGAUUCUGCUUGGAAGAACAUGAAAACCUCUUGAUAUAUGAAUACAUGCCCUACAAAAGCCUGGAUGUCUUCCUUUUUGGUUUGAGCUUUAGCAGAUGAAAUGAAUCUUUUGGCGAUUUUUAUAAAGGGCAAAUCCAUUUGAGUCUCUCAUCAUCAACAGAUUCAAAUAUGGGGGCAAUCUCUUGAUUGGAAAUGCGCCUGAACAUCACCUGUGGAAUAGCUCAGGGACUUAUAUAUCUGCAUGAGGAUUCUUGCCUAAGGAUUAUCCACAGGGAUCUGAAAAGCUAGCAAUAUCUUGCUAGAUGUUGAGAUGAAUCCAAAGGUAUCCAAUUUCGGGAUGGCAAUGAUCUUCAGUAUAAAUCAAGACAAGGCCAACUCAAACAGAGUUGUUGGCAUUUAGUAAGCGCUUUCAAAUAUGUUUCUACAUCUGUUAGAUAUUUGAAUGAUUCACUAGGCCAAAAAAGAACUCUGAUGAUCAGUUCAACAUGACCAAAAUGUGAAGAUUCAUAUUUCAGAAGUUUCUUAUAAUCACUUGUGAAUUUUUUUCUUACUUCCAUCUAAUUGCUCCUCAUCACAUAGUGGACACAUGGCACAGGAGUAUGCGAUGGAAGGGCUCUUUUCUAUUAAAUCAAACGUCUUCAGUUUUGGAGUUCUCUUGCUAGAGAUAAUAAGCGGGUGAAAGAAUAAUGGUUUUCAUAUCUGAGAGCACGAUGAAAGCCUUCUCGCAUAUGUAUGCUCCUAGUCUCUGCUUCGAUUUAUUAUGAAGUUCAAGAAUUUUGUGCAGCUAUUCUUGCUUAUUUCCCUUGUGAAAUGACAUGCAUGGAAAUUGCGGUCCGAAAAUUGAGGGUUGGAACAUACCGAUCCGUCAAUCAAAGGGUCAUGUGAUGGAGUUCCAGUGCUAAAAUGCAUACAUAUCAAUCUGUUGUGCGUUCAAGAAGACCCGGUGGACCGAUCGACUAUGUCACUUGUGGUUCAUAUGCUAGGAGGUGGUAUGAUCAUUCUUGCCCAAAGAUCGCAGCCUGCAUUCUCAGUUGGGAGAUAUGUGAAAACACUGGAUACUAUCGGAACGAUCCACAAUGUUUCCACCGUUAAUAAAGUAAACCAAGAAUCAUCACCUUUCUUCAGUUGUUUCUCUUCCAUACAAUGGAAAUGCUUCACGAUUUGACAAAAUAGAACUAGUUACAAUGUAUGAUCUCUUUAUUAUUGUGACUGCCAUUUCUUAAUCCUUGAAUUACACAAUCAUGAAUUAUAUAUUGUGAGGAAAAAAAAACCUGUUUAGUAGUCGUCAUUUCUACUGUAAUUCACCACUAAUGUGCUUUAAGAAUGAUAGAUAUACUUACAUGAGUGAUGUAUCAAUAUUCAAUUCUAUAAGUACCCCAUUAAUAUAUAAGAAAGAAUAUACAUAUACAAAUUCAAUAAUCUAAUUUGAGUAUGUUCACCGAAAUCUUAAUGCAUGAAGAGUGUAGAGUGUUUAGAUAUUAAAUCACGUUUGAGCCGGACUGAUUGCAUUCAAAUCUUUCCAAACUCAUGUUUGCCUCCCCAAUUAGAUAUUUUUACACUUCAGUCUCAAACUAAAGUUUAGCUUACACGUGAGGAUAGUGUUAGAUUAUUUAAGUAUUAAAUCACGCUUUUAUCUAAUAGCCCAAGAUGGUUAGAAAACUUUUUACAGAGGAGCUACCAAGUCAAGGCAUCAUUUUGUAAUAGUUUUGAAAUGGUCAUGUAAUGACUUUCUAGACUUUGUAUCAAAUUUACUUUGGCUUUGUAAUGUUUGAUUUAUUUAUUUUUUAUAAACUCUUAUUUAUUUUGUAACGGCUAUAUAGCGGUCAUCUUAUCCUUCAAUAAUUACUAAUUUAUUUACAACUAUCUCUUAAUACUCUCUCUUUCUUUUACCUACAAAUUGUUACUCCGAAUAUAAUUGGAAAGCGAAAUUGAUAUAUCAAGACAAAAAUAUUCCUAUUUCUCUUUAUGUAUCUUUCUUUUCCUCGUUGAAUUAUACACAUAACUUUGUUCCCAUUCCUUCUGUUAUUCUAUCGCAUUGAGUUUCUAUUUUGAGGGCCGGAAUUAUACUUAAAAAUGGUGCUUUGUACACUUCAAACAUUUGAUUUUAUUCUCUCAGCAUUUUCAAUAGAUUUCCAACAAUUAUUAUUUUCAUAUUAUCUAACGUUUUCUCAACAAUCUUGACGGCAAUUGCCUUAUGGAUUCCCUGGUCUCUACUGUCUCGCACCAGUUUCUCCGGCGGUUUGAUGUUGGCUAGCGGUUUUACUGUCGCGACACCUUUAAUCAUUGUCGUUGCGGCUCUUCUUAACCGAUCGCGAUGUUAGCUGGGUUCACUCCUAUGUGGAGGAGGCCCAAUGAGUUGCAAGCCCAAAAAGGGCUUGAGUCCAUAUGAUAAGUUAUAUGAGGAAAUAUGGUUUCUUACUAUUUAUAUAAAGUGAUGGUCGCAAAAGAAAAUAGUUACAAGAGAAAAAAAGAAAGAAUAAAAUCUGAGGUUUGGGGCAAGAUCUGAUUUACAUCAAGCUAGCGUGGAGGUCGCUUCAUGGUCCGAUUGAGCUAAAAUUUUGUCAGCAUGUUCAUGGCGCAAUUUUAUCGAAUCUGAACGGUUUGAUUUUCGUUUGAAGCUCCCUACAUCAGGUUUUUCAUGGAUUGAUCAAAACCUACAUUUUUGGUCAGAUUUAUCCUUGAUCUCUUGUGAAAUUCAUGUGUAUUACCAAGAAUUAUGUUCUUGAGGUCUUUGCUGCUAUGUACUUCUAGUAUUUGCUAGAGAAGAACAAUUUUGUUGAUAGUGAAGAAUUUUGGGUGGACUUCGGUCCCGUGGUUUUUGAUCUCCUCACAUCGAGAAGGUUUUCCACGUAAAAAAAAUCGUCUUGUGUUCGCUUGAUUGGUAUUUAUUUUACUCUACUAUAUCAAUUCCUAUUAGGUUUACACAAGAGUGGAUAUUAUUUUAUUCCACUGUGUUGAUUCGAUAUUGUUCGAAUUGUUUCUGUUCUCCCAUCAAAGUGGUAUAAGAGCAUCUAGUUAUUGCUUGAUUUUUCUGCCUUGUGUUAAACAAUGGAAACGAAUACGAGUAGAAUGGUUACUUUGAAUGGUUCGAAUUAUCAUAUUUGGAAAGGGAAGAUGGAAGACCUUUUAUAUGUGAAAGAUUUUGAUUUGCCCGUAUUUGCCGAUGAGAAACUAGAGAAUUAAACUGAUGCUAAAUGGUCUAUAUUUCAUCGUCAAGUGUGUGGUUAUAUUAGGCAGUGGGUGGAUGAUAAUGUUUUGAACCAUAUUAUUGAGGAAACACAUGCACGCAGUUUAUGAGAUACGCUCGAACAAUUAUAUGCUCGAAAGACUGGGAAUAAUAAGUUAUUUUUGAUAAAACAGAUGAUGGCUUUGAGAUAUCAAGAUGGUACUCGUUUGACUGAUCAUUUAAAUUCUUUUCAAGGAAUUAGAAAUUAGUUGGCUGUGAUGGGAAUCAAGUUUGAUGAUGAGAUACAAGCAUUAUGGUUGCUUGGUACUUUGCCGAACUCCUAGGAGACAUUCCAACAUCUUUGUCUAAUUCUGCCCCAGAUGGUACAAUUACCAUGGAUUUGGCUAAGAGUAGUAUUUGAAUGAAGAGAUGAGAAGGAAGACACAAGGAUCGUCCUCUUCACAUUCUGAUGCCUUGGUUGUUGAGAAAAUGGGAAGAAGUGAAUCUCGAGGUCCGAGAAAUAGAGAUAAAAGUCAAGAUAAAAGCAGAAGUAAGUAUAAUAAAUUUGCUAAUGUUGAGUACCAUUAUUGUCAUCAGAAGGGACAUAUUCAAAGGUUUUGUCGCUAGUUAAAAAGGAAGAAACAAAAGGAGAAAGGUAAAGAGAAGAAAAGUGAUAAUGACAGUGAUGACAAUCGUGUCGCUGCACUUAAAGAAGACUUUCUCGUUAUUUUUUAUUGUGAUGUGGUGAAUUUUGUAUCUCAUGAGACCAGUUGGGUAAUUGAUAGUGAUGCAUCCGUUUAUGCUACGUCUCGUAGGGAUUUCUUUACAUCAUACAGGUCAGGUGACUUCGGAUUUGUGAAGAUGGGAAACAAUGGGCUAGCUCAAGUUGUAGGCAUCGGUGAUGUGUGCCUAGAAACCAACAAUGGCACAAGGUUAGUAUUAAAUAAUGUUAAACAUAUACCUGAUAUCCGCUUGAAUUUGAUUUCUACAGGCAAGUUGGAUGAUGAGAGGUAUUGCAGCAUCUUCAGUAAUGGUCAAUGGAAGCUCACCAAAGGUUCUCUUGUUGUGGCUAGAGGUGAAAAAUAUUCUUCAUUGCAUAUUAUGCAGGCAAAGUUGUCCACAGUCAAAAUUAAUGCAAUAGACAACGAAGAUAUGGCAUCCGGGAAUUUCAACCCGAAAUAUUGAUUUUGAGGGAAACGAUAUUUGACUUUGAAUGGCCAUAGGGACAAUUACAUCAUCGGCCACGAUAUUUUAUCUCUUGGACUGAACCCCUUAUGAAAAUGUUAAUUGAUUAUGAGAAUGUUAAUUGAUUUCUAUAAAUAAAAAUCAAAAUCAAAUGCCCUAAAGUGGUAUAGGAAUUAUGGGCUUAUUAUCGAUAUUUUUCUAUGGGCUAUUUAAAUUGGACAUAGGACGAUUUGAUAAAGAAGACUUUGUUCUUGACUAUGCACUUUAUAGAUUUGAUGGAUUAAUGUCACAAAGUCUUUUGGUCAUUUUAUUAUGCAAUUAGGUAUUUAUUUAAAUGAGGAUUAAAAUGUAUUAUUAAAAAUAAACUUGGGCCAUUUAAGUUUGGGCUUUAGGCCCAAGUGAGAUGGGCCUAAAGUGGGCCAUAAGCCCGGCCCAUGUCGACGCAUGUAGGGGGAAGGAGGAGCCGCAUGGCUUCCUCCAAGUGUCUUCGGCAAAGGAGACACUUGUCUCCUUCUUAGGGACAAGUGUCCCCCAUGCAAAAUAAGAAUGCAUGCAAAUAUAUAUACGACCAAAAAGUGAGAGAGAGAGAGAGAGAGAGAGAGAGAGAGAGAGAGAGAGAGAGAGUGAGUUGCGAGAGAGAGGAACCGAGAGGGAGGAGAGGAAGGAGCUCGCCGUUCGUCCGCCCGCACGCUGUCCGCCGCCCGUCCGUCGCCGUCCGUGUGCUGUCGUCCGCUUGAUCUUAGAGCCAAGUUAGGAUCAAUUUCUACUCUUGCAUGUGUGUCUUGCAUAUGUGAUUGGUUGGUGGUAGAUCUCGGAUGUUUAGGGUAGGCAAAACCAAAGCUAGAGUGUGACUUGUUCUUGAAAAAGCUUGCUGAUUUCAUGUAAACCGCCUGACCCAGAAACUUGUGGAGGCUUGCAUGCAUGUUUCGAAUUGGAUUUCGACCUUGAUUCCUUCAUGAAAGUUGUAGCCAACAUCUUAAACUACAACUUACUAAAAUUUGGGACAAAAUGGUGGAGAUUUAAUGUGGCACCCCUCGACGGCCCCCGAUCCGAUUAGGGUCGCCACAGUUCGCUUACCAUUCACUUUUCCUAAUAACAUGUCACUCCGCUACCAUUUCAAUUGCAGCGGGUCCAUACAACCUGGGGGUUUACAUCUUUUAGAUUGGUCCCUUCCACAAUUUAUAUACGGAAGCACAUCCAACAACUCACUUCCCUAUAUUCAGAAAACGAUGCACACCUACUAAACAUUUAUAGGUAAAAGCCGUACACUUUUAUUCACUUAAACCAUAUGGACAUCGUUCAUCGGUACAUCAAAAUGCCAUAGUUUUCUAUACUUGGCUAUACGUCAAAGGAUGACCAACAUGUCUUCCAACAGUUGUAUACUUAAAGUCCAUCGAUCAGUGUCGGUGUCCAAAAGUUCAUUCAUUUGCUAUCCUCCUCCUCGCGGUCAUAUCCAACUACUUAAUCCAUCUACUAAUUUGAAAUGUUGGUCCCCGAAGGGGUGAGUACAGCCACUCAGCAAGUAAAGGACCAAUAAACCACUCAAUGCAUCAUGCCACACAAUCAUCACAAUCAUAGCAUCACAUGACAUUUAAGCAUCCAUGCACAAUUUACCUUGAUAUCAUGCACAUAUCAUCAUACCUCAUGUACAUACAUUAUCAUAUAGUCAUCACCAUCAUGUCAUACACUUACCAUCAUCAUUACCAUGCAUCCAUGCACAUAUCAUCAUCAUAUUACAUGUACCAUCAUCAUUACCAUGCAUCCAUGCACUCAUCAUCAUCAUAUCACAUGUACCGUCAUCAUUACCAUGCAUCCAUGCACAUAUCAUCAUCAUAUCACAUGCAUCCAUGCACAUAUCAUCAUCAUAUCACAUGUAUCAUCAUCAUUACCAUGCAUCCAUGCACUCAUCAUCAUCAUAUCACAUGUACCAUCAUCAUUACCAUGCAUCCAUGCACAUAUCAUCAUCAUGUCACACAUGCCAUCAUGCCACAGGUGCNNNNNNNNNNNNNNNNNNNNNNNNNNNNNNNNNNNNNNNNNNNNNNNNNNNNNNNNNNNNNNNNNNNNNNNNNNNNNNNNNNNNNNNNNNNNNNNNNNNNGCACUUACCAUCAUGCAUUCAUGCAUAUAUCACCAUGCCAUAUGUGCACAUACCACCAUGAUUCAUAUCAUCCAUGCUAUCAAGCAUACAUCACCAUGAGAUCCAUUCAUGCCUUCAUGAUCGCAUUUUCAAUAUCAAAUAGCAUCAACUUAUUUUCAUAAGCCGAUCAUGCAUCAUGCCAUAUGCAUACACCCAUGCACAUGAUUCAUUUUCAAUUCUUAUCUUUCAUAAGGAUCUCAUCAGUUUUUCUUUCCAGGGACCAAUGUUUGCAUCCCACAAUUUAUCGCUCGCACCCAAUCCUGGCAUCGUAAGGAACCUCCGGGCAUAUAUUCAAAAUACAACCGAGCAUCCGGCCCCCCACAUUCCGAGCAUCUCGCAUCCCAACUAGCAUCACGAGGCAUCCCCCCGAGCACAAACCUCUGGGGCUUCCGGAAUUACGUACCGACAUACCACCAGGAUCCCCCCCCUCUUCUGGAAUUACGUACCGUAUACCACCGGGCAUCUCGAAACUCCCGAGGACCCUCCGGAAUUAUGCCACUAGGCCACCGGGCAUCCGGCACUCCCUAGCCAGGCAUCCCGACACUCCCGGGGCAUCGUCGGCUCACACCUCCGACGGCCUUCUCACUUAUCUCAAUUCACAUCUUCAAUUAUAGUUCAAUUUUAACAUGGCAUGUGAUGUGAUGGCAAUCAAGAUCAUUUUCAUCCUUUGAUUCAUACAUGCAUCUCAAAUCAUCAUCAUACAUGCAGCAAGACACAAUCAAUCAUAACAAUACAAUUCAUGGAGUCCAUACAAUUUAGAAUAGUCCAUUUAUCAUGCCUUUUUGAAGUUUACUAAAUUCCAGCUUGUACCAUUUUAGAAAACAUUUAAAUUAAAUAUCCAUAUAAUCCUCAAAAAUCAUGAAAUCAGGACAUGUGAUAGACAAGACAGUAAGAUAAAAAUUUCAUGAAGAACACAUGCCCGAAAGAGUUUCACACAAGAAGAUAUAAUUCACGCAAAUACAGCAUGUAAUUUCGGAUAGAAACAGAAUGUGCAGUUUUUGAAAUAAUUCGAUUAAAAUACCCGAAUGACCUCCGAAAAUUAUGAAAUUUUACCAGGUUAUAUUUAAGACACUAAAGUAGAUUUUUCAUGCAGACAUCUAGGCCAUAUUCGUUCUCGAUAAUUUUCUACAGACGUCCGAAUCUCCUGUUUCUAGCACCGAAACGUCCAGUUUAGCUAUCUCCGAAAUAUCGAGUUUUCACCUACUUAUCCUUCUUCGUUUCCUCUGAAAUUUUGAUAAUGUUUGCCUCAAGAGGUCCCCUACAACUUUCAUUAAGAGAUAUAAGUGAAAUUUCCAAAGAAUAGUCACCAUAUGGGUCCAAGAAGUCUCGGGUGUCCAGUACCGUAUUUCCAGAUUUACCAUCUUCAAGAGAAAGUCGAUUCACUAGGCUACACUUGUUCAUUUUACCUCACAUUUGAGUAUGUUAGUCUUUAUGAUGUUCUCUACAAGUUUCAUGAAGAAGUCGAAGGGAAAUUCUCGGUAAAAAGCAACAUGCAACCCACAAAACUACCAAAAGGUCAGCAAAGCAGUUCCAGAUCUAGUGUCUUCGUAGGAAGAGGGUUUUACCCCUUAAAUCUCAAUAAUUUUGUCCCAACUUUUAUUAUGUUAUAUUUUGAGAUGUUUUCUACAACUUUCAUGAAGGAGUCAAAGUCAAAAUCCAACUCGAAACAUGCAUGCAAGCCUCCACAAGUUUCUGGGUCGGGCGGUAUACACGAAAUCAGCAAGCUUUUUCAAGAACAAGUCACACUCUAGCUUCGGUUUUGUCUACCCUAAACAUCCGAGAUCUACCACCAACAAAUCACACAUGCAAGACACACAUGCAAGAGUAGAAAUCGAUCCUAACUUUCCUCUAAGAUCAAGCGGAUGACAGCACACGGACGGCACACCGGCGACAGACGGACAGCGUGCGGGCGGACGAACGGCGAGCUCCUUCCUCUCCUCCCUCUCGGUUCCUCUCUCUCGCAACUCACUCUCUCUCUCUCUCUCUCUCUCUCUCUCUCUCUCUCUCUCUCUCUCACUUUUUGGUCGUAUAUAUAUUUGCAUGCAUUCUUAUUUUGCAUGGGGGACACUUGUCCCUAAGAAGGAGACAAGUGUCUCCUUUGCCGAAGACACUUGGAGGAAGCCAUGCGGCUCCUCCUUCCCCCUACAUGCGUCGACAUGGGCCGGGCUUAUGGCCCACUUUAGGCCCAUCUCACUUGGGCCUAAAGCCCAAACUUAAAUGGCCCAAGUUUAUUUUUAAUAAUACAUUUUAAUCCUCAUUUAAAUAAAUACCUAAUUGCAUAAUAAAAUGACCAAAAGACUUUGUGACAUUAAUCCAUCAAAUCUAUAAAGUGCAUAGUCAAGAACAAAGUCUUCUUUAUCAAAUCGUCCUAUGUCCAAUUUAAAUAGCCCAUAGAAAAAUAUCGAUAAUAAGCCCAUAAUUCCUAUACCACUUUAGGGCAUUUGAUUUUGAUUUUUAUUUAUAGAAAUCAAUUAACAUUCUCAUAAUCAAUUAACAUUUUCAUAAGGGGUUCGGUCCAAGAGAUAAAAUAUCGUGGCCGAUGAUGUAAUUGUCCCUAUGGCCAUUCAAAGUCAAAUAUUGUUUCCCUCAAAAUCAAUAUUUCGGGUUGAAAUUCCCGGAUGCGACAUUUAAGGGGUAAAACCCUCUUCCUACGAAGACACUAGAUCUGGAACUGUUUUGCUGACCUUUUGGUAGUUUUGUGGGUUGCAUGUCGAUUUUUACCAAGAAUCUCUCUUCGGCUUCUUCAUGAAACUUGAAGAUAACAUCCUAAGGACUAACAUACUCAAAUUUGAGGUAAAAUGAGCAAGUGUAGCCUAGUGAAUUGACUUUCUCUUGAAGACGGUAAAUCUGAAAAUACGGUACUGGACACCCGAGAUUUCUUGGACCCAUAUGGUGACUAUUCUCUGGAAAUUUCACUUAGAUUCAUUAAUUAAAGUUGUAGGGAACCUCUUGAGGAACAACAUAUCCAAAUUUCAGAGGAAACGAAGAAGAAUAAGUGGGUGAAAACUCGAUAUUUCGGAGAUAGCUAUACUGGACGUUUCGGUGUUAGAAACAGGAGCUUCGGACGCCUGUAGAAAAUUAUCUAGAGCGAAUCUGGCCUAUAUGUCUUCAUGAAAAAUAUACUUUAGUGUCUUAACUAUAACCUGGUAAACUUUCAUAAUUUUCGAAGGUCAUUCGGGUUUUUUAAUCGAAUUAUUUCAGAAACUGCGCAAUCUGAGUUUAUCCGAAAUUACAUGCUGUAUUUGUGCAAAUUAUAUCUUCUUGUGCGAAACUCUUUUGGGCAUGUGUUCUUCAUGAGAUUGUUACCUUAUUGUCUUGUCUAUCACAUGUCCUGAUUUCAUGAUUUUUCAAAAUCAUAUGGAUAUUUAAUUUAAAUAUUUUCUAAAAUUGUGCAAGCUGGAAAUUUAGUAAAUUUCAAAAAGGCAUGAUAUAUGGACUAUUCUAAGUUGUGUGAACCCCAUGGAUUGUAUUGUCAUAUGUGGUUGCAUGUAUGAUGAUGAUUGGAAACGCAUAUAAGAAUUAAAUUGAUGAUAAUGAUCUUGUUUGCCAUCACAUUAUAUGCCAUGUUGAAAUUGAGCCACAAUUGUGAAUAUAAACUAUGAUAAAUGAGAAUGCCGUCGGAGGUUUGAGCCAACGAUGCCCCGGGAGUGUCGGGAUGUAUGGCUAGAAUGGUAAAGGCCGGAUGCCCAGUGGCCUAGUGGCGUAAUUCCGGAGGGUCCUCGGGAGUUUCGAGAUGCCCGGUGGUAUACGGUACGUAAUUCCAAAUGAGGGGAGGAUCCUGGUGGUAUGUCGGUACGUAAUUCCGGAAGCCCCGGAGGUUUGUGCCCGGGGGGAUGCCUCGUGAUGCUAGUUGGGAUGCGAGAUGCCCGGAAUGUGGGGGGCCGGAUGCCCGGUUGUAUUUUGAAUACAUGCCUGGAGGUUCCUCGUGAUGCCUGGUUGGGUGUGAGUGAUGAAUUGUGGGAUGCAAACAUUGGUCCAUGGAAAGAAAAACUGAUGAGAUCCUUGUGAAAGAUAAUAAUUGAAAAUGAAUCAUGUGCAUGGGUGUAUGCAUAUGGCAUGAUGCAUGAUCAGCUUAUGAAAAUAAAUUGAUUCUAUUUGAUAUCGAAAAUGCGAUCAUGAAUGCAUGAAUGGAUCUCAUGGUGAUAUAUGCAUGGAUGCAUGAUGGUAAGUGCAUGGAUGUAUGUGCACCUAUGGCAUGAUGGUAUGUGUGACAUGAUGAUGAUGAGUGCAUGGAUGCAUGGUAAUGAUGAUGAUACAUGUGAUAUGAUGAUGAUAUGUGCAUGGAUGCAUGGUAAUGAUGAUGGUACAUGUGAUAUGACGAUGAUGAGUGCAUGGAUGCAUGGUAAUGAUGAUGGUAAGUGUAUGCCAUGAUGGUGAUGACUAUAUGAUGAUGUAUGUACAUGAGGUAUGAUGAUAUGUGCAUGAUAUCAAUGUAAAUUGUGCAUGGAUGCUUAAAUGUCAUGUGAUGCUAUGAUUGUGAUGAUUGUGUGGCAUGAUGCAUUGAGUGGUUUAUUGGUCAUGUACUUGCUGAGUGGCUGUACUCACCCCUUCGGGAACCAACAUUUCAGAUUAGUAGAUGGAUUGAGUAGUUGGAUAUGACCGCGAGGAGGAGGAUAGCAAAGGAAGGAACUUUUAGACAUCGACACUGAUCGAUGGACUUUAAGUAUACGACUGUUGGAAGAGAUGUUAGUCAUCCUUUGAAGUAUAGCCAAGUAUAGAAAACUAUGGCAUUUUGAUGUACCGAUGAACGAUGUCCAUAUGGUUUAAGUGAAUAAAAGUGUAUGGCUUUUACUUAUAAAUGUUUAGUAGGUGUGCAUCGUUUUCUGAAUAUAGGAAAGGGAGUUGUUGGAUGUGCUUCCGUAUAUAAAUUGCGCAAGGGACCGAUCUAAAAGAUGUAAACCCCCAGGUUGUAUGGACCCACUGCAAUUGAAAUGGUAUCAGAGUGACAUGUUAUUAGGAAAAGUGAAUGGUAAGCGAACUGUGGCGACCCUAAUCGGAUCGGGGGCCGUCGAGGGGUGCCACAGAAGAUGCAGUUGAGUUAUGGCAUAAGAGACUCAGUCACAUUAGUGAAAAGGGUUUGUCACUAUUGGCCAAGAAGAAGCUCCUUUCAGGAUUGAAAAGUUCAGCGCUAAAGAAGUGUGCUCACUGUUUAGUAGGAAAACAGAACAGAGUUGCAUUUAAAAGCUCCUCUCCUUCAAGAAAGUCAAGUAUACUAGAUUUAGUGCAUUUUGAUGUUUACGGUCCUAUGAAAACAAAAUCACUUGGUGGCUCUCUUUAUUUUGUUACCUUCAUAUAUGAUUUUUCAAGGAAAAUUUGGAUUCAUACCUUGAAAACUAAAGAUCAAGUGUUAGAUACUUUUAAGCAAUUUCAUGUUUCAGUUGAGAAACAGAUUGGAAAGAAAUUGAAAUGCAUCUGAACUGAUAACGAGGGAGAAUAUAUUUGACCUUUCGAUGAAUAUUGCAGACAACAAGGUAUUCGACAUCAAAAGACACCUCCCAAGACGCCUCAGUUAAAUGGCUUAGCUAAGAGAAUGAACAGAACACUAGUUGAAAGGGUAAGAUGCUUACUUUCACAGUGAAAGCUACAUGGAUCCUUUUGGGAUGACGCUUUAAGUACGGUUGUACAUGUAUUAAAUCUUACUCCAUGCAUUCCUUUAGAGUUUGAUGUUCCUAACAGAGUUUGGACAUGCAAAGAUGUUUCUUAUGAUUAUUUGCAUGUCUUUGGGUGCAAAGCAUUUGUGCAUAUUCCCAAAGAUGAGAGGUCUAAACUUGAUGUGAAAACACAACAGUACAUAUUUAUCGGUUAUGGACAGGAUAUGCUUGGCUACAAAUUUUAAGAUCCGGUUGAAAAGAAAAUUGUAAAAAGCAAAGACGUUGUGUUUAUGGAAGAUCAAACAAUAAAUGAUAUUGAGAAAGUAGAGAUGAUUUCAGCAUCACAGGUUAGUGAUAAUCUAGUUGAUUUAGAUCCAGUUCCUCUUACAAAUAUUCCUACACAGGUUGAUGAAGAGCAGCUGGAAGUCAAUGUUCCAAAUAAUGCAUAUGUUCCUAAACAUGUUGAAACAGACAAUAAUAUUCCUGAACCAGAGGCUCAAUUAGAUGUUCCAUUGGAUGUUCAAGUCCGGAGAUCCGUUAGAGACCGACGACCUUCCACCAGGUAUUCUGAAGAUGAGUAUGUAUUAUUGACUGAUGUAGAUGAACCAAAGUGCUAUGCAGAAGCAAUAGAAGAUGAGUACAAAAGCAAUUGGUUCGAUGCUAUAAGAGAUGAGAUACAGUCACUUUAUGAUAAUCAUACUUUUGAGUUGGUGAAGUUACCUAAAGGUAAAAGAGCUUUGAAGAACAAGUGGGUAUAUAGGUUGAAGUAAGAUGAACAUACUUCACAACCACGAUACAAAGCUAGAUUGGUUGUUAAGGGAUUCGACAGAGAAAUGGCAUUGAUUUUGAUGAUAUAUUUUCUUCGGUAGUGAAAAUGUCUUCUAUCCGUAUGGUACUAGGCUUGGCAGCUACUCUAGAUUUGGAAAUUGAGCAAAUAGAUGUUAAAACAGCCUUCCUACAUGGUGACUUGGAGGAAGAAAUAUACAUGGAACAACCUAAGGGUUUCAAAGUGAAAGGGCAAGAUGAUUAUAUAUGCAAAUUGAAGAAAAGUCUCUAUGGCCUAAAACAAGCACCGAGGCAGUGGUACAAAAAGUUUGCGUCAGUUAUGACAGAACAUGGCUAUAAGAAGACUUCCUUGGAUAACUGUGUGUUUGUCCAAAAUUUUUCUUAUGAUGACUUUAUUAUUCUCUUGCUUUAUGUUAAUGAUAUGCUGAUUGUUGGCAAUAAUGCUUCAAGAAUUGAGUUAUUGAAGAAACAAUUGAGCAAGUCUUUUGCCAUGAAAGACUUGGGCUUGGGCUUGGCGAAGCAGAUUCUUGGCAUUAGAAUUACUUGAGACAGAGAUGCUAAGAAGUUAUUUUUGUCGCAAGAGAAAUAUAUCGAGAAGAUCCUUCAGAAAUUUUACAUGGACAAGGCUAAAAUGGUUAGUACUCCUCUUGCUGUUUACUUUAAGUUAAAUAUGAAGCAAAGUCCCAUGACUGAUAAAGAGAAGAAAGAUAUGGAAAGUGUUCCAUAUGCUUUAGCUGUAGGAAGCUUAAUGUAUGCAAUAGUAUGUACACGCCCAGACUUGGCGCACGCAGUUGGCGUUGUUAGUCGCUAUUUGUCAAACCAAGGCAGAGAGCACUGAAAUGCAGUGAAGUGGAUUAUGAGGUAUCUUCGGGGAACUUCAAAUUUGAAACUCAGUUUCGGGACCGAGAAACUUGAGUUAGUUGGACACACAAAUUCUAACUUGGCAAGAGAUAUUGAUACUCGUAAAUCUACUUCUAGUUAUUUGAUUUCUUUUGCGAGUGGAGCUGUGUCAUGGAAGUCAAGAUUGCAGAAGUGUGUUGCACUUUCUACAACCGAAGCUGAAUUUAUUGCAGCGAUUGAAGCGAGUAAAGAGAUGUGAUGGAUGAAGAAUUUCUUAGAACUUGGGUUCAAGCAAAAGAGGUAUGUGCUAUUUUGUGAUAAUCAAAGCGCAAUUCAUCUUGGUAAGAAUUCAUCUUUUCAUUCUAGAUCAAAACAUAUUAAUGUUAGAUAUCAUUGGAUAAGAGAUGUUCUAGAUGAAAAGUUGUUGGAACUUGAGAAAAUUCAUACGAAUCAUAAUGGCUCUGAUAUGAUGACGAAAACUCUAUCAAGAGAGAAGCUUGAACAUUGCCAAUUGAUAGCAGGGAUGGUGAAUCCUUACUAUGUGGAGGAGGCCCAAUAAGUUGCAAGCCCAAAAAGGGCUUGAGCUCCUAUGAUAAGCUAUAUGAGGAAAUAGGAUUUCUCACUAUCUAUAUAAAGUGAUGGUCAUAAAAGGAAAUAGUAACAAGAGAAAAAGAGAAAGUAGAAAAUCUGGGGUUUGGGGUAAUAUCUGAUUUACAUCAAGCUGGCAUCGGAAGUCGAUUCAUGGUCCGAUUGAGCUGAAAUUUUGUCAGCAUGUUCGUGACGCAAUUUUAUCGAAUCUGAACGGUUUGAUUUUCGUUUGAAGCUCCCCACAUCAGGAUUUUCAUGGAUUGAUCAAAACCUACAUUUUUGGUCAGAUUUAUCCUCGAUCUCUUGUAAAAUUCAUGUGUAUUGCCAAGAAUUAUGUUCUUAAGGUCUUUGCUACUAUGUACCUCUAGUAUUUGCUAGAGAAGAACAAUUUUGUUGAUAGUGAAAAUUUUUGGGUGGACUUCGAUCCCGUGGUUUUUGAUCUCCUCACAUCGAGGAUGUUUUCCACAUAAAAGAAAUUGUAUUGUGUUCGCGUGAUUGGUAUUUAUUUUACUCUACUAUAUCAAUUCCUAUUACAUUUACAUAAGAUGGGAGAUUAUUUUAUUCCGCUGCGUUGAUUCGAUAUUGUUCGAAUUGUUAUUGUUCUCCCAUCAUGUGACUUAGUUCACUUCGACGAUCGCAAUUCCAAUGGGGCAACCAUGACUCCGGCGGCUUUAUCUACAAUCUGCUGUCACGUCUCCAGCUCUGCCGCUGUGUAUCCUUCUCCAUGACACUCAGGCGAUGAUGAAAUCCAUCAACUAAGACCCAUGCCUGCAAGAGGGACCGGCGAACUUCAGGGCGUUUAGUGGAAAUGAGGUCAGGGCGUAGGAACGGAUCCAUAGCACAGCUGCUUCAUGAUAGCUAUGCGCGUUAUCACCUCACCACCGCUAGAGCCACAAUCAACCCUGAAUCAUCUCACUCUACUGAAUCAAGCCAAGCAUCGUUGUUGGACCAUCGGGUCAUUUCGUAUUAAACUCAGAUUCUCUGAUUUAUCUCUACUACAUUGUCUAGCUGAGUAUCCUAGGUCAUAUUUUGUUUUGAAUUGUUAGCUAUUCUGUUUAUUAGAUGCUUCACACCACAUGCUCACAACUUGUUCGACAGAAUGCCUAACUCAAUCGUGGAUAGUUAGUCCUAUUGCAUUCUGUUUAUAAACAUUUUGAUGUCCAAUUGAUGUCGGUUGCGUCUUGCUGCAUUUCCUGUACAUAGUUCAUUAAUAUGCAAAUGGAUUGGAUAUAUAGGUGAUGUAUGUCGAAUGCUGUUCACAAGUGUUUUGAAUGUAUCAAAUCCUAUUCAUAUGUGGUUGUGCAUGUCAAAUGAUGCUCAUGCGUGUUACUUUGAGAUCGUGAGGUGCUGAAGGAAAGAGAAGAGAAUGCGGGACGUUAUCAAUUAGAGGUGAAUUUGAAUGAAAUAGGCUUAGUUUGACUAUUCUCUUACAUGUUCAUGAUUAUGGGUAGUGUCUAAUCUCUUUUUCAGGGUUCAAAGCAUGUUUACAAAUCAAGACAUUGCUUGGCAUGUUUUGACAUACUUCAUUGAACAUGAUUCCUAACAAAUUUGGCUUAAUUCAAUGCUAAUUUACUUGUUUGUAAAUAGAGGCUCACAUGUCAAUAGUUUUUAGGUACUUUUUAAGCAUGUUUAGACCUCAUUUUUAGUUCCAGUUCAGGACCGUGCUUGCUGGGUGUUGUUGGACCGUGCAUACUAGCAAUGUGGUCUAAUAUAUCCAUGAUAUGGAUUUUUUUUGUGGCCAGUAUGAUGACAUGGAGUAAGUUAUAAUAUAUAUAUGAAAAGAAUGAAAAACAAGAACAAGCGCCACCACACACCAAGAAUUUUGUAUGUUCCUACUCACAUUCCAUUUUUAUAUGAAAUCCAAGAAUUUUGUGCAGCAUCCUUCCUUAAUUUUUCUUGCAAAGUGAUAGGCAUGGAAGUUCUGAUCUAAAGAUUGAGGGUUGGAAACUUACUGAUCUGUCAAUUAAAGAGUUAUGUGAUGGACUUCAAUUGCUAAAAUGCGUACACAUUGGUCUAUUAUGCAUUGCAGAAGAUCCGGCAAACUAACUGACUAUGUCAUUUGUGGUUCAUAUGUGAGGAGACGAUACUAUCCGCGAUACUAUCACACUUACCCAACCAUCGCAGUCUGCAUUCUCAGUUGGGAGAUAUGUGAAAACACUUGAUUCUAUCGGCCCGAUUCACAAAGCUUCCACUGUUAAUGAACUAACAAUUACAAAUGUUUCACCUAGAUGACCAAGUAUCAUCAAUCCUCCUCCAGUUCAUUUCUCUUUUAUACCAUGGUAGGUAGAAUGAUAAUUAUAGUGUGUGAUCUCUUUAGCAUUGUGACUGCCAUUUCUUAAUCCUUGAUUUCCGCAAUCAUCGAUUAGUAAUUGUAAGGUUAAAAAGCCCAAUAGUCGGCAUUUCUAUCCAAUUUAUCACUUUUGUUCUAUCAUAAUUAUACAUAUACUUACUUGAGAUAUAUAUCAAUUUGUAACCCAUUGAUAAAUUAAAAUUUAAGCAUAUAUAAAUUUGAUAUUUUACCUUUAGUAUAUUCAUCGAAAUCUAAUUUGUGAUGAAUAUUAUAAUUAAAUACUAGAUAACAAAUGAGUAGAAAGUCCUGAAUUCAAAUCUCUCUAAACCCCCAUGUACCUCUUUUACUUGCGAAUGUUCAACCUAUGCAUGUGGAGGAAUGUUAGAUUAUCCAUAUAUUAGAUGACGUCUUCAUCUAAUAGUUUAGAGAAAAUCAUUCAUAAAGUCCUACACCUAUUGUACUCUUGUUAAUUCAAUCAUAGACAUUUUUACCUUUUGUCAAUUGAGUCUAUCCGGCUAAGUUUAAUAGAAAAUCGCUAACAUGAAUGCUGGAUGUCUUAUGUGUCACAUGAACAUUUUAAAUAAUAUUUAAUAAAUUUUUUAUUUUUUUAUAUUUUUUAAUCCUUCCCUUCCCUUUCUUUUCUUUUCUUUGGACUCAAGUCGGCAAAGGUAUCGCGGCGUUGCCCCAAAAGGGGAGAGGGCAUCGUGGCCUUUGCUUCGGGCCAAGGCUAGCAAGGGUCACCACGCCCUUGCCUUGCCUAGAUUUCGUAUGGGCAAUGCGGCCAUUGCCAAACUCCUAACCCUUGCCCACUGGCUGGCAAGGGCCAUACACCCUCUCUAGCCCGAAUCCAAAAAAACGGUAAAGAAAAAAAAAAGAGAAAACAUAAUUAGAAAUUCAAUAAGAUGUUAAAAUAUCAUUAAAAAAAAUGUCUACAUUAGCGUCAGCCAUGCCAUGUAAGACGUUUGGCAUCUACGUCAUCCAUUUCUGGCCAAAAUUGCCUAGAUGAGUUCAAUCGAUAAAAAGUGAAAACAUUUAUAACUCAGUUGGCACAAUUAGAAGGUUUUAAAUUGAAUUGGAAAAAGCGUAAUAGGUUUAGGAUAUUUUGGAUAAUUUUCUUCACAAAAAUUCAUAAUCAAUGACCUAUUUUCAUUUGAUAUAAUUAAGUAAAAAGAAAACAAUGUGUAAUGCCAAGCAAUAGUAUCAAGUAGGGGUGUGCAACCAAACUAGUUCUACCCAGGAACCGAAUCGGACCGCCUGAAAAAUAGGUCUAGGAACCGGUUCAGGAACGAGUUCCAAAUUUUUGGAAUUGGUUGUAAUAGGUCCAGUAAUAGGUUCCGAGUGAAUACCCACUCGAGAACUAGAUCAGACCGUCCUAUUUUGGAACCGAUUUUAUAAGCUAAAAAGCCAAAAUCCUAAUUUCUUUUCCCAUAAAUUCUAACCUUAGCAAUUUUUCGUCAUUUGUCCUUCCUCAAAGCUCCUCACCAAUCUUUCCUCUUCCCUAAUUAAUGACCUAUUUUCAUUUGAUAUAAUUAAGUAAAAAGAAAACGAUGCGUAAUGCCAAGCAAUAGUAUCAAGUAGGGGUAUGCAACCAAACUAGUUCUACCCGGGAACUGGAUUGGACCGCAUGAAAAACAGGUCCACGAACCAGUUCGGGAACAUGUUCCAAAUUUUUGGAACUAGUUGUAAUAGGUCCAGUAAUAGGUUCCGAGCGAAUACCCACUCGGGAACUAGAUCAGAUCGUCCUAUUUUGGAACCAAUUUUAUAAGCUAAAAAGCCAAAAUCCUAAUUUCUUUUUCCCAUAAAUUCUAACCUUAGCACUUUUUCUUCCUUUGUCCUUCCUCAAAGCUCCUCACCAAAAAAAGAAAAAGAAAAAUAGUUAAUGAUACAUUCAUCCAAUGAAUUAUGACUUCUCUUUCCUCUUCCCUAAAGUUUUAUGGAUGAUUGGAGAAUGUAAUUUUAUAAUUUACGUUAUAUGUUACAUGUUUGAACUUUUUGUCACUAUAAUUGUACGGGAUUACGUAUUCAUAAUAUGAAUUUCAUAUUAUGGAUUGUUGUUUAUGGUGGAUAGCAAUUUCUGUUGUUCAUCUUUUACAUUAAAUCGUUUCGUUACUCAUAACCUCAUAUGAUUUUGCUAGCAAAAAUGAACCCAAAAAAGGCAAAAAAUAUAAUAAAAAAGGUUCUCGAGUAGACUUUGGAACUGGACUGGAAAAAUAUGAUAGGUUCCAGAAUCGAUUUCAAGCAAACAGGGUAGGUUACAGGGUCCAAAAACUUGGAACUGGUUAUAACAAAAUACGUUCAGGUUACCUUGAAACUAACCACCUUGGAACCAACCACCCUUAGUAUCAAGUAAUGCAUGUGGAUGACUCAGCAACGGUAUUUGUCCACUAGACCUCCUCGUUGGCGCCCAAGGGAAAAACAUUAGCUGGCUAAGCUCGCCUAGUGGAGAAACCUUCCUUCUUUUAUUUUUAAAAUUUCUAGCUAGGGAAACAAAAGGAAAAUAAAAAAUAAUCAUAGGGUUUUGUGUUAUAUUAUCUUAUCUGUGAGUUUACUACUAUUUUCCUCUCCUAUAUCGGAAUUUUGGGCUUAAUUUGUGCUACUAGUGUUUAUAAAAUUUACAUAUCAUAGUAAAAUCACUAAUAAAUGGAAAAGCACCAAAACAUAUAUUAGCGUUCAUGAACGACCAUUCAUAUAUCUUUACUUUUGGGAAAAAAAAAAACAUGCUAAGUGUUACUUUUGAAAACCACCAUUCACAUCAAUUAUCAGUGAUAUAGCUAGUAUAAGCACCUAGAUGGGGGUGAAUAGGUGUAAAAAUAAUUUCUCGAGAUAUGAAAACAAUACUAGACAAAUUAGAAAGGAAGCUCUCCUUUAGUUAACAAAUUGAAGUAUGAUUAAAGUAAAGCAGAGAGUGGGGAAGAGAAAAUUGAACACAAAGUUUAUAGUGGUUCGGUUUAUUCCAAGCCUACGUCCACUCUUCUGCACUGACAGCCCACUGGCUGGAUUUCACUAUGAACAAAAGAGAUGUUACAGCACUGCUUUCACUUGAUUCCACAGUGUAGAUAUUCUACCACACUUCCUCAAGGUAUCUCAAAAUAUAGAUUCUCUUUUGUGUACAAGAUUUCGCUCAGUAAGUGAAUUGACUAAGAAUCAAAGAGCUUCAGACUUUGGAAUUCUUCUAUCGUGCACACUUCGAACAACUGGAACGUCUUCCUUUUAUACUCUUUUGUGCCAUCAUACCCGUUGGCACUUACAAAAGGAAUUCUUCCAAUCCUCCCGUUGGACAGAAUCAAUUAAGGAAGAUUAUUCGAGCUAUUAAAGGAACAUGUCGAUAGCCCAUCAAUCCUGCUCGCCCAUACAAUCAGGAUCUUGGUAUCCAUAAGUAGAACCUUCCAAGAAUACUUCGUCAAUCAUCGGAUCUUUAAUCAUUCUUGAUUUGAAUAAAGGAAUCCGUUAUGUCAUAUCCAGCCAAGAGAUCUUCUCCAGUCGAUAAGGCCAAAUCCUUAAUGAAGCAGUUCUGGAUAGCCUUUCUUCAACGGAUUAGAAACUGUCAAUGAGAAUAGACUUUGAGUCUUGAGUCUGGUAGUCCGGAGGUCUUCAGACUUUAAUAGAAGAGUCUGCAAAACUUCAGACUAGACUGAUAGAAACGUUUUGUCAGCUUCAAAAUAUUCCAGAAAGAUUUCUCCAACAAUCUCCCCCUUUUUGAUGGUGACAAAACUUUCCUGCAUAUUUGAAUAACUUUGACCUGCAAAACAUUACUCAAGCAAAUAUGGAUAUCUCAUAAAGAUUAAUAGCUUAAUGAUAACACUAGAAUCUGCAACCACAGAAAAUAAGUUAGUCUUGCAUGAGAGUAAAGCCAUUCAUAAGAUAUCAAUAAUACUUAAUAUAAACAGUAGUCAAAUCCAAAUCCACGUUCAGUCAAUCCUCAUCCAGACACAGACACACAAGUCAAACAUCAAAACAAACUGAAAAUUCAACAAGUUUAAGUUCAAAGAUUUCAAAUCUCACAUCUCUCUCCCCCUUUUUGUCAUCAUAAAAAAAAGGUUGAGAUGGGAAUAGAAUGGAGUCAAGUUUGCUUGGGAAUGCGAACAAGCUGGAAAUCUCCCAUGGACUGGAUGAUGCCUUCCAGCUUUUUCAAUUCUUCCUUCAGUUGAUCCACCUCUUCACCUUUAGCAUUGGCUUGAAUCUGAAGAGUAAGGGCUUGGAUCUAAUCAGACAAUGAAACGGAAGAAGCUUGUCCUGCAAUCUUCAAGUUCUGAACUUUGCUUUCCAAAGCAUAUAUCUAACCCCGCAAUUCCAAAAGAACAUCAAUGAUCCUACGAAAAUCUGCUGAGUUAUCAGUUUGCGUACUGGCUUCGGUACGAUCUGAUGGAGUAAAGGCAGACGAUGGUAUAUCGGCAUAAUCACGCAGAUUUGGCGACAAAGCACCAUGUCCCUCCUCAGGAAAUAGAGAGGCAUGAAUGUCUUCUGAAUCUGCUGGAGAGCGGCUGACUCCUUCACUGGUAACAGGAUAUGAGGACAUUCCUCUGUUCUCACCAUCUCCCCCUGUUUCCAUGGCUUCAGGUGGAGAAACGUUUUCCUCAUGCUCUCCUUCCUCUUGAUUUUCUCUUUCUUCUUCUUCUUCAAACCUUUCCUCCCCUGCUUCUUUUUCUUCAGCUUCUUUCUCCUUUUCUUCCUUCUCCCCUGCUUCUCUCUCCUCUGCUUCUGUUUCUUCUUCUUUCUCCUGUUCUUCUCUCUCCUCUGCUUCUUUCUCCUGUCGUUCCAUUGAUUCAGGAACAUAACGACUCAGCUUCUUUAAUGCUAUAGCAGAAAUUGUGAGGUCAUCCUCAUCAUCUUCAUCAGUAAUGAGAGCUUUUCUCUUCUUGGAUGGAGCAACCAUGGGUUCCUUCCCUUUUCUUUUCGCUGCUGAAGAGACUUGAUGAGAUUUGACAGGGGUUUUCUCCUUAAAUUUCUCCAACGCCUUGUCGAGCUCUUUCAGACACAUUUUGGACACCAUUUUUAGUCCUACCACCAUUUUGUCACAAGGUCGAACACAGAGAAUUUGUGGAGGCUGAAUAUUCAAAUGUCUGAAUAUCUUUGACAUAAGACCUAGAUAAGGAAGUUGGCCCUUGUCCUUCACCACUGCUCUAUACAUGUGAAACAGAAUAGUGUGAGGAAGAGAAAACUUUUUCCCAGCAUUGAUGGCGUACAUCAGCUUUGCCUUUGAGUUAAAAACAUCAGUCUUGGAAGUUGAUUUCGGUCUGAGGCAAUUGAUCACAAUCUUGUGAAGCAAAAUGUUGAACGCAUGCAUCCUUGAGUAGGAAAUCCUUCCCUCAAUCAUUUUGUCUUUAACAAGUUUCAAUGUGGCACGAGCUAUAGAGACACUGAUAGGUUGAUAUCUCCCUCUCUCAACCCCAAUAACAUCUGCCAACAUAUCCACAUCCACUACAAAUUCCUGAUCUCGGACACUGAAAGAGAUUCUAUUUGCAUCCAAGAAACUAAGAUUUGAAUAGAAAUAUGCAGUUAAUUGAGCAUAGGCUUCUGUGGUGUCAGAACAGAACUGUUCAAGUUGAAGAAAACUGAAAUUUUCCCGCAAAUUGACAUUCACAGCAUCAAGGAAAUCAAAAUCUACACUCCUAGGGUUUAUCACCCCACACUUCAACAAUUUGGAGUAUAGAUCCUUCUGUUCCUUCGAUCUAAACAACUCUGUUCUUUUUCCUCGAAUUUUUGCCGCAACACCCAUUUUCGGUUGAAAUUGGCUGUACAAUCUGUCAUCAUCAUUCCCAUCUAUCGGAUUAAAUCCCCCAACACGCGGAUCACUUGGGAUAUUUGCAAGGGUUUUUUCUGCCAACCCUUUAGGAGCAAUUGCCAAACUCUCCAUUUUUCGCAAAAAGAUGUACUCAUUCCCAUAUCCCUUGUCCUUAAGAAACUCAUCGAUGUAGUUCAAUGGAGUACCAAUGCUCUUUAAAGCACGAUAAAGCUUAUAAAUAAAAGAGGGCUUUUGAACUCUUACAGGAUCUGCGUCUUCAACGAUUUCUUCCUCUUGUUGAUGAACAGCAUUUUGUGGACUAGAUGGUGGAGAAUGACGCUACUGAGAAUGUUGUGGGCUCUGCUGCUAACUUGGUGACUCCUCUUCCUCGGUGAGAUCAAAGUGAGUAGGCCCCUUACUCAUUCGCCGUGGUCCCCUGCUUGCAAUUCUCGAAGACUUUCUUGAAGACGACAUCUUUCUCAGUCUUUGAAAGAUUCCUUGCUUGACUUUCCCAAGAAAGAUGACAACUUUUUCAAAGAUUAAACAAGGGAGGAAGACAGGAAUGGAGGAUCAAUGCUUUUUAGGGUUUUGGAGUUAAGUGAAGAGGAACCGACUGUAUAUAGUUCAGUCGAAUAGAGGCAUACCAAACGUCGUAAAGGAAGGUUAAAAGAUGCAUUUUAAAAAAAAAAACUGCAUUUUUCAAAAAUAGAUAACUGCCAUUAACUCUUUUUGAAAAGGAAAAAAUUGCACUUUUCACGGAAAUUGAAGAUAGCAUAAAUCAAUUAUGAAUGGAUAAAUGAUCGUACCUUUACGGGAUUUAAUAUAAAAUAAAAUAACUUACAUUCAAAAACCAUGAUUGUCUGAGACUGCGAGUCUCUAGACUUUAACUUCUUCAAGCUUCAAGAUGUUGAGUCUGGAACGGAUGAUUUCAAAUUGAUUUUUCUCCAAAGGCUUUGUAAAUAUAUUCGCCAGUUGGUUCUUUGAGUCAACAAACUGAAUCGAAACUUCUCCAUUUUGAACAUGAUCUCUAAUGAAGUGAUGUCGAAUCUCUAUAUGCUUUGCUCUUGAGUGAAGAAUUGGAUUUUUGGUAAGAUUGAUUGCACUGGUGUUGUCACAGUUAAUCUCCGUGCAUGAAUCUUCAAUCCCAAAAUCUCUUAAUUGUUGUUUUAUCCACAGAAUUUGUGAACAACAACUUCCAAGAGCUACAUACUCUGCUUCUGCUGUAGAAAGAGCUACUGUAUUUUGCUUCCUUGAAAACCAAGACACUGUCCUACUUCCAAGUAACUGACAAGUACCCGAGGUGCUCUUUCUAUCAACUCUGCAACUGGCUAGAUCUGUGUCUGAAUAUCCAAGGAGAGUAAAGUCUCCCUUUUUAGGAUACCAAAGGCCGAUGCUUGAAGUUGAAGCAAUGUAUUUGAUAAUACGCUUUGCAGCACUUAGAUGAGAUUCUUUAGGGUCUGCUUGAAAUCUGGCACAAAUGCAAACACUAAACAAAAUGUCAAGUCUAGAAGCAGUAAGAUAAAGAAGUGAACCGAUGAUACUCCUGUAUAGCUUCUGGUCAACUUUCUUUCCUCCUUCAUCUUUGUCUAUCUUCAAGGAAGUUGACAUUGGUAUAUCAGUCUUUUUGCAAUUUUCCAGUCCAAACUUUUUGACAAGAUUAUUAGCAUAUUUUUCUUGAUGAAUAAAAGUCCCUUCCUUCAAUUGUUUCACUUGAAGUCCAAGAAAGAAGGUUAGUUCACCCAUCAUGCUCAUUUCAAAUUCAUCCUGCAUAGACUUAGAGAAUUUCUUGCACAAACUUUCAUUAGAGGAUCCAAAAAUGAUAUCAUCAACAUAUAUUUGAACAAGCAUAAAACUUUUGCUUUCUCUUUUGAUAAACAGAGUAGUGUCUACUUUACCUUUUUCAAACCCAUUUUGAAUUAAAAACUUACUCAGCCUAUCGUACCAAGCUCGAGGUGCUUGCUUUAAUCCAUACAAGGCUUUUUUCAGUCUGAAUACUAAGUCUGGCUUCCUUGGGUCUUCAAACCCAGGUGGUUGUUCCACAUAGAUUUCCUCAUGAAUAAAUCCAUUCAGGAAAGCACUUUUGACGUCCAUUUGGAAUAACCUGGAAUUCUUAUAACAAGCAAAAGCAAGUAAUAAUCGAAUUGCUUCUAACCUUGCUACUGGUGCGUAAGUCUCGUCAUAGUCUAUCCCUUCUUCUUGCGUAUAUCCCUUGGCCACGAGUCUUGCUUUGUUUCUUAUGACUUUUCCUUUUUCGUUCAUCUUGUUUCUGAAAACCCAUUUAGCUCCAAUAAUAGAUUUACCUUUUGGUUUAGGAGUCAACUCCCAGACAUUAUUAAUACUGAAUUGUCUGAGUUCUUCUUGCAUAGCUUCAAUCUAGCUUUCAUCAGAUAAAGCUUCUUCUAUGCUUUUUGGUUCUAUUUCAGAAAUAAGAGCUACAGCACUAGACUCUUCGCGCCUUUUGGAUCUUGUGCGAAUUCCUUCAUUAAUGUUGCCAAUAAUGAGGUCUUUGGGAUGACUGGACUUAUGCUUCCAGUUACUGGUUGAUUUGUCAGGUUGAUGAUCACUUCCUUCAUUUGAAUCUUCAAUAACCAUUUGUUGCUGGUCUUUCAGAGUCUGAGUUGCUUCUUGAGAUUUAGACUUUGUAGAGUCUGGAGCAGGUUCAGAUUCUUCAAGAUAAGUCUGAGCAGAUUCAUUUUGCAUAGAAUCCUGGAAUUUGACAUUCAUUGAUUCCUCCACAGAUUGACUCUUCUUGUUAUAGACUCUGUAGGCUUUGCUUGAGGUAGAAUAUGCAAGGAAGAUUCCUUCGUCUGAUUUUUCUUCAAACUUUCCAACUCUAUCAUUUGCAUUUUUCAAUAUAAAGCAUUUGUAUCCGAACACAUGAAAAUAUGAAACAAUAGGCUUCUUUCCUUUGAAUAACUCAUAGGGUUUUUUUUUUUUUUUCCAGAAUAGGCCUUAGAAAAACUUUAUUGAGAAUGUAACAUGCUGUUGAAACUGCUUCAGCCCAAAAUCGUGAAGAGAUGUUACUUUCAAUUAAAAGAGUUCUAGCCAUUUCUUGAAGCGAUCUAUUCUUUCUUUCCACAACUCCAUUUUGCUCUGGAGUAUAUAGAGAGGAGAACACAUGCUGAAAACUAGAUUCAUCAUAGAAUUUUGUAAAAUCUUGAUUUUCAAAUUCACCUCCAUGAUCUGUUCUUAUACACGAGAUAACAUACCCUUUUUCAUUUUGAACCUUUUUAGCAAACUUUUCAAAGUAAGAGAAAGUUUCAGACUUACUUGCCAGGAAAUAUACCCAAGUAAAUCGUGAGUAAUCAUCCACAAUUACUAGGAAAUAUUUCUUACCUCCAAUGCUCUGAGUUCUGGUUGGUCCGAAAAGGUCCAUAUGCAGAAGCUGUAGUACACGAUUAGUGGAAACUUGAUUUAUUGGUUUAAAGGAAUUUCUUACCUGUUUUCCCAAUACGCACGGCGUACAUAGAUCAAACUUUUGGUAUGACAAUUUGGGUAGACCACGAACAAGCUUCUUUGCUGAAAUUUUGGCUAUCUGCUUCAUAUUGAUGUGCCCAAGCUUUCUGUGCCAUAAGCUCGCUUCAUCUUGAAUUGAGAUUAGACAUUGCGAUUCAUUUGGUUUCACAUCCAAGAGGUAGAUGUUUCCAUGUCUUCGGCCCAUGAAUGACUGAGUAGAAUCUUUACUGGUUCCUGAACAUAUUCCCUCUUGAAAGUUGAUUUUGAAACCAGUAUCACACAGCUGACUAAUACUGAGUAGAUUGUAGUUGAGUCCUUCCACUAGGGAGACAUUGCUUAUAGUGAGGUUUCCAAUCUUUACAGUUCCAAAUCCCACAAUUUUUCCUUUGCUGUUUUCUCCAAAUGAGACUUUUCCACCAUUUACUUGAACGAGCUUUAUGAAGCAAUUUGAGUCUCCUGUCAUAUGUCUUGAGCAUCCACUAUCUAGAUACCAUUUUACCUUUUUCUUGAUAGUGACCUGCAUUUAAAAGAGAGACUCAAGCUUUCUUUGGUACUCAUAUUUUCUUGGGUCCAUUGGUGUUAGUAUAAUAUGCGGUUUUUGCCUAUACUUUCUUAACAGGUUUCCAAACCGUAGGACACUCUUUUUCAAAAUGAUCUGCACUAUUGCACUUUGAAUAUCUGAGAACAUUUCAACCCACUGGUUUUACAAACACUUUUUGAAAAUGAUUUUUGUAAAAUGUCUUUGAAGGUCUCUGAUUAAUUCUUUCCUUCACUUUAGGAAAAUCAAUUAAAGGAAUGGUUUCUGCUGUCAUUCCUAAACCAGAUUUAUUGAAAUAAGGUCUUUAUGCUGAAAGAAUUUUUUCAAGUUUCUCAGAUCCUAUUGAAAAUAUUUUUGAAAUAUUUGAUAAGUCAUUUUUUAAAAAUGCAUUUUCUUUCAAGAGAUUAUCUUCACUUUCUUUAAGAGUAGAAACAUUCGUGUCUAAAUGUUUCAACUUUUCUUUCAAAACAUUUUCCUAUUGUUUUAGUGUAGAGUUUUCCUUUUUAAGUUCGGAAAUCCUUUUAAGAGAAGUCUUAAGACUAAAACACAGCUCAUCAAUGUAUUUGGAAACUUUAACAGGGAUUUUAAAAUUACUUACCUCAAAUUCACUGUCUGAAUCUGAGUUUGUCUCGGAGUUUGAUGCAGAAUCCGAUUGUGCCAUCAGACAUAUAUUGGCAUAAUCAUCAUCACUUUCUUCACACUCUGUAUCACUCCAGGUUUCUGCUUUAAGAGCCUUUCAAUACUUUUUAGCUUUUCCUUUCUUCUUUUUCAGAAGAGGACAGUUGGGUCUGAUGUGUCCCUUUUUCUUACAUUCAAAGCAGACUACAUCUUUGUUUGAUUCAUCAUCAUCAACAGACUUGGUCUGUUGCUUUUGAAAACUCUGUUUCUUUGGAUUGAAUCUUCUUCCUUUUCUGUUCAACUUUCUGAAUCUUCUUAUCAUGAGAGCAAGCUCCUCAUCAUCCAUAUCGUCUUCAGAAUCUGUGACAUCAGAAUCAUCAUUGAAUUUUAAUGCAAUGGAUUUCUUACCUUUAGGAUCUUCGUCUUCAUUGAUUCGUUCCACUUCAUAAGACUGAAGAGUUCCAACCAACUCAUCGACAGAUAGUGGCAUGAUUCUUUGUGUCUCUCUUAUUGAGGUCUUUAUGUGAUUCCAAUCCUUGGAGAGUCCACGCAGUAACUUGUUUACCUUCAUGGGAUUAGAAAUUGGUUGAUCUUGAUUUUGAAGACCAUUCACGAUUUUUGUAAAACAACUAAACAUGUCAGUUAUAGAUUCUCCUGAUUUCAUUUUGAAUGCUUCAUAUUGACCGAGGAGAAUGUUGAUUCUAGUCUCUUUCACUCGAUCAGUUCCUUCAUAGGUGAUAUGUAAUCUAUCCCAGACUUCUUUUGCUGUAACACAAGAAGAUAUUAUGUUAUAUUCAGUAGGUGAUAAAGCACAAUAUAAAGAAUAAAUUGCUUUUGCAUCAAGAGCCUGUCUCUUGAUUAUCUCUUCCUGAGUCAUUUCACUUGACUUAACAGUUUCUUUUCCUUUCUCUGUGACAGAUGCAGCUUUAGGAGUGAUUCCUUUUUCUAUAACGUCCCAUUCCAGAGGAUCCUUUGAUCGUAGAAACGCUUUCAUCUUGUUUUUCCAGAUGUUGUAAUCCUUUCCAUCAAAGUAAGGUGGUCUGGUAUUGCUCUGCCCUUCCACCAGCCCUGGAGCUAGCAUACUAGCCAUGGAUCUUUAACUCUGAAGGAAAACACUUCAAACAAAGUGAGUACACAGGCUCUGAUACCAAUUGAUAUAGCUAGUAUAAGCACCUAGAGGGGGGUGAAUAGGUGUAAAAAUAAUUUCUCGAGAUAUGAAAACAAUACUAGACAAAUCAAAAAGGAAGCUCUCCUUUAGUUAACAAAUCGAACUAUGAUUAAAGUAAAGCAGAGAGUAGGGAAGAGAAAAUUGAACACAAAGUUUAUAGUGGUUCGGCUUAUUCCAAGCCUACGUCCACUCUUCUGCACUGACAGCCCACUGGCUGGAUUUCACUAUGAACAAAAGAGAUGUUACAGCACUGCUUUCACUUGAUUCCACAGUGUAGAUAUUCUACCACACUUCCUCAAUGUAUCUCAAAAUAUAGAUUCUCUUUUGUGUACAAGAUUUCGCUCAGUAAGUGAAUUGACUAAGAAUCAAAGAGCUUCAGACUUUGGAAUUCUUCUAUCGUGCACACUUCGAACAACUGGAACGUCUUCCUUAAUGAAGCAGUUCUGGAUAGCCUUUCUUCAACGGAUUAGAAACUGUCAAUGAGAAUAGACUUUGAGUCUUGAGUCUGGUAGUCCGGAGGUCUUCAGACUUUAAUAGAAGAGUCUGCAAAACUUCAGACUAGACUGAUAGAAACGUUUUGUCAGCUUCAAAAUAUUCCAGAAAGAUUUCUCCAACAAUCAGUAUGUCUCCUUUUACUUUGUAAAAUGCCAGCUCUAAAUCCUAAUUUCUCACACCCACCCAAAUUAGCCAAAACCAACUAAAAACUAAACCAUUUAAACCCUAAGUAGUAUACUAAAAUGAAUUUUGCAAGGAGGGGUAAUUUGCUCUUUUCAAGGUGGAGUUUUGCUUAGAGGUUAUAUGAAUGGUUUGCAAAGAUUGUUUAUACGUUGGGUCAAAAGUGAGGUAUGUAUUUAGACAUAUUUUUGUAAUUCUUUUUAAUAAUAAAGGCGCAACAACACAAGCCUCAAGCUCUUGCCUAGACCUAGCCCACCCGUUGACCAGACUUGUCCAAGCUCACUAAAUAGGCUUAAAAAAUUUAGCCAACCUCACUUAUGAAUGAGGUCUAUUAGCACAACCACUGGGGUUUGCCCUAGUGGCCACCCUUCCAACAUGAAAGGGGGAGGUGGGGGAUUUGAAUCUUCACUUGUGGGGACGAAUUAGUUUCAAGUGUGGGUUGUGACUCCCACGUUCUGCAAGGAGGCAGUGCAAAAAUUUGAGAGUGAGAAUUAAAAUAGAAGUAGAAUAUGACCGACAAAAAAAAAAAAACGUCUACUAGCGCGAUAUAGGGAAAAGUUACUAAAUCUGACCAAUCAUAUCUAUCAAAUCAAUGAGGAAAAAAUAUUUUCUAUUAUCAUUUGCCAACAUAUAUUAUAGAGAAAAAAUCAUUGUCUUUCAAAACGUACUUAUAUAAGAAAUUACAAAAGAAAAAUGAUAGUCAUGCGAUAUUCCCAUCAAAUUUGCGCAAAAAUUACGAACUUUGAUGAAUAUUGCAUCAAUCUUUCGAAACACAAUUUCUUUCUCUAACACCUCUUACAAGACCCCAUAAACUGCAAAAUUCAGAGAAAUUGGAUCUAUUUAUAUUUAGUGCUGGCUUUUAUUGGCUCUUUGUUGGGACCCGGUUUAAUAACUUUUUUCGGUCUUUUGGGUUCCACCCGAUCGUUGGGAGUACAAGCCGGGAGCGUGGGAACGUGGAAAUCGUCCCUGUUGACAGGGGAACAUGGAAAUCGGACUAAUUCGUCUUUGCUAACCCCGGUAUAUGGGAGAGCAGCUACAAAACUUGGUUCUUGAUCAAUUUCUUGACCCAGACCCCGAGGCCUAGAAAGGACAAUAUUAUGGCUUGGGAGAGGGAUGGCUCCCAAGGGGGGGAGAAUGUGACGACUGACCCUAAUCUGGGGCAGUACGGAGGGACGGACUAAGAUCGCCUCGGUAGUACGCGGGCGAGGCUAAGGGCAUGUCUCCCGUCCCGCUUAGGGGGAGUCCUGGAGGACAAUAUUAUGACUUGGGAGAGGGAUGGUGGUUUGUCCGCACCUCUACCCCUGCAUAACUCGUUUUAAAGCCGUAAGGGCCGAAGGUCCAAAGCGGACAAUAUUACAUAGUGGGGCCCAGGUCCUUUGAGUAAAAUUUCCUUAUUUUAAAAAUGUAUACUCUUCCUCUUGCAUAAUAAUAAUGAAAGAUUAUAGUCAAGGGUCUAAGGUGACGGCCUAGGACGUCACAAAAGCUAAUAUCUGAAACUUGGUCGUGGAUUUCUAUAUUAUUGUUUUAAAUUCUAAAAUCCAAUUUAAUUUUAAGCUCAAAUUCGAGGCAUAUUUUAACAAGGGUUACUCAUUUAAAGCAUAAAAAAAUACAUAUAAAUUCGAACAGACAUCACGAGCUGUCGACAUAUAAAAGGAGUGUUAGAUUUUGAAGAGCCAAAAAUCAACAUUUCAAAAAAGUGGUGAGUUCUUAGUCCCGUGUCUUCGUCAACGAGCAUUGGACUUUCAUUGGAGCAUCGUACUUGUUUUUUCCACGAAAAACGUAUGUACCCCUAUUCCUUCCGAGCAGGUCUCACCUGAGAGGAUGUGCACGUGUGGCGAUUCCAACCGAGCCUUGAACGAGGAGAGGAGGAACAUGUGAUUCAUAACCAUUGCCGAGUCUUUGUCGGGUCUUUUCGGUUUGUAUCUUAGGUUGGUUUUAAACCACCGAGGGGACAAAAACCUUUGGUGUUUUUUUUUUUUUUGGUCAGAAAAAACCUUUGGUUGAUUUAUUUAUAUUUAGUGCCGGUCUUUAUGGGGUCUUUUUGGGUCCCUCUCCCCAGAUUCUUCCUCUGGUAGGGCAAGCCAGGAACGGUCACCCUCAUUUCUCCUGGAAAAAAGAAGCCAAUUGGAUCACCCCUGUUGACGAAGGAACGUGGAAAUUGGACUAACAGUCACCCUCAUUUCUCCUGGAAAAAAGAAGUCAAUUGGAUCACCCCGUUGAUGACAUCUUCAUCUAAUAGUUUAGAGAAAAUCAUUCAAAAAGUCUUACAUCUAUCGUACUUUUGUUAAUUCAAUCAUAGAUAUUUUUACCUUUUGUCAAUUGAGUCUUAUCCGGCUAAGUUUGAUAGAAAAUCGCUAACAUGAAUGCCGGAUGUCUUAUGAGUCACAUGAACAUUUUAAAUAAUAUUUAAUAAUUUUUUAUUUUAUUGUUAUUAUUAUUUAAUCCUUCCCUUCCUUUUCUUUUCUUUUCUUUGGACUCAAGUCGGCAAGGGUAUCGCAGCCUUGCCCCAAAAGGGGAGAGGGCGUCAUGGCCUUCGCUUGGGGCCAAGGCCAACAAGGGUCACCAUGCCCUUGCCCACUGGCUGGCCUAGAUUUGGCAUGGGCAAUGUGGCCAUUGCCGAACUCUUAACCCUUGCCCACUGGCUGGCAAGGGCCAUACACCCUCUCUAGCCCGAAUCCAAAAAAGGGUAAAGAAAAUAUAAAAAGAAAACAUUAUUAGAAAUUUAAUAAGAUGUUAAAAUUUCAUAAAAAAAAUUGUCUACAUUAAUGUCAGCCAUGCCAUGUAAGACGUUUGGCAUCUACAUCAUCCAUUUCUGGCCAAAAUUGCCCAGAUGGGUUCAAUCGACAAAAAAUGAAAACAUUUAUAACUCAAUUGGCACAAUUAGAAGGUUUUAAAUUGAAUUGGCAAAAUCGCAAUAUGUUUAGGAUAUUUUGGAUAAUUUUGUUCACAAAAAUUCAUAAUUAAUGACCUAUUUUCAUUUAAUAUAAUUAAGUAAAAAGAAAACAAUGUGUAAUGCCAAGCAAUAGUAUCAAGUAGGGGUGUGCAACCAAACUAGUUCUACCUGGGAAUCGGAUCAGACCGCCUGAAAAAUAGGUCCACGAAUCAAUUCAAGAAUAGGUUCUAAAUUUUUGGAAUUGGUUGUAAUAGGUCUAGUAAUAGGUUCCGAGUGAAUACCCACUCAGGAAUUAGAUCAGACCGUUCUAUUUUAGAACCGAUUUUAUAAGCUAAAAAGCCAAAAUCCUAAUUUCUUUUUCCCAUAAAUUCUAACCUUAGCACUUUUUCAUCAUUUGUCCUUCCUCAAAGCUCCUCACCAAUCUUUCCUCUUCCCUAAUUAAUGACCUAUUUUCAUUUGAUAUAAUUAAGUAAAAAGAAAACAAUGUGUAAUGCGAAACAAUAGUAUCAAGUAGGGGGUGUGCAACCAAACCAGUUCUACCCAGGAACCCGAUCAGACCGCUUGAAAAAUAGGUCCACGAACCAGUUCAGGAACAGGUUUCAAAUUUUUGGAACUGGUUGUAAUAGGUUUAGUAAUAGGUUUCAAGUGAAUACCCACUCGGGAACUAGAUCAGACCGUCCUAUUUUGGAAUCGAUUUUAUAAGCUAAAAAGCCAAAAUCCUAAUUUCUUUUUCCCAUAAAUUCUAACCUUAGCACUUUUUCGUCCUUUGUCCUUCCUCAAAGCUCCUCACCAAUCUUUCCUCUUUCGUAAAGUUUUAUGGAUGAUUGGAGAAUGGAAUUUUAUAAUUUACGUUAUAUGUUACAUGUUUGAACUUUUUGUCAUUAUAAUUGUACGGGAUUACGUAUUCAUAUUAUGGAUUGUUGUUUAAGGUGGAUAGUGAUUUAUGUUGUUCAUCUUUUACAUUGAAUCGUUUCGUUACUUAUAACCUCAUAUGAUUUUGCUGCAAAAAAUGAACCCAAAAAAGGCAAAAAAAAAAAAAAAAAAAAUAGGUUCUUGAGUAGACUUUGGAACUGGACUGGAAAAAUAAGAUAGGUUCUAGAACCGAUUUCAAGCAAACAUGGUAGCUUACAGGGUCCAAAAACUUGGAACUGGUUAUAACAAAAUACGUUGAGGUUACCUUGAAACUACCCACCUUGGAACCAACCACCCUUAGUAUCAAGUAAUGCAUGCGGAUGACUCAGCAACGGUAUUUGUCCACUAGACCUACUCGUUGGCGCCCAAGGGAAAGACACUAGCUGGCCAAGCUCGCCUAGUGGAGAAACCUUCCUUCUUUUAUUUUUAAAAUUUCUAGCUAGGGAAAAAAAUUAAAAAAAAAAAUAAUCAUAGGGUUUUGUGUUAUAUUAUUUUAUCUGUGAGUUUACUACUAUUUUUCUCUCCUACAUCGGAAUUUUCGGCUUAAUUUGUGCUACUAGUGUUUAUAAAAUCUAUAUAUCAUAGUAAAAUCACUAAUAAAAGGAAAAACACCAAAACAUAUAUUAGCGUUCAUGAACGACCAUUCAUAUAUCUUUACUUUUGGAAAAAGACAAAAGCAUUCUAAGUGUUACUUUUGAAAACCACCCUUCACAUCAAUUAUCAAUGUCUCCUUUUACUUUGUAAAAUGCCCGCUCUAAAUCCUAAUUUCUCACACCCACCCAAAUUAGCCAAGACCAACUAAAAACUAAACCAUUUAAACCCUCAGCAGUAUACUAAAAUGAAUUUUGCAUGGAGGGGUAAUUUGCUCUUUUCAAGGUGGAGUUUUGCUUAGAGGUUAUAUGAAUGGUUUGCAAAGAUUGUUUAUACGUUGGGUCAAAAGUGAGGUAUGUAUUAAGACAUAUUUUUGUAAAUUUUUUUUUAAUAAUAAGGGCGCAACAGGACUAGCCUCAAGCCCUUGCCCAGACCUAGCCCACCCGUUGACCAGACUUGUCCAAGCUCGCUAAAUAGGCUUAAAAAAUUUAGCCAACCCCACGCGUGAAUCGGGUCUACUAGCGGGAUAUAGGCAAAAGUUACUAAAUCUGACCAAUCAUAUCUAUCAAAUCAUUAAGGAAAAAAAAUAUUUUCUAUUAUCAUUUGCCAACAUAUAUUAUAGAGAACAUAUCAUUGUCUUUCAAGAUGUACUUAUAUAAGAAAGCACAAAAGAAAAAUGAUACUCGUGAUAUUCCCGUUGAAUUUGCGCAAAAAUUAUGAACUUUGAUGAAUGUUGCGUCGAUCUUUUGAAACGCAAUUUCUUUCUCUAACACCUCUUACAAGACCCCAUAAACUGGGUUGCUUGCUCAAAGCAUAGAAAAACACAUUAGAAGAAAUUCGAAAAGAUAUCCAGAGCUGUUCACAUAUAAAAGGAGUGUUAGAUUUUGAAGAGCGAAAAAUCAACAUUUCUGACCUUCAAAAACGUGGUGAGUUCUUAGUCCCGUGUCAUCGUCAACAAACACUGGAGUUUCAUUAGAGCAUCCUAUAUAUAUAUUUUCUACCAAGAACAUAUAUACCCUUAUUCCUUCGAAACAAAUCUCAUCAGGUAUGAUGGUCCUCCGCUCCCACACGGAAAAAUUGCUAUGCUUCUGGAUGACCCCAAAAGAAUGUGUAGGUAUGGCGAUUCGCACUCGGGCCUUGAACGAGGACGAGGAACAUGCUUAGGAUGACUCAUAACCAUUGCCAAGUCUUUGUCGGAUAUUUUGGGUUUGACCCUUAGUUGAUUUGUAUCCAUUGUGGGGACCAAACCUUCGGAUGAUCUAUUUAUAUUUAGUGCUGGCCUCUAUUGUCUCUUUGUCGGACCCCGUUUAACAACUUUUUUCGGUCUUUUGGGUUCCACCCGAUCGUUGGGAGUACAAGCCAGGAACGUGGGAACGUGGAAAUCGUCCCUGUUGACAAGGGAACGCGGAAAUCGGACUAAUUCGUCUUUGCUAACCACGGCAUCUGGGAGAGCAGCUACAAAACUUGGUUCUUGAUCAAUUUCUUUACCUCGACCUCCAGAAGUUGCUUAUUAUCGUACUCCUCUUGAGUUGAAAGAGUCCAUGGCCGUCUUUGAAUUACUUUUGCUGUACUUGCAUUCUUUCCAAGUUCAAGCAAAAAAGAUUGUCGAUGCACCAAGAAAUAUUUCCUUCGCUUUCUGGAUUUCAUGCCUGAUCCUCUUCAUCCCAGGCACUCCUGUCGGUGCACAGACAUAUCUUCAAGAAAAGUGCGCAGAUAGGGGCGAGAAUGCUGCUAAAAACUAUGCUCCUUAUAGCAAGUUUCAAGACAACCUCAACAGCCUCCUCUCCAAGGGCAACUACGCUGAUUACAACAAAGGACCCAUUCACGGCUUUCACAACACAACAGAAGGCGAAGAUCCGGACAAAGUUUAUGGUCUCUUCCUCUGCAGGUAAAUCACAUGCGAAAGAUGCCAAAAAAUUCUACUUUUGAGUAAUAUCUACCAAAUCAAUCAUUAUAAUCUUUGGAAUCGACUCACCUAGAACUAGGGUUUAUAAUGGACCUGAUAUAUUGGUCUCAAUUGAAACCUCUACAAAAUACGGUGAUCCAAUGCCAACUGAAAAAUUACUAUCCAGAUUUAAGUGACUACUCUUGCAACUUUACUAUUUCUCUUUAGAGGGGAUGUUGCUGCCAAUCUCUGUCAGUCUUGCAUCCGUUCAGCUAGCAGCACGAUCAUAGAAAGAUGUCCAGGACAGAAAGAGGCAAUCAUAUGGUACGACGAGUGUUUCUUGCGCUACUCCAACAGAUCAUUCUUCUCUAUCAUGGAGACAACGCCGUUUCUUUUCAUUGUCAACCCUGCGAACGAUUCGGUUACCUUCAACAGGACUAUGGAGCAAACUUUUGAUAAUGAGAAGGACUUUGUGGCAGAAGUGACGGAUUUGUCGAGGAAUGUGACGGACUUGGUGAUCUUGUCAGAAAGCUUAUACGCAACCUUAAACGUUAGUGUCUCAAGUUCAGUGACCCUUUACGGGCUUGCACAGUGCACCCCCGAUAUAUCAAAAUCAGCUUGUAAGAGUUGCUUGCUUUCUGCUAUUGAAAAGUUUCCAACCAUUCUUAAUUAUCGAAGGGGAGGUGCCAGAGUUCUUCAGCCAAGUUGUAAUGUACGGUACGAACUGUAUCAUUUUUAUGGGAAGACUAGAGGGAAAACCAGCACCGAUUCCAGCAUUAAAGGUAUGAGUUAUAUAAUGUUCCAAAUGUGCACUCAGUUUGUCAUGGUAAGCGUAUAAUGGUAUCAUUCCAUUGCUUCUAAUUCUCAAUAUGAGCUGUUUUAUGUAUCAUAUUGCACUUGACUUGCUUUUACGAUCUAAACUCUGAUCAUAUUCUCUUGAUUUCAAUGAGUUCUUGGUAAUAUUUACACUUAGAAAGGAAAAAAAAAGUCUGCAGAUUUGUGGUAUGUUUAGAUCCAAGGAAUUUCUCUUUCUUGACAGGGGUAAAACAAAAUCCAUGGAUUGCAAUAGUUAGCUCAGUAAUUGGAUCAGGGUUACUAAUAGUUAUCGUGGGUUCGUGUAUUUUUUUGAAGAGGACAAAGAGAUUGAAGAAAGGUAUAAGUGAAUUCAUCUUGCUUGCCAUUGUAAUGGCCAUCUUCUAACCUUUACCUGACAAGAGUAAACUCUCGGACUCUCAGAGAAGGAAAACAACCAAAAGGUUCUGUUACUUCAUCUGAGACAAGAAAUUGGAGAAGAGCUUUCAAAGGAAAACUCUCGUGGAGAAAAGCCAGUGGCUUCUAAAAAAUUCUCUCUGAUGCGAUUAGACGUCAUACGCGCAGCCACAGGAAACUUCUCCAAUGAAUGUAAACUUGGGGAAGGUGGGUUUGGCCCUGUGUACAAGGUAAGCAAUUUAGUGACUCAAUGCCAACUUAUGUGGAGACUAGGAAAAUCUUCUAAUGGUAGCAAUCUGGCGGAGUCAUUAUCCAUAGCAUGAACUGAAUCGAAUUUUGGUUAUCAUCAGUAAUUCUCAGAUGGGGAUCUCACCACUUACUACCCUGUUUCAGGCCACAUUGGCAGAUGGAAAAGAAAUUGCAGUUAAGAGGCUUUCAAGAACCUCAGACCAAGGACUCAUCGAGUUGAAGAACGAAGUCAUCUUGAUUGCCAGACUACAACACAGGAACCUCGUCCAAUUAUUGGGAUGCUGUUUGGAAGAACAUGAAAAACUCUUGAUAUAUGAAUACAUGCCCAACAAAAGCCUGGAUGCCUUCCUUUUUGGUUUGAGCUUUAGCAGAUGCAAUGAAUUUUUGAGCUAGUUAAUCCUAGUUUUAUAGAGUUGAGUUUCAUCCGAGUCUCUCAUCUUUGACAGAUUCGAAUAUAGGGCGAUAUCUAGAUUGGAAGCUGCGCAUGAACAUCACCUGUGGAAUAGCUCGGGGACUUCUCUAUCUGCAUGAGGAUUCUCGCCUGAGAAUUAUCCACAGGGAUCUGAAGGCUAGCAAUAUUUUGCUUGAUGGCGAGAUGAAUCCAAAGAUAUCCGAUUUCGGAAUGGCAAGGAUCUUCAGUGUAAAUCAAGACAAGGCAAACACAAACAGGGUCGUUGGAACCUAGUAAGUGCCUCAAUAUCUUUCUACGUCCUUUACAUGUUUUGACUGAUUCAGUAGGCCAACAAAGGACUCUGAUUAUCUGCUCAACAACACCAGAUAGAGCACAUUCAUAUUUCAGAAGUUCCAUACAGAAGUUUUACUUUUCUCUGUUUCUUACUUCCAACUAAUUGUUCUUCAUUAUAUAAUUCUGGUCAGUGGAUACAUGGCACCGGAGUAUGCAAUGCAAGGACUCUUUUCUGUAAAAUCAGACGUCUUCAGUUUUGGAGUUCUCUUGCUAGAGAUAGUAAGCGGGCGCAAGAAUAAUGGUUUUCAUCGCCAAGUAAAGGGUGAAAGCCUUCUCACAUUUGUAUGUUCCUAAUCACCAUCCCAGUUUAAUAUGAAAUCAAAGAUUUUCGUGCAGCUAUGCUUGUUAAAUUUCCUUGCUAAAUAACAGGCAUGGAAGUUGUGGUCCGAAGGUCGAGCGUUGGAACUUAUCGAUCCGUUAAUCGAUGAGUCAUGUGAUGAAGUUGAAGUGCUGAAAUGCAUACACAUCGGUCUAUUGUGUGUCCAAGAAGACCCGGCGGAUCGACUGACUAUGUCACUCGUGGUUCAUAUUUUAGCUGGCGAUACUAUCACACUCAGCCCCCCAUCGCAGCCUGCAUUCUCCGUUGGGAGAGAUGCGGAAAAACUUGAUCGUCCCUCAACUGUUAAUGAAGUAACCCUUUCGGUUGUUGCGGCUAGGUGAUCAAGUUUUAUACAAUGGAAAUGCUGUUAGAGAUAAUUAUGGUAUAUUUUGUCUUUUAGGACUGUGUAUGUAUCUCCAUUGUAAUAUAUUUAUAUCAUCCUACUUUCUAUAUUCAUCACGUAAAGCUGGCCUAUGUUCUCUUCUGUAUAUAUACGAAAUAUAUAGAAACUAAAGAAUUCUUUCACAUAUUUCUUAUCUUAGUGCUAGAGGUAGAUGAUCUUGAGCAAAUUUUGAGUGCUCGAGUGGGACACAUCCGAGUGCACUCCGGAGCACACCUUCACAUAUCGCGUAAUGUGAUUCAUUUUUGUUAUAAUUACCGAUAUCCCUUUCUGAACAUCAAUUCUUAACAUUUUCAUCACGUACGAAUAAACGUCAGCCUAUUGCUGCGUAAUCUACACACGUUGGUCGGUUCACUCUUCAGCACAUGAAAUCACCUCUUUGGAUCUUUUCUCCCAACUCCAUUUGACUUCCUCUUCGUCACAUUGAGUUUGAGAGUUUGUUUAAGAUAAUUAAGAUUUUUAACUUGAUCCUCCAUUUUUUAGGGUUGUGAAUAUAUAUUUCACUUGCUUGCGCGUAUUGGUAAUUUCCUAUGCAAUGCAAGGACUCUUUUCUGUAAAAUCAGACGUCUCCAGUUUUGGAUUUCUCUUGCUAGAGAUAGUAAGCGGGUACAAGAAUAAUGGUUUUCAUCUCGAACAGGGUGAAAGCCUUCUCACAUUUGUAUAUUCCUAAUCACCAUGCCAGUUUAAUAUGAAAUUGAAGAUUUUCAUGCAGCUAUCCUUGUUAAAUUUCCUUGCUAAAUAACAGGCAUGGAAGUUGUGGUGUGGAGGUCGAGAAUUGGAACUUAUCAAUCCAUUAAUCAAUGAAUCAUGUGAUGAAGUUGAAGUACUAAAAUACAUACACGUCGGUCUAUUGUGCGUUCAAGAAAACCCGAUGGAUCGACCAACUAUGUCUCUCGUGGUUCAUAUUUUAGGAGGCGAUACUAUCACACUCAGCCAACCAUCACAACCUGCAUUCUCAGUGUGGAGAGAUGUGAGUAAACUUGAUCGUGUCGUGCCUAGUGACACGACCCACGGACAAAGCAUGAUCCAAGAUCGUCCGUGACGGGCCGUGUCACGUACAAGGGGCUACCCGAGAGCAGCCCACGGUCGACCCAUGAGCAGAACGAGCGAGAAGGCCCAUGCGCAAUCCAUGAGCGGCCCAUGAGCGAUGUUCGAGCAGCCCGUGACGGUUCGGCUGGUCGCGUGUCAGACGGACCUGCAACCCUGAUCUUGCUUCUGACACACGCCCAUGGUCUGCCCAAGGCCUGACGAGCGCGACCCAUGGACUUCUCAAGGGCCUGCCGUGUACAGACCAUUGAGUAGCCUUCGAGUAGCCUGUUGUAUAGCUUUGUAAUGAUGAUACGGAUUUGAAAUGGACCGUUGGAUCGGAGGGACGAUCAACGGCUGAGAUUCGACCCGCUCUUGUAUAAAUAGGGAUCCAUCUCCCACUUUGUAAACAGUUCGUUCACAAGCAAUAUACACUCUUUUUGCCCAUUCAGUUCUUGUGUUCGAGCGUGUGUGUGUGUAAGGUUGACUUGGGAUCACUGAUCCUAAGGCCACGCGGUGUUUGAUCGACCGAAAUUGAUCGACCCGUGACAAGUGGUAUCAGAGCCAACAUUCCAAACGUAAUGGCUGAUCCUCGCGCUGAUGCUCCGGUCGUUCAAGGCGAUGAGAGUGAAGAUCGUGGGCGUCAAGCCGAGAGGAAUACCCGGUCGAAGAAGGCCCGUGCUGCCUCGUGUGCGAGGGAUCCGAAGGGAGAUCUGGACAACCGUCUGACGGACAUAGAGGAGACCGUCACGAACGUCUAGGCGUUGAUGGACGACCUGCACCAGGCCGUUGAAGGAGCGGAAGCCGGUAGGGAGGAGUUCUUGGCCGAAGUGCAAGAGCUCCAAGCCGGCAUGGGAGAGCUCCGUGUCGAGGUGCAAGGAUCCUUCAUGCACGAGCUGCAGCAGCGGGAUGAGACUUGGGAAGCCGUGAUGGCGGCCAUGCGGGCGGAAAUGACGGAGAUGAAGGGCAAGCUCGUGGAGCUUGAAGCGGCACGCGUGAACGGGUGAUCACCGUGCAGUCCCGUGCCGAUGCACCCAAACCAAAGGAGUUCAAGGGCUCCCGGGUGGCAAAGGACGUGGACAACUUCCUAUGGUACAUGGAACGAUACUUCUAGACCAUGGGAACAAUCGACGAUGUGAUCCAAGUGAACACCGCAGCCAUGUAUUUAGCUGAUGAUGCGCUGCUAUGGUGGAGACGUUGGUCGGAUGGUAGGAAUGGCGAUCCUAUUGUGACCUGGGCUCGGUUGGUCGAGGAAUUUCGGCGAACCUACUAUCCCGCUUAUGCGGAGGAGGAAGCUCGAGGGGAACUCAAGCGCCUAGAGCAGAAGGACGGAGUUCGUGACCAUGUGAAGCGGUUCUCGGAGCUGCUGCUCCAAAUCCCGUCCAUGACCGAGACGGAGGCGUUCCACCAGUUCAUGGGCGGACUCAAACCUUGGGUCAAACAGGAGCUCAAACGGUGCAAUGCAACAGACCUCACCACAGCCACUUUCGUGGCCGAGUCUCUUGUUGAAUAUAGGCCGCCAACCGCCGCCAAGCCCGACUUUCGAUCGAGAGAAAAGGCCACUGGUGGGGGAGAUCGAGGCCGGUUCCCUCGACCAAAUGCUGGCAGGCCGUCUCUGACCUCUCAUAGGAAUCAACCCGAGUCGAGCCAUGGAGGAUACCAACGCAAGGUACGCACAUACAAGUGCUUCUUUUGUGACGGUCCCCAUAUGGCUUGGGAUUGCCUGAAGAGAGGAAAGUUGGCGGCCCUGUGCAAGGAGGACAAGCCGCGAGAGGAGGCGCGGUUGGGAUCAUUGCGGAUCCUUGGAACGAUCAAGGCCAAGAAGGCCAAAGAACCAAAAGGAAUGAUGUUCGUAGAUGUGAAGAUCGGAGGUACCACGAUGAGCGCACUUGUGGAUACCGGGGCGUCCGAUCUGUUCAUAUCCAAAGAGGCCGCGAAGAAGCUGCAUCUUCCGGUCGAGGCAAAUGAGUCCGGUUGGCUCAAAACGGUGAAUUCCAGAGAAGUCCCGACCAGCGGCAUGGCCAGGGGAGUGGAGUUCCACCUGGGUCCUUGGACCAGCAAGGAAGAUAUCGAGGUAAUUCCCCUCGAUGACUAUGACUUCAUACUCGGUUUGAGAUUUCUCGACCGGAUCAAUGCGGGUGUCAUGCCCUUCGCGGAUUGCAUAUGUAUCCUGGACAAGCGGUGCCAAUGCAUGGUCCCGAUCUACCGUGAAUCGGGAUGCGAUAGGAAGAUGCUAUCGGCCAUGCAGCUAUCCAAAGGGCUGAAGAAAGGCGAGGUGACCUUCUUGGCGGCAUUGAAGGAGGAGGGCGCGGAGGAAAGCACGGUACCGGAAGAAGCAUCCCGAGUCCUCGAUGCCUUCCAAGAUGUGAUGCCGCCCGAGCUGCCCAAGAAGCUGCCUCCUCGGAGAGAGGUCGACCAUCGGAUCGAGCCGGUACCCGAUGCUCGACCACCGGCCAUGGCUCCCUAUCGCAUGGCCCCGCCUGAGUUAGAGGAGUUGAGGAAACAGCUCAAAGAGCUGUUGGAUGCUGGAUAUGUUCGGCCAUCCAAGGCCCCGUUCGGUGCCCCGGUCUUGUUCCAAAAGAAGCAUGACGGAUCCCUUCGUAUGUGUAUCGAUUACCGGGCAUUGAACAAGCUGACCGUCAAGAAUAAGUACCCGAUUCCCCUUAUUGCUGACUUGUUUGAUCAGCUCGGAGAAGCCCGUUGGUUCUCCAAGCUCGACCUUCGAUCGGGAUAUUAUCAAGUGCGGAUUGCCGAGGGGGAUGAGCUGAAGACAGCAUGUGUGACCCGCUAUGGAUCAUACGAGUUCCUUGUCAUGCCAUUUGGCUUGACCAAUGCGCCGGCUACGUUUUGCACACUCAUGAACAAGGCACUGCAUCCGUUCCUUGAUCGGUUCGUUGUAGUUUAUCUUGAUGAUAUAGUGAUAUAUAGCCGGACGCUUGAGGAGCAUGUUGAACAUUUGAGUCGAGUUUUUCGGACCCUUCGAGAAAACGACUUGUAUGUGAAACGUGAGAAAUGUGCCUUUGCACAAAAAGAAAUUUCGUUCCUUGGGCACAUCGUCGGGGGUGGACGUGUGCGGAUGGAUGCGGCCAAGAUCCGUGCCAUUGUUGAUUGGGAGCCACCAACCAAGGUGACUGAGCUGAGAUCCUUUCUCGGUCUCACAAAUUACUACUGGCGCUUCAUCUGGGAGUAUUCGCACCUCACCGUGCCACUCACGGACAUGUUGAAGAAAGAAAGGCCGUGUGAGUGGACGGAUCGGUGUCAAGAGGCGUUCGAGUGGUUGAAGCGGACCAUGACCAAGGAGCCGGUGCUUAUGCUGCCCGACUACACCAAACCAUAUGAGGUAGAGACCGAUGCUUCUGAUUUUGCCAUCGGUGGUGUCUUGAUGCAAGAAGGUCAUCCGGUGGCCUUCGAGUCCCAAAAGUUGAAUGAUGCCGAGCGACGAUACACGGUCCAAGAGAAGGAGAUGACCGCGGUGGUGCACCGCCUUCGCACAUGGAGGCACUAUAUCUUGGGGUAAUGGUUCAUUGUGAGGACUGACAACGUGGCUACGAGCUACUUCCAAACUUAGAAGAAGCUCAACCCAAAACAAGCUCGGUGGCAAGACUUCCUGGCCGAGUUUGAUUAUGUGCUGGAAUACAAGCUCGGAAAGUCCAAUUCCGUGGCCGACGCCUUAAGCAGGAAGUUCGAAUUGGCCAAUAUGGUGAGCAGGCCCGAUUGCCCGUGGGUUGAUCGUAUCAAGGAGGGGCUGAAGCAUGAUCAAACAGCCCAAGACCUCCUUCGAUACACCCAAGAAGGCUUGACGAGGAGAUUUUGGCUCGAGGAUGACCUCCUCUACACCAAAGGACGGCGACUCUAUGUGCCGCUCCAUGGGAAACUUCGAAAGGAAGUCCUAAAAGAGUGCCACGACUCCAAAUGGGCGGGACAUCCGGGAAUCCACCGCACCAUGGCGCUCAUUGAAGAUCAAUACUAUUGGCCGCAUAUGCGGGAUGAUGUGGAGACAUAUGUGCGGACGUGUCUUGUCUGCCAACAAGACAAGAUAGAGCAACGGUCCCCCGCGAGGCUCCUUGAACCGUUGCCUAUCCCAGAACGUCCAUGGGAGAGUAUCUCCAUGGACUUCAUUGUGAAUUUGCCCAAGUCCGAAGGGUGUCGGACCCUCAUGGUCGUGGUAGAUUGCCUCUCCAAAUAUGCGACGUUCGUGCCAACAACAAAGGAGUGUCCAGCCGAGGAAGCCGCCAAGCUGUUCCUCAAGCACGUUGUCAAAUAUUGGGGCGUUCCACGCACGAUCGUGAGUGAUCGCGACCCUCGGUUCACCGGACGGUUUUGGACUGAGCUCUUCAAGUUGCUGGGGACGUGUCUCAACCUUUCCACCAGCAUGCAUCCACAGACCGACGGACAAACCGAGCGAGUGAAUGGAUUGCUGGAAAUCUAUCUUCGGCACUAUAUGAGCAACACGCAAGUAAACUGGGCACGGCUGAUCGACGUGGCCCAAUUUUCUUACAACUUGCAGCGGAGCGAGUCCACGAACCAAAACCCGUUCGAAAUCGUGACCGGGUAGCAGCCGCUCACGCUAAGCGCAAUCACCUUGGGGUAUCGAGGAAGUUGCCCGUCCGCAUAUAAGCUCGCUAAGGAAUGGGGUGAACAGGCGGUUUUGGCCCGGGUGUGUCUGAAUAGGGCCGCGAAACGCACGAAGAAAUGAGCCGACAAAAAGCGACGCCAUGUGGAGUUUCAGGUCGGGGACUUGGUACUGACCAAAUUGCACCUCGUCCUUCGGUACAGGAAACAAAGGGCUGAUCCGUCGCUAUGAAGGCCCUUUCCGAGUGAUACAGCGGAUCGGGAAGGUGGCGUACAAGCUGGACUUACCGCCCAAGCUCAGGCUACACCCCGUGUUCCACGUGAGCAUGCUAAAACUGUUUCAUGUGGACGAGGAUGAUCUGGAUCGGGGCACAUCACAGCGAGCGCCCCUUGGGGCGAAGACCUCCUAUGAUCGGGAUGUUGAGUGCAUCAUGGCCGAUCGGAUCAUACGGAAGAAAUAUCGGGCACCAAGGAAGGAAUACCUCGUCCGGUGGAGAGGCCUUCCCGAGAGUGAAGCAAGUUGGGAACCCUCCGAGGCUCUGUGGCAAUUCAAGAAGUACGUUGAAGCCUUCCAUGCCACAGACGCGACGAGGACGUCGCCUGAUUAGGUGGGGGAGAAUGACACGGCCCACGGACAAAGCAUGAUCCAAGAUCGUCCGUGAUGGGCCGUGUCACGUACAAGGGGCUACCUGAGAGCAGCCCAUGGUCGACCCAUGAGCAGAACGAGCGAGAAGGCCCAUGCGCAAUCCAUGAGCGGCCCAUGAGCGAUGUUCGAGCAGCCCGUGACGGUUCGGCUGGUCGCGUGUCAGACGGACCUGCAACCCUGAUCUUGCUUCUGACACAUGCCCAUGGUCUGCCCAAGGCCUGACUAGCGCGACCCAUGGACUUCCCAAGGGCCUGCCGUGUACAGACCAUCGAGUAGCCUUCGAGUAGCCUGUUGUAUAGCUUUGUAAUGAUGAUACGGAUUUGAAAUGGACUGUUGGAUCGGAGGGACGAUCAAUGGCUGAGAUGCGACCCGCUCUUGUAUAAAUAGGGAUCCAUCUCCCACUUUGUAAACAGUUCGUUCACAAGCAAUAUACACUCUCUUUGCCCAUUCAGUUCUUGUGUUCGAGCGUGUGUGUGUGUAAGGCUGACUUGGGAUCACUGAUCCUAAGGCCGCGCGGUGUUUGAUCGACCGAAAUUGAUCGACCCGUGACACUAGUCAUGAAGCUUUAACUGUUAAUGGAGUAACCCUUUCGAUUGUUUCGGCUAGGUGACCGAGCAUCAUCACUUUUCCUUCAGUUUAUUUCUCUUUUAUUCAAUGGAAGGUAGAAUGAUAAUAAUUAUGGUGUGUGAUCUCUUUAGCAUUGUGACUGCCAUUUCUGAAUCAUUUCCGUGAUCAUCAAUUAGUAAGCGCAAGGUCCUGUUCAAUUUGCCACUUAUGUUCUAUCAGAAUGAUACAUAUAAUUGCUUGAGUAAUAUAUCAAUUCUACAAGUACCCCAUUGAUAUAUUAAAAAACUAAGCAUAAAUAAAUUCUAUAUUCUAGCUUUGGUAUAUAUAUUGAAAUCUAAUUCGUGAAGAAUACUAGGGUAUUUAAUACUAAACUACAGCUAAGUAGGAGGUCCUGAAUUCAAUCUUUUAAGACCCUUAUUUGUCUCUUUUACUAUUAUUUCUACACUUUAAUUUUAGGCCAAAGUUCGGUUUACAUGUGUUGAGGAGUGUCACAACCUCUCCGAAAGCGGGUUGGACCUAAACUUAGCUUGAGUUAUCCCAAGCCUAUACCAAUUCACGACUUAGGUUUAAGUUAUUUAACAUGCAAAUGAUUUUUAUUUAAGAGUUGUCUUCAAUUGGUUUAUGGUAGGUCGAUUAGACACUUAAGCAAAAUAAUGUGAGAAUUAUUUUACUCCUACGAACUAAAGAUUUUGGGUAUGGAGACUUGAUCAUACUAAAUUACUCUAAAGCCAUUUUGGUACAUUUUCUCUUUUAUUGUUAGAAAAUGUUUAGUAGGCACCUUGGAUCAAUUUUAUUACAUUUUAACAUGUGGAGCAAUCAUGCAAGUGUGCAUAUCACCAAUUUAACAACGAAUAAAGCAGUAAAUAAAUUGCAUGAGGCACUCUAUAGCAAUGAAAGCAUCUGCAAUAUUAGUUCAAAAUUUACAUCAACAAUCCUAGAUAUGAUUUAUCAUUAACACGUAGUCGCUCAAUUGUUUUGUUUUGUUUUUGUUUUUUUGUUUUUUUGUUUUUUUUUGGUUUGCACUUAUUUAAAUGAAAUCUAUAAACUCUAUGCAAUGCAAUGCAAUGACGUACAAAAAUGUCUAACUAAAAUCACAUGCAACAUGUAGCCUAUCAUGCAAGCUAUAUGUCACGCGAUAUUAAUUAAAUUACCCAAUAUAAUGACGGACAAAAAUCAACGUAACUAUUCUAACAUGUCACACGCUUUAAUUUGAACAAUUCUUAAACACACAAUUUCUAAAAAAUAGGUGAACUAAUUCUACACGACACGCAAUUUCAUGAACCUAACAUAUAAUUAUUAGAUGACAUGCGGGCAAUGAUAUGACAGUGAUGAUGCCAACUUGACAUCCACAUGACUUUUUUUUUUUUUGUAUUAUUCAUUAAUAAAUUCGAAAUUAAUUAAAUACUCUAAUUUAAACAUGCAAACUAUCCUAUAGAAGAAAAUUCAAUUUAUUCUAAAAAGAUAUUUUUGGUGUUUUAUUAAAUUCCAAAUUAUAAAAUAACCAAAAUAAGUAUGCAAUCUAUCCUAAAAGAACUACAAUCUAAUCUUUUUGGAUUUUUUUAAAGAAAUAAAUCAAUUAAAAUCAAACAAAAAUUGAAAGAAGUCAAAUCCAAAAACAAACACGCCAUCAAAUCACACGAGAUAUUAUCGAUAUUUAUCUAAUUUCGAAAAUAAAUUGACGAAUCAUAUCUCUCGUAUGAGAUUAGAUUGGCAAAUUUUUAUGACAUCGCGAAUAAAAUGUCGGGCAUUAUAUCGUAUUUUGAGCAUAAAACCGGACUGUUGGCUAUUGCAUUAGGAAAAUUUCCUAAUUCACAAGGAAUCAAAAGAAUUCUUUUCGGAUAUGGCAAUAUUGACCAGACAUUCAAACAAGAUCGCAAUUUUAUGAAUUAGAUAACGAGAUAUAUGAAAAUCAAAUUAAUUGAGUUUCUUACCAAAUUUACGAUGUUACGCUAUGGAUCACGAGAAUCUCGGUGAGGAUGACUGGCGAUCGGCGGCGCUGACUGUUUCUCGGUAGUCGCCAGAUGGGCUCCACAAUACCUGCGAAACAGAAAUUUCCAAGCUACGCAAGAGACCGAGAAUCGUCGAUGGACGGGGGCAAGGACAGCAGGUCUCGUUCCUUCGCUGUUGGUGUUGUGGGCUUGAAGCAGAUCGGCACAGGAGCUCGCGGUGAUGCUGAUCACGGUGCGGUAUCUUCUGUUCGUGCGUUUCUCACUUGCUGAAUAUUCUGCAAUUCUGUCCGAGAACUUAAGCUUCUUUUGACUUUGACAUCAAACUUCACCUUUUAAAAAGGCUUGGGCAAAGCAGGACAAAUUUCACCACUUCUCUUGUAUUGUGAACGCCCUCUUGUGCCCAUUGAAGAGUCCAGACUCGCCGAUGUCGCCAAGAACCUGCAAAGGAAAAGUGCAAGCGUGAUUGACAUGGGGGUUCCGUAAGAAUUAUUGUGGCCCAUAUUAUGUGAUUUAUUAUAUGGUUUAAUAAAUCAUUGAAAUGCUAUAAAUAAUUAUUGGUUACGAGAAGGUACGACUCUAAUAAAAAUGAAAUGGUAUAUCGCUUUGAUGGAAGGCGCCUUUUCAAUGAACGUAUAAUUAGAGUCCGGUCCUCUCUCUACCAAAAAAAAAACAAACAACAAUAACUGAAAGGAAUUUGGUAUUCUCUCCUCCAUCAAUUGAAUACAUUAAGGUUUAGUGGGUUAAGGGAGAGAAAUCGGAUUUCUUCAUUUGGUUCGAGUUCUUUCGGUUUUCUACAACGACCAUCAUCAAGUGCAACGUUAUGGAGAAAUGUAUGUCUUCAUCUAAUUGUGAAAAUCAUGAAGAUCAAAAGAUCAUUGAUUUGUUAUGAAUUUCCGCAUCAAAGAAAUAUAUGAAUUAUCUAACAGUUGGUAUUAUAGCAAUUGGUUUAUGAUCUCAUGAUUUUUCCGUUUAAAGAAAUAUUAUAGUUUAUGUUUGAUGAUUCGUUGAACGAUCCUGUUCGUAUUAUUUAUUAUUGUUAAAAUGUUUUCGGAUGAUUAUGGUAAAAAAAAUCUGAAUGAUGGAACGUUCUUCAUGGACGAAAAUGGCGAAUAAAAGUUACUGUGCGUGAGUGAAAAAGGACAAAAAUGGAAAAAUUCGGAAUUUUGAGGGCAAGUAAGAAACUCGCCGAUUCCGGGGAAAAUCCAGUGACCCACAGUUUGAUUUCGGACUCACACCGUCGCACUGCCAUGAGGAACAUUAGCCAUGAGUUUUUUCGGUAUAUUGGUGUUCGCCGGAGGCUAAUCGAGCGGCGGAAGCCGCGGUGGUGGAGGUUUUGUGUUCUGAAAAUUUUGGUUUGAUUUGGGGCCAAUUUCUUGGUCAUUUUCGCCGAAACUUAAACCCAUGUGGUUGUGCUGGCAUACUCCAGAAAACCCAUUAUUUUAUUUGUGUCUGGGAUGGGCUACCGGAGAAGAAAUGGCCGGCGAAACCGCGGCGGAACGGCGAAAAACGGCGAAGAAUCGCGUCUGUGCGCGAGGAAGAAGGCGCGUGGGCUCCACGUGUGCGUUGCGGUUGUAGGCGCGUGGAACCCACACGCCACGCGCCGUCACGUGCGUGCAAGCGCUGCGUUGUUGGCGCGUGCAACGCACGCGCCCACGCGUUGGACACGCGCGUGUGGGGCAUGCACCUGCGGCGGAUGAAGGCGCGUGCUUGGCACGCGCUUGACGUCCCCACACGCCCUUUUUACGUUUUUGCCCCUAUGUCAUUUUUAAAAUUCCCAUUUUUUCCUUCUCACAAUUUAUUUACUGUUCUGCCCUUGUUUAAUUAAUAAUUACGAUUCUGCCAUUGCUGAUUAUUUACCAUUUUGCCCAUGGAUUAUAAUUUUAUGAUUCUGCCCUUUAUGGAAUUAUGAUUUUACAAUUUUGCCCUUAUGCUUUGAUUGCAUUUUAUCCUUGUGUGCAAUUUGGUAAAUAUUUAUAUUUUACAAUAUUAAAAAUUCAUAUUAUGAAUGGUUUGUUAGUCACCAAAGUGGCCAAACUUUGAAGUUUUUUUGAAUUUUGAUAUUGUAAAUUAUUUUAUUCAAUUACCCAUGAUUAAUUGAUGCUAUGUAUGAAAUUGAUAUGUUUUAUAUUAGUAUUGGAGUUAUGGGUAUAUUGAAGUUCAUUUAUUAUAAGAACUUAGGGAUUAACCCAAAGGUUAAUUAUUUUCUUAUAAUUCAUGAACAUGAUCGUUGAUAAUUAUAUGACUUGUUAAAUUUGUUUGUAUAUCCAAAGAUAACAAAUAAAUUUUAAUAAGAUAUAUUUACAAUUAUCAAAUAAAAGUUAUUAGCAUCAUUAUGGUAUAUAUAUCUUUGUUUAUCUUAGGAUCGCCCAAAGGAGAACUAUGAUGUACAUGUGUCAUUUAGUUUGAAUCUAAUUAGGUGAUAUUCUCAAAGCAUUAAUAUAUGAGUAUUUUCUUGCACAUUUGCAGUAUCUGUACCUGUUUCACUCCAUUCGCACACCUCAUCUGUUCCCUUAUUCAAUGGGAUAAAUUUUCCUGAUUGGAGUGAACAAGUCCAGUUUCACUUAGGUGUCCUGGAUCUUGAUUUAGCGCUUCAAGUUGAGAAACCAGCUGCUAUUACUGAUGAAAGUAGCGAUGAUGAAAAGUUUUUCCAUAAAGCUUGGGAAAGAUCGAACAGAUUGAGCUUAAUGUUCAUGCGAAUGACAGUUGCAAACAACUUAAAGACUUCUCUUCCCAAGACUAACAAUGCUAAGGAAUUUAUGAAAUUUGUGGAAGAGCGUUUUCAAACUGCUGAUAAGUCACUUGCUGAUACAUUAAUGAGCACACUGACCGCCAUGAAAUAUGAUGGUUCGCAUACCAUACAUGAGCAUAUACUUGAGAUGACGAAUUUAGCAGCAAAAUUAAGGACUUUGGGAAUGAAUGUGGAUGAGUACUUUUUAGUACAAUUUAUACUUAAUUCCUUGCCUCAUGAGCAAUAUGGGCCAUUUCAAAUGAAUUACAACACUAUAAAGGAUAAGUGGAAUGUAAAUGAAUUGGCCAAUAUGCUAGUUCAAGAGGAAACAAGGAUAAAGAAUCAAAAGGCUCAUUCUGUUCAUCUCUCAAGUCAUCAAGAAUUUUGAAAGAAUUUCAAGAGGAAAGGUGGAAGGAGCAAGAAGAAAGAACUACACAUCGUGAAUGACUCUUCAAAGGCUUCUCAAAUCCACAAGAAGGAACACAAUCUUAUUAAGUGUCAUUUUUGCAACAAAAUUGGACACUUGAAGAAAGAUUGUCUGAAAUGUAAGGCUUGGUUUGAAAAGAAAGGUAAGCCUUGUGCUUUAGUAUGUUUUGAAUCAAACUUUACUGAAGUUCCUCAUAAUACUUGGUGGAUUAAUUCUGGUGCCACCACUCAUGUGUCAAAUACGAUUGAGGGAUUUCUUACGAUCCAAACUAUAAAGCCAAAUGAAAGUUAUGUGAUUACGGGGAACAGAAACAAAGCUCCAGUUGAAGGCAUUGGCACUUAUCGUUUGAUCUUAGAUACUGGGCAUUAUUUGGAUUUGUUUCGAACCCUUUAUGUACCUACAUUUUCUCUCAAUUUAGUUUCUUUGCCAAGACUUGAUGUGGCGGGAUUUUAUUGUAAGUUUGAAUCUGAAUCUUUCAAUCUAUUUAAGAGUGAUACUCUUAUUGGAACUGGAACUUUAUGUGAUGGUCUCUACAAAUUUAGACUUGAUAAUACUUUUGUUGAGACAUUAUUGACCUUGCAUCAUAAUGUUGGCAUUAAACGAAGUUUGGUGAAUGAAAAUUCUGCUUACUUGUGGCAUAAACGUUUGGGUCAUAUAUCCAAAGAAAGAAUGCAAAGAUUAGUUUAGAAUGAAAUUCUUCCAAAUUUGGAUUUUACUGACCUUGGAGUGUGUAUUGAUUGUAUUAAAGGUAAACAAACAAAACACACUAAGAAAGGUGCCACAAGAAGCAAAGAGCUUCUUGAAAUUAUACAUACUGACAUAUGUGGUCCUUUCGAUGUUCCAUCUUUUGGUAAGGAAAGCUAUUUCAUAAUCUUUAUUGAUGAUUUUUCACGUUAUGGUUACAUUUAUCUAUUGCAUGAUAAGUCUCAAUCAGUAAAUGCACUUGAAGUGUAUAUUAAAGAGGUUGAGAGGCAAUUAGAUAGAAAGGUGAAAAUAGUAAGAUCGGAUAGAGGUGGUGAAUAUUAUGGAAAAUAUGAUGAAUCGGGACAAUGUCGAGGUCCAUUUGCUAAAUUCCUUGAAAGACAUGGCAUUUGUGCUCAAUACACAAUGCCAAGUACACCACAACAAAAUGGUGUAGCAGAAAGGCGUAACCGUACUUUAAUAGAAAUGGUUAGGAGUAUGAUGAGUCAUUCAUCUUUACCCUUAUCUUUGUGGAUGUAUGCUUUAAAGACUUCUAUGUACUUAUUAAAUAGGGUUCCUAGUAAGGCAGUUCCAAAUACUCCAUUUGAACUGUGGAUGGGAAGGAAACCUAGUUUACAACACCUACAUGUUUGGGGUUGUCAAGCAGAAGUAAGAAUUUACAAUCCACAUGAAAGGAAAUUGGAUUUAAGAACGACCAGUGGUUAUUUCAUUGGUUAUGCAGAGAAAUCGAAAGGGUAUAAAUUUUAUUGUCCUAAUCAUAAUACAAGAAUUGUUGAAUCUGGAAAUGCUAGGUUCAUUGAGAAUGGUGACAUCAGUGGGAGUGAACGAAUGCGUGAUGCUUGCAUUCAAGAAGCAAUGGUAGAAGUUCCUAUACCCAAAGCUUCUAAAGUUGUUCCUGAUAUUAUAGUACAAUCUAACAAUAAUCAAGAACAACAAAUUAAUGAACAAACACUCAAUAAUGGAGAUGUCAAUAAUGAACCUCCAAUUGGCUGAGUCACAAGAAAUAGCAUUAAGGAGAUCUCAAAGAGAAAAGAGGUCGGCUAUAUCUGAUGACUAUAUGAUUUAUCUACAAGAGUCAGAAAUUGACUUAGGAAUUGGAAAUGAUUCAGAUUCAUUUUCCCAAGCCAUGGAAUAUGAAGAUUCUAAUGAAUGGUUUAAUGCCAUGGAAGAAGAGUUAAAAUCCAUGCAUCAAAAUCAAGUUUGGGAUAUAGUUGAAUUGCCUAAAGGAUGUAAGAAGGUCAGCUAUAAAUGGGUCUUUAAGACCAAACGCGACUCAAAAGGCAAUAUUGAACGACAUAAAGCCAGACUUGUUGCAAAGGGUUUUACUCAGAAAGAAGGCAUUGACUAUAAAGAGACAUUUUCACCAGUCUCUAAGAAGGACUCACUUAGAAUCAUUAUGGCUUUUGUGGCUCAUUAUGACUUUGAGUUACACCAAAUGGAUGUAAAAACCGCUUUUCUUAAUGGGAAUUUAGAGGAAGAGGUUUAUAUGGACCAACCCGAAGGCUUUUCAGUUAAAGGAAAUGAACACAUGGUAUGUAAAUUAAAGAAGUCAAUAUAUGGACUUAAACAAGUUUCCCGACAAUGGUAUCUUAAGUUUAACGAUACCAUAACUUCAUUUGAAUUUAAGGAAAACACCAUUGAUCGGUGUAUAUAUAUGAAGAUUAGUGGGAGCAAGUUUAUUUUUCUAGUUCUGUAUGUUGAUGAUAUUUUGCUUGCUGCUAAUGAUCUUGGUUUGUUACAUGGAACCAAGAAAUUUCUCUCUAAGAAUUUUGAAAUGAAGGAUAUGGGAGAGGCAACAUAUGUGAUAGGAAUAGAAAUAUUCCGUGAUAGAUCACAAGAAUUAUUAGGAUUGUCUCAGAAAGCCUACAUUGAGAAAAUUUUAGAGAGAUUUAAUAUGAGUAAAUGUUCAGCAGGAAUAGUUCCAAUUCAGAAAGGUGACAAAUUUAGUCUUAUGCAAUGUCCGAAAAGUGAAUUGGAACGAGAACAAAUGAAAAAUAUUCCUUAUGCAUCUGUUGUGGGGAGCUUAAUGUAUGCACAAACUUGCACCAGAUCAGACAUCAGUUUUGCUGUCGGAAUGCUGGGCAUGUAUCAAAGUAAUCCUGGAAUGGAUCAUUGGAAAGCUGCAAAGAAAGUUCUUAGAUAUUUGCAAGGAACGAAGAAUCAUAUGCUCACUUAUAAAAGAUCUGAUCAUCUCGAGGUGAUUGGAUAUUCAUAUUCAGACUUAGCCGGAUGUGCCGAUACAAGAAAAUCAACAUUUGGUUACUUGUUUCUUCUGGCUGGAGGGGCAAUUUCAUGGAAGAGUGCGAAGCAGUCAAUUAUUGCUGCAUCCACUAUGGAAGCUGAAUUUGUGGCAUGCUUUGAGGCCACAAUUCAUAGAUUAUGGCUGCGGAAUUUUAUUUCAGGGCUUGUGAUCGUCGACAGUAUUUCCAAGCCGCUGAAAAUUUAUUGUGAUAACUCUGCAGCAGUUUUCUUCUCUAAGAACGACAAGUAUUCUAAGGGUGCUAAGCAUAUGGAGAUCAAAUACUUGUCUGUCAAAGAAGAAGUUCAGAAACAAAGAGUGUCAAUUGAGCACAUUAGCACCAAUCUUAUGAUAGCAGAUCCCUUAACAAAAGGACUGCCGCCCAAAACAUUUAAUGAGCAUGUUGAAAGGAUGGGCAUUAUUGGACGUCAUUAAUGUUUGUAUUAUGAUUGUAUUGAGUUUAUGUAUUUGACACUUUGAGCUCACUUACGUGUUUAUGAUAUUUCCUGUUUUCUAUUUAGUAUACAAUAUGUAAAUAGAUGAAUGUUAAACAGGAUAAUUUCUAAAGAAACAUUAUGGUUGGACUAUUACUGUACUUCUCAUUUAUGGAUCAUGUUAAGUAAAGUGCUAUAGUUGUAGUACAUAGAAGGGACUACGUCGAUUAAUGACAUACAACCGCUAUGACUCGCAUUAGUUUUCUUUACUUAAUUCUGAUUAUUAUGUGAUUGCCAAUUUAAUGAAAUUUUAUAGCAUAAUCUUAUUGUGCACAUUACAGUCUUUAUUAAACCAUGAAAGGAACAUCAUAUGGGCCAAGUGGGAGAAUGUAAGAAUUAUUGUGGCCCAUAUUAUGUGAUUUAUUAUAUGGUUUAAUAAAUCAUUGAAAUGCUAUAAAUAAUUAUUGGUUACGAGAAUGUACGAUUCUAAUAAAAAUGAAAGGGUAUAUCGCUUUGAUGGAAGGCGCCUUUUCAAUGAACGUAUAAAUAGAGUCCGUUCCUCUCUCCACACAAAAAAAAAAAAAAAACGAACAACAAUAACUGAAAGGAAUUUGGUAUUCUCUCAUCCAUCAAUUGAAUACAUUAAGGUUUAGUGGGUUAAGGGAGAGAAAUCGGAUUUCUUCAUUUGGUUCGAGUUCUUUCGGUUUUCUACAACGAUCAUCAUCAAGUGCAACAUUAUGGAGAAAUGUAUGUCUUCAUCUAAUUGUGAAAAUCAUGAAGAUCAAAAGAUCAUUGAUUUGUUAUGAAUUUCCGCAUCAAAGAAAUAUAUGAAUUAUCUAACAGGUUCGCCGGCCUCAGGAGGCUAGCCGGCAUCAUGUGACUCAGCGAGGAGGUAUCAGGACAGCAUCGCCGUGUUGUGGGGAGCCAGAGGCACAAUGUAGCCCGGUCCACGAAUUGUUGUCACAGGUGGUCUGUUUGGCAAUAGCAGACUCGGCAGGGUUCUUGGCUUUUAAGUGUUGCCGAGAGUGAAUUAAGGGAUGCAAGGAGCGUGGCACGAAGGGUACUCGAGUUGCUGCUGUGAUGAAGAGUAGCAACGAGGAAGCGUCACAGCCGUUGGUGGGAACUUGGCAACAAGAAGUGAGUCGCGGCCGUCGACAGGAGUUGAGCUGAAGUGUCAAGCACCGUUUUCACGAAUGUGCCGAACAGAACGCGGGUCUUCUCUUUUUGCUUUUUCACUGGACACUCUCUUUGGAGAUGAAAGUGUCCUCUUCUCUAUUCAUAGACCCCGGGAACCUGCAAGAAGAGAGAACAUAUUGACUGCAUCUCUGAGGCCAGCUCAGCAAAAAUUCAGUCCAUUUAUUUUGUGACACGUGUCAUGUACGGCCUCACAAGUCAUUUUCUGUCUCCACUUCUCCCUUUCUCACCCUUUAUUCUCUCUCUUCACGUCUUCCUCUUUUUCUCUCUCCUCCGCCUAACCCCUUUUCCCUUCUCUGACCUUGACCUUGAGCCCGACCUCAGACACAUUGCCAUUUCUUCAUGCACGUUGUCUCCAUCUUUACUUAAUUCUUCCUCAACCUCCACCGCCGCCACCUCCUGUUCAACUCCUCCUGCAUCCUAUACGUUUGCACCCACGUCGAUGAACCAUGCCUUUGCCUCCGUCUCGCCGUUUCCUAAGCCGACCCUAGUCGACUUUGAACCAACCUACAUUUGAGUCAAGCUGAGCUCUAGAUCACAAAUCUUGGCUCGCUCGACCUUAGAUCCAAAAUCUGAGGCUCAAGUUCAUCAGCCGAGCUCGAGCUCGAUGACGAAAGAUUGAGACGGCGAUGAGAUGGUGGACUGAGAUGACAGUGAGGAGGUGGUAGUUACGUUUGUGCUUGUCCCCGUCAGAGUGAAAGGAAGAAGAUUUUUUUUUUUAAAGAAAAAAGAAGAAGAGAAAAGGAGUCAGGCAGAGGAAACAGAGGAAGAGGAAGACAUGAAGAGGAAGAGAGGGCGAGGAAGGGAGAUAGAGACUGACUUGUGGGGCUGUGUACAACACAUGUCGCAAAAUCAAUGGAUCAUUUUUUUUUCUGAGCUAGCCUCAGAGCUACAGCCAAUAUUUUCUCGCAAGAAGAAAAGCAAUUCUUGCUCUCUCUCUCUUUCCACGCCAUAUCCGUGGCACGAUUUCUCUCAAUGUGCUGCCUAUUCUAUCGUGUGUGGCCCCUUUCUUUUGCAAAUCACACCAGUUUUUAUAAUGACUCCUCACCAACUUCCUCUUGGGAUAUCAGCAUAGUUUCUUUCUUUAUCCCAUCAACCAAAUGUUCUCUAUUUUGCUGAUUGAAUCCCACCUCAAUGUACUUUUUUCUUUUAUUUAUGAAUAUACGAAAGAUCCACCACCAUAUGAUUUUUUCUUUUUGUUUCUUUUCGUUGGCCAAAUUUUCAUUCUAUGCUUUUGAACGAAUAUUGGUAGAAUAAUACCGAUCUUUUUUGAAAUAUACCGAUCUUCGAAGUCGUCUCUCCUCAUAAGUCAGUUUUCAGCCAUUCAAGAGUGACAAGCUUGGCCAAGUUCCUUCUCACUAUGGGCUUAGUCCAACUAGUUAAAUUAAAACUCAAAACCAUCAAUUCAAACCCAUUAAUCAUCGGUCCAAUGCAAGCACAAUAAUAAAAACAAUAAUAAAUACUCCCAAAACUAUAUGCUAUGUAAUUUAAUAUUAAUAUUUUUGUUUAGGGGUUAAAAAUUAAUCCCUAAUUUUCUAUGUAAUAAAUAAACGAUCGGAUUGUCAAAUUUUAGGUGUCAAUAACAAUCCCUCUUUGAAAGUGAGCUCAUAGAGGUUGCAUUCAAAAACAAAUUUGAGACUUAAAUUUUGACCCUUCAAAUGCAAUGUGAUAAAUUUUUACGUGGGGACAUGUGUUUUGACGAACCCAUGCCCAUUUUCUAACGUAAAAUAUGAUGCAAAUGCUAAUAAGAAAUAUAAAACAUACCUUUAGUUACUCACUUGAAAGCUUGCCAUGCCGAUGAAAGGGACUUCGAGUUAUGGAAGCACAUCGCAUCGAUAGAAAGAGACUCUGGGCUAUGAAAGCAUGCUGAGUCGAUGAAGAAGAACUCUGAGUUAUGGAAGCACACCAGCUUAAUAAAGAGACUCUAGGUUAUGGAAGCACACCGUGUCGGUUAAGAGGGACAUCGGGUUAUAGAAGCACACCAUAUUGAUAGAAAGAUACUCUGGGUUACGGAAGCCCACCGAGUUGAUGCAAAGAUUCCGAGCCACGGAAGCACUUCGUGUUGGUUAUGAGGGGCAUUAGGCUAUAGAAGGACACUGUGUCAAGAGACUCUAGGCUACAAAAGCAUGCCAAGUCGAUGUAGAGGAACUUUAGGCUACGGAAGCACGCCGGGCUGAUAAAGAGAUUCUAAGCUACUGAAGCACACUGUGCCAAUUAAGAGGAGACUUCGAGCUACGAAAGCAUAUUGUGUCGAUAGGAACGGACUCCAGGUUAUGGAAGUACGCCGGAUCGAUGUAGAGGAACCCCAGGCUACGGAAGCACACCAGGUUGAUGAAGAGACUUCGAGUUAUGGAAGCACAUCAUGUCAAUUAAGAGGAGAUUUCGAGCUAUGGAAGCAAGCCAUGUUAAUAGGAAGAGACUUCGGGCUACGGAAGCAUGCUAGGUUGAUGCAGAUGAGCUCUGAGCUAUAGAAGCAUGCUGGAUUGAUGAAGAGACUCCAAGUUAUGGAAGCACACCGUGUUGGUUAAGAGGAGACUCCAGAUUACGGAAGCACACUGUGUUGAUAAGAAGAGACUCCGAGUUAUGGAAGUACGCCAGAUCAAUAUAGAGGAACUCUGGGCAAUAGAAGAAGCACAUUGAGUUGGCAAAGAGAUUAUGGGCUACGGAAGUACAUCAUGUUGAUUAAAAGAGACAUUGGGUUACGAAAGCACGCCAUGUCAUGCGCCGAUCCUCGAGUGUGUGCCCAUCCCUCGGUGGUUGACAAAUUUGCGACGUCCCAGAACGCGUCGCCGACCCUUUCAUUUUUAAUGCACAUGCGGAAGCGAAACAAUACCUCUGACAACAACCAACACGGGAUAGAAAAGCAGGAAACAUAUUCACAACCAAAACACUUUUAUAAACACCCCGGUUUAUAUACAGACUAGUCUAUAAACAAGAGUCUAUAAAAGCAGAUAAGCCUAUAAGUCCUCUAGGCUGACGAAUCCCUAACUGCAAAAUUCGAGGUCUCUUGGAGAUUUGGGUCUACCACUGCACCACUAGGAGGGUCAGCUGUACUCGCGCUAAAGGUGACUUCUAACACCGACAUAGGGACCUCAAAAUCCUAUAGGGGACCCUCUCUAUGUCCAUUGAGCCUGCGACGAUACCAUGCUCUGAAUUGAUGGGGUACCCUCUAGGGUAGACCCGCAUCGACCCAGACGAUGGUCCUCACAAUUUCAUAGACCUAGAUCCCGUGGCACUUGGGAACAUGGAUAUUGGUGACCUGCCCAGUAAUCCACUUGGGCUAGCCAAAAUGUUCCGAAGGAACCACCAUCUAAGGACCUGAAAAGGUUGAGCUCACGACGGGGUAAGUCAAUGUUUCAGUAAGUUCACCUCCUAAACUUCGACUAGGAAUGAAAUACGUCUAGAGGCAGCUAUACACACAAGUCAGAAGACUUACCUUGCCUCAAUUCCCUCCUGCACGUCAGCACAGUUCAUAAUCUCAACCAAUAUAUUCCAUCCAAUCGAUUAUUCAAUCCAUUCAAUACCAUCGAUACCAUCUAUCAAUUCAAUAUCAUUUAUCUAUCAUCGAUACGAUCACUGCUCACACAAGCUGAAAUAGAUGGUCAUAGCUCUCACAAGCUGAUAUAUAGAUGGUAGCUCGCACAAGCUGAUAUAUAUUAUAGCUCACCCAAGCUGAUAUAGUAUACUACUCUCACAAGCUGGCAUAUCAAAGCACACUUAGGUUGAUAUAGUAUACUGCUCUCACAAGUUGACAUACAAUAAUGCUCGCACAAGCUAACGAUUUAAUAAGGCUCACACAAGCUGACGAUUUAAUAAGGCUCACACAAGCUGACGAUUUAAUAAGGCUCACACAAGCUAAUACUCGAUAAAAAUAAUCAUGUGUGUGUACGCGGUUGGUCUGAGCCAAAAUGCUAUAUCUUUCUUUUCAAAACUCCCACUAUUUAAUAUAGUGCCUAAAAAUAUUUUUGGCGUUAAAAACUGACGCCCCGGUAUUUUCUUAUUAAAUAUCGAAAUUACACAAUUUCGGGAUAAAUACCCAAAAUUACAACCAUCACUCAAUUUGCAUAGAAUAGCAUCUGAUUAAAUAAAUCUGAUUAAAUAAAUCAAGCACACCAUUGCAAUCAUCAUGAAAUUCUUGUCACCGGCUAACCCGAUAUAAUUUCCGAAAAAUAACAAAUAAUUAAAUAAAUACCAAAAAUAAUUAAAUAAAUACAAUUAAUUACCAACAAUGCAAACUUAGGCCAAAAAUGCUUAAUUAACUACCUGAACGGGCCGGGAAAAUUUCUGAACCUAUCUAGAUAAAUAGCACAACUUAUCUAGUCUUUAAUUGAUCCGUUCUAAUCAACUAACAUGCACAAAUGAAUAAUUAAAUCAUUAAUCCAUUCUAACUAACCACCUAAACCAUACUUAGCAUAAACUAAACACCCCUUAAACGUCAUUAACUCCCUAAGCAUAGUUUAGCAAGUAAACUCACCGGUUUAGCGAUUCGGUGAGUUCACGGCGACGGCGACGCGGAGACGGGCGACAAACCUCCUAGCAGCGAUGCCAAACAAGGCCUGUAAGAGGACCGAAAUGGCCCACGAAGGCUCAUAGUUGAGCUGGGCUUAUGGUUCUGUCCUAGGCCAAGCUAGCUGAAACCAGCGGCUGAAACGGCAAAGCAGGUGGACCAGUGGCCGCAGCAGGCAACGACGGGCGAUGGCGGCUGCGCCGGCAACCUGAACGGCGACCAGGGGACUUCGACGGUGGCCUGAGAUGGCUCAGGGGCACGGUUGGGUGCGACAGAGGCGAGAUGGAAAAACGAUUGCGCGGAGGACUCGAGCAGCUGCUCAGGCGAGCGACAGCGCUGGACGGCGGCUCUAGUGGCUCGGCGGGCGUGCAACGGCUAGGGGGAAGGGGCUGCUCGGUUUCUUUUCAAUUUCUAAGCUUCAAGAGGUUUGAAAAUGGAGAAAGCAAGUCUGCUGAGGAAGAUAGAGACAGCUAAAGAGUGGAGGGUCUCUCAAAGCCUACAAAGCCUUCCAUUCUAUCCAUUUUGUCCCUUAGCAAGGCCCCACCAGCCAUGGCUAUUAUCCAUGGCCCCUUGGCAGCCCAAGACUUCCUUUAGAAGCUUUACCAAGUGGUCCAAAUGUCCCUCCCCAUGGCCUACGAAUUUUGCACCAAAUUCCCCCAAACCCACUUCAAUUCUCCUUCAAUUGGAUCUAAAUCGGUCCUCAUAAAUUCAACCAAGGUACCAUCAUCCCAUUCCACAUUUUUUCUCGUUAAUUCGUCCAACUGGAAUCCAAAAAAUGCGAUAAAACACGGCCCUCUGAUCUUUCUGGACAAAAACAACCCUACUUUGGAAUUUUGCCAAAAAUCUCGGUUUGCAGAAAAAUCUUCAGAGGGUGAGUCGAUGAUCCUAAAAUGAAUUGUGACAUGACAGAACUUUCAAUUUUUGAAAUCGGGUAUUCGCAGUUAAUUUUAAUCUAGCACAAUUUUAACGUGACUUAAUCUACUAGGUAACUUUUAAGAAUUUUUAGUGCAAUUGACCUGUGGUCAAUUAUUUUCGAGCCACAUUGUACAUCUUCGACAUAUUGACGACUCUUGGUUGUCGUGAAAAUCUGGAGGUUUCAAAUACGAACACAGAGUACCAAAACAACAGACAAAUUGGUCUAGUGCCGAUCGACGAGAAUUUUGCAAUUAAGUAGAAUCACCCACACUUAAUCACAUGGCUCAGUCGAGUCGACCUAUCUCUAGUCUCUAAUCGAUUUUCAACUGUACUGUAAUGACUCUUGCAGACUAGCACGGUUGAGCAGUCGAUUUCUGGUUGACUUCUCAAAUAUAUUGCGUUAAAAUCUCUUAACGGCUUCACCAGAUAGACUACUUAUCUCGUAAGUGAUCAGCUCAGAUAAUAGAACUAUAGGCGCGUUAAUGAAAAGCUCAAUUCAUUCAAUUGAAAACAGAACUGUAAAUUGAGGAUGUCACAACUCUUCCCCUCUUAUAAAAAUUUCGUCUUCGAAAUUUAAACCAUCACAACCUUUCCCCCAAAAAGGUGGGGGUACAGUUGUCUUAUUGAAUCUUGGUGCGUAGAACCUGGUCUUUUCGAUCCACAAUCUAAACCGAUCUUUUCACAUAUGACAUUGUCGUCCACAUCUAAUUCUUUAAAAUUCAGCACAUGGGUCAGGUCAGGUUCAUACUUCCUCAGCAUCGACACGUGAAAGACAUUGUACACUUACGCCAACCUCGGCAGCAAUGCGUUAGAAUCGCUUUUCUUUCCAAAAUCUCGAAGGGACCUACGUACCUCGGACUCAACUUCCCUUUCUUGCCAAAGCAUGAAGUGCUCACCAAAUGGGAAUUCCAAAGGCCUUCGACGCUUAUCAACGUAGCUUUUCUAGUGGCUCUGAGCGGUCUUUAAUCUGUCUCUGAUGAUGGCAACUGCAUCCACUGACUGCUGGACUAACUCUAGGCCUAUGAUCUUUCGUUCUCCAACCUCAUCCCAACACAUUGGCAUUCUACAUGCUCUGCCAUACAACGCUUCAAAACGAGCCAUCUGAAUGCUCUGCUGGUAGCUGUUGUUGUAGACAAACUCGACAAGAUGAAGCUGUUCCUCCCAGCUUCCCCUGAAAUCCAACAUGCAAGCUCACAGCAUGUCUUCGAGGGUUUGAAUCGUCCUCUCAGAUUGGCCAUCUGUCUAAGGAUGAUAAGCCAUACUGUACUACAGCUUCGUUCCUAAGACAGCCUACAAACUCUUUCAAAAAGCAGUUGUGAACCUUAGGUCUUGAUCUGAUGUAAUCGUUACCGGCACUCCAUGCAGACGAACAAUCUGACGCACAUACAACUCUGCAUGCCUGUCCAAAUCAAGGUCCUUUCGUACUACGAUGAAGUGAGUCGACUUCGUCAAUCUGUCGACCACUACCCAAAUGGAAUCAUUACCCCUCUAACUCCUUAGUAAGCUUAUCACAAAGUCCACUGUGAUGUGCUCCCAUUUCCACUUGGGAAUCUCGAGAGGUUGCAAAAGUCCUCCUAAUUUACAAUACAGUGCCUUUACUUGUUGACCUGUCAGACACUUUGCGACAUACUUGGUGAUAUCCGCCUUCAUACCAGACCACUAAUAGUGUUGACGCAGUUUCUGAUACAUCUUUGUACAGCCAGGAUAAAUGCUGUAACUGUUACGAUGAGCUUUUGAUAAGAUCUCUUCUUUAAGAUCUGCAUUGUCAGGUACACACAACUGCCCUCGGAACCUUAGUGUUUCGUUCUCAGAAGUCCAAAAAUCAGCCUUCUUCUUUUCGGUAUUCUCUUGCAGGAUCUUUUGAAUCUUUGGGUCUGUCCACUGAAGUAUCUUUAUUCUAAUCUACACUUCUGGCUCAAUCCUAAGGGUAGCCAUAAGAUUUGAAAGGUGGCCUACCUCAAAUUUGAAAAUCGAAUCUUGAGCUUUCUCGAGUAAAACUCAUUCCUUAACCAUCAUAUGUGCAAUUGAAGACUUCUGACUCAUCGCAUCUGCGACAAUGUUCACCUUUCCAGGGUGAUACAAGAUAUCACAAUCAUAGUCCUUCAGAAGUUCCAUCUAGUGACGCUGUCUCAUAUUCAACUCAUUAUGAGAGAAUAAGUAAUUAAGACUUUGAUGGUUAGUGAAGAUCUGGAAUCUUUCUCCACACAAGUAAUGUCUCCAAAUCUUCAGAGUGAAAAUUAUUGCCGUGAGUUCUAAGUCAUGUGUCGGAUAAUUCAGCUCAUGAGGUCUCAACUGACGGGACGUAUAUGCAACAACCUUACCAUGUUGCAUCAGCACGCAACUCAGUCCUCUAAAUGACGCAUCACUAUAGACCUCGUAUCCUCCAAAACCAGAUGGUAUGAUCAGCAUAGGUGUGGUAGUUAGCUUCUGCUUAAGCUCUUGGAAACCACACUUACACUUGUCUGUCCACACAAACUUCUAUUCUUUCUUCAGUAGUCGAGUCAACGGUGAUGCUAAUGCUGAAAACCCUUCCACGAACCUUCUAUAGUAUCUUGCCAAACCCAAAAAGCUUCUGAUCUCUAUCACAGUUGUCGGUCUUGGUUAGUUGAUAACUGCUUCAAUCUUGGUCGGGUCAUGGAGAUUCCUUUGCCUGAAAUCAUGUAACUUAGAAACGCAACACGAGUCAACCAAAACUUGCACUUACUGAACUUAGCAUACAGUUCAUGAUUCCUUAGGGUCUAAAGUACCAUCCUCAAAUGCCUUUCUUGUUCCUUUGAACUUCUUGAAUACACCAGGAUAUCUUCAAUGAACACGAUCACAAACUAAUUUAGUUAUUCUUUGAACACUCGGCUCAUCAGAUCCAUGAAAGCAGCUGGGGCGUUCGUCAAAUCAAACGGCAUUGCAGUGAAUUCAUAAUGGCCGUAUCGAGUACGAAAUGCUGACUUCGGUAUGUCCUCUUUUCUAAUCCUCAGCUAAUGAUACCAUGUCCUUAAGUCGAUCUUAGAAAAUAUCGAUGCUCCUUGAAGUUGGUCAAACAAGUCAUCGAUUCUCGGGAGCGGAUAUUUGUUCUUGAUCGUCACUUAAUUGAGUUGACGAUAGUCGAUGCAUGGACGCAAUGAACCAUCCUUUUUCUUCACAAAUAGAACUGGUGCUCCCCAAGGUGAUGCACUGGGACGUAUGAAUGCCUUAUCCAACAAUUCAUGCAUCUGCACCUUCAGUUCUUUCAACUCAGAUAACGCCAUUCGUUAAUGAGCCUUAGAGAUUGGCUUUGUUCCGGGUGUUAACUCGAUCACGAACUUAAUCUCUCUCUUUGGUGGCAGGCCUAGCAAUUCUUUUGGAAACACGUCUGGAAACUCUUGAACCACUGUGAUAUAUUCGAUCUUCAGCUCCUCAACUGUCGUGUCCAUGAUAAUCGCCAGGUAACCUUGACAACUCUCGUCUAACAAACAGGUUGCCUCAAGUGACAAGAUUAAGGAAAUUGAGGGUCCUCAUCGACCCCCAGUAAACUCGAAAAUUUCACCCCCUAACGAGUUAAACUGAAUCGAGUUACGAUAGCAGUCCAUCUUAACUCAUUGCUUGGUGAGCCAGUCCAUGCCAAUUAUCACAUCAAAAUUAUACAUAGCUAAGACUAACAAAUCUAUCCUCCCCUCUCGCUCACCAAUCACUAACUUGAAACCAGGACAACCCACUGUAGCUAACACAUUAUCCUUUAACGGUGUAGAUAUGCUAACCACUGACUCCAACAACUCAGGAAUCAAUCCUACUAGCUUAACAAACUAUUCAGCUAUAAACGAAUGAGUUGCACCAAGAUCAAAUAAAACAUAAGCAGUGUGGUCGUUCAGCGAAACCGUACCUAUAAUCACAUUAGACGCGUCCUCAGCCUGCUGUAGUCCCCUCGACUUUCUAGGACAAUCUCUGGCUAAGUGACCCAGCUGGCCACACUCGAAAUAAGCACCCAUCCUUAAAUGGCACAGGGUUAAACCAUGUCAUCUUCCACAAAAGUGACACAUGCCAUUCUGACUCAUCGCUGACUUGUCGAUUCCACCCUUCCUAUUGGGUGGGACAUGAUACCUUCCUCCAGUCAUGGGACUCUUCCCAAAUCGAUUCCCGUCUCUAUUUGAACCGAACCUUGAACCAGGCAAGGCGGCUUGCUCACUCAAACUUCUCUCUAUUAGCUGGGCCCGACCAUAUACCUCAUUGUAAUCCUUGAGAUUAAGCGGCACCAGUGGGUUUCUCAGCUCUGGUCAAAGGUUGUUCCUGAACCUCUGAGCUUUGUCUUCCAGAUCUUCCAUCAAUCUUGGAGCGUACUGAGACAGCUCAGCAAACUUUGAUUCGUACUGAUCCACGGUCAACAUCCCUUGACGGAGGCGCUGAAAUUCGUCCAUCUUCUGCUCUCGGACGCUACUUGAAAAGUACUUGUUGUUAGAGGCUCUGAGAAAAUCGUUUCACAUCGGGACUACGCCUUCGGGGGAAACUGUGCCUCUAGUGGCUCUCCACCAAGUAUUCGUGUUACCUUGUAGCUGGUAUACUGCCAGGACAACUUUCUCCUCUUCAGUGCAUAUCAGAAAUGCAAAGGCUUUCUCUAGGUCUUGGAUCCAGAGCAAUGUAGACUCGGGAUCAAUCUCAGGAUCUCCUACGCCAGUGAACCUCGGCGGGUUUAGCUUCAAAAAUUGUUCCACGAGCUUAUGUAUCGGCCUCUCUCUCUCUCAAUUACUACGUUUCUAGGUGGAACUUCGGCAAGUGCAACAGUGGCUGUGGCUUCAGUAAUGGCGACAACGGCACUUGUAGCGGCAGCAAUAGUGGUGGUGGCUUGAUUCUAGGCUUGCUGCCCCAUCAGUGCUCCUAAUGCCUCAAGCACCUGCAUGAUCCCGUUGAUCCUAGGAUUACCAGGGGCUGCUACCCCAGCACCAAUAGGAGGCGGUGCUACUCCACUAGCGCUAGUCUGAACUAGCACUUUACCACAAUCCCCUCGGGUACCGACCCUUGUCAGCGUCUUACCCCGAGUAACAGGUCCAAUGGUUCUCUUCCUAGGAGUCCUCUGCUCCUGAUCACUCAUGCCGCAGAUUCUAUACAGAAACUUGCCUUCCAAUUCCACAUAAAAUUAAAAGCUGAGCGAUCCCCACAAAACAAUUUACCAACCAACUAUCAAUCACAUGCACUAGCAUAAAACAAAGGUCAUCCUACUAAUUAUCCCAUAACCUAUUGCACCUUAUCACUCCAACUAUCGACCAGCUCUAAUACCACUCCGGGCAGGGAUGUCAUGCCCUAAUCCUCAAGUGCAUGCCCAUCCCUUGGUGGUCGAUAAAUUUGCAAUGUCCCAUGACGCGUCACCGAUCCUUUCAUUAAUGCACAUGCGAAAGCGAAACAAUAUCCCUGAUAACAACUAAUAUGGGAUAGAAAAGUAGGAAACAUAUUCACAAUCAAAACACUUUUAUAAACACCUCGGUUUAUAUACAGACUAGUCUAUAAAUAGGAGUCUAUAAAAGCAAACAAGCCUACAAGUCCUCUAGGCUGAUGAAUCCCCGAUUGAAAACUCCGAGGUCUCCUAGGGAUUUGGGUCCACCACUGCACCACUAGGAGGGUCAGUUGUACCCUCGCCAAAGGCAACUUCUAACACCCAUACAAGGACCUCAAAAUCCUACAAAGGACCCUCUUUGUGUCCAUUAAGCCUACGAUGAUACCAUUCUCUAAAUUAAUGGGGUACCCUCUGGGGUAGACCUGCAUCGACCCAGACGAUGGUCCUCACAAGUUCAUAGACCCAGACCCCGUGGCUUGGAAUAGGGAUAUCGGUGCCCUGCUCGGUAAUCCUCUUGGGCUGGCCAAAACGUUCUGGAGGAACCACUAUCUAAGGACCCGAAAAGGUUGAGCCCAUGAUGGGGUGAGACAAUAUCUCAGCAAGUUCACCCCCUUAACUCCGACUAAGAAGGAAAUAGGCCUAGAGGCAGUUAUACACACAAGUUAGAAGACUUACCUUACCUCAGUUCCCUCCUGCACGUCAAUAUAGUUAUAAUCUCAACCAAUCAAUCCCAUCCAAUCGAUCGUUCAAUACGUUCAAUACCAUCAAUACCAUCUAUAAAUUCAAUACCAUCUAUCCAUCAUCGAUAUGAUCGCUACUCACACAAGCUAAAAUAGAUGGUCAUAACUCUCACAAGCUGACAUAUAGAUGGUAGCUCGCACAAGCUGAUAUAUAUAUUAUAGCUCACCUAAGUUGAUAUAGUAUACUACUCUUACAAGCUGACAUAUCAAAGCACACUUAGGCUGAUAUAGUAUACUGUUCUCACAAGCUGACAUACAAUAAUACUCGCACAAGCUGACGAUUUAAUAUGGCUCACAUAAACUGAUACCCGAUAAAAAUAAUCGUGUAUGGGUACAUGAUCAAUCUGAGCCAAAAUGCUAUAUCUUUCUUUUCAAAACUCCUACUAUUUAAUAUAGUGCCUAAAAAUAUUUUUGGCAUUAAAAAUCGAUGCCUUGGUAUUUUUUGAUUAAAUACCGAAAUUACACAAUUUUGGGAUAAAUAUCCAAAAUUACAAUCAUCACUCAAUUUGCAUGAAAUAGCAUCCGAUUAAAUAAACCAAGCACACCAUUGCAAUCAGCACGAAAUUUCAAUCACUAGCUAUCUCGGUAUAAUUUUCGAAAAAUAACAAAUAAUUAAAUAAAUACCAAAAAUAAUUAAAUAAAUACAAUUAAUUACCAAAUAUGCAAACUUAGGCCAGAAAUGCUUAAUUAACCACCCGAACAGGCCGGGAAAAUUUAUGAACCUAUCUAAAUAAAUAGUACAACUUAUCUAGUCUCUAAUCCAUCCACUCUAACCACCUAACAUGCCCAAACGAAUAAUUAAAUCACUAAUCCAUUCUAACUAACCACCUAAACCAUACUUAGCCUAAACUAAACACCCCUUAAAUGUCAUUAACUCCAUAAGUAGAGUUUAGCAAGUAAACUCACCGAUUUAGCGAUCCGGUGAGUCCACGACGACGGUGAUGCAGAAACGGGCGACAAACCUCCUAGCGGCAACGCCAAACAAGACUCGGAAGAGGCCCGAAACUGCCCACGAAGGCUCACAGCUGAGCUGGGCUUCCGGUUUUAUCCUAGGCCGAGCAAGCUGAAACUAGUGGCUGAAACGGCAAAGUGGGUGAACCAAUGGUUGCAACGAGCGACAACGGGCGACGGCGACUACUUUGGCCACAUGAACGGCGACUGAAGGACUUCAACGAUGGCCUAAGAUGGCUCGGGGGCACGGCUAGGUGUGACGGGAGGCAAGAAGGUGAGACGAUCGCGCGGGGACUCAAGUGGCUGCUCAAGCGAGCGACGGCGUUGGACGGCGGCUCUGGUGACUCGAUGAGUGUGCAACAGCUAGGGGGAAGGGGCUACUUGGUUUCUCUUCAAUUUCUAAGCUUCAAGAGAUCUAAAAAUGGAGAAAGCAAGUCUGCUGAGGAAGAAGGAGACAAUUGAAGAGUGGAGGGUCCCUCAAAGCCUCAAAAGCCUUCCAUUCUAUCCCCUUUGUCCCUUGGCAAGGCCCCACCAGCCAUGGCUGUCAUCCAUGGCCCCUUGGCAGCCCAAGACUUCCCUUAGAAGCUUCACCAACUGGUCCAAAUGUUUCGUCCCCCAUGGCCUACGAAUUUUGCACCAAAUUCCCUCAAACCCACUUUAAUUCUCCUUCAAUUGGAUCUAAAUCGGUCCCCAUAAAAUCAACCAAGGUGUCAUCAUCCCAUUCAACAUUUUUCCUCGUCAAUUCGUCCAACUGGAAUUCCAAAAACGCGAUAAAAAAUGGCCUUCUGAUUUUUCCGAACAAAAACGGCCCUACUUUGGGAUUUUGCCAAAAAUCUCGAUUUGUAGAAAAAUCUUUGGAGGGUGAGUCGACAGUCCUAAAAUGAAUCGUAACAUAACAGAACUUUCAAUUUCUGAAAUUAGGUUUAAAUUCGCGGUAAAUUUCAAUCUGGCGUGAUUUUAGUAUAACCUAAUCUACCGGGUAGCUUUUAGAAAAUUUUAGUGCAAUUGACCCAUGGUCGAUUAUUUUCGAGCCACAUUGUACAUUUUCAAUAUAUUGGUGACUCUCGAUUGUCGUGAAAAUCUGGAGGUUUCAAAUACGGACACAGGGUACCAAAACGACAGAAAAAUCGGUCUAGUGCUGAUCAACGAGAAUUUUGCAAUUAGGUGGAAUCACCUACACUUAAUCACAUGGCUCAGUUGAGUCAACCUAUCUCUAGUCUCUAAUUGAUUUUUAACUAUUCCGUAAUGACUCUUGCAGACUAGCACGGUCGAGCAGUCGAUUUCUGGUCAAAUUCUCAAAUUUAUUGCGUUAAAAUCCCUUAACAGCUUCACUGGAUAGACUAGUUAUCUUGUGAGUGAUCAGCUCAGAUAAUAGAACAAUAGGUGCAUCGAUGAAAAACCCGAUCAUUCAAUUGAAAACAAAACUGGAAAUUCAGGAUGUCACAACAUAUUGAUAAGGAGACUCCGAGCUACGGAAGCACGCCAUGUUGAUUACCUAUAGAGAUAAACUUCAAGAAUGUAUAAAUGAAUUUCGAGGCUUCAGAGAGUAAUUGGAACGUCAGGUGUUACUCGAUCUUCACGGAAAUAUUACCUGUCAAACACGGUUAGAGCUAAAACAUAUAUGUAGUCAUCAAAGAAAUAGACGAUCUAAGCUAAUCUAGAAUGCACACUCCAAAGUCCACCAAAGCUUUCAUCAAUUCAAUCAAUGUUUAUGCAUAAUGAUUUUACCAUAUUUGCACCACCAAAUUUCCACUGGAGAGAAUUAUUAUUCAAGACAAUUUUCACUUAUAAUGUCAACUUCUUGAAAAUGUGAAAUGAGAGAUUUUUAAUUAGAAAGGACUUUCACUCACUUCAUUUAGAAAGGCUAUUUUAUGAGAAUCACUUCAUCUCACCAUCAUCAUAUCAACAAGGGUCUAAGUAUUCUCGUGAACAGUACGAUCUUACCAAUCCGAGAGGUCUUUUUUAGGACCGUAAUGUAGGCUUGGUCAAUGGCUUAACAAAGGGGGACUCUUUGAGUCAAGGCUGUUGAAAGAACAAAACAUCACAAUCAUCUCUGCGUUUACAAGUCAAGAAAAUUGCGAAAUAAGAUAGAAAUAAUAUUGCUCACACUUCUUCGAGCGAUGUUUAUAAACAUAUGAAUAGCUACUUUAAUUCAAGUGCCAUAAUUUGAAAAACUUUGCAGGGAACAUAACGUAGGCUAGGUUUAUGGGUUGAAAAAUGAAAUGAUUAUUAGGCUCAAAAUGUAUAUAGAGGGAUAAGAGUUGAUGAUCAUCUUGGCAUUGCCACCAAUUUUCUUCUUCACCAUCGAGGAUUGUCUUCAUAAUACUCCAUUGACUGCAACACCUUGGUAUUUGGGUACUUUAAGUACCGCUCCAUUGGGGAUACAUCUCUUGAUAAAUGAUGGUCAUCUAUCUUGACUUCUUUUCUUUUCUUUUUUUUUCAUGUUCCCCAUGGACAUUGGCCUUAUUUUUAUCGGGCACACUGCUUUUUCGUGUCUUUAGAUUUCAUUCAUUUUUUUCUUCACCUCUUUUUUCAUGAGCAUUGACCUUACUUUUAUUAGGCACACUACAUUUCAUGCUUCCUAGUUCUUUUUUUAUUUCAACUUUUGACUUUUGACACACUGUCUACAAUUAUAUUGAAUAGCCACACACAUUGGUUUGUUUCUACCAAAUGAUUUAACAUUUGAACUCACAAGGUAUUCGUCUUCCGCUGGCAUUCUUUAUCAUGCUGCUUGAAUGAUUGUCUUUUGCCUUACCCCAAUGUAGGGGAUGAUCACCAAUUGGGUUUGUAUGAAAUGAAAUGCAAGCUCAAGUGAGUUAUGCAAACGAUAUGAGUGUAUAUGAUAGAGAAAUGACCGCUCUUCAUCAUCUUAAGGCACUUAAUUACCAUAUGAAUUCAUCUGUAAUAGCAAUACUUGAAGAUUGAUGCAAGUGAGAGCAGGAAAAUUCCUAUCUAUUCCCUCACCUCAUGAUGUUGUCCUACCUCAUGUUUGCCCCAGUUCUAUUUUUUCUUGAUAGGGGUAAUUUUGAAAAAAAACAUUCUCCACAAGUGUAUGGACUUAAAGGGGUUAACCAAUAGAUUACCUGUAGUGCUUGGGAUAGAGAAAUGAAUUAUCUCUCAUUAUUUUGGUCAUCGUACCUUUCGAGAGAGAACCUUUUACCUUGUGGAUAUGGAAUUUUUCCACACUCACCUCACAUUGUAUAAACAAUGGAUUGUGUAUAGGAUAGGGCUUGCCUUUCUUUAUAUUGACGCAUCUCAUUUAGCCUGCUCAAUCCACUUCACAUCAUUCAUUAAAUUAAUUUUUCUUGAAAAAUCUCCACACGAAAUUGGCCAAUAAAACAGGUAAAGUCACCAUGUAAAUUCUCUUUUCAAAAGCACCUAGCAACUUUAAGCAUGAAAGACUUUGUAACUUCAGAGCAAACAAUUUACCAUACUUAAAAAGUGUUUUCAUAAGCAUGAAAACAUGUUUUUGAGUAUUCAUUCAAGGAAUUGCCUAGCAAAAGGACUGUCUCAGCAAUAGGUGUUCUUGGAUUGCCAUUAUCUAAAUGGAAUGAACAUAUGAGAUGAUCAAUCGAGACUGAAAAUGCAAUUUUUGAUUUGAUAAACACUCCAUUCUUGCUUUUGUUCCUACACGAGAAUGUUCAUGAAUAAUAUACUAUACAAACAAAAGGAAAUGCAAAUUGAACAUCCAUUUUGGCUCAGAAUGAGAUUUUAUUUUGAUUGGGUCAUUGCUAGAACCUAUCAUGGCCCCAAUUUGUCGUCUUCAAGGAAAAGAACAAAGUGUCAUUUCCAAAAUCUUUUAUGUUCAUGAAUGAGAUGUACCUCUUUUAUCGAAUAUGGAUGAUCCUCUUUUGACUUGUCCCUCAUUUUCUCAUCAUGUCGUUUGGCUCUUCGGGGUUGAUAUCGCACACGAGAAGUAAUGAGAUGUGCCCCCACAUCUCGCUUUGAAAGCUAGGUGAUCUUCUUUUGGCUUGCCCUCAGUUUCUUAUUGAUGUGCGAGAAAACGGCUUGGGACAAUUGUGGAAAUAGGAAGUGUUGAAAACCUUCUUCAUUCUUUGGAGAUGCCAUCACAAUCAGCCAAGAAGUGGUCAUUUGCUCCCACAUGAAUUUUUCCUUUGGAUGUAUGUUCCCAAAUUUGUUGAUUAGCAAUUGAAUCAAAUGCCUCUCUAUUAUAAAAUGCUGUUGAAUUAUACACUGAGACGUGAAGUAAAUGAGUUAGAAAAACAAAUAAGCCUAAGUUGAUGUAUGCUUUUAACAAUUGGUACAAAAUGAUUCUUUUUUUUUUUUUUUUGAAAUUUUAUUUUUGGUGUGGAAGCAUGAUGAAGCUCAGGUCUUACAAUUCUCCUUAGAUCUUACACUUUUUAUCAGUUGGAUAUCAUCAUCGAGCCGGUUUGGUGUACCCCAUCAUGCCCUCAAAACGAAACUUGUAAUUUUAUUGAAAUUCACCAAUGAAAUUAUAUUUAUUGGAGUGAAAAGUGUGACAAUCAAUUCCUAGAAAUGAAACGAAAUCCUAGCAAGCAAGCAAAUCUUAGAAAGCAGCAAAAAUUCCCACGUAGGGAGGGUGCAAGUGAACAUGCCCCUAAUUAAAUAAGGAAAUCAAGCUACUUAGAACCAUGAAUUAUGUGUACUUGGGUUCUUCACCCUCCUUAGUCUUGUGAGGUGAAUGCUCUAAGGUCAAAUAUUUUUCCUUCUAGAUACAUCACCAAUCUUUUCUUGGUCGCAUCAAAUUUUACUACCUCAGAAAAUGAGAUGGUUCAAGAGUCCUUAGCUCUCUUCUUUGGAUUGAAAUUUCCCACUGAAGAUGAUGUAUCCAUGUGAUCAUAGCACUUUCGCUUGACGAGACAAGCUACAGUAGUAUGCAACUCAUCAGCCUGACUAUGGAGGCUUGCAAUUCACUUGUUCGUGUCAUUGUCAAAUUAGCAAUAUUGCUCAACACUUCAUUUUGAUAAGUCAUUUUAGCUCUCGACCAUGUAUGUAUGGGUGAGCAGGAUCGCUCCAUAAUCACCUAGUUCAAAUGAAUAAGAACAUAUAAGUACAUGGAAUAAAUAAAGAGCUGGCACAUGACGACGAUCUAAUUUUUUUUUUUUUCAUUUAUUUGCGAAAAGUCUAUACAUGAAAGGAAUUUCCUAAAAAUGAACUAGGAAAAUACAGACAGCAUACUCUAGAAAGGACUAGAAAAUAAGGAUAUCAAAUUCCUAAACAUGAACUAGGAAAAGUAAAAGUUUGAGACUCUCCCUAAUGAGAACAACAAAGGCAUGCAUUGAAAACAAAUUUUCAGAGUUUUCUUUUUGCCAUUUUUUUAAACAACAACAAAUUUCUUGGGAAAUAACAAUCUAUGACACGACUAUGAAAAUAAAAGGCAUAAAUUAAAAGUAAAUUAUCCAAAUUUUUUUUUUAAAGGACUCAGUGAUUGUUACUUCUAAAUCGAAAUGACCAUGAUAUUAACUUCCUAAUUGACCUAUUCCCAUCAUGGACUGACCAAAUGUACGGGAAAGUAAAUAAAUUGCAAAGAAAAGGUUUAGAAGACUUACUUCACCAAGUACGACAACGGCAAACACACAGACAUACACAUGGUAUGUGGCUCAAUUUCUAUUCUAGACAGCUUAAAAAAAUAGAGCCACAAGGAUGAUUGGACUAGCCGCGACGCAUGUGGACUAAGUCAGGUCCUCAUGACUCUGACUUGAUCGAAGAGCCGACUUGGGUCGCAAGCACAUGGACCAGGGUGGGUAUUCUUGACAUCAAGAAAAAAGAUUCGGGAUGGAGAUGGACGACUCGUACUGCGUGCAUGUGAUUGGAGUGAUAUCCAUUUCAAAUCAAUAAGGAAAAAAAUAUUUUCUAUUAUCAUUUGCCAACAUAUAUUACAGAGAACAUAUCAUUGUCUUUCAAGACGUACUUAUAUAAGAAAGCACAAAAUAAAAAUGAUACUCAUGUGAUAUUCCCAUUGAAUUUGCGAAAAAAUUAUGAACUUUGAUGAAUAUUGCGUCGAUCUUUUGAAACGCAAUUUCUUUCUCAACACCUCUUACAAGACCCCAUAAACUGGGUUGCUCGCUCAAAGCAUAGAAAAACACAUUUAGAAGAAAUUUGAAAAGAUAUCUAGAGCUGUUCACAUAUAAAAGGAGUGUUAGAUUUUGAAGAGCGAAAAAUCAACAUUUCUGACCUUCAAAAACGUGGUGAAUUCUUAGUCCCGUGUCUUCGUCAACAAACACUGGAGUUUCAUUAGAGCAUCCUAUUUAUUUUUUCUACCAAGAACAUAUAUACCCUUAUUCCUUCUAAACAAAUCUCAUCAGGUAUGAUAGUCAUAUGACAUCUUGAUUUUCGAGUCUGAUUUCAAUGAGAUGAAAUGGGCUUUUCAUCGACGCGCUUAUGGCCUUAUUCUCUGAAAGGGCCCCUCACGAGAUAACUAGCUUAUCAGGUGAAGCCGUUAAGGGACUUUAAUACAAUAACCUUGAGAAUUCAACUUGGAAUCGACUUCUCAACCGUGCUAGUCUACAAGGGUUAUUAUGGCACCAUCAAAAUCGAUCAGAGACCGGAGAUAGGUCAAUUCGAUAGAGAUAUGUGAUUAGUAUGUGGGUGAUUCCACCUAAUUGCAAAAUUCUCGUCGAACAGCACUAGAUCGAUUUUUCUAUCAUUUUGGUACCCUGUAUCCGUAUUUGAAACCUCGAGAUUUUCACGACAACCGAGAGUCGCCAAUGUGUCAAAGAUGCACAAUGUGGCUCGAAAAUAAUUGACCACGGAUCAAUUGCACUAAAAAAAUUCCUAAAAGCUACCUGGUAGGUUAGAUCACGUUAAAAUCGCAUCAUAUUGAAAUUAACCGCGAAUUUGAACCCGAUUUCAGAAAUUGAAAGCUCUGUCAUGUCACAAUUUAUUUUAGGAAACUCAUCCUUCGAAGAAUUUUCGGCGAUCUGGGAUUUUUGCGGAAAAUCGAUUCGGACGGUUCGGAAAAUAACGGAAAUUUGGAUUGGCCAAAUUGAAUGGAUUUUUGGCCUCCUUACCGAGCCUUUGAGUGUUGGAAACUUGUAGAAAUUUUGUGGGCUUCAUCUUCAUCAAAAUUUGGACGUCAAAAUGGGGAAUUUCGUGGAGGAUUUGAAGCUCAAUUGUUGAAAUUCGGAGCUUUGUAUAAGAGGUUGGAUUUUGUGUAUCAAUUUGAAUUAUUUGUGGAUUAAAAGUUAGAAAGAAAUAGAGGACAAGAGGGAUAAGAUUAGGGGCUUGUGGGGACCAAGAUUUGAUGAUUUAGAUAUUUUAAUUUGGACUUUCAAGGCUUCUCUUGCAAGCUUGCCGCCGGUCCUCAUCUUCUUUGCUCGAGCACCCCGUUGCUCUUUCUUUUCAUUUUCUCUUCCUCGCAUACUUCAAGCCCUCCUUCAAUUUUCCUUCGUCACUGAUUUUCUCUGCCCCUUCCCUGGUGUUAUCCCCCAUCAUUUCCUUUUACUAGUUGCCGCAUCAUCCCCAUCACCUCUAUCUUCACUCCUCCUCUCUCAUCCUGUUUGGUCAACCAUCAGCACACCGAUCCUCCUUCUUCUGCCACGAGACCACUCACCACCGAAGCUUAUCUCCAUGAAGCAAGUCCACCGAGAUCUAUAUUCACCCGAGUCAACCAACAGCCGGUUUGUUGACCCUGCAGCUCCUAGCGAUCGUGGCCAUCUCCACUUCGCUUUCUUGCUGCCACCGUUCAAUCCAGCAAAGCCCACGAUCGACCAGCCGCAGCCCAGCAUCUUCAGUCCACAACAUCACAUCCUCCACCAGCGAUUUCUUUCCACUGCCACCGUCCGUGACUCACCUACCCUCGAAGACAGCCCUUACCGCCAUCUUUCUCCUCGUGUCCUCAGCUCCAUCGACUUCGCUGCUUCCUCGUCCACGCGUCUUCAGCGGUCAACCAGCAAAGCCCAGUUGACCCGAGCAGCGAAGCCCGAAGCCCAGCGUCCCCCUUGCUGCUUCUUUGUUCAGCCCAAUUGAAGCCGAAGUCCAGCCCAGCGAAUUCAGUCCAUGCAUUGUUCUUCAGCCGUUGCAGCCCGUGAACUUAAGCCCACUUGAAGUCAACCCACGGAAGCCCAGCCGCAUCUCAGCCCAAGCCCAGACCAAGCCCAACAUUUUUCUAUGGGCUUGCAAGGCCUUUUUGGCCCCGUCCAAGUGCCCGUUGACGCUGCCGAAAGUUCAGGUUUCAGCCGCCAUCGCAGUGAACUGGUUCUCACUUUAAACUGGUGAGUUUAUACACUAAACUCUUCUUAGUAGGCUAAUGACAUUUAAGAGGUGUUUAGUUUAAUUUAAUUAAGGUUUAGAACGGAUGGUGGUUAGAACGGAUAGAUUAGGGACUAAAGUAGUUGUAUUAUUUAUCUAGAUAGGUUCGGAAAUUUUCCGAGCGCGUUUCAGUAUUUAAUUUAGGAAUUACGGCCUAAGUUAUUUAAAUUGAUUUAUUUAAUUAAUUUCGGUAAUUAUCUAAUUAAUUAAUUAUUUUCCGAAAAUUAGACUGGGAUAGCCGAUGACCGAAAUUUCAUGCUAAUUGUAAUGGUAUGCGUGGUUUAUUUAAUUGAAUGCUAGAUUGUGUAAAUUGAGUGUGUUUGUAAUUUUGGGUAAUAAUCCCAAAAUUGAAUAAUUUCAGUAAUUAAUUAGAAAUUAUCGGGGCGUUGAUUUACAACUCCAAGAAUGUUUUUAUAGACUAUAUAAAUAGUGAGAUUUUCUAAAAGAAAUAUAUUAUAUUUUUGGCGUAGGCCGACCGUGUAUCCACACAUGAUUAUUUUUAUCGGGUAUUUUUAACAUGAAUAAAUUAGGCCAAGAUAUUACUUUAUGUGGCAUCCCAAAAUUCAAAGCCAAGCCAUAAGGUGUGUUAAAGUCUUUAAUUAGGUGAUAUAAUUUCCAUGGUUUAUGUUUUAGCCAUUAGUCUUUUAAUUGGAUGAUUUGUGCUUAUGGUUGUGAAAAUUCAAAUUCGAUAGAUUAAUAAUUUAUGCUUGGCCAUGUGCUUUAAAAAUUAAAUUUCAAUAAAUAAAAUGCCCCAAGACUUUGGCCAAGAUAGAAUUUGAAUUUGGAAAUAAUUAUAGAAAGGAAUUCAAAAAAAAAAAAAAGAGGGAAAAAGGGGGUUAAUUUUCGAAUGGGCCUUAAACCCAUUUGGCCUAAGCUUGAUGGGCCAAGCUAGCCGGCCCAAUAGAGGCCCAAGAGAGGAGUAGUCGCCGGCCAUAGAUGGCCCAAGCCCAAGAAGCCCAAAUUCAAAAUUCAAUUGGACAAGUGGCACAAGGCCCUCAUGCAUUGGCCUAGACUAGGAUGCCAUGCAUUGGUCCAAUUAAGUGGCAUGUAAUCAUUAGCAAUGAUGGGCUCUAGGGGGUAUAAGAGGAGAGGAGAGAGAGAAGGUGGCCGGAUUUCUUUUGGCCGAGAGAGAGGGUGCGAGAGAGAGAGAGAUUUCGAGAGAAAGAGGGAGAGGCCGAGAGAGAGAGGAAGGAGGGAGUCACCGUCGCCGCCGUGUCCGUCCGCUGUACGCCGUCGUUUGUUCAUCCUAGAGGCAAGUGGAGUCCUCUAACUUCUCUUGCAUGCUUGUAUAUUGUUUGUUUGUUAGAUUUUGGGUGUUUUAAGUGAGAAAAACCGAGGUAAGGUUGGCUUGUUCUUAAGUCGUGUGACUGUUCUUGCUCGGGUUGUGGGAGUCCGUAACUUCUUUGAGCUUGCAUGUGUGUUUGGAGUCAGAUUUUGGCUUCGAUGUCUUAAUGAAAGCUGUAGCUAACAUCUUUUACUAUAACAUACUGAAAUUUAGUGAAAAAUUAUGGAGAUUUGAGGGGUUAAAGUAUUGUUAUACGGAGACCUCAGAUCUGGAGAGUUUUUACUGACCUCUUGCUGGAUUCAUGGUUUCAUGUUGGUUUUUGUUGAGAAUAUCACUUAUAUUUCUUCAUGAAAGUUGUAGGAGACAUAUUAAACUACAACAUACUCAAAUUUGAAGUGAAAUGAACAAGUAUAGCCUAGUGAAUCGACUAGAUAUUGAAGAAAAUGAUUCUGGUGGUGUAUUUUGAGAUACCCGAGACUUCAAGGACCUAAAUGAUGACUCCACUCUGAUUAUUUGACUUGGAUCUCUUCAUGAAACUUGUAGAGGAUACCUUGAUGUAUAACAUAUAUAAAUUUCAGAGGAAACGAAAGAGAAUAGCUAGGUGAAAUCUCAAUAUUUCGGAGAUGUGUUUACUGGACGAUGCCGUAAUGGAUCCAGAAGCUUCGUGAGGUUGUAUAAAAUAAUCUAAAAAGAAUAUAGCUUGGAGUUAUUCAUGAAAGUUGUGCGAAAAUGUCUUGGCUAUCACUCUGAAAAAUUUCAUAAUUUUUGGAGGCCAUAUGGAUAUUUUAAUCGAAUUUACUCAGAAACUGUGUAUUCUGGUCAUUAUCCGAAUACUAUGUGCUAUUUUGUGGAAAUUGUGAAAUUGUGUGAAAUUCAAGUUGGCCAUGAAUUUUGCAUGAAAUUGCCAUUCUAUUGGUUUGUUUGAUGAUUGCUUGAAUUUUGUGAUUUUGGGAAAUUAUAGAUAUUGAGUUUAAUAUUUAUUUAUGAAAAUAAAUAAAUAUGAUAAUAAAAUUAAAUAAAAAUAAUAAUAAAAUAAUAAUAAUAAAAUAAAAGGGAUUAUUUUAUUGGCCAUAAAUUCCAUUGAAUUUAUUAAUAAAUAAUUAUGCAUUGUUGUAUGUAUGAUAAGACAUUGGUGUAUGUAUGACCAUGAAUUGUGAUGCAUGUGUGAAUCAUAUGCCAUGUUAAAAUGAGAUCAAAAUGAUGAUAAAUGUGGAUAAUGAUAAGUGAGUAAGUGGUUGUGGUGGAGGAUGAGGCCGGAAUGUACAGAGAUGCAUUGCCGGAAUUCCCUGGGAGAUUCAGGAUGCCCGGAAUGUGGGGGGCCGGAAGCCUUGUCGGAGGUCUUUGCCCGAAAGGAAUGCCUCGCGAUGCCAGGAUUGGGGUGCGAGAUGCCUGGCUAGAAGGGUAAAGGCCGGAAGCCCUGUCGGAGGUUUCUGCCCGAAGGGAAUGCCUCGUGAUGCUAGUUGAGAUGCGAGAUGCCCGGAAUGUGGGGGGCCGGAAGCCCGGUGGCCAUGGGAUGGCUGGAAUGCUGGGAACCCUGUCAGAGGUCUUUGCCCGAAGGGAUGAUGAAAUUGAUGAUAUGAGAAAUGGGUGAUGUGGUGAUCAAAUUUAAAGAUAAAAGAUGAAAAUUAACCCAUGAUAUUAUAUGCAUGAUGAUAUGCAUGAUGAUGAUGAUGAUGAUGAUGAUGAUAUGUGAUGUGAAAUAGGGAUGAUCACCUAUGAUAUUAUAUGCAUGAUGAUAUGCAUGAUGAUGAUGAUGAUGAUGAUAUGUGAUGUGAAAUAGGGAUGAUCACCUAUGAUAUGAUAUGCAUGAUGAUAUGCUUGAUGAUGAUGAUGAUGAUGAUAUGUGAUGUGAAAUAAUGAUGAUCACCCAUGAUAUUAUAUGCAUGAUGAUAUGCAUGAUGAUGAUGAUGAUGAUGAUAUGUGAUGUGAAAUAAUGAUGAUCACCCAUGAUAUUAUAUGCAUGAUGAUAUGCAUGAUGAUGAUGAUGAUGAUGAUGAUAUGUGAUGUGAAAUAGGGAUGAUCACCUAUGAUAUGAUAUGCAUGAUGAUAUGCAUGGUAAUGAUAAUGAUGAUGAUAUAUGAUAUGGCUCGAAGACAUGUAUGAUGAAAUGAUGCUAUGAUGAUGAUGUCAUGUAUGAUGUAAUGAUUCCAUGACAUGUAUGUUACAAUGAUGAUACACAUGAAUGUGUCAUGAAUUGAUAUAAUGAUGCAUGAUAGUAUGCGCAUGGCUUCAAGGUAAGUAACGCCUGCAAUGCAUGUAUGAUUGCAUGAUGCAUUGAGUUGUUAUUGGAUUUCCCUAUCUGCUGAGUGGUUGUACUCACCCCUUUUGGGGAUAACAUUUCAGAUUAGCCAGUAUGCCGCUUCCUGCCGUCACGCGUGGGGUAUUUUAUGGUCUACCAUCCGAUGUAGAUGUCGAGUGUGCUGAGAUAGGCUGUCCCUCUGUUCCCGGACUGACUUUUAUUCGAGUACGCUGUCUAGUGAUGUACGACAUAGGCCUGGCUGGGGGCCCUGUCAUUCAGGAGUUCAUUUCUGUGCACGUUCGUCGGGAUGGAGCGAUGCGAGGGAUGUUGCCGCCGCCACCGCCUGAUGCACCGGGUUGGGUGUGAGACCCGCACGCGCGAUGAGUAGGAGCCGGAUCUUUUUGAUGUAGAUAGCCGACACUUUUGAUGGGGGGUUUAUGCUCGUAUGAUGUUGAGGGUCGACGGUUUCUUUUUGAGGUUUUAGGCUGGACGUGACUGAGUCCUAGCUUUUCCUUUUUGUUGUACCGACCCGAAGGGAAUCCCAUCUUGUUAUAUAUGUAUGUAAGUAAAGUGUCGAGGCUUGUUUAUAAAAUGAUGGUGAAUUAGUAGUGUGUAUUUGUAUCAUGGUUGGUAGGGGGAGAGACGGUGAUAUUUUAAUUUGCUUCCACUAAUGAGUCGCAUUGGGACCGAUUGUUUAAAAAAAAAAAAAUGUGUCUGCGAAUUAGGACACUUUUUCGAAAGAAAGAAAGGUAAUAAGGUGGAACAUCGGCGCUGGUGACGACCUGCGAAGGGUUCGGGGUGUCACACUUUAAUUGAGGAAUUUAUGUGCGAAGCACAUUGCCUUUGGACGUGAGUGAAUAGUUGUGUGAUGGUUUAUAGUCAGGGUGGGUUGAUUAUUGAAAGUUGAGGUAAUAUGUGUCGGGUUGAGGGAACCCGAUGGGUCGUGAGCAGGUAAAGGGCUAAGUACUACACAAGUAUGAGAUUUCAUGUGAGUCACCUCUAGUGCCUUAUACCAUUACUUAUUGUAGUCAAGGGUUAAGUGUUACAUGGCAACUUGAGUCUUAUGGGAAUUACCUCUAGUGCGCUGCAGUAUUAUUAUGCAUAGUGAAGGGUUAAGUACUACACGAGAAUGAGACUUCGUGUGAGUCACCUCUAGUGCCUUAUACUAUUGCCUAGUACAACAAAUGACUAAGUACUUCACGAUAGCAAGAUUUCAUGUGAGUUACCUCUAGUGCCUUAUAUUAUUGCUUUUUGUAGUGAAUGGCUAUGUACUACAUGAUAGCAAGACUUCGUGUGAGUUGCCUCUAGUGCCUUAUACUAUUAUUAUUUGCGGUCAAGGACUAAGUGCCGCAUGAUGACAAGAUUUUGUGUAUGGUCACCUCUAGAGCCUUGAGCCUGAUUUUGAGUUAGAAUGUUGAGAGUAAAUAUCGGAUGUAGAUGGAACCCGAUAUGAUUUACCACACCUGAUUAUAAGACAAAAUUGUGUGACACGGAAUGGGACGUGUCAUAACGAUUUGGCCUUAUAAUCAGGACUCUUGUGGAUUGUUUGAUUGAAUGAUGGAUUAAUGGUGUUGAUUCAAUUGAUUGAGUGAUUGAUUGACUAAGAUUGGAUGAGUUAUCCCAAAGGCUCGAGUGUUGUUACUGCACUUAUAUGAUAUAUGAAUUGUGCUAACAUGCAGGAGGGAACUGAGGCAAGGUAAGUUCUUUGUUCUAAUUGGGUGGUUGUCUGAUUAGAGCACUCUAGGCGUAUUACCCUCCUAAUCGGAAUUUAGAGCAUGAACUCGCUGAGAUUUAUAUCUCACCCCAUUGUGGACUAAAUUUUUAGGGCCGUAGAGUGGAGGACCUAAAGCCGAGUUAUGGUGAUCUGAAGAGUAGGUCAGAUAGGACAGCUUCUUUUUGAGAACUAGUCUUUUAAAGUCUUUUGGAUAUAGACUUUUGUAUAUGACUCAGUGUGUGUGUAUAAAAGCAUGUUUUAUUUGUGAAUCUGUUUCCUGCUUUUCUAUCCCAAGCUAUUGAUGUCAGGGGAUUAGUAAUUUGCUUCGCGUGUGCAAUAAAAUGAAGGGUCGUCGACUUGUCCUGGGAAGUUGCAAAAUUUUUAUCGACCGCCGAGGGAUGGGCACACACUCAGGGUUCGGGGCAUGACAAGUCCUCCGCUCCUUCACAUGGAAAAAUUCCUAUGCUUUUGGAUGACCCCAAAAGAAUGCGUUGGUAUGGCGAUUCGCACUCGGGCCUUGAACGAGGAGGAGGAACAUGCUUAGGAUGACUCAUAACCAUUGCCAAGUCUUUGUCGGAUAUUUUGGGUUUGACCCUUAGUUGAUUUGUAUCCAUUGUGGGGACCAAACCUUCGGAUGAUCUAUUUUUAUUUAGUGCUGGCCUCUAUUGUCUCUUUGUCGGACCCCGUUUAACAAUUUUUUCGGUCUUUUGGGUUCCACCCGAUCGUUGGGAGUACAAGCCAGGAGCGCGGGAACGUGGAAAUCGUCCCUGUUGACAAGGGAACGCGGAAAUCGGACUAAUUCAUCUUUGCUAACCCCGGCAUAUGGGAGAGCAGCUACAAAACUUGGUUCUUGAUCAAUUUCUUUACCUCGCCCUCCGGAAGUUGCUUAUUAUCGUACUCCUCGAAUUGAAAGAAAGUCCAUGGCCGUCUUUGAAUUACUCUUACUGUAUUUGCGCUCUUUCCAAGUUCAAGAAAAAAAGAUUAUCGAUGUACCCAGAAAUAUCUCCUUCGCUUUCUGGAUUUCAUGCCUGAUCCUCUUCAUCCCAGGCACUCCUGUGAGUGCACAGACAUACCUUCAAGAGCGGUGCGGAGAUAGGGGCAACUACGCUGCAUAUAGCAAGUUUCAAGACAACCUCAACCGCCUCCUCUCCAGGGGGCUUUACAACAAAGGACCCAUUUACGGUUUCUACAACACGACGGAAGGUGAAGAUCCCGACAAAGUUUAUGGUCUCUUCCUCUGCAGGUAUAUAACAUGCGAAAACAUACCAAAAAUUUCAACUUUCGAGUAAGACCUUCCAAAUCAAUCAUUGCAAUCUUUGGAAUCGGCUCACUCAGAGGUAGGAUUCAUAAUGGACCCGAUAUACUGGACUUAAUCGAAAUCCUCUACAAAGUACGGUGAUUCAAUGCCAACCGAAAAAUUACUAUUUAGAUUUAUGUGACUACUAAUGCAACUUUACUAUGCCUCUUUAGAGGGGAUGUUGCUGCCAAUCUCUGUCGGUCUUGCAUCCGUGCAGCCUGCAGCACCAUCGUAGAAAGAUGUCCAGGACAGAAAGAGGCGAUCAAUGGUAUGACGAGUGUCUCGUGCGCUACUCUAACAGAUCAUUCUUCUCUAUCAUGGAGACAACACCAGUUAUUUUCAUUGUCAAACCUGCGGACGUUUCGGUUACCUUCAACUGGAUUGUGGAGCAAACUUUCGAUAAGGAGAAGGACUUUGAGGCGGAAGUGUCGGACUUGGCAAGGAAUGUCACGGACUUGGUGAUCUCCACAGAAAGCUUAUAUGCGACGAUAAACCUUAAUGUCUCAAGUUCAGUGACCCUGCAUGAGCUUGUGCAGUGUACCCCCGACAUAUCAAAGUUAGAUUGUAAGAGUUGCUUGCUUUCUGCCAUCAAAGAGUUUCCUACCGUUCUUAAUUAUAAAAGGGGAGGUGGGAGAAUUUUUCUGCCAAGUUGUAAUCUGCGGUACGAAAUGUAUCGUUCUGAUCAGGCACCAACUAACAAAACCCACAAUGAGUCCGGCAGUAAAGGUAUGAGUUAUAUAAUACUCAAAAUGUGCACUCAAUUUGUCAUGGUAAACGUAUAAUGGUACCAUUCCAUCGUUUCUAAUUCUCAAUAUAAGCUGUUUUGUGUAUUACAUUGCACUUGACUUGCUUUUACUAUCUAAACUAUGAUCAUUCUCUCCUGCUUUCAGCAAGUUCUCGGUACUAUUUACACUAGGUGAAAAAAAAAAAAGUCUGCAGAUUUGAGGUUGUUUAGAUGCAAGGAAUUUCUCUUUUUUGACAGGGGUCAAACGAAAUCCAUGGAUUGCAAUAGUUAGCUCAGUAACUGGAUCGGGGUUACUAUUAAUUAUCGUGAGUUUGUGUAUUUUUUCAAAGAGGACAAAGAGAUUAAAGAAAGGUAUAAGUGAAUUCAUCGUGCUUGCCAUUGGAAUGACCAUCUUCUAACCUUUACCUUACGAGAGUAAACUCUUGGACUCUCAGAAAAGGAAAACAGCCAAGAGGUUCUGUUACUUCAUCUGAGACAAGAAAUUGGAGAAGAGUUUUCAAAGGAAAACCCUCGUGGAGAAAAGCCAGUGGCUUCUCAACAAUCAUCUCUGAUGCGAUUAGACAUCAUACGCACGGCCACAGGAAACUUCUCCAAUGGAUGUAAACUUGGGGAAGGCGGGUUUGGCCCUGUGUACAAGGUAAGCAAUUUAGUGAUCAACACGUAUUUAUGGGGAAAUUGGGAAAAUCUUCUAAUGGUAGCGAACUGGCAGAGUCAUUAUCCAUAGCAUGAACUGAAUCGGAUUUGGUUAGCAUUAGUAAUUCUCAAAUAGGGAUCUCACUACUGACUUUAUGCUCUUUCAGGGCACAUUGGCAGAUGGAAAAGAAAUUGCAGUUAAGAGGCUUUCGAGAACCUCAGGCCAAGGACUCAUCGAGUUGAAGAACGAAGUCAUCUUGAUUGCCAGACUACAACACAGGAACCUUGUCCGAUUGUUGGGAUGCUGCUUGGAAGAAGAAGAAAAACUCUUGAUAUAUGAAUACUUGCCCAACAGAAGCCUGGAUGUCUUCCUUUUUGGUUUGAGCUUUAGCAGAUGCAAUGAAUUUUUGAGCUAGUUAAUUUUAGUUUUAUAAAGUUGAGUUCCAUCUGAGUCUCUCAUCUUUGACAGAUUCGAAUAUAGGGCAAUAUCUAGAUUGGAAGCUGCGCAUGAACAUCGCCUGUGGAAUAGCUCGGGGACUUCUCUAUCUGCAUGAGGAUCCUCGCUUGAGAAUUAUCCAUUGAGAUCUUAAAGCUAGCAAUAUUUUGCUAGAUGGUGAGAUGAAUCCAAAGAUAUCGGAUUUCGGAAUGGCAAGGAUCUUCAGUGUAAAUCAAGACAAGGCGAACACAAACAGGGUUGUUGGAACCUAGUAUGUGCCUCAAUAUCUUUGUACGUCCAUUAAAUGUUUGAAUGAUCACUAGGCCAACAAAGGACUCUGAUGAUCAGCUCAACAACACCAGAUUGAGCACAUAAAUAUUUCAGAAGUUCCAUAUAGAAAAUUACUCUUCUUUGUUUCUUACUUCCAACUAAUUGCUCUUCAUCACAUAAUUCUGGUUAGUGGAUAUAUGGCACCGGAAUAUGCGAUGGAAGGACUCUUUUUAGUGAAAUCAGAUGUCUUUAGUUUUGGAGUUCUCUUGCUAGAGAUAGUAAGCGGGCGCAAGAAUAAUGGUUUUCAUCUUCGAGAGGAGGGUGAAAGCCUUCUCACCUUUGUAUGUUCCUAAUCACCAUCCCAGUUUAAUAUGAAAUCGAAGAUUUUCGUGCAGCUACCCUUGUUUAUUUUUCUUGCUAUUUGACAGGCAUGGAAGUUGUGGUCCGAAGGUCGAGCAUCGGAACUUAUCGAUCAGUUGAUCAAUGACUCAUGUGAUGAAGUUGAAGUGCUGAAAGUCGUACAUGUUGGUCUAUUGUGCGUUCAAGAAGACCCGGCGGAUCGACCGACUAUGUCACUCGUGGUUCAUAAUUUAGGAGGCGAUACUAUAACACUCAGCCAACCAUCGCAGCCUGCAUUCUCAGUUGGGAGAGAUGCGAAGAAACUCGAUCGUGUCAUGCCCAUUCAAGGAGCCUCAACUAUUAAUGGAGUAACCCUUUCGGUUGUUGUGGCUAGGUGACCAAGUAUUAUACAAUGGAAAAGCUGUUAGAUAGAAUUAUGAUAUUUAUUUUAUCUUUUAGGAUUGUGCAUGUAUCUCCAUUGUAAUAUAUUUAUAUCAUCCUACUUUCUAUAUUUGUCAUGUAAAGCCGGCUUAUGUUCUCUUCUUUAUAUAUACAAAUAUACAUAAACUAAAAUAUUAUAUGUUUUGCAUAUUUCUUAUCUUUUUAUCUUAGUGUUAGAGCUAGACGGUCUUAAGCAAAUUUUGAGUGCUUGAGUGCGACACACCCGACUGCACACCAGGAGCACACCUUCACAUCUCGUAUCAUGUGAUCCAUUUUUGUUAUAAUUAGUAAUGCCCCUUUCUCAAUGUCGAUUCUUAACAUUUUCGUCACGUAUGCAUAAACGUUAGCCUAUUGCUGUCUAACCUACACACAUCCGUCAAUUCUCUCUUCAGCACAUGAAAUCACCUCUUUGGAUCUUUACUCCCAACGCCAUUUGACUUCCUUUUUCUCACUUUGAGUUUGAGUGUUUGUUUAAGAUAAUUAAGAUUUUUACCUUGAUCCUCCAUUAUUCAGGAUUGUGAAUAUAUAUGUCACAACCUGAUCCACAUACAGCCGCAUGACAACCCUUCCUCAAUACUACUUUCUCUUUGGGUCAUUCAAUUGCAAUGUCUUAGGAGGCAUCGCCAACCCAAAUCAUAAUAACAUUAAAACACACAAGCGGAAAUGUAAACAAAUCUCCAACCAUCAAACAACAGGGAUAGUUAAAAACAUAUUCAUAUAUGUAGAAGAGUGUUACGAAUCAACGUCUCAUACAACAUGAGUUCAGGGGUUAAUCAACUAGUUUCUUCACCUCCGACAUGCCUAACCGCUUCGCCACGACCUCUUCCAAAAAGGGCCCCUGGGCGUAUACCUACGCCUCUAAUACUACGAGGGUGGUUCAAAAAGUGCUAACACCCACAUCUACCUAAACCUCAAUGUCCUCCGGGGUCCAGGCCUCCCAUAUGGUGAUCAGCACAAGGUCAAUCUCGAGGUCAGACACCUCCCCAUCGGGAACGUCCCGAUCCUUGGCAUCCCAGCUGAUGUCGCCCACAGGAUAGGCCCAUGGCUCUUGCCACCUACCCAAAAGUAGCAAGCCACAAAUCGGUGUGGCACAAGGUUAAGUAAACCCUCAUUGACCCAAAUUGUCAUGACAUAUCACCUAUAGUGCGUGUCGGCCACUCCCACUACCAGAUGCUCUGUCACCUCCUGACUAUACUUGACAGGGAGGCCAAAACGAAUCUAAUGAAAUUGUUUAGUCAUUCUUAGAACCUGAAAACAUUUCAACAAAUAAAUAUGAGAUAAACUCAAUAGUGAACUUCCUAGACAUGGAAAUAUCUAGGAAGAGCCCUAAACAUGCAAAUAUCUAUCAAUGGCAAAACAUGGCAACACACUUCUCACUUUACUCUUAUCGAUCUCAUAACAACUUGUCUACCAUACAAGGCCAUCAAAGUAGAUGCAUAGACAAUUUCAUAACAUAACCUUCAUGUUCUCGAGCCAAACAUACUAAUGUGCAUUAUGGUUCAAAUCAUGCGCACAUGCCAUGUAAUAAUCUGAACUGGAACACAUACAAAUCUCAUCCACUUUCCAUACAAAAAUGUGUAGAUUAUUAUGGCCACUCAGAACCCAAAGCCAAUCCAAAGGUUUGCAAAUCAUCUGGAAAAGCUGGGCAUCGUCUUGCCUCAUCGAGCAUAGCAUCCCGUUGACUUGGGGGCAUUCCUAUAAGGAGCUUCAUUCCGAAAUUCAUCCACGAACGGCAUCCUAUUGACUUUGGGGCAUUCAAACUUAAUCGGGCAUCAUCCUACGUAAAACGCCUUAAGACGGGUUCACACCUUGCGUAAAACGCAUCAGGGUCUUAGGUGAUCACACAUGCAUACCAUCACAUACUCCAUUUUGUCUUUAUCAUUUAACCUGUGUGAUGCUCAUGCAAUAUGCAAUUUCACAUGUCAAAUGCCAUCAUUCCACACACGUACAUCAAUUAUCUCAUACACAUAUGGACCAUUCACUUCCUAAACUCAUGACACAUAAUCUACAUAUCAUGUUUAACCACUAAUUCACAUGGCACGUCAUCCAAAUAACAUGUUUAACCACUAAAACACAUGGCACAUCAUUCAAUUAACAUGGAUAACCACUAAAACACAUGGCACAUAACCUAAAUAACAUGUUUAACCACUAAACUACAUGUCAUAUAACCGAAAUAAUAUGUUUAACCACUAAGCCACAUGUCACAUAAUCCAAACAACAUGUUUAACCCCUAAACCACAUGUCACAUAAUCCAAAUAACAUGGAUAGCCACUAAACCACAUGUCGCAUAACCCAAAUAACAUGUUCAACCACAAAACCACAUGUCACAUAAUUCCAACAACAUGUUUAGCCACAAAACCACAUGGCACGUCACUUAAAUAACAUAGAUUACCACUAAUUCACCCUAAACUAUUCCCUAAAUGCAACGAAAGCCCUAAUCAAAUGCUAAAAAGCCACUCGCGGACGACUCGGGCUCCCAAACAUGCCAAGGAAAAGGACUACAAGGCCGGACAACGGCUAGCCUCACAUCCUUCGCGCGUAGGUGAGCUGGACAACAACUGAACAACGGUCUAGCGAUUGCACGUUUGGGGUUCGACGGGUGGUCGCCGGCAAGGAAAACAAGGGGAAAAUGUAAGAAACAAGCUUGAAAUGGUGAUGAAAAUGGCUUGGAGGGUUUGGCUACUCAAAGUGAGGGAGAGAAAGGUGAGUUUGAGAGUUCAAGUGAGAAAAAUGAAAGUGAAAGUGAGAGAGAAAGCGGGUGGCUGGCGGUGAGGGGAGGGAAAGGAAGAGAGGGAAAAGAGAAAGGAACAUUCUAUCUCCAUAAAUGUCCAUCCCAUCCUAUAUCCUUCAACCUACUAAGCCUAGAGUUCUUUUAAUGAGGAAGUGACAACUUGAAGAGAGAACAAAGUGAGAGUGAGGGGGAGAUAGGUGGCCGACAGUAUUGAGGGAGAGGGAGGAGAGAGACAAGAAGAAAUCUUGCUCAUAAAUGCCCAUCACUUCCCUUGACUCUUGUCCAUCAAGCUUGCCCAAAGAAGAAGCAAGAUAUAGCAUUAAAUGGGAGGAUUUGCACUCAAGUGACUAGGAUUGGACUAGACUAGGUAGCAUUUUUCUCUCCUCUCUGCCAUUUUUCCAUUUUUAUCCUUUUGUCUUUAGUCCAAUAGGAGGGCAUUUCCGUCAUUUCACCAAGAUCUCGCAUUAUUCAUGUCAUUUUGUGCAUUUAAUGCCAAGAUUGUGUCAAAAAGGGCUUGAUGGGCUUUGAGGGGCCCAUGGGCCUCCCUUGGUCGCCCACCCCUUAGGUGUGUGGGUCUUGGGUUGCCCACUUAGGCUCAGGCCCAAUAGGUCAUCGUCCUUGACCCGUUUCCAAUUUUUCUACACUCAUAUGCCCUUGCUGAUGAAAAACCGAGGUUUCGCCCUUAAAUGGUCUUUUUUUUUUUUUAUUUAUGCCCUCAUGGCUUAUCAAUCCUCAAGACAUUCUCGUAUGACAAUCACUUACCAGAAUAAUUUCAUUCUGAAAAACUGGGUCAGAACGAGGAUGUCACAACUCUUCCCCUCUUAAAGAAAUUUCGUCCUCGAAAUUUGCAGGACCAACCACUUCCUCGAAUAGAUUGGAGUAUUUGCUCCUCAUAAUGUCCUCGCUUUCCCAUGUCGCUGCCUCGGUGCCGUGAUGCUGCCAAACAUUUUCGACCAAGGGAAUGACUUUGUUGUGCAACACCCGUUCUUUUCUAUGCACGACACGCAUUGGCUGCUCAACAUAAGUCAGUCUGUCGUCCACCUCGAUCUCUUCAUAGCUUAGCACGUGUGUCAAGUCUAAUUCAUACUUUCUUAGCAUGGAAACGUGGAACACGUUAUGAACCUGGGCAAGAUUUGGUAGUAGUGCCAAUUGGCAAGCUAAAGUUCCAAUUAUUUCCAAAAUUUCAAAAGGUCCUACGAAUCUGGGGCUUAGCUUCCCUUUAUUGCUGAAACGAGACAUACCUCUCAUUGAUGAUACUUUAAGGAACACGUGAUCGCCAACUUGGAACUCUAGAAGUCUCUAUCGUUUGUCCACAUAGCUUUUCUGGCGACUUUGGGCUGUCUUUAACCUUUCUCAAAUGAUCUGGACUGCAUCCACAGAUUGUUGCACUAGCUCGAGGCCCAUAAUUUUCCUUUCUCCAACCACAUCCCAACAGACGAGCAUUCUACAUGCACAUCCAUACAAUGCCUCAAAUGGUGCCAUUCCGAUGCUCAAUUGAUAAUUGUUGUUGUAUGCGAAUUUGACGAGGUGUAGUUGGUCUUCCCAUUCUCCUUUGAAAUCUACGACACAUGAUAUCAUUGGUGCCAUAUGCUACCCUAUUCGAUGUAGUCCAUGUUUAUGAUGAUUCACUAUAUUUGUGCUAUGUUUACUAAUGAGCAAAGUUAGGAUCUUGUUGUUUAAUGCCUUGUUUUAUCCUUUAUUGGGCAUUGUUGCUCACCCCUUAUUUUUCCUCUUAGAUCAUUAGCUAUGGAUGUGACACCCUUGAUGACUUAUGGCACAGCUAAGCGGGUAGAUGGCGUGUAUGGGAACUUUGAGGAUGGAGAUUCUAGUCUUGUUUUGACUCAUUAUGUUUGUAUUGUCUGCAUAGAUGAUGGAUGCCCUAAUCAUUUCCCAAUGCGAUUUGUGUUCGUGUACCUUAACGUGAAUGGGAGUUUGUUUGGCCCCAUCUGUUGGUGAUGUUUUGGGCGUGGAGUAGGAGGCGCGCGUGGUAUGGAGGGAUGUAGUGGAUGAGGAAAACUACCGGGUAGAGGAGUUAGGCACCUUUUUGGCCUCUCCUAGGUAUUUUGUUUGGGUCAUCUUGAUGAGUAUUUUUCUAUGUUUGUAAUUGUCAAGAUGUCGUUUUUCUCUUGUAAUCCUUACUUAUGAUGAAUGAAAUGGAAGCAUGUCGUUAUGGAAUUUGUUCUUGAGUAAAAUUUUCAUAUUAAUGAAAGAUUAUAGUCGAGGGUCUAGUGGUAGGUAGGACACACGUGCUAAAACACUGAUCACUUGUGCUUGUUGUAUUGCUAUUUUGUAAAGAAUGAGUAAACCUCGAUUACUCAUAGGGUAUUAGUAACUUAUGUUACUUAUUAGUUGGUUAGGGUAUUCAGUCACUUAAUGACUAGUGACUGAUUUGUAGAAUGGCUAGUGCUUCAAGAGGGAGAGGAACCGGUAGAAGGACAGCCACGAGUGAAUCCCUUAUAAGGACAUAGCCUAGAUUGGAAGGGAUUUUUGCAAGCUCUUGCUAAUGUANNNNNNNNNNNNNNNNNNNNNNNNNNNNNNNNNNNNNNNNNNNNNNNNNNNNNNNNNNNNNNNNNNNNNNNNNNNNNNNNNNNNNNNNNNNNNNNNNNNNNNNNNNNNNNNNNNNNNNNNNNNNNNNNNNNNNNNNNNNNNNNNNNNNNNNNNNNNNNNNNNNNNNNNNNNNNNNNNNNNNNNNNNNNNNNNNNNNNNNNNNNNNNNNNNNNNNNNNNNNNNNNNNNNNNNNNNNNNNNNNNNNNNNNNNNNNNNNNNNNNNNNNNNNNNNNNNNNNNNNNNNNNNNNNNNNNNNNNNNNNNNNNNNNNNNNNNNNNNNNNNACAAGAAGGUGAAGUUUAUGCAGCUAACCCAAAACAACCUAACGAUGGAUCAGUAUGAGCCAAGAUUUGUUGAACUCUCUAGGUUUGCUCCCAAGUUAGUUGAGGAUGGGGAGGAUAAAGCCAAGAGAUUUUUGAAUGGUAUAAGGCUUGACAUGCGUAGGCAUCUAGUGCCUCCGAACCUAAAAGAUUAUCGUGAAUUGUAUGAGCGUGCUUAGUUAGUGGAAUAAGAGCUUGUGACGAAAGGGACCCUAGUAACCCAUCAGGCGAGACCAAUCCAUCAGGCUGGUCAAAGCAAUUUCCACUAUGACAAGAGACCCUUUCAAGCUGGGCGACCAUCGUUCUCAUUGACUAAGAAAAGUUGGACUAGAGGACCUGGGAAGGCAUGGAAUAGUUAGUCAUCGAGGCAACCGCGAACCCAUAUUUCUACUUGUCGGGUGUGUGGUGGAUCACAUGUGAGCAUGUUGUGCCAAUUUGUGAAGGCAUAUUUUGGUUGUGGACAGCCAAAUCACUUGGUUAAAGACUAUCCACAAAGGAGCACCUAGUAGCAACGGCUACCACAAUCAUUGAUUGCAUCGGUGUAACAAGAAAAUAACCGCAGGUUGCCAACUCAAGAAAGAGUCUAUGCAGUUACACGUAAUGAAGUUGAGGCCUCUAAGACAGACAUUAUAGGUAUUAUUUCCUUGUCUGACCAAAAUGCUUAUGCUUUAUUCAAUACUAGAGCUACACACUUGUUUGUGGCUACUCAGUUUGUGCAAUUAAGUAGGAUGAGACCUAGGGAGAUGGAAGUACCCCUUAAUAUCUCCACAUCGUUAAGAGACAUAGUUUUAUCUACCCUAGUGUGUAAGGACUGUAGGAUCUUUAUAGUAGGACAAAGUUUGCCUUCAAAUUUGGUGGUGUUAACUAUGUAUGAUUUUGAUGUGAUCUUGGGGAUGGAUUGGCUUCAUAAGUACCGAGCUAAUAUGGAUUGUUAUAGGAAGAUCAUUUAGUUUAAUCCUCUUGAUCGCCCUAGUUUUGAAUUUUAUGGAGAUAGAGUGACUCCUUCCUUACCGCUCAUUACUACACUUGAGGCUCAUUGACUACUUGAGAAUGGUUGUGAGGGUUAUCUAGCUUGUGUGAAAAAUCAAGAUAGAGAAGGAGUAAAGCUAGAAGAGAUUUCGGUAGUUCGGGAGUUUCUCGAUGUUUUUUCUAAGGAGUUACCAGGCCUACCCCCAGAACAAGAAGUUGAGUUCGUCAUUGAAGUGGCACCCGGUACAAAACCUAUAUUGAAGGCCCCAUAUCGAAUCGCGCUAAGUGAGUUGAAGGAACUAAAUGUGCAACUACAAGAGUUGAUUGACAAAGGGUUUGUUAGGCCAAGUGCAUCACCUUGGGGUGUGUCAAUAUUGUUCGUGAAAAAGAGGGAUGGAUCCUUAUGCCUCUGUAUAGAUUACAGGUAGCCGAAUCAAGUAACGAUUAAGAAUAAAUAUUUAUUGCCUAGGAUCGAUGACCUAUCUGAUCAAUUGCAAGGAGCAUCAAUGUUUUCUAAAGUCGAUCUAAGAUCAGGGUACCAUCAAUUAAGAAUCAAGAAGGAGGAUGUUCCUAAGAUGGCCUUUCGAACUAGAUAUGGACAUUACGAGUUCUUAGUUAUGCCCUUUGGAUUAACUAACGCACCAGCCGCUUUUAUGGAUUUAAUGAAUAGAAUAUUCAAGCUGUUCUUGGGUUGAUUCGUGAUUGUUUUCAUAGAUGAUAUACUGGUGUGUUCCCUUGAGGAUCAUGUUGUAAACUCUUAGAGAACAUCAAUUGUACAUCAAAUUAAGCAAAUGUGAAUUUUGGCUGGACAAAGAUAUAUUCUUAGGUUAUGUGGUGACUGGAAAAGGGAUAUUGGUAGACCUAGAAAAGGUCGAAGACGUUCUAAAUUGGCCAAGAUCGAUGAUGGUAAUCGAGAUUCGAAGUUUCUUGGGUUUGGUGGGAUACUAUAGGAGAUUUGUGGAAGGAUUUUCACGGAUUGCAAGGCCGUUGACUUAAUUAACUUGGAAGAACUUGAAGUUUGAAUGGACAGAGGAGUGUGAGCAAAGUUUCCAAUAACUCAAGAGGAGGCUAAACACGGCACCUAUCUCGACAAUACCUUCAGGACCUGGAGGAUUCGUAGUUUAUAGCAACACAUCACACAAGGGACUGGGUUGCAUUUUAAUGCAACAUGGAAAGGUCAUUGCGGAUGCGUCAAGACAAUUGAAGCCGUAUGAGAUGAAUUACCCUACCCACAACCUGGAACUCGCAGUAUCAUUUUUGCAUUGAAGAUACGAGACUUGUAUGGAGAGAAGUUCGAGAUCUACACGAAUCAUAAGAGCUUGAAGUACCUAUUCUCUUAGAAAGAGUUGAAUAUGAGGCAAAGGUGGUGGAUGGAAUUAUUAAAGGACUAUGAUUGUGAGAUCUUAUACCACCUCGAAAAGGUGGCCAUAGCAAUAGUUAGCUUAAUGGUCAAGGAAUGGAGUUUACUAGAGAAGAUCCUUAAUCCGAAGUUUAAGGUCGAGAUGGAUGAUCUCACGAGCAUAAUGGCUACCCCUAGGAUUGAGCUAGAGAUUAUACAACAAUUAAAGACUCUACAACAAUCUGACUUGGAAAUCUCGAAACUUUUCGAGAUGAGAUUGUGAAAGGGAAGAGACUUGAAUUCCAAAUUUCAGAAGAUGGAAUUGUGAGAUUCCACAAAUGCCUUUGUGUGCCUAAGGACAAUGAGAUAAGCAGGGAGAUCUUGUUAGAAGCCCACAGGAGCAACUACAUCAUCCACCCAGGAAGUACCAAGAUGUACAGUAACCUUCGCCAAAGUACUAGUGUAAUGGAAUGAAGGCAGAUAUCAUGAAACAUGUCGCAAGGUACCUGACGUGCCAAUGGGUGAAAGCAGAGUAUUGUAAGCUUGCAGGGAUGUUAAAGCCAUUGGAAAUCCCAGAAUGGAAAUGGGAACAUGUGACAAUGGACUUUGUGCAAGGAUCGCCAAGGACCUCAAGUGGUCAUGAUUCGAUAUGGGUGAUAGUGGAUCAACUAACGAAGUCAACCGACUUUCUGGCUAUAAGGGUAGAUUGUUCAUUGGAAAAGUAUGCUGCUUUAUAUGUUAAACAAAUAGUACAACUUCAUGGUGUCCCUAUGACAAUAACUUCAGAUCGAGAGCCGCACUUUACAUCGAAUUUCUAGCGAAGUCUUCAAGUGGCAUUAAGGACCAAGCUUCAAUAUAGUACUGCUUUUCACCCCUAAUGUGGCAUCCGAAAAUUCCAACGGCCCUCAAAUAUGCAACGGCCAUGUUUUCUUUUAUCUAUUGGACCGACCAACCGUGCAACAAGAGAAGUCUUUGGACUUUGAUCGUUUGAUGGAAUUCGGCCAUGCAUGAGGAACACACAUGCCGAAUUUAAGAAUAAAAUUUUGAGGAGUUGGACCGUGCAUGAGGACCAUGCACGUCUUUUCUUUGUGCGAUUCGGCAAGUGAGGAAAUGAAUUUUUAUCACCAUACAACUCUGUUGAGUUCUUUCUCCACGCAAGAAUUUCGUUCACAUACUUGUACAUUGUUGCGACACCGUGUGGUCAUGUGAGUAGGCUGUAAUUUAGCUCAUGCAUGGCGGAGAUUAAGGUAAAUAUUUGGAGAAAAUUGGGCCACGCUCGGAGACCAUGCGGCCACGAAUUUGUUGGCCCAAGCUGCCCGACUUUCUUUCUCCUUCUUCAUUCGGUCGACAGCAUGGAGUCAACAAAUCAAGGGAUUGUUGACUGAGAGGAGCCCAGCAACUGCCACGUUGCUCUCCCAUUCGGUGGCCAGCACAUGAGGAAAACCGGACAAGGAGAGACACGCCUCCUCCACCUGUCCAUUUCAGCUUUAGCCACUUAAAUUUCUGAAUGCAAAAAGUGAUUAAUUAGUUAAUCAAAGAACAAAAAGGGAGGAGUUCGGAUUUGAGGGGAAGAGAGAGAGUGAACUGAGCCGAACCCAGAGCAGAGAGAAAGAGAGAGAGAGAGAGUUCGAGCGAGAGAGUGGGCGCACGGGUGUGAGCCGCAAGGGAGGAAGAGAAGGAUCGCCGUCCGCCCGUGCUCGAGCUGCUGCCGUCAAUGCCGCCCGUCUUCAUCACCAUUGAGUCACGCACGAGGUCCCGAGCUUCCCGUUCGGUUUGUCGAUUGAGCUUAGGAGUGAGGCAAGUAGAAGUUCAUUAAUCUAUGUUAUGCAUGUGGUGAUUAUCUGGUGAAGUGCUGGUAGAUUUGAGAAAACGCUGAAAUGGAAACUGCAUGUUGGGUUUUCAGAUGAUUGAUAUGAAGAUUGAGUGCUGUUCUUUGGAGGAUUAAAUGUAUUGUUGCUGUGUUGUGUUGGAUUGAGCUUGAUGAGUACUAGAUCAAAGUUAGAAGUCAUUGCAUGUUGUUUUGAGUCUUGCAUGUCUCAAAAAUUUAGUGAAAGUUGGCUGUUUUGAUUGAGCAAAGUGAAGUGAUGCUUGCCAAGUGAAGAAAUGAGGUGUAUGUUGAGAUGAGUGAGCUUAUAGAUGAAUAUAUGCUUUGAGCUGUGGAAGGUUUCUCUGUUAAUAAGAACUUGCUGAAAAUGUUCUUUGAUGCUGUGGAAGAGUCUUGAAGUGUUAUAAGAUAGAUUGGUUGAGAAACAAAUGGUUUGAUUGAACUAGAAAUGAAGAAAACCGUAUGUACCGAUUCUGUUUUAGAGAAAUUUAGAUAGAAAGUCUUUUUAAUUGUGUCACUCUGAUUUAUAACGAUGAAGAUAAGAAAAUGAACCAUUUUACAUAAUAGAACACCCAUUAUAUUGAGUUUGACAUCUAGCUAUAGCCACAUGAAUGUAAAAAUAUGAAGGUAGAAGUGAACCUAUUGAAAACAAUGAACUGUUUCGUAGAGGAUAGCUUGACCUGUGAUGACUCCGUGAAUUUUCUGUAAUUAUCUAGUUAGAAUUGGACUUUGAACUCUUAAUGAAAGUUGUAGGACACAUCCUUAGGAAUAACAUAUUAAAAUUUGGGAACAAGAGGACAAUAUUAGUUGGUGAAACGAAUUUUCUUCUGUAGGUACUGAAUCUGAAAGUUACUGCAGAAUUUUGAAGGAAAUAGCAAACUAUUACUCUUUAUACACAACGAAUAUGACUUAGUGUCCUUCAUGAAAUUUCUUCCUUUAGGUCUUAUGUAUAACAUAUCAAAAUUUCAAAGCUUUCUGAGUUCAUUUAGGGGUCAUUACGAAAUUGUUACUAAAACUGUGCAUUGUGAUGUUUGAGCUGUUUUGUUCCGAAUUUGCUCAAUUUGUCCCAAAGGUGAAUGCAUCUUGAGUUGUUAUUUGACAUGAUGAUAUUGAAAUUCAGCAUAUCAUGAUAUAUUGAGAUUUGGUGGAGAUUCAUGGGACAUCUUGUCAUUGCAUUGAAAAGUGUUUUCGAAAUUAAGAUGUUAAUUGUUGCCGUUGGACCCUCGGGUCAACGAUGCCCCGGGAGUCGGGAUGCCCAAAGGUUCGAAUGAGUCGAUGCCCUUUGGAUGCCUUUUUUUAUUAUGAAUACAUGCCCAGAGGUUUUCCCAGGGAGCAUUGGGAUGCUCGGUUGUAUGCUUGUCAGUACGUAAAUCCGGAGGUUAGGGGUAACCAUGUCUAUGGUCCCCAGUGAUUCCUCGUGAUGCCAGGUGGGGUGCGAGAUGCCCAAAGGUUCGAAUGAGUCGAUGCCCUUUGGAUGCCCGGUUGUAUGUUGAAUACAUGCCCGGAGGCUUCCGCAAUGCCAGGGUUGGGUGCGGAAUCCCAGAAGGACGCAAACGUUGGUCCCCUAGGGGGAUAAAACCGUUUGAAUAAUUAAAUCUAAUGAUUAUAUUAAGUGUGAGUGUGGUCUAGUUAUGGGACUAAAUUGUAUGGCAUGGAAUGGGACGUGUCAUUAUAGUUUGGCCCUAUGAUCGGGACUUGUGUAACUGGACAUGAUGCAUCUUGAGGGUUUCGAAAUUGUACUUGCCAUUGCAUUGAAGAAUUUCAUGAUUUUGAUGCUUGCUUAUCCAUUGAUUACCUGUUUUUGUCUAUCUUGCAUGAAUCUGGAUAUUGAUGGUACUGCGUGAUAUAGCUUAAUGAAUCUUUUACUACUGAGUAGUUGUACUCACCCCAUUUGGGGACUAACAUUUUAGACUAAGUCAAGAUACCUCUGCUGGCACCGCCACCAGUAGAUGGACUGAGUGAUUGAAUAUGACCACGAGGAGGAGGAUAGCAAAUGAAUGAACUUUUGGACGCCGACACUGAUCGAUGGACUUUAAGUAUACGACUGUUGGAAAAGAUGUCGGUCAUCUUUUGAAAUAUAGCCAAGUAUAGAAGACUAUGGCAUGGCAUUUUGGUGUACCGACGAAUGAUGUCCAUCUGGUUUAAGUAAAUAAAAGUGUUCGGCUUUUAUCUUAUAAAAGUUUUAGUUGGUGUGCAUUGUCUCUGAAUUUGGAAUAGGGAGAUGUUGGAUUUUGCUUCCGCUAUAUAUAUAUAUAUAUAUAUAUAUAUAAACUGCGCUGGGACCGAUCUAAAUGAUAUACACCCCCAGGAUUUAUGGACCUAUUAUAAUUCUAUGGUAUCAGAGUAAUAUAUUAUCAAGUCAAGAGAAAGGCAAGUGGACUGUGGCGACCCUAGCGAAUCGGGGGCCGUUCCGAGGUGCCACACCUAAAUAGAUGGACAAUGCAAGAGGACUAUACAGACAUUGGAAGAUAUGCUUUUAGCCUGUGUCAUUGACUUUAAGGGUAAUUGGGAUGAAAAGUUACACUUGGUGGAGUUAGCCUAUAACAACAACUUUCAACAAAGCAUAGGCAUGGCUCCAUUUGAAGCAUUAUAUGGUAGGAAUUGCAAGACUCCUAUUUGCUAGGAUGAGGUUGGAGAAUGGAUAUUAACGGGACCAUAAUUGGUUCAGGUGACAACUAACACGGUAAAGACAAUUCGAGAUUGGCUCAAAUUGCUUAAAGCCGACAGAAGAGUUAAGCCAACAAGGGGCAUAGGCCUUUGCAAUUCAAUGUAGGCGACCAUGUGUUCUUAAAGGUAUCGCUAUGAAGAGCGUAUCAAGGUUCGGAAGGAAAGGAAAGUUGAGUCCAUGAUUUGUAGGGCCUUCUGAGAUUCUUGAAAGGCUAGGGGAGUCGGCAUAUCAAGUAGCCCUACCACUGAAGUUGUCCAACAUGCACGAUGUUAUUCAUGUGUCCAUGUUAAGAAAAUAUAAACCUGAUCUUGCACAUGUGCUAGAUUUUGAAGUGCUUGAAAUAGAUAAGAAAGUGAAGCAUGUGGAGGAGCCGGUACAAAUUAUGGACCGUAGGGAACAAAUGCUGAAGAACAAAACAAUACCGUUGGUCAAGGUAUUGUGGAGAUACCACGACUCGAAAGAGGUGACGUGGGAGAGCGAGGAAGAGAUGAAGCUUAAGUAUCCGCGUCCUUUCUAGUAAUCAAGUAAGUUUUAAAAUUUCGAGAUCGAAAUUUUAUAAGGAUAGGAGAGCUGUGACAUCCUGAAAUUUCAGUCUGAAAAUUUCAUUUAAGCUAGUGAUUGUCAACGGAAGAGGAAUCGGGAUAGGUGGGAUUGUCCGAUGGGCUUUGCAUGUGGGCUAGGCGUGUGGAAAGCCUAGUGGGCCGAGUUUUGGGCUAAGCGUGGACUGGAGAGAGAAAAGUGGGCUGUGAAUAAGGCCCAAUGGGCUGGACGUGUGCGGAAGGUUUGGUUGAGGUGGAAAAUACCGAGAUUUUGGUCAAUGUAUGUGUUGCGCAAAUUCGAAUAAUUUUGAAUGUUCGAUGGUAUAUUCUUGCAAUUCAAUUGGUGUUGUUGUGAUGUAUGGAAUUAAUAGUGGACAUAAGAUCCUUGAACAUUAGAAAUUGUGGCUUUAAGAUGUGUGCAAUUCCACUAAGUUUUUGGUCAUAUUGUUAGUGGAGGAUCUUGGAAUAAAGUUGCUUGAUUUGGUGCCUAGCGUUUGAGGUGGCCGAAUUCUUUGGGCUAGGAGAGGGAUUAGUUUUGUUUUGUAUAAGAAGCCAAGUAGAAAAAGACAAGAUCUAAGGAUUACUUGCAAUAAGUUUUGGUUUCCCAUGCAAGUUUCAGUUUUCCCCCUUCCCAUCAGCCGAAAACUAGUCCUCCUGAUGGCCCUAAAUCCCCCCAACCAAUCUCCUCCUUUGCAUGGCUACAGCAAGGGAAAAAUUCCCAAGGAAAGCCAUCAUUUCCCCCCAUUUUCUUCCUUCAUUUUCCCUUCUCUUUUGUUCUUCUUCUUUAUUCCCCUCACUCACCCAACGCCUCUCUCUCUCAUUUUUCUUCCCAUUUCCUUGUUGAUUAUUCAAAGGACCAGCGACCAAGGUGCAGCUAGCAUUAAAGGGAACUCAACAAAGCAAUUUUUGAGUCCUAAACUAGGUGAGGGAAUAAGCUAAGUAUUAAACUUCGACAUCCUCUCGAUACUUGAGAGUGGAUUAGUUCAAUCUAAUGGAUUUUUGGGUUAUAGGAGCUAGAUCCAUGGAUGACUUUAGCUUGCAUAUAUCCUGUGAUGUGAGGGAAGUAUUGCAUGUAAGUUUCUCAAAGGUUUUGGGUGCUAAGCUUGCAUGAGAUGCAUUCAUAGAAGCUGAGGUUGGAUUCUCCUUAAGAUCUAUUUUACCGGACCUCCUGCAUUUGCUGUUUUCGUGGGUUGAAAUGCGCUGCGAAUUUAAGGUUGCUUUCUCCUUGAAAAAUAUUUUAAUCAUCUUCAUUUAUAACAUAUAUUUUACUUAAGAUUUUAUGGAUUUGAAGGACCGAUUUUUCAGCUUCAUUGCAUGCAAAUUAGUAUCUUGUUUUAUGCUGGAAUCCGUGACCUUUUAGUGUUCAACAAAUUUUUAUCAACUUUUGUGGUUUGAUUUUUAAAAUGGUUUCUUCACAAAAGUUGUUCAGUACAUCUUGACGUUUAACAUAGUCAAAUUCCAGAGAAAAUGGCUGAAUUUUUAAUUUCAAACCAAGCUGGUUUUGAAAACGUGAUUUCUGGACACGAGGAGAGUUUUGGUGAUUGUUUUGUGCGAUUUACUACUCUUAUUCUAGAAAGAAUUGGGUUAAAUAUUUUCAUGAAAAUUCUUUUUUUAAGUGUUCUUUACUUAUGUUUCUGGAUUUAAUCAUAGAGCCACCCACGCAUGUGGACUUGGUUUCUGCCAGUGAGGGCUAGUUGUGAUCUUGUUGCUAUUUUUGAUGUUUUACUUGCUGGAAAAUGCAUAUUUUGUGAUUGUGGAUGAGUUUGGCAUGUUGAGAACCUAUGCUUGAUGGCUAUGCAUGAGUAGUGAUCAUUGUGUGUGCAAAAUGAUGUGGAAAUAGGCAUGGAGGUGGUGUGAAGGGCAAUUCUGCUUUAUGCGUGCCGAUGCAUUGUGAUCUUGGCAGUAUGGUGGUUUAUGUGUGUGCUGGUGGUGUCAAAAGUGUGCCCAAAUGGAUGAUUGUGAUGUGGUAAAAUGUGUGAAUGAAUCAAAUUAAGAGACAUUCCAUCGGUCAACAUCCCGAUGAGGCCCCCUGGGGAGUGAGGAUGCCCCAAACUGUGUGGUCUAGGAUGCCUCAGUUCAAGUCACAAGGCCAAUGACCCUUGGACACCAGGAUGCCUCGAAGGGAGAUGCCUAGGGCCAACGUCCCUUAGAAGUCCAACCAGCAACCUGGAAGUGACUCGAACAGAUCCAACCAGCGUCUCUGGUUAAAUCCAAUUCGAGGGUGGAUAUGAAAUGUUCUCACAUUGAAAUUAAUUAACAAGGCAUGUGAGUACGUGUGAUGAUGUAGUUGUGUGCCAUGUGACGCAUGAAUGAAUUCAUGUGCACCGUGUGAUGCAUGAUUAGAGUUCGUAUAUGUCUUGUGGUGCGGUCUUCAUGCAUUUUACUCAUUAUAGCUGUGACAUCCUAGAUUUUCAGUCCUGUUUUCAAUUUAAUAAGUCGAGCCUUUCAUCGAUGCACCUAUAGUGCUAUUCUCAAAUCUGAUCACUCGUGAGAUAACUAGACUAUCUGGGGAAGUCAUUAAGGGAUUUUAAUGCAAUAGACUUGAGAAUUCGACCAAAAAUCGACUAAUCAACCAUGCUCAUCUGCAGAGAUCAUUACAGCACAGUAAAGAUCGAUUAAAGAUCAGAGAUAGGUCGAUUUGACUGAGAUGUGUGGUUAAACUUGGAUGAUUUCACUAAAUUGCAAAUUCUUGUCAAUCGGUACUAGAUUGAUUUUUCUGUCGUUUUGGUAUCAUGUGUCCGUAUUGAAACCUCAAGAUUUUCACGAUCACCAAGAGUCGCCAAUGUGUUGAAGAGGUUUAUUGUGGCUCGAAGAAAAUCAACCACGGGCCAUUUGCACUAAAAAUUUCUGAAAGCUACCCGGUAGCCUAGGUCACUCUAAAAUCGCGCCAAAUCGAAAUUAACCGCGAAUUUGAAUCCGAUUUCAGAAAGUGAAGUCUGUCAUGUCACAAGUCAUUUUAGGAACGUCAACUCAAUCUUUGAAAAUUUUUCUGCAAACCAAGAUUUUUGAUGAAAAGUCGACAUAGAGCUAUUUUUGUCCAAAAAAUUCAGAGGACCGUUUUUUAUCGCGUAAUUGGGAUGCAAGUAGGUUCUAUUGGUGAAGAAAAAUACCAAUUUGAUCGAAGACUCGAUAAUGGAAUUUAUAGAUACCGAAUUGAGUUGAUUCAAGAUGGAAUUGAAGUCCAAUUUGGGGAAAAUCCAAUCAAAAUUCGUAGCCCCCCCUUGGACACAACCUUUGGACCACCUCCAAGGCUUCUAGAGGAAAUUUGGCUGUUGGAAAUUGGCUGAGAAAGCCAGCUUGCAAGUGGGACCAAGCUAAGGGAGACAAGAGGAUAGAGAGAGGCCAAGGGGAACCCUCUACCGGCCAAAGCUGUCCCCUUCAGUCUAUCCUUGCUGCCGUCGACCCUCUCCUCCAUUCCAGCUCCUUGAAGCUUCAAAAAUUCCAAAAAACAGAGCUUCAGUCCCCCCUUGCCGUCGCAACCACCCACCAAGCCACUGGACCGCCCCUCGCAACCGCUCGCUCGCCCGCACACCACCCACAAUCGUCUAGCCUACCCGCAUCUCCAGCCACUCGUUCCGCUACUGCUCGCAACUGUCCGGUGUCGCCAAGCCGCCGUGCAUCAUCAUUGUAGUCACCGGAGCUACCGUCUACCCGCCUGCACAACCGUCCAAGCUGCUGUAGUCCCCGCUGACCGUCCUCGCCGCUUCAAGCCGUCAAAGCAACUUCUUUGGCUCAACCACAUAACCGAAUGGAGUGGGUCUCGCCAGCACUUUUUGGACCGUUUUGGUGCCCUUUUGGACCUCGAAAGGCGCACCCGUUUUGGAAUUUAUCGAUCCUCUCUGCCUCGCCAUCAUUUUGGUUCAACCGGUUCAUUAAUCAAGUGAGUUUAACUCACUAAUCCCUACUUAGUAAGUUAAUGACACUUAAGGAUUGAUUAGUUUAAGUUAAUUAGGGAUUAUGUGGUUAGUUAGAACAAAUUAAUGAGUUAAUCGAUCAUUAUUGCAUGUUAGGUGGUUAGAGUAGUGCAAUUAGCAAGUAGAUAAGCUCUAGUAUUUAUCUAGAUAGGUUCGGAAAUUUUCCGAACCCAAAUCGAUAUUUAAUUAGGUUUUUCCGGCCUAAGUGUGCAUUUUUGCUAUUUAUUGGUAGUUAUUAAUUAUUUUCCGUAAUUAUUUAAUUAAUUAUUAUUUUUCGAAAGUUAGACCGAGAUAACUGGUGACCGGAAUUUUAUGCUACUCGCAGUGGUGUGAUUUGUAAUUUUGGGGUAUUUAUCCCAAAAUUUUAUAUUUUUAGUAUUUAAUUAGAAAAUACCGAGCAUCGGUUUACAACGCCAAAAAUGUGUUUAUGGACUAUGGAAAUUAGUGGGAUUUUCAAAAGGAAAAAUAUUGUAUUUUGACUAAGGCCGACCAUAUACCCACACACGAUUAUUUUUAUUAGGUAUCAUAAAAAUGGUGGCAUUCUCAGUUGGUGAGAAUAAGUAUACUAUAUCAGCCUACGGGUGUCAAUAUAUCAGCUUUGGGUGAGCAGUAUACUUUAUCAGCUUAGGGUGAGCAUCAUAGGUAUACUAUAUCAGUCUACGGACCUUAAUAUAUCAGCUUUGGGUGAGCUAUAUAAUCUAUUAUCAACUUUGGGUGUGUUAUACUAUCUAUCUUCAGUUUUGGAUGAGCAGUCCUCAAUGAGAUCGGACUAUAUAGAUAGUAUUGAUUGGAUUGAUCGAGUAAUGGUCGUGAUGACAUGGAAUCGACCGAGUCGAUUGAUCGAUGGUUCAAUCUAAUGUGAUGAUGUGAUUUAUUGAUGUGAUUCGAUUAUUUCGUGAAUCAUACUGACUUGCAUGAAUGUACCGGGGUAAAGGUAAGUCAUCUGACUCGUGUUUGUGCUUAGGCAGCCCUUAGAGUGUAUUCUCUUCCUAGUCAGGUCUUAAGGGAUGAACUUGCUGAGACGUCGUCUCAUCCCGUUGUGGGAUAACAUUUUCAGGUCCUUAGAUAGCCGCUCCUCUCGAGUGUUUUGGACAACUGAAGAAAGUCACAGAACAAGUAUUUACAUCCCACUUCAUGGGAGCCCUCGAGGAUGAGUCUAUGAGCUCAUAAGGUUCAUGGUCUGGGUCGAUGAGGCUUUACCCCCACAAGGUAUCUCAUCAAUUCAGAUCAUGGUACUGACGUGCGCGGGAUGGACAGAGAGGGGGUCCCAUACCGGAGUCUGAGAUACAUGUGUAUGUGUUGGAGGUUGCUUUUGGAAAAGGCACAGCAGAUCCUCUCGAUGGGUCGAUGGUGGACUCGUAUCUAUCAAAUCCAGGGAUCCCGGUGUAUUCAGCUAAAGGCUCCAAUGAGAAUGAGGAUGAGGAUGAGGAGGAGGAAGAAGAUCUGUAGUUUUAUAUAACCCUCAUGUUUUACAGAUCUUGUUUUAUAGACCGGUAUUAUAUAUGACAUAGUUUGGUAUGUAUAUAUAAGUGUGGCUUAGUUUGAUUUUAAAAAAAAUUGGUCCUACUUUCCUAUCCCAUUUUGUUGUUGUCUAGGAAUUAUUUAUUGGCUUCCGCAUGCGUAUUAAAAAGAAUGGGUCGGCGACGCGUCCUAGGACGUCGCUAUUUAAUCGACCGUUAAGGGAUGGGCACGCACUCGGAGGAUCGGGGCGUGACAAUAGCUUGUUUAGUUCACAUGAUAUCAUUAAUGCCAUAUGCUGCCCAAUUCGAUGUAGUCCAUGUUUAUGAUGAUUCACUAUGUUUGUGCUAUUUUCACUAAUGAGUGAAGUUAAGAUCUUGUUGUUUAAUACCAUACUUUAUCCUUUACUGGGCAUUGUUGCUCACCCUUUAUUUUUCCUCUCAGAUCAUUAGCUAUGAAUGUGACACUCUGGGUGACUUAUGGCACGCGAGAUGGCAUGUAGAUGGCAUGUAUAGGAACUUUGAGGAUCAAGAUUCUUGUCUUAUUUUGACUCAUUAUGUUUGUACUGUCUGGACAAAUGAUGGAUGCCAUAAUCCUUUCUCGAUGUGAUUUGUGUCCGUGUACCUCAACGUGAAUGGGAGAUUGUUUGGGUCCAUCCGUUGGUAAUGUUUUGGGCAUGGAGUACGAGGCACGCGAGAUAUGGAGGGAUGUAGUGAAUGAGGAAAACUACCAGGUUGAUGAGUUAGGCACCUUUUUGACCUCUCCCUAGUGUUUUGUUCAGGUCAUCUUGAUAGUAUUUUGCUAUGUUUGUAAUUGUUAAGAUGUCGCUUUCCUCUUGUAAUCUCUACUUAUGAUGAAUGAAAUGAAAGCAUGUCAUUAUGGAAUUUGUUUCUGAGUAAAAUUUCCUUAUAUUAAAAAUGUAUACUCUUCCCCUUGCGUAAUAAUAAUGAAAGAUUAUAAUCGAGGGUCUAAAGUGAUGGCCUGGGACGUCACAAAAGUUAAUAUUCGAAACUUGGUCGUGGAUUUCUAUAUUAUUGUUUUAAAUUCUAAAAUCUGAUUUAAUUUUGAGCUCAAAUUCAAAGCAUAUUUUAACAAGGGUUACUCAUUUAAAGCGUAGAAAAAUACAUAUAGAAGAAAUUCGAACAGACAUCACGAGCUGUCGACAUAUAAAAGGAGUGUUAGAUUUUGAAGAGCCAAAAAUCAACAUUUCAAAAAAGUGGUGAGUUCUUCUUAGUCCCGUGUCUUCGUCAACGAGCACUGGACAUUCAUGGGAGCAUCGUACUUGUUUUUUCUACGAAAAACGUAUGUACCCCUAUUCCUUCCGAGCAGGUCUCACCUGAUGAUAGUCCUCCGGUCCCACACAUCGAAAAAUUUCUAUGCUUCUGGAUGAUUCUGAGAGGACGUGCACGUGUGGCGAUUCCAACCGAGCCUUGAACGAGGAGAAGAGGAACAUGUGAUUCAUAACCAUUGCCGAGUCUUUGUCGGGUCUUUUCGGUUUGUAUUAGGUUGGUUUUAAACCAUUUAGGGGACAAAAACCUUUGGUUUUUUUUUUUUUCAUAAAAAACCUUUGGUUGAUUUAUUUAUAUUUAGUGCCGGUCCUUAUGGGGUGUUUUUGGGUCCCUCUCCCCUGAUUUUUCCUCUGGUAGGGCAAGCCAGGAACGGUCACCCUCAUUUCACCUGGAAAAAAGAAGCCAAUUGGAUCACCCCGUUGAUGAAGGAACGUAGAAAUUGGACUAAUUCGUCUUUGCCAGACCCGGCAUCUGGGAAAGCAGCUGCAAACUUGGUUCUUGAUCAAUUUCUUUACCUCGGCUUCCAGAAGUUGCUUAUUAUUGUACUCCUCUUGAGUUGAAAGAGAGUCCAUGGCCGACUUUGAAUUACUCUUACUGUACUUGCAUUCUUUCCAAGUUCAAGCAAAAAAGAAAAUCGAUGCACCAAGAAAUAUUUCCUUCGCUUUCUGGAUUUCAUGCCUGAUCCUCUUCAUCCGAGGCACUCCUGUCGGUGCACAGACAUAUGUUCAGGAGCGGUGUGCAGAUAGGGGCGACUACGCUGCUCCUAGCAAGUUUCAGGACAACCUCAGCAGCCUCCUCUCCAAGGGCGACUCCGCUGAUUACAGCAAAGGACCCAUUCGCGGUUUCUACAACACAACGGAAGGUGAAGAUCCGGACAAAGUUUAUGGUCUCUUCCUCUGCAGGUAAAUAACAAGCGAAAGAUACCAAAUAUUUCAACUUUUGAGUAAUACCUUCCAAAUCAAUUGUUAUAAUCUUUGGAAUUGGCUCGCUUGGAACUAGGAUUUAUAAUGGACCUGAUAUAUUGGUCUUAAUUGGAAUCCUCUACAAAGUUCGGUAAUCCAAUGCCAACCUAAAAAUUACUAUCCAGAUUUAAGUGACUACUAAUGCGACUUUUCUAUUCCUCUUUAGAGGGGACGUUGCCGCCAAUCAAUGUCAGUCUUGCAUCGGUCAAGCUAGCAACACCAUCAUAGAAAGAUGUCCAGGACAGAAAGAGGCGACCAUAUGGUAUGACGAGUGUCUCCUGCGCUACUCUAACAGAUCGUUCUUCUCUGUCAUGGAGACAGCACCGAUUAUUUUUGUUAUCGACCCUGAGAGCAAUUCAGUUACCUUCAACAAGAUUGUGGAGCAAACUUUCGAUAAUGAGGACUUUGUGGCAAAAGUGACAGAUUUGUUCGCGAGAAAUGUCACAGACAAUGCGAUCUCCUCGGAAAGCUUAUACGCAACCAUAAACGUUAAUGUCUCAAGUUCAGCGACCCUGCAUGAGCGUGCACAGUGCACCCCUGACAUCUCAAAGUCAGCUUGUAAGAGUUGCUUGCUUUCUGCUAUCAAAGAGUUUCCUACCGCUCUUAAUCAUAAAAGGGGAGGUACGAGAAUUCUUCAGCCAAGUUGUUAUGUACUGUACCGAAUGGAUGUUGCUGGGGAACCUGGAGGACAAGCACCAGCACCAGCACCUUCUGCAACCAGUAAAGGUAUGAGCUAAAUAACACUCAAAAUGUACACUCAAAUUGUCAGUGGAAAGCGCAUAAUGGUAUCAUUCCAUUGCUUCUAAUUCUCAAUAUAAGCUGUUUUAUGUAUUGUAUUGCACUUGACUUGCUUUUACGAUCUAAAAGAUCAUACUCUCCUGCUUUCAACGAGUUCUUGGUACUAUUUACACUUGGUGAAAAAAAAGUCUGCAGAUUUGUGGUAUGUUUAGAUGCAAGGAAUUUCUCUUUCUUGACAGGGGUUCCAUGGAUUGCAAUAGUUAGCUCAGUAGUUGGAGCAGGGUUACUAAUAAUCAUUGUGGGUUCGUGUCUUUUUUUAAAGAGGACAAAGAGAUUGAAGAAAGGUAUAGGUGAAUUCAUCUUGCUUGCCACUGGAAUGACCAUCCUCUAACCUUUACCUGACGAGAGUACACUCUUGGACUCUCAGACAUGGAAAACAACCAAGAGGUUCAGUUACUUCAUCUACGACAAGAAAUUGAAGAAGAGUUUUCAAAGGAAAACUCUCGUGGACCGGCGGGUUCUCAAGAAUUAUCUCUGAUGCGAUUAGACAUCAUACGUGCAGCCACAGGAAACUUCUCCGAUGAAUGUAAACUUGGGGAAGGGGGGUUUGGCCCUGUGUACAGGGUAAGCAUUUCAAGGACUCAACACGUAUUUAUGGGGAAAUUGGGAAAAUCUUCUAAUGGUAGCAAACUGGCAGAGUCAUUAUCAAUGGCAUGAACUGAAUCGAAUUUGGUUAUCAUUAGUAAUUCUCAAAUAGGGAUCUCACUACUGACUUUACGCUGUUUCAGGCCACAUUGGCAGAUGGAAAAGAAAUUGCAGUUAAGAGGCUUUCAAGAACCUCAGGCCAAGGACUCAUCGAGUUGAAGAACGAAGUCAUCUUGAUUGCCAGACUACAACACAGGAACCUCGUCCGAUUAUUGGGAUGCUGCUUGGAAGAAGAAGAAAAACUCUUGAUAUAUGAAUACUUACCCAACAAAAGCCUGGAUGCCUUGCUUUUUGGUUUGAGCUUUAGCAGAUGCAAUGAAUUUUUGAGCUAGUUAAUUUUAGUUUUUAAAGUUGAGUUUCCAUCUGAGUCUCUCAUUUUGACAGAUUCGAAUAUAGGGCGAUAUCUAGAUUGGAAGCUACGCAUGAACAUCGCCUGUGGAGUAGCUCGGGGACUUCUCUAUCUGCAUGAGGAUUCUCGCCUGAAAAUUAUCCACAGGGAUCUGAAAGCUAGCAAUAUUUUGCUAGAUGGUGAGAUGAAUCCAAAGAUAUCUGAUUUUGGAAUGGCAAGGAUCUUCGGUGCAAAUCAAGACAAGGCAAACACAAACAGGGUUGUUGGAACCUAGUAAGUGCCUCAAUAUCUUUCUACGUCCUUUACAUGUUUGACUGAUUCACUAGGCCAACAAAGGACUCUGAUAAUCUGCUCAACAACACCAGAUAGAGCACAUUCAUAUUUCAGAUGUUCCAUCUUGAAAUUUACUUUUCACUGUUUCUUACUUCCAACUAAUUGCUCUUCAUUAUGUAAUUCUGGUUAGUGGAUACAUGGCACCGGAGUAUGCGAUGCAAGGACUUUUUUCUGUAAAAUCAGACGUCUUCAGUUUUGGAGUUCUCUUGCUAGAGAUAGUAAGCGGGCGCAAGAAUAAUGGUUUUCAUCUCCAAGAACAGGGUGAAAGCCUUCUCACAUUUGUAUGUUCCUAAUCACCAUAUGAAUUAAAUAUGAAAUCGAAGAUUUUCGUGCAGCUGUCCUUGUUAAUUUUUCCUUGCUAAAUAACAGGCAUGGAAGUUGUGGUCUGAAGGUCAACCGUUCGAACUUAUCGAUCCGUUAAUCAAUGAGUCAUGUGAUGAAGGUGAAGUGCUGAAAUGCAUACACAUCGGUCUAUUGUGCGUUCAAGAAGACCCAGCAGAUCGACCGGCUAUGUCACUCGUGGUUCAUAUUUUAGGAGGCGAUACCAUCACACUUGGCCGACCAUCGCAGCCUGCAUUCUCAGUUGGGAGAAAAGUGAAAAAACUUGAUCGUUUCGGGCACACUCAAGAAGCCUCAACUGUUAAUGGAAUAACCCUUUCGGUUGUUACGGCUAGGUGACCAAGUAUUAUACAAUGGAAAUGCUGCUAGUAAUAAUUAUGGUAUAUUUUAUCUUUUAGGACUGUGUAUAUAUCUCCAUCGUAAUAUAUUUAUAUCAUGUUAUUUUCUAUAUUAUCAUGUAAAACUAGCUUAUGUUCCCUUCUUUAUAUAUACAAAAAUAUACAGAAACUUAAAAAUCCUCUCCUUCGCAUUAUCACAUAUUUCUUAUCUUAGCGUUAGAGUUAGAUGAUCUUGAGCAAAUUUUGAGUGCUCAAGUGCAACACACCCGAGUGCACACGCGGAACACACCUUCACAUCCCGUGUCAUGUGAUUCAUUUUUAUUAUAGUUACUAGUAUCCCUUUCUCAAUGUCAAUUCUAAACAUUUUCGUCAUGUACACAUAAACGUCAGCCUAUCGCUGCAUAACCUACAUACAUCAAUCGGUUCUCUCUUCAUCACAUAAAAUCACCUCGUUGGAUCUUUUCUCCCAACUCCAUUUGACUUCCUCUUUUCACCUUGAGCUUGAGAGUUUGUUUAAAAUAAUUAAGAUUUUACCUUGAUCCUUCAUUUUUCAUGAUUGUAAAUAUAUAUUUCCCUUAAUUGUGCAUAUUGUUGAUUGAUUUAUAAUCAAUAUCAUAAGCCAGCCCCAUUUUAUUGUGCAUGCAUUUCCACCCCGUUCAUCAAAUAGACGUCAUUCCUCGUCUAGUUUACAUGUAAGAGGGUUGGAAUAACACAUGCCAUUUGAUUAUGGGGUUAUAUGUUUGUUAUAUACAUGUGAUCUCUUUCUAUUUAUUAGUAAGAAUCUUUUGGUUGAAUUUUCGAAUUUCGCAAUUUAAUGAAAUAGAAUGAUAAUUACGGUGUUUGAUCUCUUUCGCAUUGUGACAAUCAUUUCUCAAUCCUUGAUUUCUGGAAUCAUCAAUUAAUGAUUUUAGGGGAAAAAAACCUUUUCAUUAGUCAUCUUGAGUAUUCCAUGUGCACAACUCCUAUGGAUUAGAUAAUUUACUUGAGUGUAAAAGUUCAAAAAAAUCAUGUGUGACAAGACACGUGCUAUAAAUUCGACAAAGUGUCCUUUACUUCAUUCUUGAGCCAAGAACGUUUAGACAUCAUCUUAUUUUUGCAUCACGUGAGUAAUAGUGAUGUGUGCAUUUUGUUGAUUCAAAGCAUUAAUUGGCCGAUAUAUUCACUAAACCUCUUUUUUGCUCAAAUAUUUAUAAUAAAAAAAAUUAAGUAAGCAAAGAGUAAGCAUAAGCAAUCUACUCAACAACCUUCAUUGCUAUGAUAUAUGUCAAGCCCCAAACUCCCGAGUGUGCGAAUAUCCUUCAACGGUCAAUUAGUUGCGACGUCCCAGGACGCGUCGCCAACCCAUUCUUUUUAUCUUUCAAUUAAACCCAAGAAAAAGAAUUUAAUAUAAACAACAUCUGAUCAAACAACAAACAAUAGGGAUAAUAAGAACACAACAAACAUUCCAAAAACAGCACUUUAAUUUAUAAACUGCUAACUCUAAGAUAUUUAAUAAUUACAAGCUUUGUUACGGCCACUUCUUACCAACCAUCUCAAAAACCUACAGGGUCAAGUUUAACCUAAACUUUAGUAACGACGAGGCCAACCAAACAUGACACUAGGCACACCAGCGUCUUGGUCCAUCAGGAUCCCAAACCGCAUGUGACAGUUCUCCAUACUACGGACUCGAAAAUAUUUAAUAAUAACAGGAUGAAAUAUAAAUCUCAAUGGGUUAACCGCUUAAGCCUCGAUUAGGACGCAAAUUCAUCUCAAAAGCAGCCUAAACAUGCAACAACCUACAACCUUACCUCACCUUGACACACACCUGCAUAUUGGUACAUCACAUAUGCCAAUACCAAUGCAACAAGCAUAGUCAAUAAUCAAAACACAUAACUCCCAUACACCAAGUAUUCACAUGGGUCCCAAUUAUAAGAUAAAACCCAUUUUGGCCAAUCUUAUACCGUGCUUCACAGUUUUACUUCAUAAUCAAGCGCAAUGCAUUGCAAUCAUUUACAUGUGUUUCGAUUAUUACGACCCCUCGAGCCAUGGCCAACACAGAAGUUCUGGCAUGAACGGGCAUUGUCCCGUCCCAUCGAGUACAGCAUUGUUUAGAACCCCCACCUAGAUGGCAUUUCAUAAAGAAGCAUCGAUCUGACUUCAACCACAACUUGACAUCCAGACCCCCGCCAAGCAUUUGAUAAACAUCGGACAUCAUCCCUUUGGCAUUCUACUCGUCCUCUUACACAAACCACUGCAAGCAUUCCUCUACAAACCGCUUCUCAGUAUAGAAUUUGCUAUGCCAUAUCAUCUCAUAAUUAGUAAUAACUCAUAUAUGCCACACAUUAGUUUCUCAAUUCAUUAGGCUCUCACGCUUAAUUACUUAUGUAAAAUUAUGUUAGGGCACUCGUUGAUGGGAGAAAAUACAUUUACCAAUAAUUUAUAAUGAGCACCACCUCUAAAAUCAAUUGAAUCGUGUAAUUUUUACUUUUGAAAAGUAAAGUGCAUCGCACAGAUAGGAAGGGUGCAAAACGUAGAGGGAAAUUAUUCUACAAUUGUGACAUCCAGAUUUUCGGAUUCUAAUUUCGACUGGAUAAAUAUGGCAGUUUUUGUUCAGUUGAAGCCAGGGAUUGUGAAAUUGGGAUGCAAGUGGGCUACAUUGGUAAGGAAAAAUACCAAUUGAAAUGAUGAGGUGUUGAAUGAAAUUAUGGGAGUCAAUUUAAAUUGAAUCAAGAGGGAUUAAGGUCCAAUUGGGAAGAAAACUUAGCAAAAUUCGUAUGCCACCUCUACCACCACAUUUUGGCCUACCUUAAAGCUUCUAGAAGGGGCAUUUUUGGCAAGGAAAAGUGAGUGUAAGACAGCUGGAAUGGUGGGGCCAAAGAGAGAGAGAGAGAGAGAGAGAGAGAACCGGUUUUUCCUCUCUCCUCCGUCGAGCGUCUCCAUCUUCUUCCCCUUUCUUUGGGCUUCUUCUUCAGCAACAAUCGAAGACCAGUAGGCCGAAGCAGCGAUUCCUCUCGGCGUCAUCGCAGCAAGCAACCGGAGCUAGAGUCACCGCCGUCCGCCGUCCUGCUGCCUUGUGCAGCUUUGCCCCACCCUCUCCCUCUCACCUUGCGAACCAGAGAAGCUGAAGACAGAAGCAACGUCCAGCGUCGCCGGAAGGAGCCGCGACCAACUGCCUGGACGCCACCGCACCGGAGCUGCCGCACCGCCGCCCGCGUGACGCCGUGCGCACCGCCACCUCACGCUCGCGCCUGCUGUCCCCGCUGUGCAACCCCAGCCCCUGCUUUGCCUCAGUUCAGUCUCGUUCGGCCGCCUCCGGCCACCGCCCGACCUCCUCCAGCCACCGUCCGGCCUCACCGGAGUUCCCUCGCCCUCCGCCUGCCCUGUCCAGCUUGAAUCAGCGCCGGAACCACCUCAACCAGCCGUGCACCGAGAGUUCGAAAAUGGGUAUGUCAGCAUACGUUUGGCCCGUUUUGGCCAUCUUCCCGAGCCCGGAUGCUCGGCCCGCUUUGAGGAAAGUCGAUCCUCGCGUCGAGCCCAUCGUUUUGAGUGAGUUUUUCUCACUAAUGCCUUCUUAGUUUGCUAAUUACACUUAAAUGUUGAUUAGUAUUAAUUAAGUGUAAUUAGGUUGUUAGAUUAGGAUAGAUUAGCGAUAUUUGUUAAUUUCAUUGCAUAUUAGUUAGGUGGUUAGUGUACUUAGAUAGAGAAUUGCCUAUAGUAUUUAUUGGAUGCUUCGUGGGAUUUUUCCCGACCCUUAUUGGGUGUUAAUUAGGCGAUUCGGGCCUAAUUGGUAUUUUUAGGAAUUAAUUAUUUAAUUAGUUAUUUUCCGAAAAUUCAACUGGGAUGGCUAGUGACAGAGAUUUUAUGCUGAUGAUCGUGGCGCAGACCGUUUCUUUAAUUGAGCUUCAUAUUGUGCUAAAUUGGAAUUAUUGUGUUUAUUUAUUUAUUUUUCGGAAUUAAAUUAAUUAUUUAUUUAUUUUCCGAAAAUUCAACUGGGAUGGCCGAUGACCGGAAUAUUAUGCUGAUGACCGUGGUGAAGUCCGUUUAUUUAAUUGGGCUUUAUUUUGAGCUAAAUGGAAUUUUUAAUAUUUAUUAAUUAAUUAUUUUUCGGAAAUUAAUGCUGAGGUGACCGACGACCGGAAUUUCGUGCUGAUUGUCGUGGCGCAGUCCAUUUAUUUAUUUGAGCUCUACGUUGUAUGAAAUUAAAUAAAUUGUGAUAUUUUAGGGAUUUACCCUAAAUUGAUUGAAAUUGAGUGAAAUUGAAUUAUUGAUUGGUAAAUGGCCGAGUAUGGCUAGUUAGCAUUUGUACUGCCUUGUUGAGCUGUAAGUGGAGAAAGUGGUGAGAGCUAACUGAGAAUUCUAUUUGCUGAGACCGAUCAAGUACGAAGUAUAGACAAGUGUGGUUCGAUGAUAAAGUACAUCACUGUGCGAAAACGGCGCCUUAAAGAAUGCACAUAGACUAUCUAUGACUUAUGGCAGGCGUGGUUCAGUGAUUAGGGAGAUCACUGUGCGAAAUCAACGCCUUAAAGAACGCACGUAGACUGCCUAUGAAUCGUGACAGGCGUGGUUCAAAGAUGAAGGACAUCACUGUGCGAAAAUGGCGCCUUAAAGAACGCACGUAGACUGUCAGUGAUUUGUGACCUAUGACGAGCGUGGUUCGGAAAUGAGGAAUAUCACUGUGCGAAAACGGCGCCUUAAAGAACGCACGUAAACCGUCUGUUACUUAUGUCACCUUGGCGAAAACGACACCCGACAGCAUUGAUGGAGCUCUGUGACUAAGUGUAUUUUAGAGGUUAUGUGGGAUGGAAUGAAUAACCUAUAAAUGAUCCGACUGACUCGUAAUCGAUUAGGUCGAUUGAUCGUCGCCUUGAUUUGAUGUUGUGGAUUGAAUGAUUGAAUGGAGAUGACCGUGAGUGGUCUUCUUGGUGUGGAAUCGACUAGAUCGAUUUGAUCGAUGCUUCGAUCUUUGAUGUGAUUGCUUGGGUGUCUAUUUGAUCUGUGCUAACAUGCAAGUGGAAUCUGAGGCUAAGGUAAGCCCUCUGACUCAUGUUAUGCAUAGGAAACCCUAAGGUAUAUUAGUUUACUAAUCAGGUCUUAGUGUGGUAGAAUUUGCUGAGACAUAGUCUCAUCCCGGUUUGGGGAAAACAUUUCAGGACCCUGAUGAAGAACCUGAGGAUAAAGAAAUCGAAGAGGAGUAUAUGGAGAAGAACUCCGAGGAUGAUCCAGAGUAGGAUCCUGACGACUUUUGCUAUAGAAUCAAUUUGAGUAGAAACCAGUCGUUUUAGUAUGGCUUGUAUAUGAUCAUAAGGGUGUUGGUUUUCAGGUUCAAUUUCCUAGUCCUACUUGUAUAUCCCAUUACUUUAUUGUCUGGGGAUUUUUAUAACUGCUUCCGCAUGUGCUAUUAAAAAGAAAAGGGUUGGCGAUAUGUAGUCUUGGGAUAUCGCAUUUUAAAAUCUACCAAAAGUAAGGGAUGUGCGCGUGCCUGAGGAUCGGGGUGUGACAUCCCCAUUUUGUGGUAUCAGAGCAAUGGUUAAUGAAUGGAGUGAUAAGGUGCGAUGAGUCAUGGGAUAGUAGUAGGAAUGACCUUUAAAUUCAUAUUGAUGCAUGUCGAUGAUAGCUGAUUUGUAGCUUGUUUGUGGAUCACUCAAAUUCUAAUGUGGCAUUAGAAUUAGAAAACAAGUUUCUAUAAAGAUCUUGUAAUUUGAGUGAUCAGGAGCUGUGAGCUCAUAGUAAGAGGACAGUAACCUUUAUGACUCGGGAAUUAACGCCGACAAGGAUCGAUGCCUGAGGUGGUUGUGGCAGAGUACCGGCUUAGGCUAGUGCGCGUGUAAGAGUACCACCGUGGGUUGGUACUGAGAAUGUAGCAGCACCGAGCGAUCCUAGGUCCAGCAAGAUCGUUCAGGUGCAAGUUUUCCCAAGGAGCUUGUCGAGCCAGUGAGUUCGAGAUCAAGUUGAAGUUAUUGCCACACCUGCCGAGGUUUAGUAAGGAGACGUGAUCCAGGAGCAAGCCGUUGUAACUGAGUUGAGGUUCAGGUUCAGUAGAGUUGGAAAUCGGGUUGGAAAGGAGCCUAUGACCGGAAAAGUGUAUUAUAUUCCACACCUCGGAAAAGACGGGAUAGGCAAGGCAGCAUCGGAUCAGAACAUAGUGUGUCAUGGAAGCCGACAUGGAUCAGCCUUGUAUCCUAUUAAGAUGGGUGUUUAUUCUGACUGUGAUCGACAAGGUCACUUGGCAAGAGAUUGUCUUAGAAGAUCGAUGGGAUAGGUUGGAAGGAGUGAGCCACAGAGCGUACAGUGGAGUUUUUGAAACAAGCCUCCAGUGCAACCGAGAGGGUAUACUAUCACCUGACAUUAGAUAGAGGACUCACUAGGUGAGUGCCGAAAGUAUGGAAGGAAUGCAUGGAUUAAUCCUGUGUUCGAGAAUGACUAGAACGUGCUUUGAUGGUAGUGAGCACGGCCAUCAAGUGAGGGACUAUCAGUUGGGGUUUAAGAAGAACACCAACACUAUUACUACCGUUAGAACGCCAGCAAGAUGGCAAAAGGAACAGGAACGGAACCGACCAUGCCUUAUUCAAUGGAAGAAUGUUUUGAGGUGAUUUUAUCAUAAUAGUGCCAGAGAGUGUUGGGAUUACAAGUGUGGAAUUUCAGUUGUUUGUUAAGGCUGUAGGAAAAGAACCAUUGACUAGAGUUGUACUUGAUUGGCUGUUGGUGUACAACUUAUUCGUCAAGUGUGGAAAGAAUUGAUUCUAGAGCAUUUUGUGGUGAUGAAUUGUUAUAGUGGAGUAACCCAGUUUAUUCCAGGAGCAGGUAGAAGUGCCAAGUUUUAUUGAGAAUUGAGAAGAGUCCUCGACUUCUUUAAUCUCGUCACUUGAGGCAAUCCGUUUGUUAGACAAAGGUUGCCUAGGUUACUUGACGAUUGAAAAAAAUAAGACAGAUUGAAGAAUUGAAAAUUUAAGACUCCUCAGUAGUCCAAGAAUUCCUGGAAGUGUUGCUAGAAGGAUUAUCAAACCGUCGCCAGAGAAAGAGAAGGAAUUGCGAUCGAACUAGCAACCAGAAUAGAACUAUUCUCUAAAGUUUCUUACCGGUUGUUGUUGUCUGAAUUCAUAGAACCAAUGGUGCAAAUGUGAGAAUUGAUGAAUGUGGAAUUCAUGCAUUUCGGUGCAUUACCUAGGAGAAACAUCAGCCUCAUAGUGAGAAAGAAAGAAAGAUGGUUCGUUGCAAUUAUGCAUCAACUAUAGUCGACUCAAGCAAGUGACAAUCAAGGAUAAACGUUCAUUGUCAAAGAUCGACGAAUUGGGUGACUUGUUAUAAAGAGUGCUGAUGUCUUCAAGGAUCGACUUGAGGACAGGUUAUUGUCAGUUGAGAACCAGGAAUGAGGUUAUACUGAAGACAGCAUUUCGCACUUGAUUUUGCCCUUGUGAGAAUAAUGUAAAACCAUUUGAUUUGACGAACGCUCCAGCCGCAGUUAUAGAUUUGACAAACCGAGUGUUCAAAGAAUAUCUAGAUCAAUGGUGAUUGUGUGGUGUAGUGACAUUCUAGGGUAUUUGUUAAAUGAUGAGGAUCACGAGAGCCCCUAAGAAUAGUCAUGUGAGUACGAGUAAAGGAAUCUUCAUGAACACAGCCAAGAUUGAAUCAGUUGUUAAUGGAUCAAGAUCGACAACAAUGUUAGAGAUCAGAAGCUGUGGGAAUUGGACAGAUUACUAUGGAAGGUUUGUGUAAGAAUUUUUAGCAUCAGUAUCAUCGCGGGCUUGACCUCUUGAGAAAGAAGAGAAAUUCAUCGGCAUAGACAAGUAUGAGGAUAGUUUCCAGAGCUUAAAGGACAGGGUACGUAUUGAUACAACAUGAGAAGAUUGUUGCAUACCCAUCCCGCAAGUUGAGACCCAUCAAGUUGAAUAUGAAAUAGUGUCAUGAAUUAGAAUUUUGGCGGGACUAUGAUGGUGUUAUCUAGUAUCAUCCUUGGAGGAACGAAAUGAGUCAUUAAUGUGUUGGGUCGAGAGUCUUCAAUUGUGCAUAGACUAGCUAAAGUGUAGACUUUACUUAAAAAGGGUUCAAAAUGUGGUUUUCAAAUUUGAGGUAGGCUACCUUUUGAAUUUUAUAGCCGCCCUCAAAAUUGAACCAUAUGUUCAAAUUAGAAUCGGCGCCUAAUUGAUAGACAGAGAUGUUCAAAAGAUUGUAUAAGAGGAUACUGGUAAGAAAGAAUCUGACUUUAAGAUUUCUGGGGAUGGAAAGUUUGGAUUCCAUGAGUGAUUGAAUACAAUUGACAGUGUAGCACUCAGGGAAAAGAUCUUGUCAGAAGUUCACUAUAGUAUUGCAGUUUUGACCAGACGGUGCAAGUGAGUCAGAAUUGACGUCAGCUAGAUCGGUAGGCCGAUAUGAAGAUAGAUAUCGUCAACCAAGUUGCUAGUGUCAGAGGUGUCAGUAAGUGGAAGUUCAGUAAUGCAAACCCGGAAGAUGUUAUCAUCACUUAAGAGUCCCUAGUGGGAAUGAAAAUAUAUCACGAUGGGACAUGGUGAUGAGCUUAUUAAGGAUUUAGGGGGUUACUAAUACCAUUUGAGAAUAGUAGUCAAUCGAUAGAUGGAGUUGGUCCACUUUGGUACAGUAUGAAUAGAUCUUGUUUUGAGUGUGUGACAUCCUGAUUUUCAGACUCUGAUUUCGAUUGGUUAAAUUGGGCAUUUCAUCGACGCGACUACAGUGAUUUUCUCUGAGUUGGCCACUCACGAGAUAACUAGACUAGAUGGGUAAGUUAUUAGGGACUUUAAGACAGAUAGACUGAGAAUUCGACUAGGAAUCGACUUCUCGACUGUGCUCAUCUUUAGGGAUCAUUGCGGCACAGUAUAAAAUCGAUUUGAAAUUAGAGAUAGGUCGGUUUGACUGAGAUGAAUGACCGAUCGUGGGUGACUCCAUUAAAUUGAAAAACUCUCGUCGACUAGCACUAAUUUGAUUUUAUUGUUGUUUUGGUACCCUGUGUCCGUAUUUGAAUCUUCGAGAUUUUCACGAUAAUCGAGGGUCGUCAAUGUGUCGAGUGGGUUCAUCGUGGCUCGAAGAAAAUCGACCACGGGUCAUUUGUCUUAAAAAGUUCUAAAAACUACCCAAUAGCCUAGGUCACGCUAAAAACGCGUCGAAUGAAAAUUAACCAUGAAUUCGAAUCCGAUUUCAGAAAUUGAAGAUUCUGUCUUGUCACAGAGUGGGUAUACCGAAGUGUGUGUGCAUCAGAUAAUUCACUGGCAUGGAGUGCUGAGGAUGAAUUAUAUUUCGAAUCUAGAUAAGAGGUUACAAGUUUGGCAGAGUUUUCAGAGGGUUCUUUCUUAAGCAGUGUAUAGCAUAGGGUACAGAAUUUUGGUGGUGAAAAGAAAGUGAAGAAAGAUUACAGGCCAGAGUCAGCUCAGUAAUCAGUGAUGGUAGUUGUCAGAUCAGUGUCAGAGUAAAGACUGCUCAGAACUGUCAGAAAUUUUGAAUCGUUGAGGUUCGAAGGUUUAUUAGGGAGUUGCGAAAAAGAGAUCAGAUGUGAAUGACAUAAUGUCUUAUGUGAGAAGCUCAGUUCAGUUGUUGAUUCAGAAAGAGCAGAGUUUGUGUACCAAGACGAUCUCCUUAGUCAAAAAGGUCGAACAACACCACGAGACCGAAGGAUUAGCAUGGAAUAGUGAGACUCAAUGAAAUGACAAUACCCCCACCUUUUGUAUAAGGAUUGGUAAAAGUUUAAAUUUCAAAAACGAAAUUUUUAUAAGAGGGAAAGAGUUGUGACAUCCAGAUUUUCGGAUUCUAAUUUCGAUUGGAUAAAUAGGGCCGUUUUUGUUCAGUUGAAGCCAGGGAUUGUGAAAUUGGGAUGCAAGUGGGCUACAUUCGUAAGGAAAAAUACCAAUUGAAAUGAUGAGGUGUUGAAUGAAAUUAUGGGAGUCAAUUUAAAUUGAAUCAAGAGGGAUUAAGGUCCAAUUGGGAAGAAAGUGGGCUACAUUCGUAUGCCACCUCUACCCCCACAUUUUGGCCUACCUUAAAGCUUCUAGAAGGGCCAUUUUUGGCAAGGAAAAGUGAGUGUAAGACAACUGGAAUGGUGGGGCCAGAGAGAGAGAGAGAGAGAGAGAGAGAGAGAGAGAGAGAGAGAGAGAGAAAACUGGUUUUUCCUCUCUCCUCCGUCGAGCGUCUCCAUCUUCUUCCCCUUUCUUUGGGCUUCUUCUUCAGCAACAACCGAAGACCAGCAAGCCGAAGCAGCGAUUCCUCUCGGCGCCGUCGCAGCAAGCAACCGGAGCCGAAGUUGCCGCCGUCCGCCGUCCGCCGUCCUGUUGCCUUGCGCAACUUCGCCCCACCCUCUCCCUCUCACCUUGCGAACCAGAGAAGCUAAAGACAGAAGCAACGUCCAGCGUCGCCGAAAGGAGCCAUGACCAGCUGCCUAGAUGCCAUCGUACCGGAGCUGCCGCACCGCCGCUUGCUCGACGCCGUGUGCUCCACCGCCUCACGCUCGCGCCUGCCGUCCCCGCCGUGCGACCCCAGCCCCUGCUUUGCCUCAGUGCAGUCUCGUUCGGCCGCCUCCGGCCAUCGCCCGACCUCCUCCGGCCACCGUCCGGCCUCACCGGAGUUCCCUCGCCCUUCGCCGGCCCUGUCUAGCUUGAAUCAGCGCCGGAACCAACUCAACUAGCCGUGCACAAAGAGUUCGAAAAUGGGUAUGGCAGCGGACGUUUGGCCCGUUUUGGCCGUCUUCCCGAGCCCGGAUGCUCGGCCCGCUUUGAGGAAAGUCGAUUCUCGAGUCGAGCCCGUAGUUUUGAGUGAGUUUUACUCACUAAUGCCUUCUUAGUUUGCUAAUUACACUUAAAGGUUUAUUAGUAUUAAUUAAGUGUAAUUAGGUUGUUAGAUUAGGAUAGAUUAGCAAUAUUAGUUAAUUUCAUUGCAUAUUAGUUAGGUGGUUAGUGUACAUAGAUAGAGAAUUGCCUAUAGAUUUAUUGGAUGCUUCGUGGGAUUUUUCCCAACCCUUAUCGGGUGUUAAUUAGGCGAUUCGGGCCUAAUUGGUAUUUUUAGGAAUUAAAUAUUAAUUUUCAAAAUUAAUUAUUUAAUUAGUUAUUUUCCGAAAAUUCAACUGGGAUGGCUAGUGACAGAGAUUUUAUGCUGAUGAUCGUGGCGAAAUUAAUAUUUAAUUAGUUAUUUUCCGAAAAUUCAACUGGGAUGGCUAGUGACAGAGAUUUUAUGUUGAUGAUCGUGGCGUAGACCGUUUCUUUAAUUGAGCUUCAUAUUGUGCUAAAUUGGAAUUAUUGUGUUUAUUUAUUUAUUUUUCGGAAUUAAAUUAAUUAUUUAUUUAUUUUCCGAAAAUUCAACUGGGAUGGCCAGUGAUCGGAAUAUUAUGCUGAUGACCGUGGUGAAGUCCGUUUAUUUAAUCGGGCUUUAUUUUGAGCUAAAUGGAAUUUUUAAUAUAUAUUAAUUAAUUAUUUUUCGAAAAUUAAUGAUGAGGUGACCAACAACCGAAAUUUCGUGCUGAUUGUCGUGGCACAGUCUGUUUAUUUAUUUGAGCUCUACGUUGUAUAAAAUUAAAUAAAUUGUGAUGUUUUAGGGAUUUACCCUAAAUUGAUUGAAAUUGAGUGAAAUUGAAUUAUUGAUUGGUAAAUGGCCGAGUAUAGCUAGUUAGCAUUUGUACUGCCUUGUUGAGCUGUAAGUGGAGAAAGUGGCGAGAGCUAACUGAGACUUCUAUUGGCUGAGACCGAUCAAGUACGAAGUAUAGACAGGCAUGGUUCGGUGAUAAAGUACAUCACUAUGCGAAAGCGGCACCUUAAAGAACGCACGUAGACUGUUUAUGACUUAUGGCAGGCGUGGUUCGGUGAUUAGGUAGAUCACUGUGCGAAGACAGCGCCUUAAAGAACGCACGUAGACUACCUAUGAAUCAUGAGAGGCGUGGUUCGGUGAUGAAGGACAUCACUGUGCGAAAACGGCGCCUUAAAGAAUGCACGUAGACUGUCAAUGAUUUGUGACCUAUGACGGGCGUGGUUCGGUGAUGAGGAAUAUCACUGUGCGAAAACGGCGCCUUGAAGAACGCACGUAGACCGUCUGUUACUUAUGUCACCUUGGCGAAAACGACGCCCGAGAGCAUUGAUGGAGCUCUGUGACUAAGUGUAUUUUGGAGGUUAUGUGGGAUGGAAUGAAUAACCUAUAAAUGAUCCGACUGACUCGUAAUCGAUUAGGUCGAUUGAUCAUCGCCUUGAUUUGAUGUUGUGGAUUGAAUGAUUGAAUGGAGAUGAUCGUGAGUGGUCUUCUUGGUGUGUAAUCGAUUAGGUCGAUUUGAUCGAUGCUUCGAUCUUUGAUGUGAUUGCUUGGGUGCCUAUUUGAUCUGUACUAAUAUGUAGGUGAAAUCUGAGGCUAAGGUAAGCCCUCUGACUCAUGUUGUGCAUAGGCAACCCUAAGGUAUAUUAGUUUACUAAUCAAGUCUUAGUGUGGUAGAACUUGCUGAGACAUAAUCUCAUCCCGGUUUGGGGAAAACAUUUCAGGACCCUGAUGAAGAACCUGAGGAUAAAGAAAUCGAAGAGGAGUAUCUGGAGAAGAACUCCGAGGAUGAUCCAGAGUAGGAUCCUGACGACUUUUGCUAUAGAAUCAAUUUGAGUAGAAACCAAUCGUUUUAGUAUGGCUUGUAUAUGAUCAUAAGGGUGUUGGUUUUCAGGUUCAAUUUCCUAGUCCUACUUGUAUAUCCCAUUACUUUAUUGUUUGGGGAUUUUUAUAACUGCUUCCGCAUGUGCUAUUAAAAAGAAAAGGGUCAGUGAUAUGUAGUCUUGGGAAAUCGCAUUUUAAAAUCGACCAAAAGUAAGAGAUGUGCGCGUGUCUGAGGAUCGGGGCGUGACAACAAUGGUACGGUCUCCCUUGGAAGAGAGACUAUAACUUCUCUACCUUUCAUUCUCCCAAGAGAACCUAACAAAUCGUUCAUCCGAUUUCUUUAAGAAAUUUGGAAUGAAAUCUCUUUUGUUUGGAUUUCCUCUAGUCCCUCUAAGCGAGCUUUCUUAAACGUGAGUAUAAUAAAUAAAUAAAUAAAUAAAUAAAUAAAAGUAGGAGAAAUGUUAAAUUUGAAGAAAACCCACAAAACAUCCACAAUAGUGCAAAAGUUAUGGUUCAUAACCACUUAUUGAGCUGCCAUAUUUGCAUUGAGCAGUCAUCAACUCAAAACUCUAGUGAUUGGGGCUGCCGUAACCAUGAUUGCCACAAGCUUGGAGCUUGAGCUCAUGACUAUGGCGGUAGAGGUGGCAAAAGGGGUCUUGACCCAUAUAUGACCCAUUUAAAUCAUAAAUGAGUCAUAUAUGGGUCACUUGUUUUUUUGACAAAAAGUAGAUAAUUAGGUUUAACAAUUACAAACUUUGAUAGGUGGGUCUUAAGUGGAUCUUAAAUGGAUUGGAUUUAGAACCCAUUUUCACCAAAACCUCACAAUCUCUCUCUUUUCUCUUUAACUUUACAAAAACAUUUUUAUAAUAAAAACCAAAAUUAUAACUAUAAUUUUUUAUUUUUCUUUUCUUUUCUUUUUUCUUUCCUUUUUUUUUCUUUCUUCUUCCUCCGGUCGCCGGCACGGUGAUGGCCGACAACCGGCUAGGCGAGCCUCAAGCUCGCCCCUCGUCGGAUCUGGCAAGGCGAAGGCCUCGCUGACGCCCAACAAGGCUAGAGCCUCGCUAGAUCCGGCUAGGGGCGAGCUCAUUGGAUCUAGUGAGGUGGAGGCCUCACUGACGUCCAACGAGGCUCAAGCCUCACUAGAUCCGGCAAGGGGCGAGCUCAAGCUCGCUCGACGCCGGCCAGCCUUGAGCUCGUCAAAUCUAGCGAGGUGAAGGCCUCGCCGACAUCCGGCAAGGCUCGAGCCUCACCAGAUCCGGCGAGGGGCGAGCUUGAAGUUCGCCUAUGGCUGGCCAUCGGCCGUCGUUGUGGCCGGCGGCUGGCCAAAGAAGAAGAAGAAGAAAAAAGAAAAAAGAAAGAAAUUAUAUUUUAAAAAAUAAUUUAAAAAUAAAAAUAAUUAAAAUUCUAUUUUCAAAAUAAUUAUUUUGAAAUUAUAAAAUUUGUCCAUUAAAUUUGUGUUGUAUAAACUAUCUUAGCAAUAUCAUUAUAUAUAUAUAAAUAAGAAAUAAGAUUUCUUAAGUUUAGUUAAAUGGGUCGGGUUCGGUAUGAGUCAAAAAUUUUACAUUGCAAUAAAUGAGUCAUAAACAGGUUAAAUGGGUCGAUUUGGAUCGAACCAUUUAUGACUGGACCCAAACCUGACCCGAUCCACCCAUUUAACGGGUCUAUAUGGCGGCUGUGAUGGACCUCCAUCUCUCUCUCAAUUUUGUUUUCUAUUAUAUUGUUUGAUGUGGUGCUUUUUUGGCUAAUAAUAAUUUUCAACUAAUCAUAACAUAACACGCAUGCAUUUUGGUCAAUCUAUGUCAUUUAUUCCGCAAUCCAUGUCAACAAAAAAAAAAAAAAAUUAGGAGAAAAGGUAUAAUGAAAUGACUAUAUGUUGACUUUAAGAGAGAAAGAUGAUUUUGAUUUUCGGACAAAAUAAAGGACAAUGGUGAUAUUAUUCAUUGAAAAGAAAAAAAAAAAAAAGACCUUCAUUCCACGUUAUAUGUUGCUUUUCUAUCUAAGUUCCAUUGUUGAAUUAAUCAAGGUUAGCAAUAUAAUAAUGUAUAUCUUUAGAUUCCAACAAAAGUCCAAUGGAUUAACAUUCCUUUGAAAUGGAAAUUGCGGCCCACGGGCCACCAUCAUCCCCGUUAGGCUAACAUCUCCCAAACGUAAAUUGCAAAUGUUCGUGGUGAUAUUUAGGUAAUUUUCUUUUGAAAAAUAAAGAAAUAUUCUAAAAGAUUUCAUGGAAUUAAAUUCUAAAACUUUCCAAGAGCGUAAUUAAGUCCCAAACUUGUCACAAAAGUACAAUUGAAUUUUAAAAUUUUCAAAAAGCGUAAUCAAGUCCGAAAACUUGUUAAAUUGAUCCAAUCAAAUCAUUUUGUUAUAGUACUUUUUGAAAGUUUUAGAAUCAAGUCAUUCUAUUAAUUACACUUUUUGAAAGUUUUGAAAUUUGAUUACACUUUUCAUAACGGAUUUUAAGAUUUGAUUGUACUUUUUGAAAAUUUUUAAAAUUCAAUUGUACUCUCAUGACAGGUUUCAAGACUCUCGAUGCACUUAUCUCAAAUAUUAAUCACUAAACUUUUUUCAUUCCCAACCUCUACAAGCUGUACUAAAUUAUUUCAAUAUUCGAAUUUACAGUGGGCUAUAACUUUUUGGGAUUAGUUUUAAUUUGAAGUUAUGUAUCUCUUCACGUGAAACAGAAUUUUUCCUUCUGACAAGAAAAAAAAGAAAAAAUAAAAAACUUUUCUGCCUCCCACAUGUCAACAUUGAAGUGUGGACGGCAAAGGAUGUUGGAAAUUCGGUCCGUCUUUUCCCUUCGAUAGUAAUAAUGCCAUAAUCACGUGGGCUUUUUUGUAACGUUAAUAAUAAGCUGUGCUUACGGAUGGCUGUGCUUCGGCCGUCGUGUCGUCACCGCUGCGAACGAGAGCAGCAUAAAAAGGUCAUAUUCUUAUUAGAUUGCCCUAUUUGUAGGUUGUAUCAUUGUUAGCAACAGUAGUAGAGCAUCUCUUGUGCCCAUUGAAGAAUCCAGGCGAUGUCGCCAAGAAGCUGCAAAGGAAAAGUGCAAGCGUGAUUGGCGUGGGGGCUCGCUGGCCGCAGGACGUGAGCUUUUGUAAAACAACAAAAUUAAACAUCCUCAACUUCCAUUCCCGAUAAAAGUAAUAGUACAUGGAGAGAAAACAUGCACCUAACUAGGCAACUACAAUCAAGUGAAAGAUUUCGAAAAGUAAAAUCGUAUUCACUCCCUUCAGCCUAAUACAAGGCAACCCUAGUUUGUAUGAUACUAUCACAGGACCAAAAUUUUAGAGGAUUAAAUAGGCAGCAACCCAACCGCUAUCACUACCCUUUAGCUUACUCACCAGACAAACACACACAAUCACACACCAUACCCAGCCCCACCUCAGCAAACAGCAAUCACCACAAAAUAGAACCGACACGUUAAGGGGGAUCUUGAAAAUUGUAAGAGUUUUACUACUACUCACAAGGCCUUGCUAUUCGAUCCGGUGGGCCCAAUAUCUCCAAAGCAAACCCCUGCGACCAAGAAACGCCCAAAAUCAAUUUUGAGAGCCGCGCCAGCUUAAUUGAUACCCACACCCUCAUCAAAAACCCUAGAAUCAAACACACAAACGCUGAACCAAACAGCUCAAAGCAAAAGAAACAACAGUCUUUGGAACUUUUUCACUCCUAUGAAGUCACAAAUUGAAGUCACGACCGGCAAAACUAGUUCAAAAGAGAUCUGAGCACUUCGGAUCUUCUAAUGUCAAGCCAUUGAAGUUUCGGUCGUGGCGAAGAGAAACGGAGAUGGAAGUCCCUAAUGGAAGUCGUGUCUUGCAGAAUUAAUUCUUCUCUCUGUGUCUGUCACUCUCACUAAAAAGGAAGGAAAUAGAGCCGAAGGGUGCAACGCAUUUAGUAAUCAUUUUGUUCCUGGGAAUAAUUUAUGCUUAGAAAUAAUUUUUUCUAAUAUUGUUCUUUGGACGAGUUAUUUAGCAUUCAACCGUAUUAGUAACUUCAUAAAAUUUAUGUUCAUUGAAUAGAAAAGAAUAGAAAUAUGUUUAGCACAAGUCUUAAAUUUUUUUUUUUUGUGACAUACAAUUUCUUUUUAUUUUUUAAUAAAUUUCUCAAAUUUGUAUUUAUUUUAUUUAUCUUUUCCUCUUCUCGUCUUCCUUCUCUAGCUAGUCACCGAGCCUCAAGAAUGGCUAGUGGCUAGCUAGAAGUGAGAGCUAGCGACUUUGUUUGCUUCGGGGGCCACUCAUUGGCCUCGGGGGAGCCUAACUAGCUCUUGGUGAGGCCGACCCAUCCAUCCACGACAAGGUCAAGCCUCACCAAGAGUCAACGAGGUUGCCAAACCUCGUUUUUGGUUGGUUGCUGGCCAUUGCCGAGCCUAGCAACUGACUAGAGGAGGAAGAAGAAGAAAAGUAUUUUUUUAAAAAAAAAAGAUAAUGACUUGGUUUCAGAAUUUGUUUCUAGAAACAAAUAAGUAAUUUUUUUCUAUUUUUUUAUUUCUGUUCUAGAUUUAUUCCAUGGCUACUGAUACGUUUUCGGGAAUAGAAAAAUUAGCUGACAUUAUUAAAUGGAUUUUUGUUUUUCGGAAUAAAAGAACAAAAUUAAUUAAGAAUUAACUGGUUACCAAAACGGGCCAAAAUAAAGUGUAAAGGUGUAUGGUGGGUCAUGGACUUAUGGGUGUCGUGUGGGUUUUGAAAAUAUGGGUUAAAAUAUGGGUCAUGUCUGUCUAAUGGAUCUCGCGAGUCGGGUAUAUUGGCUUUUUUUUGGGUCUUUAGUUUUCCACAACCCACUUAACCCAUUUUGAAAGAAAACGAGUUACCAAUAUAACAUUGUGCCUCUUAAAAUUGAGUUAUAACUAGGGGUGAGCGGUUCUCGGUUCUGGUUCCGUUCCGUUUGGAACCUGUAACCUACUCUCGGGUAUAGAUUUAUCAUUUUUUGGAACUUGGAACUUACUCAUCAAAACUAAAAACCUGGAACCUACCUGUCACAAGUUCUAAGAUUGGUUUCAAGUUCCAACAGGUUUUUUUUUUUUUUUUCAUUUUCAUAUUUGAACUAUAACGAAGAAGGAAAGAGACAAACCAAAGCUUCUAUGUCCAUAAAUUGCCAAAAAUAGUUCCUUGGGAGGAGAAGCAUAAAACAAAAAAGCACAUUUUUGUCCCUUUGACUAAUGCCACUCCAAAUUCACCAACUGCACAAUGAAAAGUAAUUAAUUGGUGGUUAGACAACACUCAAUGAAGCUAUAUUUAAAGUAAUAUUGAAGAAAGCUGAGACAAGGAAAUAUUUUUCCUUCUGCUCACCAUGCCUUAAUGGAGAAAGCAAAAGAAUAAAUAGAGCCAUCAAACCAAACUCAAAACAAUUGAAGUGCCAUUUUAAGCUUGUUCUGUCUCCAUUUGGGCAACUUAUAGAAAACAUCCUUUGUCAUCCCAAAUUUCUCUCUGAACUCCAAUGAUGAGAAAUAAGUCUGCUACAUUUCAUGCAAAGCAAUGUCCAGGAACAAAAUGAUACAAUGGGAAAAUCUUAUUUAGAUAUUACCUCUUGCAUAGCUGAAAAUUUUUGCAUUGACUGCAGAACCAUCGUCCUGUAGACAGUAUAACUUCACGGCAAUGACAGCAUACAUACUGCAAAUGGACAACAAUGAAGUCCUCCUUAGCAGGCAGGAUUUUUUCCCCAAGCUGUUAUCAAUAAGAGAAAAAUAAUGAGAGCAUAAUUUAAAGAUACAGAAAAGAAGGUAAAAUCAACCAGCCACGAAGUUGCUGAACAGAUAUCAUCAUUUCUCUAAUAAAUGAAUCUUAUUCAGUCUAUGACACAAAAUGACAGUAUUAUAUACUGCUCAGUUAAACAAGCCGAUGCGGAUCUUGACAUUUAACUUAGCCUCUCGUAUGUUCAGAAAAACACAGGAUUAGAAAUUGCCACUAGAUUUGGCACCAUCUAAUGAAAUAGCAUCUUUUUCUUUUUGGUAAAAAAAUAUCAAAAAGAAAAAGGGUUUAAUACCUUGAAAAACCUCAAACUGAUACACCAGUGACAAAUUUACCCCAAAUUAUUUUUUUGACCAUGAAAAAUCUCAAACUGGUACAUCUAUGACAAAUUUACCCCGACUGACCAUAAGAAACCUUAAAUUGGUACAUUUAUGACAAAUUUAUCCCAAACUAAUUUAUGUGACGGCAAAAAACCCCAACCUGAUAAAUUUGUGACAAAUAUACACUCCGUUAAAUUGAAUUAAUACCACAAAAAAUCACAAAAAUUGUAAACUAUGACAAACGGAUCUUAAAAUCGCAAAUUGGUAUACCAGUCAAUUGUCAUGUGCUAUUUAACUUAAUAAUUUGACAGUAAAAUUUAACGAAAACUAAUAAAGGGUAAAUUUCUCACAAGUGUACCAGUUUGGGGUAAAUUUGUCAAAUGUAUACCGGUUUAGGGUUUUUGGUGGUCAAAAAAAUAGUUUUGGGUAAAUUUGUCAUAGGUAUACCAGAAAGGUCCAAACAGAACCUAGUGAAACUCAAUAAUGGCUAUGGAACUAUAGAUCUCAUGGAGUUAGCAUUAUGCAACUAACAUGUGUAGACAGAAUAGGAAAUCUUCAGGGAAAAAAAUAAGAUUGCUUAUUGUCAUACAAGGAUCCCGCAGGAGUAAAGCAACAACUCAAACAAAACAUGACAUGCAGUCAUCACAACAUCAAUUGCAGAGCACAAAAGCAAGUUAGAACCUACAGUCCUCAGCUUUAACAACUUAUCUGGAUUAGAUUAGUCCAGUUUCAUCCAUGAGUGGCUUACAAUGUUCAAUAAAAAGGUCAAACUGAAAUGGAUCCUUCAAAGCCUUAAGUGUACUACUCCACUAUCAAUCACAUGGACUUGAAAAUUGGAUCUUCCAGUUCGUAUUAAUAUGCAACAAGAGAAACAGACCCCAGCUUCUUGUCUGCUUUCUCAAUUCUCCCAUUUUUUCUAAGAAAAUUUUACCCAUAGUUUUUCAUCCCCUCAUAACCAAAUCCAGCAUCCCCCAUCAACACUACCGCCAAAGCAAACCCAAAACCAACAAUCAAAUAUUCACGCUGGAACUUAAUUUUGCUUUACGAAUUUCAUGAGCAUUAUACCAGCACUGAGUUUGUUAAGAUCUUGCAUGUACUGAAAAUAAUAAAUGAUAUCCAUAAAGCAAGCCGAGGGCACAAGAAAAUAUUGGAGCAUAAAGAGGCUCGCGGAAGGGAAAUAAAAUCAAGCACUUGGUGCCCAUUAUACCUGACAAUAUCCCACGCUUCCAUAGAAAGGGGGAAAAACAGUGGUCAUAACUUGCUACCUUGAAAACAAAAACACUUUGAAAUAGAGCUAAACAAAAGUAGUAUUCUUGCAAACAUGAAUUCCCCCCCCCCCCUAAAUCUUACAUACAAACCACAUUCGUUCAGGUCGCCGGCGGCAAAUAAGGGGAAACCAAGAAAAUGAACAAUAGCAACGUAGAGAGGGGGCAGCAAAGAUUACCGGCUCAAAAGGCGAGCUACGAGCAGCGUCGAGGGCAACUGGCCGACCAGUUCGGUUCUUCGAUUUCCGGUUCUAUCCAGGGACCACACUCACCCCUAGUUAUAACAUAGGUACACGAACCAUCUAACCGGCCCUACUUCUGACCAACCAUAUCAGGGUCAAGUUAGUCAGCAUCCUACUUUAUAUAUUCUCUUUCUGGCUUUCACCAUCCAUGAAAUCAAUAUGGAAGAGAAUGGUUUUUUACUAUCAUUUGCCAACAUAUAAUAAAGAGGAUAUCACAUCGUCUUCCAGGCCGUGCUUAUAUAGGCAAGUACAAAAGAAGAAUGGCAGACCUGUAAUAUACUCAAUGAACCUCCGCAAAAGUUACGGAGCUUCAUGACUUUCGAAGCAGAGAACACACAUUUGGAAAAAGAUCAAAAAGGCAUAAGUGCUCUCGACUGUUCACUUUCAAAGAGCAAGAAUCGAUAUCUCUGAGCUUCAAGAACGUAAUAAGCAGCUAAGUCUUGUCGGAUCAAUCUCCUUAGUCCCAUCAUCUUCAUCAACAUGUAUUCGAGUUUCCUUUUGGCUCUUUAUUUAACAAAGGCAUCCGCACCCUUGUGACUCUGAAGAGAAUCACAUUGGGUGUGGCAGUUACCCAUCCCACAUAUACCGAAUAAUUUAUGGGAGAUGUGCAUUCCUAUGCUCCUGGAUGACUCCAAGAAAAUACGCAAGAAUGAUGAUUCAAAUUAUGAUCUUGAACAUGAGAGAUGAACACACGUAUGACUUGAGCAACCCUAACUCAUAAUAGGACUUAUAACCACCGCCUAGUCCUUGUCAGCCUUCCAGUCAACUGCUUUUUUGUUAGGUAGCGCAAGCCAGGAAUGUUCAUCCUCAUUUCUUCUGGGAAAAUGAAGCCAGUUGGGUAGUCUCUAGUGAUUACAGCAUUUGAAUAUUUGACUAAUCCGUCAUUUCUGAAGCCGGCAUCAGGGGGGGCACCUGCAAAACUUGUUCUUGGUCAAAUCAGACAAAUGCAAGACCUGGACGUUACUGAUAUCAAACAAGUUUGUGUAUCUUGCCGUCCGAAAGUUGCUCAUAAUCUUACUCCUCUUUGAACUACUCUUAUUGUACUUGCAUUCUUUCCAAAUUAACGGAUCAAGAUGAUUAUCAACGCACCAAGAUAUAUUGCAUUCGUUUUCUUGAUUUCAGGCCUGAUCCUCUUCAUCCCAGACACUCCUGCCAAUUCACAAACAUAUCUUCAAGAGGGGAGCUCUAGUAAGGGCAAUUACACUGCUUUUGGCAAGUUCCAAAACAACCUCUACAGCCUCCUCGACAGGUAACUUCACAACAAAGGACGCGUUAACUGUUUCUACAACAUGACAGAAGGGGAAUAUCCAGACAAAGUUUAUGGUCUCUUCCUCUGCAAGUAAAUCACAUGGAAAAGACAUCCAAAGUUUCUACUUUUUAGUAAUACCUUUCAAUUCAAUCCUUAUAAUCUUUGGAAAACCUGAUGUGUUGGUCUUAAUUGAGAUCCUCUAAAAGUAUGGAGAUCCAAUGCCAACAAUUUGGUUAAUACUAUCCAAACUUAAGUGACUACUAAUGCAACUUUCCUAUCCUUUUUUAGAGGCUAUGUUGCAGCCAAUCUCUGUCAGUCUUGCAUCAAAUCAGCUACCGGCAACAUCUUAGAAUGAUGUCCAGGAGAGAAAGGGGUGACCAUAGGGUACGAUGAGUGUCUUGUGCGCUACUCUAACAGAUCAUUCUUCUGUAUCAUGGAGUCAAUGCUGGCUUUUUCAAUGUACAACCUUAUGAAUGUAUCAGAUCCCAACCAGUUCCUCCCGGUUGUGGGGGAAACUUUCAGGAAAGUGAUGGACUUGGCAAUCUCCUUAGAAAGCUUAUGCGUGACCAUCAAUGUUAGUGUCUCAAUUUCAGUGAGUUUGUGUGCACUUGCGCAGUGCACCCUUGACUUAUCAAAGUCAAUUUGUGAACAGUUGUAUGGCUGCUGCAAUCCUCUUUAUGAGGAAAUUAGAUGACAAGCAACAGCACAUUCUCCAACUAACAAAACCAGCAUUGAUUCCGGUACUAGAGGUAUAAAAAUUGUAUAAUGCUCAAAACGUGCAUUCAAUUUUCAUGGUUAGCAUAUAAAGGUACUCAUUAUAAGCUGUUUCGUGUAUCAUAAUGCACUUCAAUUGCUUUUACGAUCUAAACUAUGAUCAUUCUCUCUAGCUUUCUCUGAGUUCCUGUUACUAUUUACGCCUAGUGAGAAAAAUCUGCAGACUAAAUUCAAGGAAUCACUUUGUCUUGAUAGGGGUGAAACAAACAAAAGCUCCAUGGAUUGCAAUAGUUAGCUCAGUCACUGGAUUGUGUUUACUCUUAUCCAUCAUAGGUUCAUGCAUUUUUUUAAACAGGACAAAGAGAUUGAAAAAGGUAUAUAUGAAUUCAUCUUGCUUGCCAUUAGAAGACCAUCUUCUAAACUUUACCUUAUGAGAGUAACCUCUUAUACUGUCAGGGUAGGAAAACAGCCUAGAGGUUCAGUUACUGCAUCUGAGACUAGAAAUUGGAGUAGAGUUUUUAGAGGAAAACUAUCAAGGAGAAAAGCCAGUGGAUCCUCGAGAAUUCACUCUGAUACGAUUAGACGUUAUACGCGCAGCCACUGGGAACUUCUCUGACGAAUGUAAGCUUGGGGAAGGCGGGUUUGGUCCUGUAUACAAGGCAAGCAUUUCAGUGACUAAAUACUUAUUUAUGGGGAUAUUAGGAAAUUCUUCUAAUGGCAGCAAAUUGGCUGUCAUUAUUGUCAAAUCACCACUAACGUUACGCUGUUUCACGGCACAUUGGGAGAUGGAAAAUAAAUUGCAGUUAAGAGGCUUUCAAGAACCUCGGGCCAAGGACUCAUCGAGUUGAAGAACGAAGUCAUCUUGAUUUCCAGACCACAACACAGGAACCUCGUCCGAUUGGUGGGAUUCUGCUUGGAAGAACAUGAAAAACUCUUGAUAUAUGAAUACAUGCCCUUCAAAAGCUUGGAUGUCUUCCUUUUUGGUUUGAGCUUUAGCAGAUGAAAUGAAUCUUUUGGCGAUUUUUAUAAAGGGCAAAUCCAUUUGAGUCUCUCAUCAUCAACAGAUUCAAAUGUGGGGCAAUCUCUUGAUUGGAAGAUGCGCCUGAACAUCACCUGUGGAGUAGCUGAGGGACUUAUAUUUCUGCAUGAGGAUUCUUGCCUAAGGAUUAUCCACAGGGAUCUGAAAAGCUAGCAAGAUAGCAAUAUCUUGCUAGAUGUUGAGAUGAAUCCAAAGGUAUCCAAUUUCGGGAUGGCAAGGAUCUUCAGUAUAAAUCAAGACAAGGCCAACACAACAGAGUUGUUGGCAUUUAGUAAGCGCUUUCAAAUAUGUUUCUACAUCUGUUAUAUAUUUGAAUGAUUUACUAGGCCAAAAAAGAACUCUGAUGAUUAGUUCCACAUGACCAAAAUGUGAAGAUUCAUAUUUCAGAAGUUUCCUAUAAUCACUUGUGAAUUUUUUUCCUACUUCCAACUAAUUGCUCCUCAUCAUAUAGUGGACACAUGGCACCGGAGUAUGCGAUGGAAGGGCUCUUUUAUGUUAAAUCAAACAUCUUCAGUUGGAGUUCUCUUGCUAGAGAUAAUAAGUGGGUGAAAGAAUAAUGGUUUUCAUAUCUGAGAGCACGGUGAAAGCCUUCUCACAUAUGUAUGCUCCUAGUCUCCGUUCCAAUUUAUUAUGAAGUCCAAGAUUUUUGUGCAGCUAUUCUUGCUUAUUUUCCUUGUGAAAUGACAGGCAUGGAAGUUGUGGUCCAAAAAUUGAGGGUUGGAACAUACUGAUCCGUCAAUCAAAGGGUCAUGUGAUGGAGUUCCAGUGCUAAAAUGCAUACAUAUCAAUCUGUUGUGCGUUCAAGAAGACCCGGUGGACCGAUCAACUAUGUCACUCGUGGUUCAUAUGCUAGGAGGUGGUAUGAUCACCCUUACCCAAACAUCACAGCCUGCAUUCUCAGUUGGGAGAUAAGUGAAAACACUGGAUCCUAUCGGACCGAUUCACAAUGUUUCCACCGUUAACAAAGUAAACCAAGAAUCAUCACCUUUCUUCAGUUGUUUCUCUUCCAUACAAUGGAAAUGCUUCACGAUUUGACAAAAUAGAACUAGUUACAGUGUAUGAUCUCUUUAUUAUUGUGACUGCCAUUUCUUAAUCCUUGAAUUACACAAUCAUGAAUUAUAUAUUGUGAGGAAAAAAAAAAAAAACCUGUUUAGUAGUCGUCAUUUCUACUCUAAUUCACCACUAAUGUGCUUUAAGAAUAAUAGAUAUACUUACAUGAGUGAUAUAUCAAUAUUCAAUUCUAUAAGUACCUCAUUAAUAUAUAAGAAAGAAUAUACAUAUACAAAUUCAAUAAUCUAAUUUGAGUAUGUUCACCGAAAUCUUCAUUAAUGAAGAAUGUAGAGUGUUUAGAUAUUACAUCACAUCUGAGCCGUACUUAUUGCAUUCAAAUCUUUCCAAACUCAUGUUUGCCUCCCCUAUUAGAUAUUUUUACACUUCAGUCCCAGACUAAAGUUUAGCUUACACGUGAGGAUAGUGUUAGAUUAUUUAAGUAUUAAAUCACGCUUUUAUCUAAUAGCCUAAGAUAGAAAACUUUUUACAGAGGAGCUACCAAGUCAAGGCAUCAUUUUGUAGUAGUUUUGAAUGGGUCAUGUAACGACUUUCUAGACUUUGUAUCAAAUUUAAUUUGGCUUUGUAAUGUUUGAUUUAUUUUUUUAUAAACUCUUUUUUAUUUUGUAAUGGCUAUAUAGCGGUCAUCUUCUCCUUCAAUAAUUACUAAUUUAUUUACAAUUGUCUCUUAAAACUCUCUCUUUCUUUUACCUAUAAAUUGUUACUCCGAAUAUAAUUGGAAAGCGAAAUUGAUAUAUCAAAACAAAAAUAUUCCUCUUUACGUAUCUUUCAUUUCCUUGUUGAAUUAUACACAUAACUUUGUUCCCAUUCCUUCUAUUAUUCUAUCGCAUUGAGUUUCUACUUUGAGGGCUGGAAUUAUGCUUUAAAACGGUGCUUUGUACACCUCAAACAUUUGAUUUUAUUUUCUCAGCAUUUUCAAUAGAAUUCCAACAAUUAUUAUUUUCAUAUUAUCUAACAUUUUCCCAACAAUCUUGACGGUAAUUGCCUUAUGGAUUCCCUAGUCUCUGCUGUCUCGCACCAGUUUCUCCGGCGGUUUGAUGUUGGCUAGCGGUUUCACUGUCGCGAAACAUUUAAUCAUUGUCGUUGCGGCUCUUCUUAACCGACCGCGACUUAGUUCACUCCUUCGAUCGCGAUUCCAGUGGGGCAACCAUGACUCUGGCGGCUUUAUCUACAAUCUCCUGUCGUGUCUUCAGCUCUGCCGCUGUGUAUCCUUCUCCAUGACAGGCGAUGAUGAAAUCCAUUGAUGGUUUUAUCUAUAAGUUGAUGGGCCUUAGUAGGCCUGUCCGCCCAUGUUGGGCCUAAAAGCCUGGCCCGCAAAAUAAGGGCCCAUGGAGGAACGGUUGCGAUGUGAAAGGCUACGUUGUUUAGAAUGAGGAGUUGUGUCUUUUGGGGGAAUGUUUUACAUUGAAGAGUUACGUCUAUUAGAGAAGACGUAAGAGAGAAAAGAAAAAGGGAACGUACCCCUUCAACUUACGUACGUUGUUUUUUGUCUCUCUCCCCCCCUAAGAAACGUAAGAGAAUAGUACCCUCAAAACAACAUUUUUCCCCCUAAUAGCGAUAGCACGCUCCUCGGUAGAAAGAGAUUAAGAUUCUUCCUCGAACUUCAAGGUUGGUGUUUAAUCUGUGGACAAUAAGGUACACUCGAUUCCAUGGUAUAUCUUUGAUCGGUGAUACAUGUGAUUCCUGGGCUCGUCUUCCGCGUUCAUUUUAGGGGUUCGAUUAAGUAUCGGAAACGAUUUUAGGGAAUACGUUAUUCCCAACAUUAGUAUCAGAGACAUUGUUCAUAUUUCUUGAUCCCUUUUCAUGUUUAUGAUUUGUUUUUUGAUUGAAUUUUCAUGAAACACCGCCGUCAGCCGAUUGAGACGGAAAAAUCCCGACACCCACAUAUUGUUCCCCCUAUUUUGUAAUUUUCUGUAAGUCGAAAUUCGUUUUGAUAACGCAGGGUCGAAGCUCUUGUUAAUACAAGAAAAACGAGUCGCGGAUCAUCGCCAGGGGCCGCCAAACGUGCCGCCACACGCGGCUGGAACGGACUGGGGUCGUUGGCGCGUGCCAUGCACGCGCCAGCUAACGUCAUAGUGACGUCAUCCAAGCACGCGCAUGGCACGUACCAAUCGAUUCGUCCUACCGGCCCGACCGACCCGACUCGUCCGACCCGGCCUCAGCGGUCCGACCGGUUUGACCCGUAUCAGCCCGACCCGACAACUAUUGACCCGAUUGACCUGUUGAUUCAAUCCGUUGACCGUUGACCCCUUUGAUCGUUGACCGUUGACUUUGACCAUUAACUAAAAAAAAAAAAAAAGAGGAGGAAAAGAAUGUGUUUCUUUUGCCAAGUAAUUCUAUGUGGAUUAUAAGUAAUCCCUUAUUUGUUCUGCAUUUGUUACAAGAACAAUGUCUCCCUGUAAGGUGCGCACACCUAUUCGCGCAAAUUCAAAUGAACAAAAGGAAAGGCUUUCUAAGUUGAUAACUGAGCUAACAGAUUAUCGAUGGGAGAAUGGUGACUUAAUUGAUCAUGUUCUCGUAGUUAACAAUAAAAUACAACAGGUCAUAUGGAAUGGUCAUCUCAUGCCACAUUCUGAGAUGGUGUGAUUCUUCAUGAACAUUAUUCCACUAAUAUGGCAAGGAGUGUUGAAUCGCCUAUGGGAGGUUAACAGAGCUAUUACGUAUAAGAGGCUUGUAAUGACUUUUAUAGAUGAACAUUACCGGAUUGAAGCCAAAAAGACUGCGACCCAUGGAAUGACUUCGAUCUGGCGGAGAAUGGAUGUAUGAAGGAGAAAUCCUAAGGGAUACUCGUCUGUUUUACCGUGGCUACCUAGAAUGUCUCAAGAAUUUAAAGAAUAAAAGAUCAAUAAAUUAAACAAAAAUGAAUAUUUCCCAGUUCAUGUGUUGUCUUGGCGUUAGAUGUUUUUGACUGAUCUUUAUUUAAGUAUGCUUUAUGGACAUGUUAUGUAAAUGUUUUCUACCUAGAUGUUGUUGGUGUAGCAACUGAUAUGUUAGUUGCAUUAUAUGAAAGCAUUACUAUUCUAUCAUUAUUAGAUGUCGAAUAUUAUUUGCUUCUGUUAUUAUUGACCGUUGUGGAUAGUUCAUAGAAGUUUUUGUAGCUUUAAAGAAUUUAUUUUGUAUAAAAGAUUAUAUUAAUAAUAAUUCCAAGUUAUGAUUUUUGGAUGAUGAUUGGAAACAUAGUGACAUUUUGAUUCCGAAACCAUACUUGAAAUUAUUCAUUAAUAUGAUGGUUUGUGCAAAAUGGAUGCGUAAAUAAUAAGCAUUAAUAAUUCGUGCAUAUAUGUUUGAUAUGUUUAGAUCAAUGGCUUCAGCCACAAAGAGCAUAGUCACUGAGCUAAACAAAGGUGAGAAGCUCAAUGGCGAUAAUUUUGAAAUAUGACACAUGAAAAUCCAAUAUGUACUAGAAGAGCAAGAGGCAUUAGAAAUUCUUAACCUGACUAUGGAAGUACUUGAAGAUAGAAACAUUGCACAACAUAAGAGAGAUAAGGAUGCAUUUGCUACCUGGAAAAGAAAGAACUCUCUUGCUCACAUUACGUUGCUGAGUAGUAUGGAAAAUGAUGUCAUGCAAGAGUUCAGGCAUUUUGAGAAUGCCAAGAAAAUGUGGGAAGCGUUGAUAGCAAGAUUUGGUCAUGCUUUGGUGACCAGACUGAGAUAGCUUACUAUUAGGUUUGUCUCUUAUAAGAAGCCUCAUAGUCAGACUAUGAAGCAACACCUUAGAAAGAUGUCAAACAUGAUUAAUGAGUUAAAAGAUUUUGGACAUGUCCUGACUGAUGAGCAGCAAGUGCAGUGAUUCAUUCCUUGCCUCAAAGGUGGGAGCAUAUGAAAGUGCACCUAACCUAUAAUGAGAAUAUCAAAACCUUUGAGGAUGCGAUGCGUUAUCUUGAGCUAGAAGAGGAUCGUCUCUUGGCGGCUAAGCUUGAAACUGAAAUUUAUCAUGCUGGUUCCAGCUUACAUGGAGCUUUGAGCUCCAAGCACAAACGUCUUAACUGGUUUGAUAAAAGGAAAGGCAAGGAAGCAAGUUCUUCGGGGAAGAAACCUAAGCUUGACCAACAUGAAAGAGGAAAGCGUCCUCCAAUGAAGAAGUUAACAAGGGUGAAGUGUUAUAAUUGUGACAAGAAUGGUCAUUAUGCUCGCAACUGUCGUGAGCCAAAGAAGGUAUACACCCAUUGUACAUUUCAAAACUUUGCUUAUGUGUUGAGUUAUGUAUUCUUAACUGAGUCUAAUCUUUUGUGGACUGUGGAUUCAGGAGCGACAGGCCAUGUAGCGAAGGAUAGAGAAUCCUUCGUGAAAUUCUUAUGAGUACCAACUGGAACUAAAUGGAUCUAUGUAAGAAACUUCAAAGCAGAAGUAAAAGGGAUUGGCACCUGCCAACUUAACAUGCGUGGUGGACGCACUUUAUUCCUACAUGAUGUAUUGUAUGCUCCGGAGAUUCGUUAGAAUUUAUAUCUGUUUUAGUGUUGGUUAAGCUUGGUUUUAAUAUGAACUUCCAUAAUAGUGGUGUAGAUUUAUAUUUAGUUACAAAUUACUAUGGUUGUGAUUAUUUUCUAGAUGGUUUCAUUAUAUUAAAUAUUGACUAUGGUAAUGCCAAUGUUUGUUAUUCGCUUUUCACGUCUCCUAAUUUAUAUGAUAAUGAUGUGAAUGUGUGGCAUGCUAGACUUGGUCAUAUUGGCCAACAACGUAUGAAUAGACUAGCCAAAGAGGGCUUAUUGGGCAACAUUGAAAAAGUCGAUUUGCCCAUGUGUAAGCAUUGUCUAGUAGGGAAAACGACAAAGAAACCAUUUGAAAAAGGUAAAAGAGCUAAAUUUCCUUUGCAUUUAAUCCAUUCCGAUGCCUGUGGUCCGAUGAAUGUGAGAGGAAGGCAUGAGACUGUUUAUUUCAUCACAUUUAUAGAUGAUUAUACUCGAUUUAGAUAUGUUUAUUUAAUUUAUUAUAAAUUCGAAGCAUUGAGUUGUUUCAAGAGGUUUAUGAACUUGGUAGAAAAUCAAUUAGACAAGAAAAUAAAAGUAUUGAGAUCCGAUCGAGGUCGAGAAUAUUUAUCUGAUGAGUUCAGAAAGUUCUGUGAUAAAAACAAAUAAUAGAAAGACAGUUGUAUAUUCCAUAUAUUCCUCAACAAAAUGGUGUUGUGAAGAGAAGGAACAUAACCCUAUUGGAAAUGGUUAGGUCCAUGAUGACGCAUGCUAACUUACCCAUUACUUUUUAGAGUGAUGCGUUGUUAACUGCUGUUAUAUACUUAACCGAGUGCCUUCCAAAUCAGUUACUUCCACUCCAUAUGAGUUAUGGACAAGCAGAAAACCGAACUUAAGUUUUCUUAAACCAUGGGGUUGUGUUGCCUAUACUCAUGAGCCCUCUCACAAGUUUGGGAAAUUGGGUCCCAGAGGAAAGAAGAGUAUUUUUAUAAGAUACUCUAACACUCGAAAGGGUAUGUGUUCAUAGGUGAGCAGGAAAGUAGAAGUAUAACUGAAUUCGAAUCACGGGAUGUCACAUUCUUAGAGAAUGAAUUUCCUAAAAAAUGCGAAAUAGGUGAGGAUCUAAGUAGCAUCAAUACGCGACACGGACACGCGACAUGACACAACACGACACAUCGACACGUCAUUUCUUAAAAAUAUAGAAUUUCGACAUGUUCCGACACGUUAUAUAUUAAAUAAAUAUUUUUAUUUUUAAUUAAUUUUAUUUAAAUUCACAAAUAAAUAAAUAAAUAAAUAAAUAAGAACUUACAAUAAAUUUACACUAAUAAUAUUAAUAAAUCUAUUCAUGAAAAAUUAUUCAUAAUUAAUACGUGUGCAUAUUUAAAAAUAUAUUUUUUAUUUUAACAAAAAUUAUUCCCCUCAAACCCUCCCUUCUCAUUUCUCUCUCCCCCUCUUCUCCCACGCCACCACCCUAAAAUCUCCCCCCUUCGAUUUCUGCGAAUCUACCCCCACUCUCUCUCUCCCCAUCCCCUUCCCCCUACGCCCCCACUUGCUCCUGCGCCCCCAUCAAUUGCCCCCAUCCCCCUCGGAUUUCUUCCCUUCUCUCCUCUCUUCUCUCCCCCUCCCCCUCCCUUUACCCCCCAUGCCACCACCUGCUCCCCUACAAGGCUGCACCCCCCAUCAAUCCCCCUCCAUCCUUGUUCUUCCCCUGCUCUCUCUCUGUGGCAUCCUAGAAUUUCAUGACAACCCUUGGAUAUACCAUGAACCUUAUAAGUUGGAUUUUAUUGAUUAUUGUUGCAAAGUUUUAUGGCCAAGUGAAAAAGUGUAAUUAGGUCUUUAUAUAAGUGGGAAUUAAGGUGGAUUAUUAGGAAUAAUUGUGGGCUGUGUAUUUGAGGACCAAAUCAGCUCAAGACAGCCCAUAAUUUCCCACCAUUCGGCUGACCAAGCCCAGCCCGAGGAGCCCAUGAAGUAGUCGAUCGAAGGAGGGAGAGGCCCGGCCCAUUGAGCCCAUCAACUUGCAUGGCAAAAUUAACAAGUGGCAAGAGAGAUUAGCCAAGUAUCUAAUGCCAUACAAAUCAAAUCUAAUGAUGAAGGGGAAAGAAAAGAGGAGGGGCGGAUUGAGAGAUAGGGUUUUCGACCGAGAGAGAGAGAGAGAGAGAGAGAGAGAGACCGAGCGAGCGUGCGAGAGAAGAAGAGAAGAAGGAGAUCGGUUGCCGCUGUGAGUCCGCCUUGUCCCACCGUCGUGCUUGCUGUGAUUUUCUUUGGAUUAGAGGCAAGUAGAGUCCGUUAGCCUACACUUUACUUGUUGUAGUUGUGAUGUUGAAUGCAGGGAAUGUUUGAGCUGUGAUGUUGAAUGCUGGAAACUCGAGUGAAUGGAGGUAGUUUUCCAAGUGAGCUGUUGCAUGUAGGAACAAUCCGACUUUUGGUGAUUUCGUGAGCUGCAUGCAAUGUUCUAGUUGGAAUCUCACUUCGACUUCUUGAUAAAAGUUGUAGAGGACUUCUUGAAGAUUAACAUAUCAAAAUUUGAGGGAAAACGAACAAGUAUUUGUUGGUGAAACCAUUUUUCUUCAAAGAUACUAGAUUUGGAAACUGUUAUGUUGAUCUAUUGUGAUUCUGUGAAUUUUGUGCAAUUAUCCAGUCCGAAUUUGAUCUCGUGUCCUUGAUAAGAGUUGUAAAUGACAUCUUGAGGGGUAAUAUACUAAAAUUUGAGAAUAAACGAACAAGUAUUGAUCGGGGACAAUCAUUUUCUUUGAAAGGGUUAAAUCUAGAGAGUGAGCCGAGAGUUAGGGAGAGUUAUAAAAAUUAUAAAUUUUAAUCCAGAAGGAAUUAGACUUUAAUUUCUUCAUUGGACUUUUACUUCUAGGCCACAUCUAUAACAUAUUAAAAUCUCAGAAUUUACGAAGUUCAUUUAAGAGCUUAAUCGAAAUUAUUUCCGAAACUGUGCAAAAAUGGCGUUGGAAAUUCUGUUGCUGUGAUGUAUGGACCUAUGCGAUUGAUGUGAAACUGUCUUUGUGGCAUCCUAGAAUUCCUUCCUAAUCUUUAGGGGUAUUCUAAUUCAUGUCUUAUAUUAAGACUUUAGCCAAGCCUAUGGUGAAUAAUUAUUUGAUAAAAAUUUCUAUUUUUGGCCAUGAAGGAUUAUGGGUUGGAAUGUGUUAAGAUAGGUCACAAAGUCUUGUGAAUUAUAAAUUUCAAUUAGGUGUUUAUAAAAUUAAAGGUUUAAGGAGGAUUAUUAGGAUGAGAUGUGGGCCAAAGUAUUAGCUUAAGACCAGCCCAAAAGAAGCCCCACCCUUCGGCCAUUUGGGCCUAGCCGCGAAGCCCAAAGGAGGAGGAGGAAUAGUCAGCCCUUGGCUGGCCCAAGCCCAGCCGAAAGAUGGAGGCCCAUCUUGCAUGAAGAAGGCCAUUUGUCCCUCCUAGCUGCCAAGUGUUCCCCAUGCAAAAUCAAUGAUUGUUCAUCAUUGAGGGGAAAAAACUAAGGGAACCGGUUGAUGAUGAAGGGAGAGGGAAAGCGUCGUCGAUUAGGAGGGAGUGAGAGAGAGAGCUACCGAGAGAAAGAGGGAAACCGAGAGAGAGGAGGAGAAGGCCGCGCGAGGAAGAAGCCGUGUGUUUGUCCACCGUCCGCCGUGCGUCCGUCGCUCAUCACCAUCCGUGUGCUUGCUGUUUGCUCGGUCUAGAGGCAAGUUGGGAUCCUUAAUCUACUCUUGCAUGUUAUAUCUAGCAUGUGUGUUUGAAUGGUGAUGAAUUUCGGAUGUCUAGGGUGUUCUCGAGUAAACCGUCUGACCCAGAAUGUUGUAGUGGCUUGCAUGCGAUUUUUAAGUCGGCUUUUGGCUUCGACUUCUUCAUGAAAGUUGUAGAUAACAUCUUAAAGUAUAACAUACUAACAUUUGAGACAAAAUGGCUGAUUUUUUAGGGGUGAAACCCUCCCUCUACGAAAAUGUUAGAUCUGAAGCUGUUUUGUUGACCUCUUGGUGAUUUUGUGUGUUGCAUGUAACCUUUUACUGAAAAUUUCUCUUCUAUUCCUUCAUGAAAGUUGUAUAGAACAUCUUGAAUACUAACAUACUCAAAUUUCAGGUAAAAAUAACAAGUAUAGCCUAGUGAAACGAUUUUUCGUUUGAAGACGUUAGAUCUGGAAAUGUUGUACUGAAUCCCAGUGACUUCGUGGACUAUAAAGUGACUUUCCUUUGAAAAUAUCACCUUAAUCCCUAAUGAAAGUUGUAGUAAACCUAAUGAGGAAAAACAUAUCAAAAAUUGAGAGGAAAAUAUGGAAGACAAGUAGAUAAAAUCAUGAUUUUUCGGAGACGGCUAAACCUGGAAUGUUCGGUACUAGGAACAGGGCUUCGAACGUUCAUAAUUAAUUAUAUAGGACAAAUAUGACUUCAGUGUCUUCAUGAAAAAUUUAAUUUAGGAUCUUUACUACCACAUAUUUAAAUUUCAUAAUUUUUUAAGGUCAUUAUAGCAUUUAAUCGGAAAUAUUUCAAAACCCGAGUAAUCUGACGGGUACGGGUUUAGUCAGCUUCAAUGCAUGGAUCAUAUUUUUUUUUAUGAAGUUCUUUCGGUAAAGUGUUCUUCACGAAGUAUCAUUAUGUAUGUCUUUUCUGCAACAUAUUCAAAUUUCAUAUUUUUUGAAGUUCAAUUACCUAUUUAACCAAAAAUAUUUCAAAAACUGUGCAAGUUGUAUUGAUAAAAUAGAAAUGCUGUGAUGCGUGAUCUAUAUCAAAUUUUAUGAUGGUCUUUUUGUGCAGUUUCCUUCAUAUGAUAUCUGCCAUUAUGUCUUGACCAGCACACGUUCAAAUUUCAUAAUUUUUAAAGACCAAUUGGGUAUUUAAUGGAAAUAUUUUCUAAAACUGUGCAGGCUGGAUUGUGCGAAUUUGAAAUGCUGAAAUUUAUGAUUAUUCUGUUUUGGAUGAGCCCUACUAAUUAUAUUGGUUGAGGUGAUUGAAUCUUGCUGAGCAUGUGAUGAUAUUUGGCAUUGCAUAUAGAAUCAAAUGCUGAAUUUGACUUGGUUGUCAUUACGUCAUGUGCCAUGUUGAUUGUGAGACAUAAAUUGGUGAACAUGAAUUAUGAUGAAUGAGGAAACUGUUGGAGGUGGGUCGAUAAUGCCCUGGGGGUAUCAGGAUGCUCGGGAUGGGGGGUGCCGGAUGCCCAGUUGUAUUGUGAUACAUGCCCGGAUGUCCUCGGGAGUUUCGAAAUGCCCGGAAUGGUUGGGUGCCGGAAGCCUCAGAGGUUUGUGCCCGGGGAAUGCCUCGUGAUGCUAGUUGGGAUGCGAGAUGCCCGGAAUGUGGGGGUGCCGGAUGCCCGGUGGUGUGUGCCAGAGGUUUCUCGCGAUGCUAGGUGGGGGUGUGAGUGAUAAAAAUGUGGGAUGCAAUUACUGGUCCCGGGAAAGGAAGAUGUGGUGAUCAAAUUGAAAGAUAAAAGUGUAAAUUGAAUCAUGCACAUAUGAUAUGGUGACAUACGCAUGGCGAUGUGAUAUGAUGAUGAUAAGUGCAUAGUUGUAUGUGCACCGAUGGCAUGAUGAUAUAUAGAUGAUAUGAUGAUGAUGAGUGGAUGGUUGUAUGUGCACCUAUGGCAUGAUGGUAUAUGUAUGACAUGAUGAUGAUGAGUGCAUGGUUGUGUGUGCACCUAUGGCAUAAUGAUACAUGUAUGACAUGAUGAUGAUGAGUGCAUGGUUGUGUGUGCACCUAUGGCAUGGUAUAUGUAUGACAUGAUGGUGAUGAGUACAUGAAGAGGUAUGUACAUAUGGUAUGAUGACAUAUGCAUGGCUGCAAGGUAAGUAAUGCUUGGAUGCAUGAAUGACAUGUACUAUGCUAUGAUUGUUAUGAUUGUAUUGUAUGAUGCAUUGAGUGGUUUAUUGGAUCUUUUACUUGCUUAGUGAUUGUACUCACCCCUUCGGGAACCAACAUUCAGACUAGAAAGAUGCCGCUUCCUACUAUCACGCGGGGCACCUUCUAUGGCCUCCCAUCUGAUGUGGAGGUAGAGUGUAUGGAGAUCGACUGCAUUACCAUCCAUGGUCUGACGUUUGUGAGAGUGCGAGUGCUGGUCAUGUACGAUGUGGGCCUAGCUGAGGGCCUAGUCAUUCAGGAGUUUAUGUCGGUUCAUGUUCGCCGAGAUGGAGUGUUUAGGGGGAUGUUGCUGCCACCACCGCCCGACGCGCCAAGAUGGGUGUGAUGGCCGCGUGAGGGGUAAAAAGCUUAUGUUUCUUUUUGGGGGUAACCGACACUGAUAGAUGGAGGAUGACACGUGAUCGUUAUAGGGGUCAAGAUAUCCUUUUGAGAUGUGGCCAAGUGUAGCUAAAAAUUUUGGCUUUCUUUUGUUGUAUCGACCUGAGAAAAUCCAUCAUGAAAAUAUGUAAAUAAAAAUGGCUCGGCUUUAUCCUUUCCUAUGGUGCUUAGUGGUGUGCAUUGUACCAUGAUUGUUGGAGGGAGAGAUGGUGAUAUUCAAUUAUGCUUCCACUAAUAAGUUGCGCUGGGACCGUUUUUUUUUUUUUUAUAAAAAAAAAAAUGCCUAUGAACUAUGAUGUUUCUACUAAGAGAUGUAAUUAGUGUUCGUUAGGUGGAGCGAUAGGUACUUGUGGCGACCUUAGGUGGUUCGGGGUGCCACAGCCGCUGCCCCCCUUUUUGGUAUCAGAGUGAAUGAUUAUAAGUUGGAGUGAUAAGGAACCUCAUUUGGAAAUUGAGGAACAUGAUGACAAUGCACACCAUAGGAUAUUAACUGGAAUGGUUGGGUAACUUUGAAUAACGGGUGAUGAGUAAUCACUCGUAGAUCCUUAGUAGUUAUUAUUAGUUACUUUUAGGUGACAGUAACAUGGUUAUGUUAGUGUUGUUGUUUUUAAUGAAGACAUUGAGUCACAGAUAAUUCCUGAGGCAAAUGCUUGGAAACUGCAGGAAAAUCAUGGUAUGAUAUGGAAGUCAUCAUCCGUCAAGGGCCGAAGCCUCUGCUGCAAGGGCUGAACCCCGGAUGGAAGAUAUCCUGCAGGCAUUGGCCAAUAUAGGAAAUCUGAUGGAAAGACAAGCGCAGCAACAACUCUGAGCAGAAAGCCGUACUCAAGGACUGGUGGAGCAAUUUCUGAAGUUGAAACCACCUAAGUUCAGUGGAAUGGGAAGUCCUGAGGAGGCGGAGCAUUGGAUUGAUGGAAUGGAACGAAUUUUCCGAUUGUUGGACUGCAAUGAUGUUGAGAAAAUAACUUUGGCAGAGUACCAGCUGGAGGAAAAUGCAAAGUUUUGGUGGAGAGCUUCAAAGGACAUAAUCUUUCCACCAAGUACUGAUGUUAAUUGGGGAGAGUUUGUGAGAGCUUUUAAUAGAAAGCAUUUUUUUUUACUGUGCUAAGGACAAGAAAUUUCAAAAUUUGUUCAAUUAGAACAAAAUGAGCUGACAGUAGACCAAUAUGAGGCUAGAUUUUCUGAAUUAUCUAGAUAUGCUCCUAGGCUGAUUGAAGAUCAGGAAGAAAAGACUAAGAGAUUUAUGAAAGGGUUGAGAACUGAUAUCAGGAAACAACUAGUGCCUUUGAACAUAAGGGAUUACCAUGAGAUUUAUGAAAGGGCACAAUUAGUGGAGCAGGAGCUGAUGAGAAAACGAUCAGAGUUUAAGAAACAACUAAACUUUAAUGAUGUGAGAAGGGGUAAGAGACCCUACCAUGGUCAAGGUUAGACUUGGAAUGUGAAGAAAAAGAGCAAUUUUGGAAAUUUUGGGAGAGCAAGAAAUGGCCUGAAUAUAGGGAAAGCACCCUAUCAGCCUGAUGUUUGUCAAAGGUGUAAUGGGUGACAUGGCCCAAGACCUUGCAAUGGACGAUUGAGAUGUUUUGGUUGUGGACAAGUGGGCCACCUUAGGAGAAGUUGCCCACAAGAAAGGUCGCAAAUGAGUGUUGGCUCGGUGUGACAGGGACAACAGAGUGCUGUUAGAUCAAACUUACCAAGGAAUCCUCAGAGGCCACCAGCACAAGGAAGGGUGUAUGCGGUCACCCAAGAGGAGGCGAAAGCUUCCAAAAAUGUUAUCUCAGGUACGAUCCUUAUAAAUGGUAAAAAGGCAUGUGCGUUGUUUGAUAUGGGUGCUAUGCAUUCGUUUGUGUUUGAAAGAUAUAGGCAUUUGAGUAAAAUAGAAGUUACGCCCCUUGAGAUGCCUCUUUGUAUUUCCACACCUGUAAAGAAUAUGGUAUUGUCUACGCUAGUGUGUGGAAAUUGUAAAAUAUCAAUGGGAGGAAAGGAUAUGGAAAUAGACUUGGUCGUAAUGGCUAUGUAUGAUUUUGAUGUUAUUAUAGGAAUGGAUUGGCUUUGUAAGUAUCGGGCCAAAAUGGGUUGUUAUAGAAAAGUGAUCCAAUUUGUCUUACCUGAUCAGUCUAGUUAUGAAUUUUUGGGAGGUUAGACCAACCAAUCUAUAGCACUUAUCUCAAGAAUAGAAGCUCGUGCGUUACUUGACAAGGGAUGUCAAGGGUACCUGGCUAUGGUUAAAGAUUAUACUAGGGAAGAGCCUAAACUUGAUGAAGUUCGAGUGGUUAAUGAAUUUCAAAAUGUAUUUCCUGAGGAGUUGCCCGGAUUACCACCAGAGCGGGAAGUUGAGUUUGAAAUUGAAUUAAUGCCUGGAACAUGACCAAUAUCUAAAGCCCCGUAUAGGAUGGCCUUAGUCGAGUUAAAGGAAUUAAAGGUGCAACUACAAGAGUUGCUUGACAAAGGAUUCAUUAAGCCAAGGGCUUCACCUUAGGGUGCACCAGUUUUGUUUGUGAAAAAGAAAGAUGGGCCGAUGCGCUUGUGCAUUGAUUAUAGGCAACUGAAUCAAGUAACCAUUAAAAAUAAAUAUCAUUUGCCUAGAAUUGAUGACCUAUUUGACCAACUCCAAGGAAAUUCGGUCUUCUCUAAGAUUGACUUAAGGUCGGGAUACCAUCAGCUAAGAAUUAAGAAAGAGGAUAUUCCUAAAACUGCGUUUUGGACUCGUUAUGGACAUUAUGAGUUCCUGGUUAUGCCAUUUGGAUUGACAAAUGCACCAGCUGCAUUUAUGGAUCUAAUGAAUAGGGUAUUUAAGUCUUAUUUAGACCAGUUUGUGAUUGUUUUUAUUGAUGAUAUUCGGAUAUAUUCAAAAGGGCCUAAAGAGCACGAAUAGCAUUUGAGGAUAGUUUUGCAAACCUUAAGAGAUCAUAAGAUGUAUUCCAAAUUUAGCAAGUGUGAAUUCUGGCUAGACUAGAUAAUAUUUUUAAGACAUGUGGUAUCAGGAGAAGGAAUUGCAGUAGACCUGCCAAAAGUUAAAAUGGUAAUAAAUUGGCAAAGAUCGACAACACCUACUGAAAUACGGAGUUUCUUAGGACUGGCUGGCUACUAUAGGAGGUUUAUUGAAGGAUUUUCACGAUUGGUGGGUCCUUUAACAAAAUUGACUCGAAAGAACGUAAAGUUUGAAUGGAAUGGGGAAUGUGAAAGGAGUUUCCAAGAGCUUAAAAGAAAAUUGACCUUGGCUCCAAUCUUGACUAUACCAACAAAAUUGGAUGGUUUUACAGUGUAUAGUGAUGCAUCUCACAAAGGACUGGGAUGUGUUUUGAUGCAGCAUGGCAAGGUCAUAGCCUAUGCAUCUAGACAAUUGAAACCCCAUGAACUGAAUCACCCAACGCAUGAUUUAAAACUAGUAGCUAUAGUGUUCGCUUUGAAAAUAUGGAGUCAUUAUUUAUAUGGGGAAAAGUUUGAGAUUUAUACGGAUCAUAAGAGCUUGAAAGAUCUAUUAUCACAAAAGGAGUUGAACAUGAGACAAAGGAGGUGGAUGGAGUUGUUAAAGAAUUAUGAUUGUGAGAUAUGAUACCAUCCAGGGAAGGCGAAUAAGGUAGCGGAUGCUCUUAGUCGUAAGUCAGCUAUGGAGAUGGCUAGUUUAAGAAUGGCGGAAUGGAGUUUGUUAAAGUCCGUAGAAGACUCAGAGUUUAAAUUGAAAAUGGAUUGUCUUACAAAUAUGCUUAGUGCAUUAAGAAUUGAACCUGAAAUUAUUCAGAAAGUUAAGACUUUACAAGAAUCUGAUCUGGAAAUUAUGAAAGUGAAAGAUGCAGUGUCUUUAGGAAAAAAGACCAGAAUUUCAAGUCUCUGAAGAUGGAGUGGUAAGAUGCCAAUGAUGACUCUUUGUUCCCGACAACGAAGAGGUAAAGAAGGAAAUUUUGUCGGAGGCACAUAAGAGUAAUUACAGUGUUCAUCCAGGUAGUACAAAGAUGUACAGGAAUUUACGUCAGCAAUUUUGGUGGAAUGGUAUGAAAGCAGAUAUGGCUAAGCACGUUUCUCAAUGUUUAAUGUGCCAGCAAGUAAAAGCAGAGCAUCGCAAACCCGCAGGACUUUUGAGACCGUUAGACUCACCAGAAUGGAAAUGGGAACAUAUAACAAUGGAUUUUGUGCAAUGAUUGCCAAGGACAUCAAGUGGUCAUGACUCUAUCUGGGUAAUAGUGGACCGUCUAACCAAGUCUGCUCAUUUCCCAUUUCCUAGCAGUUCGCAUAGACUACCCAAUGGACAAAUAUGCGGAUUUAUAUGUAAGCCAAGUGGUACGCUUACAUGGUGUUCUGGUAACUAUUACCUCAGAUCGGUAUUCAAGAUUUACUUCGAACUUUUGGCGAAGUCUUCAAAUUGCCUUGGGAACUAAACUCCAAUUUAGUACUGCUUUUCACCCUCAGACAGAUGGACAAAUAGAAAGAGUAAUCCAGACAUUAGAGGAUAUGUUGAGGGCUUGUGUGAUUGAUUUUAAGGGAAAUUGGGAUGAAAGAUUGCAUUUGGUGGGGUUUGCUUAUAAUAAUAGUUUUCAGAAAAGUAUAGACAUGGCUCCCUAUGAAGCAUUGUAUGGAAGGAGAUGUAGGACUCCUGUCUGUUGGAAUGAAGUAGGUGAAAGGAAAUUGACAGGACCUGAACUGGUACAAGUUACCACUGAAAUUGUCAAAAUUAUCAGGGAAAGACUUAAAACAGCUCAAAGUAGACAAAAAGACUACGCAGAUAGGCGUAGAAAGCCUUUGAAAUUUAGUGUGGGAGAUCAUGUAUUCCUUAAAGUAUCUCUGAUGAAAGGAAUAUCUCGAUUUGGAAUGAAGGGUAAGUUAAGCCCUAGAUUUGUUGAACCUUUUGAGAUACUUGAAAGAAUAGGAGAUGUGGCUUAUCGUUUGGCGCUGCCUCCUAAGUUGGGAAAUUUGCAUGAUGUGUUUCAUGUAUCCAUGCUGAGAAAGUACCAGCCGUAUCCUGGUCACAUACUCGAUCAUGAAGCCAACAAAGUGGAUGAGAAAGUGAGGUACAUCGAAGAGCCUGUGCAAGUAUUGGAUCGGAAGGAACAAAUUCUCAGGACCAAGAGAAUCCCAUUGGUUAAGGUAUUAUAGCGACAUCAUGAUAUGGAAGAAGUCACAUGGGAAAGUGGAGAUCGGAUGAAGGAAAAGUACCCCUAUUUGUUUCAAAAGGCAUGAGUAACUAUCUAAUUUCGAGGACGAAAUUCUCUAAGGAGAGGAGAAUUGUGGCAUCCUCGAAUUCCUUGCUAAUCUUUAGGGGUAUUCUAAUUCAUGUCUUAUAUUAAGACUUUGGCCAAGCCUAUGGUGAAUAAUUAUUUAAUAAAAAUUUCUAUUUUUGGCCAUGAAGGAUUAUGGGUUGGAAUGUGUUAAGAUAGGUCACAAAGUCUUGUGAGUUAUAAAUUUCAAUUAGGUGUUUAUAAAAUUAAGGUUUAAGGAGGAUUAUUAGGAUGAGAUGUGGGCCAAAGUAUUAGCUUAAGACCAGCCCACAAGAAGCCCCACCCUUCGGCCAUUUGGGCCUAGCCACAAAGCCCAAAGGAGGAGGAGGAAUCGUCGGCCCAUGGCUGACCCAAGCCCAGCCAAAAGAUGGAGGCCCAUCUUGCAUGAAGAAGGCCAUUUGUCCCUCCUAGCUGCCAAGUGUUCCCCAUGCAAAAUCAAUGAUUGUUCAUCAUUGAGGAGAAGAAACUAAGGGAACCGGUUGAUGAUGAAGGGAGAGGGGAAGCGUCGUCGACCGAGAGGGAGUGAGAGAGAGAGCUACCGAGAGAGUGAGGGAAACCGAGAGAGACGAGGAGAAGGCCGCGCGAGGAAGAAGCCGUGUGUCCGUCGACCAUCGGUCGACUGUCCGCCGUGCGUUCAUCGCUCAUCGCCGUCCGUGUGCUUGCUGUUUGCUCGGUAAAGAGGCAAGUUGGGAUCCUUAAUCUACUCUUGCAUGCUGUAUCUAGCAUGUGUGUUUGAAUGGUGAUGAAUUUCGGAUGUCUAGGGUGUGAAAAACCCAAGUUUUGAUUGUGUUGUUUUGAAGUGGUAAGCUGUUCUCGAGUAAACCGUCUGACCCAGAAUGUUGUAGUGGCUUGCAUGCAAUUUUUAAGUCGGAUUUUGGCUUCAGCUUCUUCAUGAAAGUUGUAGAUAACAUCUUAAAUUAUAACAUACUAACAUUUGAUACAAAAUGGCUGAGUUUUGAGGGGUGAAACCCUCCCUCUACGAAAAUGUUAGAUCUGAAGCUGUUUUGUUGACCUCUUGGUAAUUUUGUGUGUUGCAUGUAACUUUUUACUGAAAUUUCACUUCGAUUCCUUCACGAAAGUUGUAGAGAACAUCUUGAAUACUAACAUACUCAAAUUUGAGGUAAAAAUAACAAGUAUAGCCUAGUGAAAUGAUUUUUCGUUUGAAGACGUUAGAUCUGGAAAUGUUGUACUGAACCCCAGUGACUUCGUGGACUAUAAAGUGACUUUCCUUUGAAAAUAUCACCUUAAUUCCUUAAUGAAAGUUGUAGUAAACCUCAUUACGCAAAACAUAUCAAAAAUUGAGAGGAAAAUAUGGAAGAUAAGUAGAUAAAAUCAUGAUUUUUCGGAGACGGCUAAACCUGGAAUGUUUGGUACUAGGAACAGGGGCUUCGACCGUACAUAAUUAAUUAUAUAGGACAAAUAUGACUUCAGUGUCUUCAUAAAAAAUUUACUUUAUGAUCUUGACUACCACAUAUUUAAAUUUCAUAAUUUUUUAAGGUCAUUAGACAUUUAAUCGGAAAUAUUUCAAAAACCGAGUAAUCUGACGCGUACGGGUUUAGUCAGCUUCAAUGAAUGGGUCAUAUAUUUUUGUAUGAAGCUCUUUCGGUAAAGUGUUCUUCACGAAGUAUCUUUUUGUAUUUCUUCUCUGCAACAUAUUCAAAUUUCAUAUUUUUUGAAGUUCAAUUUCCUAUUUAACCAAAAAUAUUUCAAAAACUGUGCAAGCUGUAUUGAUAAAAUAGAAAUGCUGUGAUGCGUGAUCUAUAUCAAAUUGUAUGAGGGUCUUUUGGUGCAGUUUCCUGCAUGAAAUAUCUGCCAUUAUGUCUUUACCAGCACAUGUUCAAAUUUCAUAAUUUUUAAAGACCAAUUGGGUAUUUAAUGGAAAUAUUUUCUAAAACUGUGCAGGCUGGAUUGUGCGAAUUUGAAAUGCUGAAAUUUAUGAUUAUUCUGUUUUGGAUGAGCCCUACUAAUUAUAUUGGUUGAGGUGAUUGAAUCUUGCUGAGCAUGUUAUGAUAUUUGGCAUUGCAUAUAGAUUCAAAUGCUGAAUUUGACUUGGUUGUCAUUACGUUAUGUGCCAUGUUGAUUGUGAGACAUAAAUUGGUGAACAUGAAUUAUGAUGAAUGAGGAAACUGUUGGAGGUGGGUCGAUAAUGCCUUGGGAGUAUCAGGAUGCCCGGGAUGGGGGGUGCUGGAUGCCCGAUUGUAUUGUGAUACAUGCCCGGAUGUCCUUAGGAGUUUCGAGAUGCUCGGAAUGGUUGGGUGCCGGAAGCCUCGGAGGUUUGUGCCCGGGGAAUGCCUCGUGAUGCCAGUUGGGAUGCGAGAUGCCCGGAAUGUAGGGGUGCAAGAUGCCCGGUGGUGCGUGCCCGAGGUUUCUCGCGAUGCUAGGUUGUGGUGCGAGUGAUAAAAUGUGGGAUGCAAUUACUGGUCCCGGGAAAGGAAGAUGUGGUGAUCAAAUUGAAAGAUAAAAGUGUAAAUUGAAUCAUGCACAUAUGAUAUGGUGACAUACGCAUGGCUAUAUGAUAUGAUGAUGAUGAGUGCAUGGUUGUAUGUGCACUUAUGGCAUGAUGAUAUAUAUAUAUAUAUAUAUAUAUAUAUAUAUAUGACAUGAUGAUGAUGAGUGCAUGGUUGUAUGUGCACCUAUGACAUGAUGGUAUAUGUAUGACAUGAUGAUGAUGAGUGCAUGGUUUUGUGUGCACCGAUGGCGUUAUGAUAUAUGUAUGACAUGAUGAUGAUGAGUGCAUGGUUGUGCGUGCAUUUAUGGCAUGGUAUAUGUAUGACAUGAUGGUGAUGAGUACAUGAGGAGGUAUGUACAUAUGGUAUGAUGACAUAUGCAUGGCUGCAAGGUAAGUUAUGCUUGGAUGCAUGAAUGACAUGUAUUAUGCUAUGAUUGUUAUGAUUGUAUUGUGUGAUGCAUUGAGUGGUUUAUUGGAUCUUUUACCUGCUGAGUGGCUAUACUCACUCCUUCGAGGACCAACAUGUCAAAUUAGAAAGAUGCCGCUCCCUACUGUCACGCGGGGCACCUUCUAUGGCCUCCCAUCUGAUGUGUAGGUAGAGUGUACGGAGAUCAACUGCAUUACCAUCCUUAGUCUGACGUUUGUGCGAGUGCAAGUGCUAGUCAUGUACGAUGUGGGCCUGGUUGAGGGCCCAGUCAUUCAGGAGUUUCUAUCGGUUCAUGUUCGCCGACAUGGAGUGUUUAGGGGGAUGUUGCCGCCACCACCGCCUGACAUGCCAGGAUGGGUGUGAUGGCCGCGUGAGGGGUAGAGAGCUUAUGUUUCUUUUUGGGGGUAGCCAACACUGAUAGAUUGAGGAUGACACGUGAUCGUUAUGGGGGUUGAGAUAUCCUUUUGGGAUGUGGCCAAGUGUAGCUAAAAAUCUUGGCUUUCUUUUGUUGUAUCGACCUGAGAAAAUCUAUGAAAAUAUGUAAAUAAAAGUGGCUCGACUUUAUCUUUUCCUGUGGUGCUUAGUGGUGUGCAUUGUAUCAUGAUUGAUGGAGGGAGAGAUGGUGAUAUUCAAUUAUGCUUCCGCUAAUAAGUUGCGCUGGGACUGUUUAAAAAAAAUGCCUAUGAACCAUGAUGCUUCUACUAAGAGAUGUAAUUAGUGUUCGUUAGGUGGAGCGAUAGGUACCAGUGGCGACCUUAGGUGGUUCGGGGUGCCACAGUCUUGACAUGGUGUUCUUCAUGAAAUCUCUUUCUCUAGAUCUUGUCUGCAUUAUGUUAAACUUUCAGAAAUUAUUGAGAUUUUUUACUAAUUUUUCAAGAAUUAUUACUAAAGAGGUGCAUUUUGUUUUAUCCGAAAAUUGUUCUAUUUUCAAAAACCAAUAAAUUGCUUCAUGAAAUGUGAUAUCGUGGGUAUUAUUUGUACUGCAUAUGUGGUGACAUUUAGCAUGUCAUACAGCAUAAAAAAGACUAGUUUAGACCUCGGAUAUUAUUGCAUCAAAUGCUGAUUUGAAAAUGAGAUAUAUAUGUGAAUAUACAUUGUGAUGAUAAUGAUACUGUCGGAGGUGUGAGCCGACGAUGUCCCGAGAGUGUUGGGAUGCCCGGAGUAUGUGUGCCGGAUGCCCGGUGUGUGUGCGCCGGAGGGUCCUUGAGAGUUUCGGGAUGCCCGGUGGUAUAUCGGUACGUAAUUCCAGGGGAGGCCUGGUGGUAUGUCAGUACGUAAUUCCGGAAGGCAAGAGUAACCAUUUUCAUGGCGAGCCCCGGCAAUUUCUCAUGAUACUAGGUGGGAUGCGAGAUGCCCAGAGUGUGUGUGCCGGAUGCCCGGAGGUGUGUGUCGGAGGUUCCUCCCGACACCAAGUUGGGUGCAAGUGAUAUAUGAGGGAUGCAAACACUGGUCCCUGGGAGAAAGAUAAGAUCCUUUUGAAUAUCAAAAUGGGAAUUGAAUCAUGCACGUGUGUGUGUGCAUAUGGCAUGUGGUAUAAUUGCCUGUGAAAUUGAGUUGAUACUAUUUGGCAUUGAGAAUGCGAUCAUGAUGGCAUUGAAUGGAUCUCAUGAGGAUAUACAUGAUUGUGUGGAUGACAUGAAUCAUGCGUAUGGGUAUGUGCAUAUGGUAUAAGAUAUAAUUGUCCAUAAACUUGAAUUGGUAUUACUUGGCAUGGGAAAUAUGAUUAGUAAGGUCGUGAAUGAAUCUCGUGGACAUAUAUGUAUGAUGGCAUGGAUGAUAUGUGCAUUUCGCAUGAAAUUGUGAUUGUCUUGCCUGUUGCAUUGUGUAGUUUGAUGGAUCUUUACUGCUGAGUGGUUGUACUCACCCCUUUAGGGACCAACAUUUCAGAUUGAGCGAUGCCUCUAGCACCUGUCACGCAUGGUAUAUACUAUGGCUUACCAUCUAAUGUUGAGGUCGAGUGCACGGAGCACCCUUGUGUCAAUGUUCAUGGUCUGGUGUUUAUCCGAGUCCGUGUUUUGGUUAUGUAUGAUGUGGGCCUACCUAAUGACCCUGUAGUUCAGGAGUCCCUUUCUGUACAUGUUCAACGCAACGGACUGAUGAUGGGGAUGUUGCCGCCGCCACCGGCCGAUGCACCGGGUUGGGUGUGAUUUGGAGCGUGUGACUGGUGGAGGACGACACUUUUUGGGAUGGCCGACACUAGCUGAUGGAAUGAUGUGCAUGUCUGAUGUAUAGUCGGGUACUUUUGAGUAUAGCCGAGCUUAGUUAAAAUCUUGGCCUUUUGUUGUACCGACUCGUGAAAUCCAUCUUAGUUAUGUAAAUAAAAGUGAUUCGGCCCUAAAGUAUAUAUAUAUAUAUAUAUAUAUAUAUAUAUAUAUAUAUAUGAAAGGUUGUAAUUGGUGUGUAUUGCAUUGUAUUAUUUGGUUUGAUUACAGGUUAGAGAAAUGAUGAGUAUGCUUUCGUUAUAUGAACUGCGCCGGGACCGAUUAAGGUAAUACAAACCCCCAGGUUGUAUGCACCCGCUACAAUUCAAAUGGUAUCAGAGUGACAUGUUAUUAGGACAAGCUUUAAGUAAACGAACUGUGGCAACCCUAGCGGAUCAAGGGCCAUCGAGGGCUACCACACUCUCCCCCCUCCCCUCCCCCAUCAAUCACCCCCUCAGUUUCUUCCCUACUAUCUCUCUCUCCCUCCCCUUCCCCCCACGCCACAACCAGCUUCCCCUUAGUUUCUUCCUCAUUGUCGCACGAUCUUCUCAACUCUUUCGAUCGCCUCAUCGCUGUCACCUUCGGCCCUUCCUCUUUCGCAGUAGCUGCAGCCUCACCGCCAGCCCUCCAUCGCAACGUCACCUCAGUUUAUGCUCUUCCUCUCGCCGUCAUGGCCUCACCUCCACUUCCUUGGUCUCUUCCUCGGCCUCACCUCUACCCACCAUCAUCUUCUUCAACAAUCUCUCUCUCGGACACGCAUGUCGAGAAAAGUUGACCACGUGUCAGAUUUCUCAACACAUGUUGACCACGUGUCCGAUUGUGUCUGAGCGUGUCCGAGCAUGUCGAACACGUCAACACGUGUUGGACAUGACACAGAAGCCUCGGCGACGUGUCCGUGCUUCAUAUGUGAGGAUUACUUCCUAUUUGAAACCUUGGAUCCAGAUAAUGAAUUUAAUGGAGUUCGUCCAAGUAAGAGUAACAUGAGAAGUGAUGAAUUUAAUUCAACUCACUCUCGAUUACAACCACAUGAUGAAACGAUAUUGUCAUUAUCUAAUCCGAGUGGGAGCAUAAUGGGGAAUGAUGUGCCAAGUGUACAAUUUCUCAUAUGGCGAACAAGUCACAAAAGUAUUCCCCGUCGACGCUUUGACAUUAAAGGGGAAACUUUUAUGGUUGCUCCACGAGAUGAAGAUGAGCCAAGAAAUGUUAAUGAGGCUCUAAAUUGCCCUAGUAAGGAAAAAUGGAUGCAUGUAAUGGAAGAGGAGAUGGAGUCAAUGAAGUCAAACCAUGUUUGGGAACUGGUUGACCUUCCAAAAGGACACAAAACUAUUGGGAACAAGUGAGUUCUCAAAAUAAAGCGUAAAGCUGAUGGCUCGAUAGAAAGGCAUAAGGCUCGCCUUGUGGCGAAGGGGUAUAAUCAACAGGAAUGAAUUGAUUAUGAAGAAAUAUUUUCUCUUAUAGUGAGAUUUACCUCAAUUUGUAUUAUUCUAGCAAUAAUGGCUAAUAUAGAUCUUGAGUUAUAUCAAAUAGAUGUAAAGACUACUUUCCUCAAUGGAGAAUUAGAGGAAGAAAUAUAUACAUAUAUAUAUAUAUAUAUAUAUAUAUAUAUAGAACAACCUGCUGGUUUUAUUAUGGAAGGCCAAGAAGGAAAGGUAUGUCAACUUUUGAGAUCGAUAUAUGGCCUUAAGCAGUCGUCGAGACAAUGGUAUAUACAUUUUCAUAAUGUCAUAAUGGCAUAUGAUUUGACAAUGAUAGAUGAGGAUCAUUGUGUAUAUAUCAAAAGAUCCAAAGAUCAAUUUGUGAUCAUAUCAUUAUAUGUUGAUGAUAUACUAAUUACUGGAAGCAAUAUGGAGUUUGUUAAUACUGUCAAGGGUUGGUUAUCUUCCAACAUUGAGAUGAAAGAUAUGGGUGAGGCUAUAUACAUUCUUGGAGUUAAGAUUUCAAGAGAUCGUUUGAAGAGAUCAUUAUCUUUUUUCGCAAGAAACAUACAUAAAUAAGGUUCUUGAAUGAUUUCGUAUGCAAGAUUGUAAACCCAUAGAUAUUCCUAUUGCAAAAGGUGAAGGAUUGAGCCAUAGACUAUGUCCAAGGACUCCACAAGAAAAUGAACAAAUGAAACAUAUUCCUUAUGCUAAUGUUGUAGGAUGUUUAAUGUACGAUAUGAUGUGUACAAGACCUGAUAUAUAUUUCGCAGUUGGAAUUGUGAGUAGAUACCAAUCUAAUCCAGGUCAAGCACAUUAGAAGGCCGUUAAAAGAAUACUAAGGUAUCUGAAGGGAACUGCUGAUUACAAGCUAAAUUACCAAUGAAAGAGUUUGCGACUUGAAAGCUAUUCAGAUGCUGAUUGAAGAGGAGAUUUAGAUGAAAGAAAAUCUACCUUUGGUUUUGCUUUCUUACUGAAUAAUGGCGCCAUAUCUUGGAGCAGUAAGAAGCAAACGUGUAUAGCCUUGCCCACGAUGGAAGCUAAAGCAACAGUACAUGAAGGUGUCUGGCUUAAGAGAUUUUUGGAUCAUUUAUGUGUUAUUGGGAAUGUUGCAAAUCCAUUAUUGGUUAAUUGUGAUAGCGAAGCAGCUAUAGCAUACACCAAAGAUCUAAAAUAUCAUGGCAAGACCAAACAUAUAGAUACAAAGUAUAAUUUUGUCAAGGAUAUGAUUGCACGAAAAGAUGUGAACUUACAGUACAUUUCAACAUAUAGAAUGGUAACAGAUCCUAUGACAAAGCCAAUACUUAGAGAUGUGUUUUAUGAUCCUGUAAAAUCUCUAGGACUGUAUAGAGGCUGAUGUACUAAAUAUUAUAAUUUCUCUGAAGUGUUCACAUUUAAUAAAUUUAUGUUUUUCAUUAUUAAUGCAUAUGAAUCUUUGUUUGACGUUUAUGCAUCUUAAUACUCAGUGCAUUAUAUUAAGUUGAGAAAGUCAGACGGAUAAAAGAUUAGCCCACUCACACAGGUAAUCGCCUCUAUUUACUGUGUGAUAAAUAGAUAUGAGACAGUUUUUAAGCUUAUUAUCUAGGUGAUAAUCGAGAGCUCAAGCUUAAAAUACAUAUGUCACAUUAACUGAGUGUUAAGAUGAGAACAUAAUAUUUAUUAUGUCCGAAAGUAAAAUAACCCACAUAUUUUACUUUAUCUGUCUAUGAUGCCAGAUGUGAGUUCUGAUAAAUUCUGUGUAUGAGUAGAUAUGUGAACUCAAGUCAGACAUUGGGUAUGUCUGAACUAUCAUCUGUACGGUAUUAAAGAUGUAGACAUACGCUCCAUAGGAAAUAAGUUAAGUACUGUAAUACAUAUUUCAUACUACGUAUGCAUGAGCCGACCAAUAAGAGUAGCAAAAGUUUGAUCUCAACUUUUAUAUCGUGUGAGACUCUUGAGGAAAAGAGUUCCUCAAUUUAGUGCCCUCAUGACUCUUACUUAUUCUCAAAAUUUAUAUUCAGUGUUUGCUAUCUUAGGAUGUUGCCAAUGAUCACGAAUUUAUUCGAUCUAAUAGGACAUUUCUAUAAAAGCAAGCUGAACUUAAAUUGUGAGUUUGAAGAAAAGAGGAAUAUCGAAUUUGGAGAAUCACAUUCUAGUUUUGUAUUCACCGGUCGACUAAUUAUGAUUGUUUUUGGAAUAAUCAUAAUUGUGAAUAUAAUAUAUCACUAUUUAAAAGGAGAUCAAGAGAGAGAUAUAAAUGUGAUCGAUCGAUCUAGGGUAUUGCAUACUAAAUCUACUAAGAGUGUGAUGCCUAUUAUAAGCUGCUAUAUAUUCCUAACAGAUGUAUGGUAACGAGCUCUAAAAGUAUGCUGGUCGCACAAAUUAUUCACCGGUAUGAAUGUUGCAGAGAGGUAAAGAGAAUCUUGUUCGGCCCACCAUAUGCGAGUGGGAGAUGAUGGUUUUAUCUAUGUGUUGAUGGGCCUAAAAGCCCAACCCACAAGAUAAGGGCCCAUGGAGGAACUAUUGCGAUGUGAAAAGCUACGUUGUUUAGAAUGAGGAGUUGUGUCUUUAGGGGGAAUGUUUUACGUUGAAGAGUUACGUCUAUCAAAGAAGAUGUAAGAGAGAAAAGAAAAAUGGAACGUAGCCUUUCAACUUACGUGCGUUGUUUUUUGUCUCUCUCUUCCUCUAAGAAACGUAUGGAACGAUACCCUCAAAACAAUGUUUUCCCCCCUAAUAGCGACAGCACGCUCCUCGGUAGAACGGGAUCAAGAUUCUUCCACGAACUUCAAGAUUGGUGUUUAAUUUGUGGACAAUAAGGUACGCUCAAUUCCGUAGUGUAUCUUUGAUCGGUGAUAUAUAUGAUUCCUAGGCUCGUCUUCCACGUUCGUUUUAGGGGUUCAAUUAAGUAUCGGAACCGGUUUUAGGGACUACGUUUUUCCCAACAUCCAUCAACUAAGACCUACACCUGCAAGAGGGACUAGUGAACUUCAGGGCGUUCAGUGGAAAUGAAGUCAGGGCGUAGGAACGUGACCCAUAGCACAGCUACUUCAUGAUAGCUAUGCGCGUUAUCACCUCACCACUACCAAAACCACAAUCAAUCUUGAAUCAUCUCACUCUACUGAUUCAAGCCAAGUAUCGUUGUUGGACCAUCAGGUCAUUUCGUAUCCAAUUAAACUCAAAUUCACUUAUUUAACUCUACUACAUUGUCUAGCUGAGUAUCCUAGGUCAUAUUUUGUUUUGAAUUGUUAGCUAUUCUGUUUAUUGGAUGCUUCACACCAUAUGCUCACAACCUGUUCAACAAAAUGCCUAACUCAAUGUGGAUAGUUAGUUCCUACUGCAUUCUGUUUCUAAACGUUUUGAUGUCCAACUGAUGUUGAUUGCGUCUUGCUGCAUUUCCUGUACAUAGUUCAUUAAUAUGCAAACGGACUGGAUAUAUAGGUGAUGUAUGUCGAAUGUUGUUCAUGAGUGUUUUGAAUGUAUCGAAUCCUGUUCAUAUGUGGUUGUGCAUGUCAAAUGAUGCUCAUGCGCGUUACUUUGAGAUCGUGAGGUGCUAAAGGAAAGAGAAGAGAAUGCGGGGCGUUAUGAAUUAGAGGUGAAUUUGAAUGAAAUAGGCUUAGUUUGACUAUUCUCUUACCUGCUCGUGAUAAUGGGUAGUGUCUAAUCUCUUUUUUAGGGUUCAAAGCAUGUUUACAAAUCACUGUCAAUGUACAAUUUGCUUUACAUCUGCUAGACAUUGCUUGGCAUUUUUGGACAUACUUCAUUGAACAUGAUUCCUGAUGAAUUUGGCUUAAUUUAAUGCUAAUUUACUUGUUUGUAAAUAGAGGCUCACAUGUCAAUAGUUUUUAGGUACUUUUAAGCAUGUUUAGACCUCAUUUUUAGUUCCAGUUCAGGACCGUGCUUACUGGGUGUUGCUGGACCGUGCAUACCAGUAAUGUGGUCUAAUAUAUCCAUGAUAUGGAUUUUUUUGUGGCCAGUAUGAUGACAUGGAGUAAGUUAUAAAAAUAAAAAAUAAAAAUAAAAAAUAUAUGAGAAGAAUGAAAAACAAGAACAAGCGCCAGCACACACCAAGAAUUUUGUAUGUUCCUACUCACAUCCCAUUUUUAUGUGAAAUCCAAGAAUUUUGUGCAGAGUCCUUCCUUAUUUUUCUCGCAAAAUGACAGGCAUGGAAGUUGUGAUCUAAAGAUUGAGGGUUGGAACUUACUGAUCUGUCAAUUAAAGAGUUAUGCGAUGGACUUCAAUUGUUAAAAUGCAUACACAUCGGUCUAUUAUGCAUUGCAGAAAAUCUGGCAGACUGACUGACUAUGUCAUUUGUGGUUCAUAUGCUAGGAGACGAUACUAUCCACAAUACUAUCGCACUUACCCGAUCAUCGCAGUCUGCAUUCUCAGUUGGGAGAUAUUUGAAAACACUUGAGUCUAUCAGCCCGAUUCACAAAGCUUCCACUGUUAAUGAACUAACAAUUACAAAUGUUUCACCUAGAUGACCAAGUAUCAUCAAUCCUCCUCCAGUUCAUUUCUCUUUUAUACAAUGGUAGGUAGAAUGAUAAUUACAGUGCGUGAUCUCUUUAGCAUUGUGACUGCCACUCCUAAAUCCUUGAUUUCCGCAAUCAUCAAUUAGUAAUUGUAAGGUUAAAAAGCCCGAUAGUCGGCAUUUCUAUCCAAUUUACCACUUUUGUUCUAUCAUAAUUAUAGAUAUACUUACUUGAGAUAUAUAUCAAUUUGUAACCCAUUGAUAAUUAAAAUUUAAGCAUAUAUAAAUUUAAUAUUUUACCUUUAGUAUAUUCAUUGAAAUCUAAUUUGUGAUGAAUAUUAGAAUUAAAUAAAAUCUAAUUUGUGAUGAAUAUUAGAAUUAAAUACUAGAUUACGCAUGAGUAGAAAGUCCUGAAUUCAAAUCUCUCUAAACCCCCAUGUACCUCUUUUACUUGCCAAUGUCCUAUGCAUGUGGAGGAGUGUUGAUUAUUCAUACAUUAGAUGACGUCUUCAUCUAAUAGUUUAGAGAAAAUCAUUCAAAAAGUCUUACACCUAUUGUACUUUUGUUAAUUCAAUCAUAAACAUUUUUACCUUUUGUCAAUUGACUCUAUCCGGCUAAGUUUGAUAGAAAAUCGCUAAUGUGAAUGCCGGAUGUCUUAUAUGUCACAUGAACAUUUUAAAUAAUAUUUAAUAACUUUUUUAUUUUUUUAUUAUUUUUAGGGAAAAUCUCAAAUGGAGACCCAAAGUGACCACAUUUUCUCAAAAGAGGACUUGAAGUGGAGUCUAUCUCAAAUAAGGCCCCAAAGUAGUCAUUUAGUCUAAAAAAAGAACCCGACUUGCUGACCGGCGUACUAACGCAUUUUCAAUGCGUAUUCCGAUGACCUGAUCUGGGGCAUUUUUGUCCCAAAAAUAUUCUCUUUUCGUUUUCCUUCUCCUGUUCAUCUUGUUCUUGAUCUACCCAUGAUUGUCCAUGUUCAUCAUCUUCUUCGUCAAUGUUGAAGAUAGGCAUUGUGCAAAUCAACAACAUUGGAAGUGGGGAAAGGCUGGUGAAGGUCUUGGGGUCGGCGAGGGUUGGCCUCGCCUGGGGCCAACGAGGGCUUGAUGCCCAUCGUCGACAACAGGUGCUGGAAGCGGGCGAGGGCUUGCAAGCCCUCACUCGCUCUUACCAAUGGCCAACGAGGUCGGCGAGCCCUUGCCGGCCUCGCCGAACUCACUGAGGACAAAACUAUCCUGCAAUGGCAUCAUCUUCUUCCUCCUCUUUGUCUCCGCUUCCCUCGCACGGAGCAACCUCGACAUGCUCCUAAAGCUUAUAAUUGCCUUGGUCGGGCCUCCCUCCACCGCCAUCGGCGACUAGGUCAACUCCUCCUCCUCCUCCUCCUCGCCGUCGCCCUUUCCGCAUUGCUCCUUCACCAGAGUCACGUGCGAUGCCAACUCAUGGGUCGUCUCUCUCAACAUCAUCUUUGUCGGCCUCUCGAGCUACAUCCCACCCAAAAUUGGCCUUCUCCGCGACCUAAUCAACCUCACGCUCGCCACCGAAAACCUCACCGAGACCCUCUCGCCAAAGCUCGGUAGCCCCACCUCCUUCCGAUUCCUCAACCUCUCCAGGAUCUUCCCCAGCAGAGUCUUGCGGGCGAUAACCCAGCUCGAAGAACUCGACUUGGGCAACGACAAGUUCAUGGGGCCGCUGCCGCUGGAGGUGGUGGGGCUGAAGAAGCUAAAGUGGCUCGAUCUCACUGGCAAUUACUUCACCGGCAAGAUACUGGAGGUUUGCUCGGAGAUGGAGAAGAUGAACAUGGGAAAAGGAAAAUGAAAAGAGAAUAUUUUUUGGACGAAAAUACCCUGAUUAGGUCACUGGAAUACGCAUAAGAAAUGCAUCAGUUCAUUGGCCGGCGAGUCAGGUCCUUUUUUUAGACUAAAUGACUACUUCGGGUCCUUAUUUGAGACGGACUCCACUUCAAGUCCUUUUUUGAGAAAAGGAAGCCACUUCGAGUCUUUAUUUGAGUCCUUAUUUGAGAUUUUCCCUUAUUUUUUGUGGCAUCCCAAAAAUAACUCACGGCCAUGUGUUUUGUAAGUAGGAGUUUAUUGAAUUAUGAUUUCAAGAUUUAUGGCCAAGUGAAUAAGAAUGAUCUGGUAUUUAUAUAAAUGGAUAAUUAUUGUUGUUGGAAAUGCAUCCUAUGUUCAUGUGAGACCAAGGAUUUUAUUUGAUGAGGAAAUUAUGUAUUUGGCCAUGAAUUUUAUAAGUUGGAUUUUAUUAAACUAUGUUGCAAAGUCUUUUGGCCUUUUAUUAUGCAAUUAGGUAUUUAUUUAAAUUGAGGAUUAAGAUGUAUUAUUAAAAAUAAACUUGGGCCAUUUAAGUUUGGACUUUAGGCCCAAGUGAGAUGGGCCUAAAGUGGGCAAGAGGCCCGGCCCAUAGAGCCCAUUGGGCUGUCGGCGCAUGGAGGGGGAAGGAGGAGCCGCAUGGCUUCCUCCAAGUGUCUUCGGCAAAGGAGACACUUGUCUCCUUCUUAGGGACAAGUGUCCCCCAUGCAAGAGAAGAAAGCAUGCAAUAUAUAAGCCACCAAAAAGAAAGAGAGAGAGAGAGAGAGAGAGUGGCUGGUUUUGAGAGAGUGAGAGAGAGGGAGAGAGUUGCCGAGAGAGAGAGUGAGAUGCGAGAGAGAGGGAGGCCGAGGAGGAGGAGCUCGCCCGUCGCCGCCAGCACGCCGUCCAUCCGUCGCCGGUGUGCUGUUCGUGUGCUGCUGUCCGCUUGGUUCUAGAGGCAAGUAGAGAUUGAUUUCUACUCUUGCAUGUGUGUCUUGCAUGUGUGGUUGAAUUCUUGGAUGUUUAGAGGCUAGAAAUCGAAGUACAUGAGGUUUGUUCUUGGAGAUGCUUGCUGUUUUCGCAUGAACCGCUCGACCCAGAAUCUUGUGAAGGCUUGCAUGCAUCUUUUGAGUUCGAUUUUGACUUUUAUCUCUUCAUGAAAGUUGUAUCUAACAUCUUAAACUACAAUACACUAAAAUGUGGUGCAAAAUGAUGGAGAUUUAAGGGGUCAAACUCUCAUCCUACGGAGAUGCUAGAUCUGGAAUGUUUUCGCAUGAACCGUUUGAGUCAGAACUUUGUGAGAGCUUGCAUGCAUGUUUUGAGUUCUAUUUUGACUUUUAUCUCUUCAUGAAAGUUGUGGAUAAAAUCUUAAAAUAAAACAUACUAAAAUUUGGUACAAAAUUAUGGAGAUUUGAGGGGUCAAAAUCUCAUCCUACGGAGACACCAGAUCUGGAACGAUUUCACUGACCUUUCGGUGGAUUUGUGGUUGCAUGUUGAUUUUUACUAGGAAUAUCUCUCCUAUUUCUUCAUGGAACAUGUAGAUAACAUCUUAAAAUAUAACAUACUCAAAUUUGAAGUAAAAUGAACAAGUACAACCUAGUGAAUCGACUUACUCUUGAAGAUGGUAAAUCUGGAGACACGGUACAGGACACCCGAGACUUCAUGGACCCAUAUGAUGACUAUACUCUGGAUAUUUGACUUAUAUCCCUUCAUGAAACUUGUAUAGAACAUCUUGAAGUAAAACAUAUCCAAAUUUCAGAGGAAACGAAGAAUAAUAGGUAGGUGAAGACUCAGUAUUUCGGAGAAGCAUGCACUGGACGUUUUGGUGUUAGAUCCAGAAGCUUCGUAUGAUUAUAGAAAAUAAUAUAAAACGAAUUUGGCUUAUAAGUCUGCAUGAAAAAUAUAAUUUAGUGUCUUGGAUAUAACCUGGUAAAAUUUCAUAAUUUUCGGAGGUCGUUUGGAUAUUUUAAUUAAAUUAUUUCGGAAACUGUGCAUUCUGUUUCUAUCCGAAAAUUGCAUGCUGUUUUGUGUGAAUUGUACCUUCUUGUGUGAACUCUAUUGGGCAUGUGUUUUUCAUGAAAUUGCUAUCUUAUUGUCUUGUCUAGUACAUGUCUUGAUUUCAUGAUUUUUUAGAAGCAUAUGGAUAUUUAAUUUAAAUAUUUUCUAAAAUGGCACAUGCUGGAAUUUUGUAAACUUUGAAAAGGCAUGAAAUAUGGACCACUUUAAAUUGCAUGGACUCUAUGAAUUUUAUUGUUAUGGAUGAUGGUGUCUUGCUGCAUGUAUGAUAAUGAUUUGAGAUGCAUGUAUGAAUUCGAUGAUGAGUAUGAUCUUGAUUGCCAUCACAUCACAUGCUAUGUUAAAAUUGAACUAUAAUUGAAGAUGAGAAUUGAGAUAAAUGAGAAGGCUGUCGGAGGUGUGAGCCGACGAUUCCCCGGGAGUGUCGGGAUGCCCGGUGGUAUACGGUACGUAAUUCCAAAGGAGGAGGGGGAUCCUGGUGGUAUGUCGGUACGUAAUUCUGGAAGCCCCAGAGGUUUGUGCCCGGGGGGAUGCCUCGCGAUGCUAGUGGGGAUGCGAAAUGCCUGGCCAGGGAGUAUAAAUGCCAGAAGCCCUGGAGGUUUGUGCCCAGGGGGAUGCCUCGUGAUGCUAGUUGGGAUAUGAGAUGCUCGGAAUGUGGGGGGCCGGAUGCCCGGUUGUAUCUUGGAUACAUGCCCGGAUGGUUCUCGCGAUGCUAGGAUUGGGCGCGAGUGAUGAAUGUGGGAUGCAAACAUUGGUCCCGGGAAAGAGAAAUGUGGCGGUCCAAAAUGAAAUUGAAAUUGAAUUAUGCAUGAUGAUAUAUGCAUGAUAUGAUGAGAUGUGCAUGGUUGCAUGGUAAUGAUGAUGGUACAUGUGAUAUGAUGAUGAGAUGUGCAUGGAUACAUGGUAAUGAUGAUGGUACAUGUGAUAUGAUGAUAUGAUGAUGAUGUUACAUGCAUGAAUGCAUGGUAAUGAUGAUGGUACAUGUGAUAUGGUGAUAUGAUGAUGAUGUUAUACACAUGGAUGCAUGGUAAGGAUGAUGCCAUAUGUGACAUGUUGAUGGUAAGUGUAUGAUAUGAUGAUGAUGUCUAUAUGAUGAUGAUGGUACAUGAGGUAUCAUGACAUGUGCAUGAUGCCAUGGUAUGUUGUGCAUGGAUGCUUGUAUGACAUGUGAUGCUAUGAUUGUGAUGAUUGCAUGGCAUGAUGUAUUGAGUGGUUUAUUGGUCAUUUACCUGCUGAGUGGUUGUACUCACCCCUUUUGGGGAAUAACAUUUCAGAUUAGAUAAGAUCCCUCUGCUGCCACUGCUACCAGUAGAUGAAUCAAGUUGUUGGAUAUGAUUGCGAGGAGGAGGAUAUCAAAGGGAGGAACUUUUGGACGCCGACACAAAUCGAUGGACUUUAAAUAUUCGACUGUUAGAAGAGAUGUCGGUCAUCUUUUGAAGUAUAGCCGAGUAUAGAAACAUUGGCUUUCGAUGUACCGACUAAAUAUGUCCAUCUGCUUUACGUAAAUAAACGUGUUCGGCUUUAACUUAUAUAAGAUGUUUAGUAGAUGUGCAUCGUUUUCUGAAUAUAGGGAAGGGAGUUUGUUAGAUGUGCUUCCGUAUAUGAAUUGUGCAAGGGACCUAUCAAAAAAAAAAGUGUGAACCCCCUAUGUUGUAUGGACCCGCUGCAAUUGAAAUGGUAUCAUAGUGACAUGUUAAUAAGGAAAGUAAAAGGUAAGCGAACUAUGGCAACUCUAACGGAUCGGGGGCCGUCGAGGGGUGCCACAUUUUUAUUCAUUCCCUUUCUUUUCUUUGGACUCAAGUCGACAAGGGUAUCGCGGCCUUGCCCUAAAAGAGGAGAGGGUGUCAUGGCCUUCGAUUGGGGCCAAGGCUAGCAAGGGUCACCAUGCCCUUGCCUUGCCUAUAUUUGGCAUGGGCAAUGCGGCCAUUGCCAAACUCUUAAACCUUGCCUAGUGGCUGACAAGGGCCAUACACCCUCUCUAGGCCAAAUCCAAAAAAUGGUAAAGAAAAAAAAAACAUUAUUAGAAAUUCAAUAUGUUAAAAUAUCAUUAAAAAUGUUUACAUUAGUAUCAACCAUGCCAUGUAAGACGUUUGGCAUCUACGUCAUCCAUUUAAGGCCAAAAUUGCCCAGAUGGAUUCAAUCGACAAAAAGUGAAAAUAUUUAUAACUCAAUUGGCACAAUUGGAAGGUUUUAAAUUGAAUUGGCAAAAGCACAAUAGGUUUAGGAUAUUUUGGAUAAUUUUGUUCACAAAAAUUCAUAAUUAAUGACCUAUUUUCAUUUGAUAUAAUUAAGUAAAAAGAAAACAACGUGUAAUGCCAAGCAAUAGUAUCAAGUAGGGGUGUGCAACCAAACCAGUUCUACCCGAGACUUGGAUCGGACCGCCUGAAAAAUAGGUCCACAAACCGGUUCAGGAACAGGUUCAAAUUUUUGGAACUAGUUGUAAUAGGUCUAGUAAUAGGUUCCGAGUGAAUAUCCACUCGGGAACUAGAUCAAACCGUCCUAUUUUGGAAUCGAUUUUAUAAGCUAAAAAGCCAAAAUCCUAAUUUCUUUUUCCCAUAAAUUCUAACCUUAGCACUUUUUCGUCCUUUGUCCUUCCUCAAAGCUCCUCACCAAUCUUUCCUCUUCCCUAAAGUUUUAUGGAUGAUUGGAGAAUGGAAUUUUAUAAUUUACGUUAUAUGUUACAUGUUUGAACUUUUUGUCAUUAUAAUUGUAUAGGAUUACGUAUUCAUAUUAUGGAUUGUUGUUUAUGGUGGAUAAUGAUUUAUGUUGUUCAUCUUUUACAUUAAAUCGUUUCGUUACUCAUAACCUUAUAUGAUUUUGCUGCAAAAAAUGAACCAAAAAAAGGCAAAAAAAAAAAAAAGGUUCUCGAGUAGACUUUGGAACUGGACUGGAAAAAUAAGAUAGGUUCCAGAACCGAUUUCAAGCAAACAAGGUAGUCCAAAAACUUAGAACUAGUUAUAACAAAAUACGUUCAGGUUACCUUGAAACUACCCACAUUGGAACCAACCACCCUUAGUAUCAAGUAAUGCAUGCAGAUGACUCAGCAACGGUAUUUGUCCACUAGACCUGCUCGUAGGCGCCCAAGGGAAAAACAUUAGCUGGCCAAGCUCGCCUAGUGGAGAAACCUUCCUUCUUUUAUUUUUAAAAUUUCUAGCUAGGGAAAAAAUGAAAAUGAAAAAUAAUUAUAGGGUUUUGUGUUAUAUUAUCUUAUAUGUGAGUUUACUACUAUUUUUCUCUCCUAUAUCGGAAUUUUGGGCUUAAUUUGUGCUACUAGUGUUUAUAAAAUCUACAUAUCAUAGUAAACUCACUAAUAAAAGGAAAAGCACCAAAACAUAUAUUAGCGUUCAUGAACGACCAUUCAUAUAUCUUUACUUUUGGAAAAAAACAAAAACAUGCUAAGUGUUACUUUUGAAAACCACCCUUCACAUCAAUUAUCAGUAUGUCUCCUUUUACUUUGUAAAAUGCCCGCUCUAAAUCCUAAUUUAUCACACCCACCCAAAUUAGCCAAAACCAACUAAAAACUAAACCAUUUAAACCCUAAGCAAUAUACUAAAAUGAAUUUUGCAAGGAGGGGUAAUUUGCUCUUUUCAAGGUGGAGUUUUGCUUAGAGGUUAUAUGAAUGGUUUGCAAAGAUUGUUUAUUCGUUGGGUCAAAAGUAAGGUAUUUAGACAUAUUUUUGUAAAUUAUUUUAAUAAUAAGGGCGCAACAAGACAAGCCUCAAGCCCUUGCCCAGACCUAGCCCACCCGUUGACCAGACUUGUCCAAGCUCACUAAAUAGGCUUAAAAAAUUUAGCCAACCCCACUCAUGAAUCAGGUCUAUUAGCACAAUCACAAGAGUUUGCCCUAAUGACCACCCUUCCAACAUGAAAAGAGAAGGUAGAGAGUUUGAAUCUCCACAUUCUCAAGGGACUGGGGUGGGAACAGAUUAGUUUCAAGUGUGAGUUUAGACUCUCACGUUCUGCAAAGAGGUAGGGCAAAAAUUUAAGAGAGAAUUAAAAUAGGAGUAAAAUAGGAUUGACAAAAAAAAAAACGUCUACUAGCGCGAUAUAAGCAAAAGUUACUAAAUCUGACCAAUCAUAUCUAUCAAAUCAAUGAGGAAAAAAAAAUAUUUUCUAUUAUCAUUUGCCAACAAAUAUUACAGAGAACAAAUCAUUGUCUUUCAAAACGUACUUAUAUAAGAAAGUACAAAAGAAAAAUGAUACUCAUGCGAUAUUCCCAUUGAAUUUGGGCAAAAAUUACGAACUUUGAUGAAUAUUGCGUCGAUCUUUUGAAACGCAAUAUCUUUCUCUAACACCUCUUACAAGACCCCAUAAACUGGGUUGCUCACUCAAAGCAUAGAAAAACACAUUUAGAAGAAAUUCGAAAAGAUAUCCAGAGCUGUUCACAUAUAAAAGGAGUGUUAGAUUUUGAAGAGCGAAAAAUCAACAUUUCUGACCUUCAAAAACGUGGUGAGUUCUUAGUCCCGUGUCUUCGUCAACAAACACUGGAGUUUCGUUAGAGCAUCCUAUUUAUUUUUUCUACCUAUAACAUAUGUGCCCUUAUCCCUUCGAAACAAAUCUCAUCAGGUAUGAUAGUCCUCCGCUCCCACACAUGGAAAAAUUCCUAUGCUUCUGGAUGACCCCAAAAGAAUGUGUAGGUGCGGCGAUUUGAACUUGGGCCUUGAUCGAGGAGGAACAUGCUUAGGAUGAUGACUCAUAACCAUUCAAGUCCUUGUCGGAUCUUUUGGGUUUGACCCUUAGUUGAUUUGUAUCCAUUGUGGGGACCAAACCACUCACAAAAAAAAAUAUUGGGAAAUUCAGAGCAAAUUGGAUCUAUUUAUAUUUAGUGCUGGCCUUUAUUGGCUCUUUGUCGGGACCCCGUUUAACAACUUUUUUCGGUCUUUUGGGUUCCACCCGAUCGUUGGGAGUACAAGCCGGGAGCGUGGGAACGUGGAAAUCGUCCCUGUUGACAGGGGAACACGGAAAUCGGACUAAUUCGCCUUUGCUAACCCCGGCAUCUGGGAGAGCAGCUACAAAACUUGGUUCUUGAUCAAUUUCUUUACCUCGCCCUCCAGAAGUUGCUUAUUAUCGUACUCCUCUUGAGUUGAAAGAAAGUUCAUGGCGGUCUUUGAAUUACUCUUAGUGUACUUGCGUUCUUUCCAAGUUCAAGAAAAAAAGAUUAUCGAUGUACCAAGAAAUAUCUCCUUCGCUUUCUGGAUCUCAUGCCUGAUCCUCUUCAUCCCAGGCACUCCUGUGAGUGCACAGACAUACCUUCAAGAGCGGUGCGGAGAUAGGGGAAACUACGCUGCGUAUAGCAAGUUUCAACACAACCUCAGCCGCCUCCUCUCCAGGGGGCUUUACAACAAGGACCCAUUUACGGUUUCUACAACACGACGGAAGGUGAAGAUCCCGACAAAGUUUAUGGACUCUUCCUCUGCAGGUAAAUUACAUGUGAAAACAUACCAAAAAUUUCAACUUUCGAGUAAGACCUUCCAAAUCAAUCAUUGCAAUCUUUGGAAUCGGUUCACUCAGAGGUAGGAUUCAUAAUGGACCCGAUACAUUGGACUUAAUCGAAAUCCUCUACAAAGUACGGUGAUUCAAUGCCAAUCGAAAAAUUACUAUUCAGAUUUAUGUGACUACUAAUGCAACUUUACUAUGCCUCUUUAGAGGGGAUGUUGCUGCCAAUCUCUGUCGGUCUUGCAUACACGCAGCUUGCAGCACCAUCAUAGAAAGAUGUCCAGGACAGAAAGAGGCGAUCAUAUGGUACAACGAGUGUCUCGUGCGCUACUCUAACAGAUCAUUCUUCUCUAGCAUGGAGACAACACCAAUUAUUUUCAUUGUCAAACCUGCGGACGUUUCAGUUACCUUCAACUGGAUUGUGGGGCAAACUUUCGAUAAGGAGAAGGACUUUGAGGUGGAAGUGUUGGAUUUGGCGAGGAAUGUCACGGACUUGGCGAUCUCCUCAGAAAGCUUAUAUGCGACGAUAAACCUUAAUGUCUCAAGUUCAGUGACCCUGCAUGAGGUUGUGCAGUGCACCCCGACAUAUCAAAGUUAGAUUGUAAGAGUUGCUUGCUUUCUGCCAUCAAAGAGUUCCCUACCGUUCUUAAUUAUAAAAGGGGAGGUGGGAGAAUUUUUCAGCCAAGUUGUAAUCUGCGGUACAAAAUGUAUCGUUCUGAUCAGGCACCAACUAACAAAACCCGCACUGAGUCCGGCAGUAAAGGUAUGAGUUAUAUAAUACUCAAACUGUGCACUCAAUUUGUCAUGGUAAACUUAUAAUGGUACCAUUCCAUCGUUUCUAAUUCUCAAUAUAAGCUGUUUUGUGUAUCACAUUGCACUUGACUUGCUUUUACUAUCUAAACUAUGAUCAUUCUCUCCUGCUUUCAGCAAGUUCUCUGGUACUAUUUACACUAGGUGAAAAUAAAAAAUCUGCGGAUUUAAGGUUGUUUAGAUGCAAGGAAUUUCUCUUUCUUGACAAUAGUUAGCUCAGUAACUGGAUUGGGGUUACUAUUAAUUAUCGUGAGUUCGUGUAUUUUUUCAAAGAGGACAAAGAGAUUAAAGAAAGGUAUAAGUGAAUUCAUCGUGCUUGCCAUUAGAAUGACCAUCUUCUAACCUUUACCUCACGAGAGUAAACUCUUGGAGUCUCAGAAAAGGAAAACAGCCAAGAGGUUCUGUUACUUCAUCUGAGACAAGAAAUUGGAGAAGAGUUGUGACAUCCAGAUUUUCGGGUUUUAAUUCGACUGGAUAAAUAGGGCCAUUUUGGUUCAGUUGAAGCUAGGGAUCGUGAAAUUGGGAUGCAAGUGGGCUAUAUUGGUAGGGAAAAAUACCAAUUGGAAUGACGAGGUGUUGAAUGAAAUAAUGAGAGUCAAUUUAAAUUGAAUCAAGAGGAAUUAUGGUCCAAUUGGGAAGAAACCCUAGCAAAUUCGUAUGCCCAUAGACCCAAUAUUUUAAACUACCUAAAGUCUUCUAGAAGGGUUAUUUUGGGGCUUGAAAGGUGGGUGGAUGACAGCCAUGGUGGCCCACGUAUGGCUGACCUAAGAGAGAGAGAGAGUGAGAGAAAAAGAAAGAAAAUUUGGUUUUCUCUUCUUCUCUUCUCUCUCCCGUCGACACCCUUUCUCCCUCUUCUUGCUGCUCGUGCCAUGGCUGUGCGAAGACCAGAGCAGCCGAAGCAGCAACAGCAGCUUCGCCCGUCGCCGCCUCUCGUCGCCGCCGUCGCACGCCCGCAAGCACCGGAGCUGCUCGCGCACCCGAGCCGCCGCCGAGCUGCCGUCCGCGUGCGUCCGCCCCUCUCCUCCCUCUGGUUCGAACAGAACCAGCCAGCAGAAACAGAAGCAGCGAUCGGUGUUGCUUGAAGGAGCUACAAUCGCGCCGGAGCUGCCUUCGCCGUCGUGCCGGAACGCUGCCACCGUCCGUCUCUUGCUCGCUUGCUUGAACGCCGUCCACCCUCUGUCUUCCUCUCCGUUUGCUGCUCGGGAUCUCAGAUUUGGGAAGACACCGGAGUUGGGGCAGCAGCUGGCGUUGCUGGACCGGAGCUGCCGCACCGCCGCCAGUGCGACGCCGUGCGCUCCGCCGCUGCUCCGCUCAGCUCGGUCUCCCUCUCGCCCAGCUCGCUGUUCCAGAGCUGCUGUCCAACCCCUGUUCCGCCUCUGUCCAACUCGUGCAAGACCCGCCGGAGCUUCCUCCGACCACCUCCGGCCACCAUGAAGACUUGCCUUGGUCUUGUUCAGCUCCUCCGCCCAUUCCCGAGCUCAACCAGCCCUGGAUCCGCCCUCCUUCGCCUCCAACCAGCAGUGCACAGAGAGUGCAGAAAUGGGUUUGCAGCAACUGUUUGGCCCGUUUUGGCCGCCUUCCCGAGCCCGGAUGCUCGGCCCGCUUUGAGGAAAGUCGAUCCUCGCGUCGAGCCCGUCGUUUUGAGUGAGUUUUACUCACUAAUGCCUCCUUAGUGUGCAAAUUACACUUAAAGGUUGAUUAGUUUUAAUUAAAUGUAAUUAGAUUGUUAGAUUAGAAUUGAUUAGUGAUUAUUAGUUAAUUGCUUGGUAUAUUAGUGAUGUAAUUAGUGUAAUUAGAUAGAGAAUUGCUUGUAGUAUUUAUUGGAUGCUUCUUGGGAUUUUUCCCGUCCCUUAUCGGGUGUUAAUUAAGCAAAUCGGGCCUAGGUGGAAUUUUUAGGAAUUAAAUAUUAAUUUUGGAAAUUAAUUAUUUAAUGAUUUAUUUCUCGGAAAUUCAACUAGGAUGGCUAGUGACCAGGAUUUUAUGCCGAUGAUCGUGGUGCAGUCCGUUUAUUUAAUUGAGUUUUAUAUUGUGCUAAAUUGAAUUUAUUGUAUUUAUUUAUUUAAUAUUCGAAAUUAAUUAUUUAAUUAAUUAUUUUCCGGAAAUUCAACUGGGAUGGCCAGUGACCGGAAUUUCGUGCUGAUUGUCGUGGUGCAGUCCGUUUAUUUAAUUGAGCCCUAUUUCAUGCUGAAUUGAAUUAUUUGUAAAAGAAGGAAUUAUUCUUUAAUUGAAUAAUCUUUGGUUAUUAAUUGAAAAAGAACUGGGCUUUGGUUGAUAAUGCCAAAAGGAUCUGAGUGGGCUAUAGAAAAUGGUGGAAUUUAUAAAAAGGAAAUUAUUAUGUUUUGGCUAAGGCCAAUCGAGUAUCCACUCAUGGCAUUUUAUCGGGAAUGAUAAAAUUGGUUAUUUGAUUAUUUGCUUGGAAUGAUAUGAUAUACCGGCUCGAUGACUCUACGGAGCAUCUGGAGACAGGACGGUAUGAUAAAUUGCGUGUAUACCGGCUCGAUGACUCUACGGAGCAUCUGGAGACAGGACGGUAUGAUAAAUUGCGUGUAUACCGGCUCGAUGACUCUACGGAGCAUCUGGAGACAGGACGGUAUGAUAAAUUGCGUGUAUACCGGCUCGAUGACUCCACGGAGCAUCUUGAGACAGGACGGUAUGAUCUACCGGCUCGGUGACUCUACAGAUUAUCUUGAGACAGUACGGUAUGAUAUACCGGCUCGAUAAUCCUAUAGAUCAUCUUGAGACAGUACGGUAUGAUAAAUGGUUGAUCAAGAGAUAAUUUGGAUGACAUGUAAUCGACUAGGUCGAUUGAUUGAGGAUUCGAUCUGAGUGUGACUUGAUGUGAUUCAUUGCCUUGGUUUGAUGUUGUGAAGUGAAUGAUUGAAGGGAGAUGAUCGUGAGUGGUCUUCCUGAUGUGAAAUCGACUAAGUCGAUUAGAUCGAUGCUUCGAUCUGUGAUGUGCUUGAUUGUGUGCCUAUUUAAUCUGUACUAAUAUGCAGGUGGAAUCUGAGGCUAAGGUAAGUCUUCUAACUCAUGUUGUGCAUAGGCAGCCCUAAGGUGUAUUAGUUUACUAAUCGGGUCUUAGGGAGUAGAACUUGCUGAGACGUGGUCUCAGUGGUUAUUGAAUAACCAUUUCAGGAUCUGGAUGAGGAGCCUAAGGAGCAUGAAUCUGAUGAGGAGGUCCCUGAUGAGGAACCCGAAGAGGAGUACGUGGAGGAGGACAUCGAGUACGACCCGGAUGAGGAUCGAAAUCCUAUCCUGUCUUGUCAGACCUUGUUUGCAUGUAAAAAGUUGUAGUUGUGAAUUUUCAGUAAGAAAAAUGUAUGGCCUGCUUUUCUAUCCCAUUGCUUUAUUGUCUGGGGAUUUAUAACUGCUUCCGCAUGUGCUAUUAAAAAUGAAAGGGUCGGCGAUACAUAGUCCUGGGAUAUCGCAUAAUAAAAUCGACCAAAAGUAAGGGAUGUGUGCGUGCCUGAGGGUCGGGGCGUGACAAGAGUUUUCAAAGGAAAACUCUCGUGGAGAAAAGCCAGUGGCUUCUCAACAAUUAUCUCUAAUGCGAUUAGACAUCAUAUGCACGAACACAGGAAACUUCUCCAAUGAAUGUAAACUUGGGGAAGGCGGGUUUGGUCCUGUGUACAAGGUAAGCAAUGUGGUGACUCAACACGUAUUUGCGGGGAAAUUGGGAAAAUCUUCUAAUGGUAGCAAACUGGCAGAGUCAUUAUCCAUAGCAUGAACUGAAUCGGAUUUGGUUAGCAUUAGUAAUUCUCAGAUAGGGAUCUCACUACUGAUUUUACGCUAUUUCAGGGCACAUUGGUAGAUGGAAAAGAAAUCGCAGUUAAGAGGCUUUCGAGAACCUCAGGCCAAGGACUCAUCGAGUUGAAGAACGAAGUCAUCUUGAUUGCUAGACUACAACACAGGAACCUCGUCCGAUUGUUGGGAUGCUGCUUGGAAGAAGAAGAAAAACUCUUGAUAUAUGAAUACUUGCCCGACAGAAGCCUGGAUGUCUUCCUUUUUGGUUUGAGCUUUAGCAGAUGCAAGGAAUUUUUGAGCUAGUUAAUUUUAGUUUUAUAAAGUUGAGUUCCAUCUGAGUCUCUCAUCUUUGACAGAUUCGAAUAUAGGGCAAUAUCUAGAUUGGAAGCUGCGCAUGAACAUUGCCUGUGGAAUAGCUCGGGGACUUCUCUGUCUGCAUGAGGAUUCUCGCUUGAGAAUUAUCCACUGAAAUCUGAAAGUUAGCAAUAUUUUGCUAGAUGGCGAGAUGAAUCCAAAAAUAUCAGGUUUCGGAAUGGCAAGGAUCUUCAGUGUAAAUCAGCUCAAGAACACCAGAUUGAGCACAUAAUAUUUCAGAAGUUCCAUAUAGAAAAUUCCUUUUCUUUGUCUCUUACUUCCAACUAAUUGCUCUUCAUCACAUAAAUCUGGUUAGUGGAUAUAUGGCACCAGAGUAUGCGAUGGAAGGACUCUUUUCUGUGAAAUCAGAUGUCUUUAGUUUUGGAGUUCUCUUGCUAGAGAUAGUAAGCAGGCACAAGAAUAAUGGUUUUCAUCUUCAAGAGGAGGGUGAAAGCCUUCUCACUUUUGUAUGUUCCUAAUCACCAUCCUAGUUUAAUACGAAAUCAAAGAUUUUUGUGCAGCUACCCCUGUUUAUUUUUCUUGAUAUUUGACAAGCAUGGAAGUUGUGGUCCGAAGGUCGAGCGUUGGAACUUAUCGAUCAGUUGAUCAAUGAGUCAUGUGAUGAAAUUGAAGUGCUGAAAUGUGUACAUGUUGGUCUAUUGUGCGUUCAAGAAGACCCGGCGGAUCAACCGACUAUGUCACUCGUGGUUUAAUUUAGGAGGUGAUACUGUAACACUCAGCCAACCAUCGCAGCCUGCAUUCUCAGUUGGGAGAGAUGCGAAGAAACUUGAUCGUGUCAUGCCCACUCAUGGAGCCUCAACUAUUAAUGGAGUAACCCUUUCGGUUGUUGUGGCUAGGUGACCAAGUAUUAUACAAUGGAAAAGCUGUUAGUUAGAUAGCAUUAUGAUAUUUAUUUUAUCUUUUAGGAUUGUGCAUGUAUCUCCAUUGUAAUAUAUUUAGAUCAUCCUACUUUCUAUAUUUGUCAUGUAAAGCCGGCUUAUGUUCUCUUCUUUAUAUAUACAAAUAUACAUAAACUAAAAUAUUCUCCCUUUUGCAUAUUUCUUAUCUUUUUAUCUUAGUGUUAGAGCUAGACGGUCUUAAGCAAAUUUUGAGUGCUUGAGUGCGAGACACCCGACUGCACACCUGGAGCACACCUUCACAUCUCGUAUCAUGUGAUCCAUUUCUGUUAUAACUAGUAAUGCUCCUUUCUCAAUGUCGAUUCUUAACAUUUUCGUCAUGUAUGCAUAAACGUUAGCCUAUUGCUGUCUAACCUACACACAUCCGUCAAUUCUCUCUUCAGCACAUGAAAUCACCUCUCCGGAUCUUUACUCCCAACGCCAUUUGACUUCCUUUUUGUCACUUUGAGUUUGAGUGUUUGUUUAAGAUAAUUAAGAUUUUUACCUUGAUCCUCCAUUAUUCAGGAUUGUGAAUAUGUACGUCACAACCUGAUCCACAUACAGCCGCAUGACAACCCUUCCUCAACACUACUUUCUCUUUGGGUCAUUCAAUUGCAACGUCCCAAGAAGCAUCGCCGACCCAAAUCAUAAUAAUANNNNNNNNNNNNNNNNNNNNNNNNNNNNNNNNNNNNNNNNNNNNNNNNNNNNNNNNNNNNNNNNNNNNNNNNNNNNNNNNNNNNNNNNNNNNNNNNNNNNUUGGCACACACCGACGUCGGAUAUACCUACGCCUCUAAUACUACAAGGGUGAUUCAAAAAGUGCUAACACCCACAUCUACCUAAGCCCCAAUGUCCUCCGGGGUCCAGGCCUCCCACAUGGUGAUCAGCGCAAGGUUGAUCUCGAGGUCAGACACCUCCCCAUCGGAAACGUCCCAAUCCUUGGCAUCCUAGCUAAUGUCGCCCACAGGAUAGGCCCAUAGCUCUUGCCGCCUACCCAAAAGUAGCAAGCCACAUAUUGGUGUGGCACGAGGUUAAGUAAACCCUCAUUGACCAAAAUUGUCGUGACAUAUCACCUAUAGUGCGCAUUGGCUGCUCCCAGUACCAGAUGCUCUGUCACCUCCUAACUAUACUCGACAGGGAAGCCAAAACGAAUCUAACGAAAUUGUUUAGUCAUUCUUAGAACCUGAAAACAUUUCAACAAACAAAUAUGAGAUAAACUCAAUAAGAGAACUUCCUAGACAUGGAAAUAUCUAGGAAGAGCCCUAAACAUGCAAAUAUCUAUCAAUGGCAAAACAUGGCAACACACUUCUCACUUUACUCUUAUCGAUCUCAUAACAACUUGUCUACCAUACAAGGCCAUCAAAGUAUAUGCAUAGACAAUUUCAUAACAUAACCUUCAUGUUCUCGAGCCAAACAUACGAAUGCACAUUAUGGUUCAAAUCAUGCGCAUAUGCCAUGUAAUAAUCGAAACUUGAACACAUACGAAUCUCAUGCACUUUCCAUACAAAAAUGUGCAAAUUAUUAUGGCCACUCAAAACCCAAAGCCAAUCCGAAGGUUCGCAAAUCAUCUGGAAUAGCCGGGCAUGGUCUUGCCCCAUCGAGCACAGCAUCCCAUUGACUUGGGGGCAUUCCUAUAAGGAGCUUCAUUCCAAAAUUCAUCCACGAAUGGUAUCCUAUUGACUUGGGGGCAUUCGAACUUAAUCAGGCAUUGACCUGCGUAAAACGCCUCAAGACGAGUUCACACGUGGUGUAAAACGCAUCAGGGUCUUAGGUGAUCACACAGGAAUACCAUCACAUACUCCAUUUCUUGUCUUUAUCAUUUAACCCGUGUGAUGCUCAUGCGAUAUGCAACUUCACAUGUCAAAUGCCAUCGUUCCACACACGUACAUCAAUUACCUCACACACAUAUGGACCAUUCACUUCCUAAACUCAUGACACAUAAUCUACAUAUCAUGUUUAACCACUAAUUCACAUGGCACGUAUUCCAUUUAUAAUUUCUAAGCAUCAAUCCACAUGGAAAAUCAUCCAAAUAACAUAUUUAACCACUAAAACACAUGGCACGUAUUCCAUUUAGAAUUUCUAAGCAUCAAUCCACAUGGAAAAUCAUCCAAAUAACAUGUUUAACCACUAAAACACAUGGCACAUUAUUCAAAUAAUAUGUUUAACCACUAAAACACAUGGCAUGUCAUUCAAAUAACAUGUUUAACCACUAAAACACAUGGCACAUCAUUCAAUUAACAUGGAUAACCACUAAAACACAUGGCACAUAACCUAAAAAACAUGUUUAACCACUAAACUACAUGUCAUAUAACCGAAAUAAUAUGUUUAACCACUAAACCACAUGUCACAUAAUCCAAACAACGUGUUUAACCCCUAAACCACAUGUCACAUAAUCCAAAUAAGAUGGAUAGCCACUAAACCACAUGUCGCAUAACCCAAAUAACAUGUUCAACCACAAAACCACAUGUCACAUAAUUCAAACAACAUGUUUAGCCACAAAACCACAUGGCACAUCACUUAAAUAACAUAGAUUACCACUAAUUCACCCUAAACUACUCCCUAAAUGCAAUGAAAGCCCUAAUCAAAUGCUAAAAAGCCACUCACGAACGACUCGGGCUCCCAAACAUGCCAGGGAAAAGGACUACAAGGCCGGACAACAGCUAGCCUCACGUCCUCCAUGCGUAGGUGAGCUGGACAGUAGCUAAACAACAGUCUAGUGAUUGCACGUUGGGGGUUUGACGGGUGGUCGCCGGCAAGGAAAACAAGGGGAAAAUGGAAGAAACAAGCUUGAAAUGGUGAUGAAAAUGGCUUGGAGAGUUUGGCUACUUAAAGUGAGGGAGAGAAAGGUGAGUUUGAGAGUUCAAGUGAGAAAAAUGAAAGUGAAAGUGAGAGAGAAAGGGGGUGGCCGGCAGUGAGGGGAGGGAAAGGAAGAGAGGGGUAAGAGAAAGGACAUCCUAUCUCCAUAAAUGUCCAUCCCAUCCUAUAUCCUUUAACCUAUUAAGCCUAGAGUUCUUUUAAUGAGGAAGUGACAACUUGAAAAGAGAACAAAGUGAGAGUGAGGGGGAGGUAGGUGGCCGGCGGUCUUGAGGGAGAGGGAGGAGAGAGACAAGAAGAAAUCUUGCUCAUAAAUGCAUCACUUCCCUUGACUCUUGUCCAUCAAGCUUGCCCAAAGAAGAAGCAAGAUCUAGCAUUAAAUGGGAGGAUUUGCACUCAAGUGACUAGGAUUGGACUAAACUAGGUAGCCUUUUUCCCUCCUCUUGGCCGCCCCUUCUUUGCCAUUUUUCCAUUUUUAUCCUUUUGUCUUUAGUCCAAUAGGAGGGCAUUUCCGUCACUUCACCAAGAUCUCGCAUUAUUCAUGUCUUUUCGUGCAUUUAAUGCCAAGAUUGUGUCAAAAAGGGAUUGAUGGGCUUUAAGGGGCCCAUGGGCCUCCCUUGGUCACCCACCCUUGGGUGUGUGGGUCUUGGGCAGCCAACUUAGGCUCAAGCCCAAUAGGUCAUUGUCCCUAACCCGUUUCCACUUUUCUACACUCAUAUGCCCUUGCUGAUGAAAAACCGAGGUUUCGCCCUUAAAUGGUCUUUUUUGAUGCCCUCAUGGCUUAUCAAUCCUCAAGACACUCUCGUCCAACGAUCACUUACCAGAAUAAUUUCAUUCUGAAAAACCGGGUCGGAACGAGGAUGUCACAACUCUUCCCCCCUCAAAGAAAUUCCAUCCUUGAAAUUUGUAGGACCAACCACUUCCUCAAAUAGAUGGGAGUAUUGGCUCCUCAUAAUGUCCUCGCUUUCCCAUGUCACUGCCUCGGUACUGUGAUACUGCCAGACAUUUUUUACAAAGGGAAUGACUUUGUUGCGCAACACCCUUUCUUUUCUAUGCACGACUCGCAUUGGCUGCUUGACAUAAGUCAGUUUGUCGUCCACCUCGAUCUCUUCAUAGUUUAGCACAUGUGUCAGGUUUCAUUCAUACUUUCUCAGCAUCGAAACAUGGAACACGUUAUGAACCUGGGCAAGAUUUGGUAGUAGUGCCAAUUGGCAAGCUAAAGUUCCAAUUCUUUCCAAAAUUUCAAAAGGUCCUACAAAUCUGGGGCUUAGCUUCCCUUUAUUGCCAAAACGAGACAUACCUCUCCUUGAUGACACUUUAAGGAACACGUGAUCGCCAACUUGGAACUCUCGAAGUCUUUAUCGUUUGUCCACAUAGCUCUUUUGGUGACUUUGGGCUGUCUUUAACCUUUCUCAAAUGAUUUGGACUGCAUCCACGAAUUGUUGCGCAAGCUCGAGGCCCAUAAUUUCCUUUCUCCGACCUCAUCCCAACAGACGGGCAUUCUACAUGCAUGUCCAUACAUUGCCUCAAACAGUGCAAUUCCAAUGCUCAGUUGAUAAUUGUUGUUGUAUGCGAAUUUGACGAGGUGGAGUUGGUCUUCCAUUCUCCUUUGAAAUCUAUGACACACGAUAUCAUUGGUGCCGUAUGCUACCCUAUUCGAUGUAGUCCAUGUUUAUGAUGAUUCACUAUAUUUGUGCUAUGUUCACUAAUGAGCAAAGUUAGGAUCUUGUUGUUUAAUGCCAUGCUUUAUCCUUUAUUGGGCAUUGUUGCUCACCCCUUAUUUUUCCUCUUAGAUCAUUAGCUAUGGAUGUGACACCCUUGAUGACUUAUGGCACGUAUGGGAACUUCGAGGAUGGAGAUUCUGGUCUUGUUUUGACUCAUUAUGUGUGCACUGUCUGCAUAGAUGAUGGACGCCCUAAUCAUUUCCCAAUGCGAUUUGUGUUCGUGUACCUUAGCGUGAAUGGGAGGUUGUUUGGCCCCAUCUGUUGGUGAUGUUUUGUGCGUGGAGUAGGAGGCACGCGUGGUAUGGAGGGAUGUAGUGAAUGAGGAAAACUACCGGGUAGAGGAGUUAGACACCUUUUUGGCCUCUCCCAGGUAUUUUGUUUGGGUCAUCUUGAUGAGUAUUUUUCUAUGUUUGUAAUUGUCAAGAUGUCAUUUUUCUCUUGUAAUCCUUACUUAUGAUGAAUGAAAUGGAAGCAUGUUGUUAUGGAAUUUGUUCCUAAGUAAAAUUUUCAUAUUAAAAUGUAUACUCUUCCACUUGUGUAAUAAUAAUGAAAGAUUAUAGUCGAGGUUAUAAGGUGACCGUCUGGGACAUAACAGUUACAUUGGUAUCAGAGCUAUAGGUUAACCAUGGAGUGAUAAGGUGCGCUAGUGGUGGAAGAAGGUAGGACGCACGCGCUAAAACACUGAUCGCUUGUGCUUGUUGUAUUGCUAUUUUGUAAAGAACAAGUAACCUUGAUUACUCAUAGGGUAUUAGUAACUUAUGUUACUUAUUAGUUGGUUAGGGUAUUCAAUCACUUAUAGUGACUGAUUUGUAGAAUGGCUGGUGCUUCAAGAGGGAUAGGAACCGGUAGAAGGACAGCCAUGAGUGAAUCCCUUAUAAGGACAGAGGCUAGAUUGGAAGGGAUUUUGCAAGCUCUUGCUAAUGUAGAAGCCCUGACGGAGAGACAAACUCAACAGCAACAGCAGGGCGGUGAAUGCCGAAUGCAAGGGUUGGUUGAACAAUUCCUUAAGUUGAAACCAUCAAAAUUUGCUCGUUUGGGAGACCCUUUGGAGGCUGAGGUAUGGAUAGAUGAGAUGGAAAAGAGUUUUACAUUGUUGAACUGCAUGGAUGUGGAAAAAGUAUCCCUGGCGAAGUACCAACUUUUGAGAAAUGCUUACCAUUGGUUGAAGGUGAUGAAGGGAACAGUAUUCCCCGAAGGUGCUGAGGUGACUUGGGCUAGUUUUGUUUGGGCUUUCUUUGGAAAGCAGUUUUCUGAUUGUGCUAGAGACAAGAAGGUGAUGGAGUUUAUGCAACUAACCCAAAAUAACCUAACGGUGGAUCAGUAUGAGGCAAGGUUUGUUGAACUCUCUAGGUUUGCUCCCAAGUUAGUUGAGGACAGGGAGGAUAAAGCCAAGAGAUUUUUGAAUGGUAUGAGGCCUGACAUUCGUAGGCAUCUAAUGCCUCCGAACUUGAAAGAUUAUCAUGAAUUGUACGAGCGUGCUCAAUUAGUGGGAGCUUGUGAUGAAAGGGACCCUAGUAACCCAUCAGGUGAGAUCAAUUCAUCAGGCUAGUUAGAGCAAUUUCCACUAUGACAAGAGACCCUUUCAAGCUGGGCGACCAUCGUUCUCAUUGACUAAGAAAAGUUGGAUUGGAGAACCUGGGAAGGCGUGGAACAGUUAGUCAUCGAGGUGACCACGAAGCCAAAGUUCUACUUGUCUGGUGUGUGGUGGAUUGCAUGUGAGCAUGUUGUGCCGAUUUGUGAAGGCAUAUUUUGGUUGUGGACAACCAAAUCACUUGGUUAAAGACUAUCCACAAAGGAGCACCCAGUAGCAACGGCCACCACAAUCAUCAAUUGCAUCGGUGUAACAAGGAAAUAACCGCAGGUCGCUAGCUCAAGAAAGAGUCUAUGCAAUUACACGUAAUGAAGUUGAGGCCUCUAAGACAAUCUUUAUAGGUAUUAUUUCCUUGUUUGACCAAAAUGCUUAUGCUUUAUUCAAUACUAGAGCUACACACUCGUUUAUGUCUACUCAGUUUGUGCAAUUAAGUAGGAUGAGACCUAGGGAGAUGGAAGUACCCCUUAAUAUCUCCACAUCGUUAAGAGACAUAGUUUUAUCUACCCUAGUAUGUAAGGACUGUAGGAUCUUUAUAGUAGGACAAAGUUUGCAUUCAAAUUUGGUGGUGUUAACUAUCUAUGAUUUUGAUGUGAUCUUGGGGAUGGAUUGGCUUCAUAAGUACCGAGCUAAUAUGGAUUGUUAUAGGAAGAUCAUUCAGUUUAAUCCUCUUGAUCGCCUAGUUUUGAAUUUUAUGGAGAUAGGGCGACUCCUUCCUUACCGCUCAUUACUGCACUUGAGGCUCAUCAACUCCUUGAGAAUGGAUGUGAGGGUUAUCUAGCUUGUGUGAAAAAUCAAGAUAGAGAAGGAGUAAAGCUAGAAGAGAUUUCGGUAGUUCGGGAGUUUCUCGAUGUUUUCCUAGGGAGUUACCAGGCCUACCCCCAAAACAAGAAGUUGAGUUCAUCAUUGAAGUGGCGCCUGGUACAAAACCUAUAUCGAAGGCCCCAUAUCAAAUGGCGCUAAGUGAGUUGAAGGAACUAAAUGUGCAACUACAAGAGUUGCUUGACAAGGGGUUUGUUAGGCCAAGUGCAUCACCUUGGGGUGCGCCAAUAUUGUUCAUGAAAAAAUAGGGAUGGAUCCUUAUGCCUAUGUAUAGAUUACAGGUAGCUAAAUCAAGUAACGAUUAAGAAUAAAUAUCCGUUGCCUAGGAUCGAUGACCUAUUUGAUCAGUUGCAAGAAGCGUCAAUGUUUUUUAAAGUCGAUCUAAGAUCAGGGUACCAUCAACUAAGAAUCAAGAAGGAGGAUGUUCCUAAGAUGGCCUUUCGAACUAGAUAUGGACAUUACGAGUUCUUAGUUAUGUCCUUUGGAUUGACUAACACACUAGCCGCUUUUAUGGAUUUAAUGAAUAGAAUAUUCAAGCCGUUCUUGGAUCGAUUCAUGAUAGUUUUCAUAAAUGAUAUCCUAGUGUGUUCGAAAGGGCGAGAAGAUCAUGGGGAGCACUUGAGGAUCAUGUUGUAAACUCUUAGAGAACAUUAGUUGUACGUCAAAUUCAGCAAAUGUGAAUUUUGGCUGGACAAAGAUAUAUUCUUAGGUCAUAUGGUGAUUGGAAAAGGGAUAUCGGUAGACCCAGAAAAAGGUCGAAGCCGUUCUAAAUUGGCCAAGAUCGAUGAUGGUAACUGAGAUUCGAAGUUUCUUGGGUUUGGUGGGAUACUAUAGGAGAUUCGUGGAAGGAUUUUCAUGGAUUGCAGGGCCGUUGACUCAAUUAACUUGGAAGAACUCAAAGUUUGAAUGGACGGAGGAGUAUGAGCAAAGUUUCCAAUAACUCAAGAGGAGGCUAAACACGGCACCUAUCUCAACAAUACCUUCAGGACUGGAAGGAGACGCAUUCAUAGAAGCUGAGGUCAGAUUCUCCUUAAGAUCUGUUUUACUGGACCUCCUGCAUUUGUUGUUUUCGUGGGUUGAAAUGUGCUGCGAAUUUAAGGUUGCUUUCUUCUUGAAAAAUGUUUUGAACAUCUUCAUUUAUAACAUAUAUUUUACUUAAGAUUUUAUGGAUUUGAAGGACUGAUUUUUCAGCUUCGUUGCAUGCAAAUUAGUAUCUUGUUUUAUGCUGGAAUCUGUGACCUUUUGGUGUUCAACAAUUUUUUUAUCAACUUUUGUGAUUUGAUUUUUAAAAUGGUUUCUUCACAAAAUUUGUUCAACACAUCUUGAAGUUUAACAUAGUCAAAUUCUAGAGCAAAUGGCAGAAUUUUUAACUUCAAACCAAGCUGGUUUUGAAAACGUGAUUUUUGGACAUGAGAACAAUUUUGAUGAUUGUUUUGUGCGAUUUACUUCUCUUAUUCUAGAAAGAACUGGGUUAAACAUUUUUCAUGAAAAUUAUUUUUUAAGUGUUCUUUAUAACAUAUUUAAAUUUAAAUAUUUUCUGAACUCUUUUGGUUAUGUUUCCGGAUUUAAUCAUAGAGCCACGCAUGUGGACAUGGUUUCUGCCGGUGAGGGCUAGUUGUCGUCUUGUUGCUAUUUCUGAUGUUUUACUUGCUGGAAAAUGCAUAUUUUGUGAUUGUGGAUGAGUUUGGCAUGCUGAGAACCAAUGCUUGAUGGCUGUGCAUGAGUAGUGCUCAUUGUGUGUGCAAAAUGAUGUGAAAUAGGCAUGGAGGUGGUGUGAAGGGCAAUUCUAUUUUAUGCAUGCUGAUGCAUUGUGAUCUUGGCAGUAUGGUAGUUUAUGUGUGUGCUAGUGGUGUCAAAAGUGUGCCCUAAUGAAAGAUUGUGAUGUGGUGAAAUGUGUGAAUGAAUCAAAUUAAGAGACAUUCCAUCGGCCAGCAUCCCGAUGAUGCCCCCCGAGGAGUGGGGAUGCCCCAAACUGUGUGGUCUGGAAUGCCUCAGUUCAAGUCACAAGGCCAGUGACCCUUGGACACCAGGAUGCCUCGAAGGGAGAUGCCUAGGGCCAACGUCUCCUGGAAGUCCAGCCAGCAACCAAAAAGUGACUCGAAUGGAACCAACCAGCGUCUCCGGUUAAAUUCGAUCCGAGGGUGGAUAUGAAAUGUUCUCACAUUGAAAUUAAUUAAUAAGGCAUGUGAGUACGUGUGAUGAUGUAGUUGUGUGCCAUGUGAUGCAUGAAUGAAUUCGUGUGCACUGUGUGACACAUGAUUAGAGUUCGUAUAUGCCUUGUGGUGCGGUCUUCAUGCAUUUUACUCAUUAUAGCAAUGAUAUCCUAGAUUUUCAGUCUUGUUUUCAAUUUAAUAAAUCGGGUUUUUCAUCGACGUGCCUAUAGUGCUAUUCUUAGAGCUGAUCACUCCUGAGAUAACUUGACUAUCUGGGGAAAUUAUUAAGGGAUUUUAAUGCAAUAGACUUGAGAAUUCAACUAGGAAUCGACUAAUCGACUGUGCUCAUCUGCAGAGAUCAUUACGGCACAGUAAAGAUUGAUUAGAGAUCAGAGAUAGGUCGGUUUGAUUGAGAUGUGUGGUUAAACAUGGAUGAUUCCACUAAAUUGCAAAUUCUUGUCAAUCGGUACUAGACUGAUUUUUCUAUCGUUUCGGUACCCUGUGUCCGUAUUUGAAACCUCGAGAUUUUCACGACUACCAAGAGUCGCCAAUGUGUUGAAGAGGUUCAUUGUGGCUCGAAGAAAAUUGACCACGAGCCAUUUGCACUAAAAAUUUCUAAAAGUUACCCGGUAGUCUAGGUCACGCUAAAAGCACGCCAAAUCAAAAUUAACCGCGAAUUUGAAUCUGAUUUCAGAAAUUGAAAGUUCUUUCAUGUCACAAGUCAUUUUAAGAAAGUCGACUCAGUUUUUGAAGAUUUUUCUACAAAUCAAGAUUUUUGGCGAAAAGUUGACAUAGGGUCGUUUUUGUCCAGAAAAUUCAAAGGACCAUUUUUUAUCGCACAAUUGGGAUACAAGUAGAUUCUAUUGGUAAGGAAAAAUACCAAUUUGAUCGAAGACUUGAUAAUGAAAUUUAUAGAUGCCAAAUUGAGUUGAUUCAAGAUGGAAUUGAAGUCCAAUUUGGGGAAAAUCCAAUCAAAGAUCGUAGCCCCCCCUUGGACACAACCUUUGGACCACCUCUAAGGCUUCUAGAGGAAGUUUGGCUACUGGAAAUUGGCUGAGGAAGCCAGCUUGCAAGUGGGACCAAGCUAAGGGAGACAAGAGGAAAGAGAGAGGUCAAGAGGGACCCUCCACCAGCCAAAGCUGUCCCCUUCCCUCUAUCCUUGCUACCGUCAACCCUUUCCCUCUAUUCCAGCUCCUUGAAGCUUCAAAAAUUUUAGAAAACCGAGCUUCAGUCCCCCCUUACCGUCGCAACCACCCGUCAAGCCACCGGACUGCCCCUCGCAGCCGCUCGCUCGCUCGCACGCCACUCGCUAUUGUCCAGCCUACCCACGUCUCCAGCCGCUCAUUCCAUUACUGCUCGCAACUGGCCGAUGUCGCUAGGUUGUCGUGCGUCGCCGUUGUAGUCGCCGGAGAUGACGUCUACCCGCCUGCACACUCGUUCAAGCUGUUACAAUCCCCGUUGACCGUCCUCGCCGCUUCAAGCCGUCGAAGCAGCUUCUUCGGCUCAACCACAAAACCGAAUGGAGUGGGUCUCGCCAGCAUUGUUUGGCCCGUUUUUGUGCCCUUCCGGACCUCGAAAGGCGCACCCGUUUUGGAAUUUAUUGAUCCUCUCUGCCUCGCUGUCAUUUCGGUUCAACCAAUUCGUUAAUCAAGUGAGUUUAACUCACUAAUCCCUGCUUAGUAAGUUAAUGAUGCUUAAGGGUUGAUUAGUUUAAGUUAAUUAGAGAAUAUGUGAUUAGUUAGAAUGGAUUAGUAAUUUAAUCGAUCAUUAUUGCAUGGUAGGUGGUUAGAGUAGUGCAAUUAGCAAGUAUAUAAGCUCUAGUAUUUACUUAGAUAGGUUCGAAAAUUUUCCGAACCUGAAUCAAUUUCCGAACCAGAAUCGAUAUUUAAUUAGGCUUUUCCGGUCUAAGUGUGCAUUUUGCUAUUUAUUGGUAGUUAUUAAUUAUUUUCCGUAAUUAUUUAAUUAAUUAUUAUUUUUCGAAAAUUAGACCAGGAUAGCCGGUGACCAGAAUUUUAUGCUAAUCGCAGUAGUGUGAUUUGUUUAAUUAAUUGAGUGCUAUCUUAUGCAAUUUGAGCGUGAUUUGUAAUUUUGGGGUAUCUAUCCCAAAAUUUUAUAUUUUAGUAUUUAAUUAGAAAAUACCGGGCGUCGGUUUACAACGCCAAAAAUGUGUUUAUGGACUAUGAAAAUUAGUGGGAUUUUCAAAUGGGAAAAUAUUGUAUUUUGGCUAAGGCUGACCGUGUACCCACACACAAUUAUAUUUAUCGGGUAUGAUAAAAAUGGUGGCAUUCUCAAUUGGUGAGAAUAAGUAUAUUAUAUCAACCUACGGGUGUCGAUAUAUCAACUUUGGGUGAGCAGUAUACUUUAUAGCUUAGGGUGAGCAUCAUAGGUAUACUAUAUCAGCCUACGGGCGUUGAUAUAUCAGUUUUGGGUGAGCAGUAUACCGGUAUAUUAUAUCAGUCUACGGACCUUGAUAUAUUAUCUUUAGGUGAGCAGUAUACCUUAGCGGCUUUUGGUGAGCAUUGAGAGUAUACUAUAUCAGUCUAAGAACCUUAAUAUAUCAGUUUUGGGUGAGCAGCAUACUAUAUUAUCAGCUUUGGAUGUACUAUACUAUCUAUCUUCAGCUUUUGAUGAGCAAUCCUCGAUGAGAUAAGACUUUAUAGAUAGUAUUGAUUGGAUUGACCGAGUAAUGGUCGUGAUGACAUGGAAUCGACUGAAUCGAUUGAUCGAUGGUUCAAUCUGAUGUGAUGAUGUGAUUUAUUGAUGUGAUUCGAUGAUUUUGUGAAUCAUACUGACUUGUAGGAAGGUACCGAGGCAAAGUAAGUCCUCUGACUCGUGUUUGUGCUUAGGCAAACCUUAGAGUGUAUUCUCUUCCUAGUCGGGUCUUAGGGGGUGAACUUGCUGAAACGUUGUCUCACCUCGUUGUCGGAUAAUAUUUCCAGGUCCUUAGAUGGCUGCUCCUCCCGAGUGUUUUGGACAACUAAAGAAAGUCACAGAACAGGUAUCUUACAUCCCGCUUCAUGGAGCCCUCGAGGAUGGGUCUAUGAGCUCAUAAGGUCCGUGGUUUGGGUCCAUGAGGCUUUAACCUCAUCAAUUCAGAUCAUGGUACCGACGUAUGCAGGAUGGACAGAGAGGGGGUCCCAUACCGAAGUCUGAGAUACAUGUGCAUGUGCUGGAGAUUGCUUUUGGAAAAGGCACAGCAAAUCCUCCUAGUGGAUCAAUUGUGGACCCGUAUCUAUCAGAUCUAGAGAUCCUGGUGUAUUCAGCUAAAGGCUCCAAUGAGGAUGAGGAUAAUGAGGAGGAAGAAGAUCUAUAGUUUUAGGUAACCUCACUGUUUUACAAACCUUGUUUUAUAGACUGGUAUUGUAUAUGACAUAAUUUGGUAUGUAUAUAUAAGUGUGGCUUGUUUGGUUUUCAAAAAUUUUGGUCCUACUUUCCUAUCACAUCUUGUUGUUAUCUGAUAAUUAUUUAUUCGCUUCCACAUACGUAUUAAAAAGAAUGGGUCGGCGACGCGUCCUGGGACGUCGCUAUUUAAUCAACCAUUGAGGAUGGGCACACGCUUGGAGGAUCGGGGCGUGACAAUAGCUUGUUUAGUUCACAUGAUAUCAUUAAUGCCAUAUGCUGCCCAAUUCGAUGUAGUCCAUGUUUAUGAUGAUUCACUAUGUUUGUGCUAUGUUCAAUAAUGAGCGAAGUUAAGAUCUUGUUGUUUAAUGCCGUACUUUAUCCUUUACUGGGCAUUGUUGCUCACUCUUUAUUUUUCCUCUCAGAUCAUUAGCUAUGGAUGUGACACCCUUGGCAACUUGUGGCACGCCUGUGCGGGUAGAUGGCGUGAAUAGGAAUUUUGAGUAUCAAGAUUCUUGUCUUGUUUUGACUCGUUAUGUUUGUACUGUCUAGAUAUAUGAUGGAUGCCAUAAUCCUUUCCCGAUGUGAUUUGUGUCCGUGUACCUCAACGUGAAUGGGAGGUUGUUUGGGCCCACCCGUUGGUGAUGUUUUGGGCAUGGAGUACGAGGCACGCGUGAUAUGAAGGGAUGUAGUGAAUGAUGAAAAUUGCCAGGUUGAUGAGUUAGGCACCUUUUUGACCUUUCCCAGGUGUUUUGUUCGGGUCAUCUUAAUAAGUAUUUUGCUAUGUUUGUAAUUGUUAAGAUGUCGUUUUCCUCUUGUAACCCCUGCUUAUGAUGAAUGAAAUGAAAGCACGUCAUUAUGGAAUUUGUUUCUGAGUAAAAUUUCCUUAUAUUAAAAAUGCAUACUCUUCCCCUUGCGGAAUAAUAAUGAAAGAUUAUAGUCGAGGGUCUAAUGUGAUGGCCUGGGACGUCACAAAAGCUAAUAUCCGAAACUUGGUCGUGGAUUUAUAUAUUAUUAUUUUAAAUUCUAAAAUCUGAUUUAAUUUUGAGCUCAAAUUCGAAGCAUAUUUUAACAAGGGUUACUCAUUUGAAGCAUAGAAAAAUACAUUUAGAAGAAAUUCAAACAGACAUCAAGAGCUGUCGACAUAUAAAAGGAGUGUUAGAUUUUGAAGAGCCAAAAAUCAACAUUUCAAAAAACUGGUGAGUUCUUAGUCCCGGGUCUUCGUCAACGAGCACUGGACUUUCAUUGGAGCAUCGUACUUGUUUUUUUUCUACCAAAAACGUAUGUACCCCUAUUCCUUCCGAGCAGGUCUCACCUGAUGAUAGUCCUCCGGUCCCACACAUCGAAGAAUUUCUAUGCUUCUGGAUGAUUAUGAGAGAAUGUGCACGUGUGGCAAUUCCAACCAAGCCUUGAACGAGGAGGGGAGGAACAUGUGAUUCAUAACCAUUGCCGAGUCGUUGUCGGGUCUUUUCGGUUUGUAUCUUGGGUUGAUUUUUAUCCACCGAGGGGACAAUCACAACACAAGAGCCUUUUUUUUUCAAUAUCUUUCUUUAAUUCCAGAACACAAGAUCCAUUUCUAUAGAUAAGAUAGAUCUAUCAGAUGGCGAUUCCAACCAAGCCUUGAACGAGGAGAGGAGGAACAUGCGAUUCAUAACCAUUGCCGAGUCUUUGUCAGGUCUUUUCGGUUUGUAUCUUAGGUUGAUUUUUAUCCACCGAGGGGACAAAAACCUUUGGUUUUUUAUUUUUAUUUUUUGUCAGAAAAAUCCUUUGGUUGAUUUAUUUUUAUUUAGUGCCGGUCUUUAUGGGGUCUGUUUGGGUCCCUCUCCCCUGAUUUUUCCUCUGGUAGGGCAAGCCAGGAACGGUCACCCUUCAUUUCUCCUGGGAAAGAAAAAAAAAAGCCAAUUGGAUCACACCUGUUGACGAAGGAACGUGGAAAUUGGACUAACGGUCACCCUAAUUUAUCCUGGAUAAAAGAAGCCAAUUGGAUCGCCCCUGUUGACGAAGGAACGUGGAAAUUGAACUAAGUCGUCUUCGCCAACCCCGGCACCUGGGAAAGCAGCUGCAAACUUGGUUCUUGAUCAAUUUCUUUACCUCGGCCUCUAGAAGUUGCUUAUUAUCGUACUCCUCUUGAAUUGAAAGACAGUCCAUGGCCGUCUUUGAAUUACUCUUACUGAACUUGCAUUCUUUCCUAGUUCAAGCAAAAAAGAUGAUCGAUGCACCAAGAAAUAUUUCCUUCGCUUUCUGGAUUUCAUGCCUGUUCCUCUUCAUCCCAGGCACUCCUGUCGGUGCACAGACAUAUGUUCAGGAGCGGUGUGCAGAUAGGGGCGACUACGCUUCUCCUAGCAAGUUUCAGGACAACCUCAGCAGCCUCCUCUCCAAGGGCGACUCCGCUGAUUACAGCAAAGGACCCAUUCGCGGUUUCUACAACACAACGGAAGGUGAAGAUCCGGACAAAGUUUAUGGUCUCUUCCUCUGCAGGUAAAUCACAAGCGAAAGAUACCAAAAAUUUCAACUUUUGAGUAAUACCUUCCAAAUCAAUUGUUAUAAUCUUUGGAAUUGGCUCGCUUGGAACUAGGAUUUAUAAUGGACCUGAUAUAUUGGUCUUAAUUGGAAUCCUCUACAAAGUACGGUGAUCCAACACCAACCUAAAAAUUACUAUCCAGAUUUAAGUGACUACUAAUGCGACUUUUCUAUUCCUCUUUAGAGGGGAGGUUGCCACCAAUCAAUGUCAGUCUUGCAUCCGUAAAGCUAGCAACACCAUCAUAGAAAGAUGUCCAGGACAGAAAGAGGCGAUGAUAUGGUAUGAUGAGUGUCUCCUGCGCUACUCUAACAGAUCGUUCUUCUCUAUCAUGGAGACAAGACCGAUUAUUUUUGUUGUCGACCCUGCGAACAAUUCAGUUACCUUCAACAAGAUUGUGGAGCAAACUUUUGAUAAUGAGAACUUUGCGGCAAAAGUGACAGAUUUGGCAAGAAAUGUCACGGACAUGGCAAUCUCCUCAGAAAGCUUAUACGCAACCAUAAACGUUAAUGUCUCAAGUUCAGUGACCCUGCAUGAGCGUGUACAGUGCACCCCCGACAUCAUAAAGUCAGCUUGUAAGAGUUGCUUGCUUUCUGCUAUCAAAGAGUUUCCUACCGCUCUUAAUUAUAAAAGGGGAGGUGCGAGAAUUCUUCAGCCAAGUUGUUAUGUACUGUACCGAAUGGAUGUUGCUGGGGAACCUGGAGGACAAGCACCAGCAUCUUCUGCAGCAAGUAAAGGUAUGAGCUAUAUAGCACUCAAAAUGUGUACUCAAUUUGUAAUUGAUAAGCAUAUAAUGGUAUCAUUCCGUUGCUUCUAAUUCUCAAUAUAAGCUGUUUUAUGUACCGUAAUGCACUUGACUUGCUUUUACGAUCUAAAGGAUCAUACUCUCUUGCUUUCAACGAGUUCUUGGUACUAUUUACACGCAGUGAAAAAAAAGUCUGCCGAUUUGUGGUAUGUUUAGAUGCAAGGAAUUUCUCUUUCUUGACAGGGCUCAAACGAAUUCCAUGGAUUGCAAUAGUUAGCUCAGUAAUUGGAUCGGGGUUACUAAUAAUCAUCGUGGGUUCGUGUCUUUUCUUUAUGAGGAAAAAGAGAUUGAAGAAAGGUACAAGUGAAUUCAUCUUGCUUGCCAUUGGGAUGACCAUUUUCUAACCUUUACCUGACUAAACUCUUGGACUCUCAGAGAUGGAAGACAGCCAAGAGGUUCAGUUACUUCAUCUACGACAAGAAAUUGGAGAAGAGUUUUCAAAGGAAAACUCUCGUGGACUGGCGGGUUCUCAAGAAUUAUCUCUGAUGCGAUUAGACAUCAUACGAGCAGCCACAGGAAACUUCUCCGAUGAAUGUAAACUUGGGGAAGGGGGGUUUGGUUCUGUGUACAGGGUAAGUAUUUCAGUGACUCAACACGUAUUUAUGGGGAAAUUGGGAAAAUCUUCUAAUGGUAGCAAAUUGGCCGAGUCAUUAUCAAUGGCAUGAACUGAAUCGAAUUUGGUUAUCAUUAGUAAUUCUCAGAUAGGGAUCUCACUACUGACUUUACGCUGUUUCAGGGCACAUUGGCAGAUGGAAAAGAAAUUGCAGUUAAGAGGCUUUCAAGAACCUCAGGCCAAGGACUCAUUGAGUUGAAGAACGAAGUCAUCUUGAUUGCCAGACUACAACACAGGAACCUUGUCCGAUUAUUGGGAUGCUGCUUGGAAGAAGAUGAAAAACUCUUGCUAUAUGAAUACUUGCCCAACAAAAGCCUGGAUGCCUUGCUUUUUGGUUUGAGCUUUAGCAGAUGCAAUGAAUUUUUGAGCUAGUUAAUUUUAGUUUUUAAAGUUGAGUGUCAUCUGAGUCUCUCAUUUUGACAGAUUCGAAUAUAGGGCGACAUCUAGAUUGGAAGCUACGCAUGAACAUCUCCUGUGGAGUAGCUCGGGGACUUCUCUAUCUGCAUGAGGAUUCUCGCCUGAAAAUUAUCCACAUGGAUCUGAAAGCUAGCAAUAUUUUGCUAGAUGGUGAGAUGAAUCCAAAGAUAUCCGAUUUUGGAAUGGCAAGGAUCUUCAGUGCAAAUCAAGACAAGGCAAACACAAACAGGGUUGUUGGAACCUAGUAAGUGCCUCAUAUAUUUCUACGUCCUUUACAUGUUUGACUGAUUCACUAGGCCAACAAAGGACUCUGAUAAUCUGCUCAACAACACCAGAUAGAGCACAUUCAUAUUUCAGAAGUUCCAUCUUGAAAUUUACUUUUCACUGUUUCUUACUUCCAACUAAUUGCUCUUCAUUAUGUAAUUCUGGUUAGUGGAUACAUGGCACCGGAGUAUGCGAUGCAAGGACUUUUUUCUGUAAAAUCAGACGUCUUCAGUUUUGGAGUUCUCUUGCUAGAGAUAGUAAGCGGGCGCAAGAAUAAUGGUUUUCAUCUCCAAGAACAGGGUGAAAGCCUUCUCACAUUUGUAUGUUCCUAAUCACCAUCUGAAUUUAAUGUGAAAUCGAAGAUUUUCGUGCAGCUAUCCUUGUUAAUUUUUCGUUGCUAAAUAACAGGCAUGGAAGUUGUGGUCCGAAGGUCGACCAUUGGAACUUAUCGAUCCGUUAAUCAAUGAGUCAUGUGAUGAAGGUGAAGUGCUGAAAUGCAUACACGUUGGUCUAUUGUGCGUUCAAGAAGACCCAGCAGAUCGACCGGCUAUGUCACUCGUGGUUCAUAUUUUAGGAGGCGAUACCAUCACACUCGGCCGACCAUCGCAGCCUGCAUUCUCAGUUGGGAGAAAAGUGAAAAAACUUGAUCGUUUCGGGCACACUCAAGAAGCCUCAACCGUUAAUGGAAUAACCAUUUCGGUUGUUACGGCUAGGUGACCAAGUAUUAUACAAUGGAAAUGCUGCUAGUAAUAAUUGUGAUAUAUUUUAUCUUUUAGGACUGUGUAUAUAUCUCCAUCGUAAUAUAUUUAUAUCAUGUUAUUUUCUGUAUUUAUCAUGUAAAACUAGCUUAUGUUCCCUUCUUCUUUAUACAUACAAAAAUAUACAGAAACGUAAAAAUCCUCUCCUUCGCAUAUUUCUUAUCUUAGCGUUAGAGUUAGACGAUCUUAAGCAAAUUUUGAGUGCUCAAGUGCAACACACCCCAGUGCACACCCGGAGCACACCUUCAUAUCCCGUGUCAUGUGAUUCAUUUUUAUUAUAGUUACUAGUAUCCCUUUCUCAAUGUCAAUUCUAAACAUUCUCGUCAUGUACACAUAAACAUCAGCCUAUUGCUGCAUAACCUACAUACAUCAAUCGGUUCUCUCUUCAUCACAUAAAAUCACCUCGUUGGAUCUUUUCUCCCAACUCCAUUUGACUUCCUCUUUUCACCUUGAGCUUGAGAGUUUGUUCAAGAUAAUUAAGAUUUUACCUUGAUCCUUCAUUUUUCAUGAUUGUAAAUAUACAUAUAUUUCCCUUAAUUGUGCAUAUUGUUGAUUGAUUUAUAAUCAAUAUCAUAAGCCAGCCCCAUUUUAUUUUGGAUGCAUUUCCACCCCGUUCAUCAAAUCCAUGUCAUUCUGCAUCUAGUUUACAUGUAAGAGGGUUGAAAUAUCACAUGCCGUUUGAUUAUGGGGUUAUAUGCUUGUUGUAUACAUGUGAUCUCUUUCUACUUAUUAGUGAAGAAUCUUUCGGUUGAAUUUUCGAAUUUCGUGAUUUAAUGAAAUAGAAUGAUAAUUACAGUGUUUGAUCUCUUUCGCAUUGUGACAACCAUUUCUUAAUCCUUGAUUUCUGAAUCAUCAAUUAAUGAUUUUAAGGGGGAAAAAAACCUGUUUAUUAGUCGUCUUGAGCAUUCCAUGUGCACAACUCCUAUGGAUUAGAUAAUUACUUGAGUGUAAAAGUUCAAAAAAAUCAUGUGUGACAAGACAGGUGCUAUAAAUUUGACAAAGUAUCCUUUACUUCAUUCUUGAGCCAAGAACAUUUAGACAUCAUCUUAUUUUUUCAUCACGUGAGUAAUAGUGAUGUGUGCAUUUUGUUGAUUCAAAGCAUUAAUUGGCCAAUAUAUUCACUAAACCUCUUUUUUGCUCAAAUAUUUAUAAUAAAAAAAAUUAAGUAUGCAAAGAGUAAGCGUAAGCAAUCUACUCAACAACCUUCAUUGCUAUGAUAUAUGUCAUGCCCCGAACUCCCGAGUGUGCAAACAUCCUUCAACGGUCAAUUAGUUGUGACGUCCCAGGAUGCGUCGCCAACCUAUUCUUUUUAUCUUUCAAUUAAACCCAAGUGGAAGAAUUUAAUAUAAACAACAUCCGAUCAAACAACAAACAAUAGGGAUAAUAAGAACACAACAAACAUUCCAAAAACAGCACUUUAAUUUAUAAACUGCUAACUCUAAGAUAUUUAAUAAUUACAAGCUUUGUUACGGCCACUUCUUACCAACCAUCUCAAAAACCUACAGGGUCAAGUUUAACCUAAACUUUAGUAACGACGAGGCCAACCAAACAUGACACUAGGCACACCAGCGUCUUGGUCCAUCAGGACCCCAAACCGCAUGUGACAGUUCUCCAUCCUACAGACUUGAAAAUAUUUAAUAAUAAUAGGAUGAAAUAUAAAUCUCAAUGGGUUAACUGCUUAAGCCUCGAUUAGGACGCAAAUUCAUCUCAAAAGCAGCCUAAACAUGCAACAACAUACAAUCUUACCUCGCCUUGACACACACCUGCAUAUUGGUACAUCACAUAUGCCAGUACCAAUGCAACAAGCAUAAUCAAUAAUCAAAACACAUAACUCCCAUACACCAAGUAUUCACAUGGGUCCCGAUUAUAAGAUAAAACCCGUUUUGGCCAAUCUUAUACCGUGCUUCACAGUUUUACUUCAUAAUCAAGCGCAAUGCAUUGCAAUCAUUUACAUGUGUUUCGAUUAUUACGACCCCUCGGGCCACGGCCAACACACAAGUUCCGGCAUGAACGGGCAUUGUCCCGUCCCAUCGAGUAUGGCAUUGUCUAGAACCCCCAUCUAGACGGCAUUCCAUAAAGAAGCAUCGAUCUGACUUUAACCACGACUUGGCAUCCAGACCCCCGCCAAGCAUUCGAUAAACAUCGGACAUCGGGUGUGUUUGGGAACCACUUUUGGGGAAAACCUUUAGGAAAAUGCAAAUACCUUUGAGUUAAAGGUGUUUUCCAAAAUGCAACCGUGUUUGGUAAAUUGUCCUUUGAAAACUCUUUGUAAAGUACUUUGAGCAAAAUAGCGUUUGGGGAAUUACAUUUACAAAGGAUCUUUGUGGUAAAAAAAAAUUAUCAAAAGAAAAAUUAAAAAAAAAAUUGACCAAAGGGCAGUGGCCGCCGGCGACCUCCGGCGACCUCCGGUGACCUCCGGCAACGCCGGAUUUGGGGCAGCGAGGUCGCGCGACGCCGUCGCGACCUCCGGCGACCUCCGGCAACGCCGGAUUUGGGGCAGCGAGGUCGCUCGACGCCGUCGCGACCUCCGGCGACCUCCGGCGACGCCGGAUUUGGGGCAGCGAGGUCGCGCGACGCCGUCGCGACCUCCGGCGACCUCCGGCGACGCCGGAUCUGGGGCAGCGAGGUCGCGGGAGGACCUCGCCGCCCCGGAUAUGGGUCGCGGCAGGGUCGCGCGACCUCGCCGCCCCCGGAUCUGGGGCGGCGAGGUCGCGGGAGGUCGCGCAAUGCUGCCGCAACCCAGAUCCGAGGGCCGCGAGGUCGCGUGACCCAGAUCGAGGGCGGCAAGGUCCUCCCGCGACCCUGCCGCCCCAGAUCUGGGUCGCGGUGACCCAGACCUCGCCGUGGGUCACGGCGGUCACGCCACCCCCCGGCGUCAGUCGUCUGGGCGACGAUCGCCAGUGACCACUCGCGGAAGAAGAAGACCGCCUGCCGCCCUAGAUUUGGGUUGCGGCGACCCAGCCCUCGGUCGCGCCACCUCCGGCGUCGGUCGCGCCACCCCCUGACGAUCACCAGCGUCCCUCUAGCAGUCUCUGGCCGCUCGCAGUCAGCCAGAACCGAACCCCCCCGGAGAAGAUGAACAGUUGCGACACAAGGGCAAGAACCGGAAAAACAAAAAAUUCGAGAGGACAAUUUCGGAAAAAAAAGAAUAUGAUCAGUGCCCGUGUGGGCAUGCCGAAAAAGCCGAAAGCCCAAGGCAGGUCCCCACCUACCUUGGGCUUUCAGCUUCACAAUGCUAGCAUUCAGGGAAUGGGGGCUCACAAUUUUUUGCCAAACGGGCUAGCAUUUGCCCAAGUAUCUUCAGACUUCAAAGGGGCUUUGGGAAGUGGUUCCCAAACGCACCAUCAUCCCUUUGGCAUUCUACUCGUCCUCUUACAUAAACCACUACAAGCAUUCCUCUACGAACUGCUUCUUAGUAUAGAAUUUGCUAUGCCAUAUCAUCUCAUAAUUAGUAAUAACUCAUAUAUGCCACACAUUAGUUUCUCAAUUCAUUAGGCUCUCACGCUUAACUACUUAUGUAAAAUUAUGUUAGGGCACUCGUUGAUGGGAGAAAAUACAUUUACCAAUAAUUUUUACUUUUGAAAAGUAAAGUGCAUCGCUCAGAUAGGAAGGGUGCAAAACGUAGAGGGAAAUUAUUAUACAAUGGUACGGUCUCCCUUGGAAGAGAGACUGUAACUUCUCUGCCUUUCAUUCUCCCAAGAGAACCUAACAAAUCGUUCAUCCGAUUUCUUUAAGAAAUUUGGAAUGAAAUCUCUUUUGUUGGGAUUUCCUCUAAUCCCUCUAAGCGAGCUUUCUUAAACGUGAGUAUAAUAAAUAAAUAAAUAAAUAAAAGUAGGAGAAAUGUUAAAUUUGAAGAAAACCCACAAAACAUCCACAACAGUGCAAAAGUUAUGGUUCAUAACCACUUAUUGAGCUGCCAUAUUUGCAUUGAGCAGUCAUCAACUCAAAACUCUAGUGAGUGUGGCUGCCGCAACCAUGAUUGCCACAAGCUUAGAGCUUGAGCUCAUGAGUAUGACGGUAGAGGUGGCAAAAGGGGUCUUAGACCCAUAUAUGACCCAUUUAAAUCAUAAAUGGGUCAUAUAUGGGUCACUUAUUUUUUUGACAAAAAGUAGAUAAUUAGGUUUAACAAUUACAAACUUUGAUAGGUGGGUCUUAAGUGGAUCUUAAAUGGAUUGGAUUUAGAACCCAUUUUCACCAAAACCUCACAAUCUCUCUCUUCUCUCUUUAACUUACAAAAACAUUUUUAUAAUAAAAACCAAAAUUAUAAUUUUUUAUUUUUCUUUUCUUUUCUUUUUUCUUUUUUCUUUCCUUUUUUUUUUUCUUUCUUCUUCCUCCGGUCGCCGGCACGGCAAUGGCCGACAACCGGCCAAGCGAGCCUCGAGCUCGCCCCUCGCCGAAUCUAGCAAGGCGGAGGCCUCGCUGACGCCCAACAAGGCUAGAGCCUCGCUAGAUCCGGCGAGGGGCGAGCUCAUUGGAUCUAGUGAGGUGGAGGCCUCGCUGACGUCCGGCGAGGCUCAAGCCUCGCCAGAUCCGGCAAGGGGUGAGCUCAAGCUCGCUCAAUGCCAGCCAGCCUUGAGCUCGUCGAAUCUAGCGAGGCGAAGGCCUCGCCGACAUCCGACAAGGCUCGAGCCUCGCUAGAUUCGGCGAGGGGCGAGCUUGAAGUUCGCCUAUGGCUCGUCGCUAGCCGUCGUCGUGGCCGGCGGCUAGCCAAAGAAGAAGAAGAACAAAAAAGAAAAAAGAAAAAUAGAAAUUAUAUUUAAAAAAAUAAAAAUAAUUAAAAUUCUAUUUUCAAAAUAAUUAUUUUAAAAUUAUAAAAAUUGUCCAUUAAAUUUGUGUUGUAUAAACUAUCUUAGCAAUAUCAUAUAUAUAUAUAUAUAAGAAAUAAGCUUUCUUAAGUUUAGUUAAAUGGGUCGGGUUCGGUAUGAGUCAAAAAUUUUGCAUUGUAAUAAAUGAGUCAUAAACAAGUUAAAUGGGUCGAUUUGGAUCGGAUCAUUUAUGACCCGACCCAAACCCGACCCGACCCACCUGUUUAAUGGGUCUAUAUGGCGGCUGUGAUGGACCACCAUCUCUCUCUCAAUUUUGUUUUCUAUUAUAUUGUUUGAUGUGGUGCUUUUUUGGCUAAUAAUAAUUUUCAACUAAUAAUAACAUAACACACAAGAAUUUUGGUCAAUCUACGUCAUUUAUUCCGCAAUCCAUGUCAACAAAAAUUGACCAUUAAGAGAAAAGGUAUAAUGAAAUGACUAUACGUUGACUUUAAGAGAGAAAGAUGAUUUUGAUUUUCGGACAAAAUAAAGGACAACGGUGAUAUUAUUCAUUGAAAAGAAAAGAAAAGAAAAAGACCUUCAUUCCACGUCAUAUAUUGCUUUUCCAUCUAAGUUCCAUUGUUGAAUUAAUCAAGGUUAGCAAUAUAAUAAUGUAUAUCUUUAGAUUCCAACAAAAGUCCAAUGGAUUAACCAUUCCUUUGAAAUGGAAAUUGCGGCCCACGGGCCACCAUCAUCCCCGUUAGGCUAACAUCUCCCAAACGUAAAUUGCAAAUGUUCAUGGUGAUAUUUAGGUAAUUUUCUUUGAAAAAUAAAGAAAUAUUCUAAAAAAUUUCAUGGAAUUAAGUUCUAAAACUUUCCAAUAGCGUAAUUAAGUCCUAAACUUGUCACAAAAGUACAAUUGAAUUUUAAAAUUUUCAAAAAGCGUAAUCAAGUCCGAAAACUUGUUAAAUUGAUUCAAUCAAAUCAUUUUGUUAUAAUACUUUUUGAAAGUUUUAGAAUCAAGUCAUUCUGUUGAUUACACUUUUUGAAAGUUUUGAAAUUUGAUUACACUUUUCAUGACGGAUUUUAAAAUUUGAUUGCACUUUUUGAAAAUUUUUAAAAUUCAAUUGUACUCUCAUGACAGAUUUCAAGACUCUCGAUACACUUAUCUCAAAUAGUAAUCACUAAACUUUUCUCAUUCCUAACCUCUACAAGCUGUACUAAAUUAUUUCAAUAUUCGAAUUUACACUAGGUUAAACUUUUUGGGAUUAGUUUUAAUUUGAAGUUAUGCAUCACUUUAAGUGAAACAAAAGUUUUCCUUCUGACAAAAAAAAAAAAGAAAAAAGAAAAAACUUUUCUCCCUCCCACAUGUCAACAUUGAAGUGUGGACAGCAAAGGAUGUUGGAAAUUCGGUACGUCUUUUCCCAUCGAUAGUAAUAAUGCCAUAAUCACGUGGGCUUUGUAACGUUAAUAAUAAGCUGUGCUUACGGAUGGCUGUGCUUCGGCCGUCGUGUCGUCACCGCGCUGCGAACGAGAGAGCAAGUUAGUCGGUCGGCGGCUUUGACCAUUCUCUCUCUCUCUCUCUGCGCUGUUCUUCCUCUGCUCUUCUCGCGAAGCCUAGAGCGUCGAGCGAUGUCGUUCCCUCGUGGGUUGUGCACGGUUUCGAGGCUCGCGAGGCGAGGCUUCAAUGGGUACCGCCGGCUUCCUUCUUCGGAUCAUCGGCUCCCCGCCCUGAUUCAGACCCACCUCGCCGGCUCUCCUGUGACGGUGCGUCCUCGUUCGCGGGUCGUUUCUUUCUUCUUUUCCGAUUGGUCGUACGCGUGGGAGCAUUUGCGAGGGGGAGUGCUGAGCUUGCCAAUCUUUUUUGGGGGGAUUGGAGAGCUGGGGUGAAAUGGUGAUCUGGGUAUGCGCUCUUUGUGUUCGACGUAUUGUCUGAGAGGUUGUUGCAUUGGUACUCGAUCUCGGCGGGAGGUGUGAUGUUGAGUCAGGAGAAGAUGUGUUGAGGAUAACCAAGAUUUGCUUGAGUGAGAACUGUGAUAUUAAGAAAUAUUAAUAAACCAUUGUCAUCUGGCUUGUUUGCUCUUGAGAGGCUUUAAGGGGGAGAGGGAAUUGUAGCUAAAGUGGUUCAAGUUUUAAGUUGAAAUUCAUGCAAUUAAGUCCUCUUGACUGGUGUAUCUAAUUGACGGAGAUUCAAUCCAUCAGCAAAACCAAGACGGUUCCAAUUAUACCCUUGUAAAAAGGCAUAUUGAUCUUGGUGAGUAUUCAUCGUAUGGCUUGGUUAUGAGAUUGAUUAAAAGACAAGACUCAAGUUUUAUGUAGAAUUGAGGAAAAUUGACUUUUGUGAAGAACCUGCAGACCGACCUUCAAAUCUCAAAUUUAAUCACCAUAGUUGAACAAAGUUCUUAUUGAUCAAUCAUUGGUUCUUAAAAACCAUACAUAAGGUUGCUCUUGAGUAUUCAAUUUGGUUAUUCAAUAAGUUUUAUUCAUUUAUUGAAUGAGAAUUUGAUUUGCAAACUCCUGGGUUUAGCUAACCUGAAUCUAUCUCCUGUUUUUUUGGUUUCUUAUUAUUUUAUUGUAAUUAGAGGCAUGUGUUUAUUAUUUAAUGAUCUUCCUUAUUCGUGGAUGACAAAUUGAACAAUUUGAUUAAGCUUUUUUGGUUUAAAUUAAAAUGGAGGGCUAGUUUUCGAUUUCAUGUAAAAAAGGUUUCUUGACUUCACAUAGAUUUUGAAUUUGGUUUGCUAUGGUAACUGAUAAUCAAGUCAUAAACUCAAUGAUUGACAAAGAACCACAGGUUUUAAUACCUGAUUAUUGGUCGAGUCAUGCUUUAUUUUGUGAAAAUUGAACAUUGUCCAAAAUUCUGGUGUCUAAACGCCACUAGUGGCCAUUUUAGGACUUGGUUGCACAUCAAAAGAAUUGGAAUUUGAUUUGAAAUAUUUAUGAUUGAUUGCACUCCGUAUGGAACUUUUAUUGCUUUUGGUGUAAUUUCGCAUGAAGGAGAUAGACACCCUUCCUAAGCCAAAUAAUAAUUUGUUGAACGUCAGGACAUAUUAAUAAUAGCAUAUGGCCCAUGAACUAUUGCGGUACUUGUGGAACUAAUGGCUUUUAGAAUAUGCUUUGAGGCAUAUUGGAACUCAAGUUCCUCUUUUCUAAUGUUUAAAUCUUUGGUUUUAAUUGGUUGUUGUGCAUGUGGAUUUCAAUUUCUUUAUCAUUUUCCAUGAUUUGAUUUCUUUUUCCAUACUUUCAGGUGCAGAUUUAUUUUGUAGAGAGACAAAGUUAGGUUUCUAGUGAUGUACAUACUUCUUAUAUUUUGGAUUUCACCUUCUCUUGAGUUUUGUCUUUUAUCUGGCACAGGUUUGACUUUUAAUGGCUAGUGCUUUGCAUAUGCCUCUGCCAGAACCAACUGAUGGUAGUGUAGGAGAUGCAGUGUCUUUGGAACUAUGUACAAGACAGCAGUGCAUAGCUGAGAUCACAGCGAUGAUUCAUGUAAGUUAGUUUUUCAUCUUCCUGUUAAAUGUGCCUUUUUUCUGUGUCUGUGGAAUCAAAGGAGUAGGAAAUAACAGGUUGUUGCUGCAUUUGCAUAUGAAUUAAGUUAAAUUAUUUUCUUAUAUCGUUUUUUUUUCUUUCUUUCUUUUAACAUUUAAGCAUCUAGAUUGCUGGUCCCGUGAACCUUGGGAACAUAUUAUACAGUAGAUGGUGGAGAAAAUUUGUCUUUUGAUUGAUCCGCAAUGGCUAUUACCAGAUGAAGUUGUUCUUUAAAUGAUGUCCAUGAUGCUACUUUCUCAUUUGCCUACAGCUUUCUUUGGACACUAGAUUAAUAUAUCUGAGCUCCCCCCAUGCUCACCACCACCAUAACCUGCCCACCAACCAAGAAAGAAAGUCUGUUGUCAGUAAAUAGAAGUAAAUAAAACGAAUAAGACGUUGCGAAGGGAAUAUAUAAAAUAAGAGAUGAUUCUCUGUAAGUUGGGAAGUUCAAUUUCACACUUAAAUAUAGAAAGAAAGGAAAGGCAACAGACCCUGCACAUAUGUAUAGCAUGUUUCAUAGUACCAGUAAUGCAGAAUAAGGAUUGCAUCUCUUUUGCUGUACAGUGUCAUAGACUCAAAUAACGUUCCCCCUAUUAUGGAACCUUUUGAUUUCUUGAUUAAUGCACGUGUUCUCUGUUUCCCUUAGGUUGCAAGCCUUCUUCAUGAUGAUGUCGUGGAUGAUGCAGACACAAGACGUGGUAUUGGUUCAUUAAAUUUUAUCAUGGGAAACAAGGUGCUCAUACAUCUCCACCAUCUUCAGGAACAUUGCUAGUUCUUAUAUUUGUUAUAUGACUAGAUUCUGUUCAUGAUUUUUGUAUGUAUGUAUGUAUGUAUUGUACUCCUAACUUGGUGUUUAUCAGUAAUGGGCGGAGAAAUCUUUCUUCUUUUACAUAGACAAGAUGCCUGCACCUUUGUGCCUCGAUUUUCUUUCACACAGGAGAAGAAGUUUUUAGUCUUACCAUCCACUCUAUGAAGAAGAUGCAUUGUGAAGAUUUGUGACUUUAUUGUGGUCCUUAUAGAUGAUAGUAUAUUAAAACAUCUAGACGUCAACAAUAUUUUGUUUGCUAUGCAGUUGGCAGUUUUAGCUGGGGAUUUUCUCCUUUCUCGAGCUUGUGUGGCACUUGCAUCCUUGAAAAACACAGAGGUAUGUGUGGAUUUCAGUUUGAUUUGACAUGAUUCUGUAUUGAUAUUUAAUGAUAGUCUUUGUUUCAGUAAUGAACACUACGUGAUAGGACUUAUUUUGUCUAGCCCAUAAAAAAGGACAUACUUUGGGUACUGGAUACUAGGCUCUUCUCUUGUCAUUUAGUUGUAAAUCGUGGAUGCAACAUUCUUGCUUGUAGAGCAAUAGAUGCGAUUUCUUAUGAUGGCUCAGGAUAUUCAAAUGAGUCUCGCAAAUGUUUGUAUUUGCGCAAACUGCCCUUGUUUAGGAUUGACAAGGAGAUCCAGCAUCCUCCUUUCUCUUCCUCUUUUGCACUGAAAUUUUGUCCACUAUUUCACAUCCCAUUUGACAAAAAUUGUAAAAUUCAAAUUCUGAGCACAGAGAGCUUUUCCAACGCAGCUCCAGUUGCCAUUUUUCUCUUCUUUGUAUCAAUCUACUAAAUUAAGAAAGACCAGAUGAGUUAUGGAGGAUAAUCCCCUUAAGUGUCUUCUCUAUUCAAUUAGUUUAUGACUCCUAAAUAAAUCUUGCUUCAUCUUCCUUCCAUUUUUCUGUUCCUUAAAGCUUUCAAUCAUUAAGAGGUGUAGAGUUUAUGUGGUAUCACUGGGAUUGCAAUGCCAUACCUUGAGCUGCAUAAAAAGGUCAAAUUCUUAUUAGAUUGCCCUAUUUGUAGGUUGUAUCAUUGUUAGCAACAGUAGUAGAGCAUCUCUUGUGCCCACUGAAGAAUCCAGGCGAUGUCGCCAAGAACCUGCAAAGGAAAAGUGCAACGUGAUUGACGUGGGGGCUCGCUGGCCGCAGGACGUGAGCUUUUGUAAAACAACAAAAUUAAACAUCCUCAACUUCCAUUCCCGAUAAAAGUAAUAGUACAUGGAGAGAAAACAUGCACCUAAAUAGGCAACUACACUGACCAAAAAAAAAUAGGCAACUACAAUCAAGUGAAAGAUUUCGAAAAGUAAAAUCGUAUUCACUCCCUUCAGCCUAAUACAAGGCAACCCUAGUUUGUAUGAUACUAUCACAGGACCAAAAUUUUAGAGGAUUAAAUAGGCAGUAACCCAACCGCUAUCACUACCCUUUAGCUUACUCACCAGACAAACACACACAAUCACACACCAUACCCAGCCCCACCUCAGCAAACAGCAAUCACCACAAAAUAGAACCGACACGUUAAGGGGGAUCUUGAAAAUUGUAAGAGUUUUACUACUACUCACAAGGCCUUGCUAUUCGAUCCGGUGGGCCCAAUAUCUCCAAAGCAAACCCCUGCGACCAAUUGAGAGCCGCGCCAGCUUAAUUGAUACCCACACCCUCAUCAAAAACCCUAGAAUCAAACACACAAGCGCUGAGCCAAACAGCUCAAAGCAAAAGAAACAACAGUCUUUGGAACUUUUUCACUCCUAUGAAGUCACAAAUUGAAGUCACGACCGGCAAAACUAGUUCAAAAGAGAUCUGAGCACUUCGGAUCUUCUAAUGUCAAGCCCUUGAAGUUUCGGUCGUGGCGAAGAGAAACGGAGAUGGAAGUCCCUAAUGGAAGUCGUGUCUCGCAGAAUUAAUUCUUCUCUUUGUGUUUGUCACUCUCACUAAAAAGGAACGAAAUAGAGCCGAAGGGUCCAGCGUGUUCCCGGGAAUAAUUUAUACUUAGAAAUAAUUUUUUCUAAUAUUGUUCUUUGGACGAGUUAUUUAGCAUUCAACCGUAUUAGUAACUGCAUAAAAUUUAUGUUCCUCGAAUAGAAAAUAAUAUAAAUAUAUUUACAAUAGAAAUAUAUUUAGUACAAGUCUUAAAUUUUUUUUGUGACAUAAAAUUUAUUUUUAUUUUUUAAUAAAUUUCUCAAAUUUUUAUUUAUUUUAUUUAUCUUUUCCUCUUCUCUUCUUCCUUCUCUAGCUAGUAACUGAGCCUCAAGAAUGGCCAGUGGCUAGCUAGAAGUGAGAGCUAGCAACUUUGUUUGCUUCGGGGGCCACUCGAGGGGAGCCUCACUAGCUCUUGGUGAGGCCAACCCAUCCAUCCACGGUAAGGUCAAGCCUCACCAAGAGUCAACGAGGUUGCCAGACCUCGUUGGUUGCUGGCCAUUGCCGAGCCUAGCAACUAACUAGAGGAGGAAGAAGAAAAAAAGUAUUUUUAAAAAAAAAAAGAUAAUGACUUGGUUUCAGAAUUUGUUUCUAGAAACAAAUAAGUAAUUUUUUUCUAUUUUUUAUUUCUAUUCCAAAUUUAUUCCAUGGCUACAGAUACGUUUUCGGGAAUAGAAAAAUUAGCUGACAUUAUUAAACGGAUUUUUGUUUUUUGGAAUAAAAGAACAAAAUUAAUUAAGAAUUAACUGGUUACCAAAAAAGGCCAAAAUAAAGUGUAAAGGUGUAUGGUGUAUGGUGGGUCAUGGACUUGUGGGUGUCGUGUGGGUUUUGAAAAUAUGGGUUAAAAUAUGGGUCACAUCUGUCUCAUGGGUCUCGCGGGUCAAGUAUAUUGGCUCUUUUUUUGGGUCUUUAGUUUCCACAACCCACUUAACCCAUUUUGAAAGAAAACGAGUUACCUAUAAUAUAACAUUGCGCCUCUUAAAAUUGAGUUAUAACUAGGGGUGAGAGGUUCUUGGUUCUGGUUCGGUUCCGUUUGGAACCUGUAACCUACUAUCGGGUAUAGAUUCCUCAUUUUUUGGAACCUGGAACUUACCCGUCAGAACUAAGAAUUUAUAAGUUCCAGGUUCUAAUAGGUUUUUUUUUUUUUUUUUCAUUUUCAUAUUUGAACUAUAACGAAGAAGGAAAGACAAACCAAAGCUUCUAUGUCCAUAAAUUGCCAAAAAUAGUUCAUUGGGAGGAGAAGCAUAAAAAAAAAAAAAAAAAAAAAACACACAUUUUUGUCCCUUUGACUAAUGCCACUCCAAAUUCACCAACUGCACAAUGAAAAGUAAUUAAUUGGUGGUUAGACAACACUCAAUGAAGCUAUAUUUAAAGUAAUAUUGAAGAAAGUUAAGACAAGGAAAUAUUUUAUUACAGAUAUCCAUGAAAGCUUCCUUCUACUCACCAUGCCUUAAUGGAGAAAGCAAAAGAAUAAAUAGAGCCAGGGGUGUGCAUGGUCCGGGCGGGCGGUUCCCGACCUAGAAUCGGAAACCGCCGGCUAAAGACCGGUUCCGAAAAAUUGGAACCGGAAUCCACCCGUUUAUUGCAUGGAUCCACCCAGGAACCGGACCGUCGGUCCGGUCCGGUUCCCGGGUGGAUCCAUGGAACCGAUCUUGACACGAAAUAAUUUUGAUUUUCAACAUAGAACGAUUACAUGACAUCAAAGUAAGCCAAAAAAAGAAAAACUAAAUUUAAGUACGUGGAGAUGUGGAUGGCAGGAGAAGUAAAUGUAGUGAAAUAGUGAUAGGAUUAGGAGUCGAAGACGAAGGGAGUGAGAUGAGAUUUAGGGUUUCUUUUAGUAAUUUUUUUUAAUAUUAAAAAGGUUCCGGUCCGGUCCGGGUGGGCGGGUGGGUGGAUCUGCCCAUGGAACCGGGAACCGGACCAGUACCCACCGGUUCCCAAAAAUUGGAACCGAGAACCGGACCGGUUCCCUCAAGAACCGCCGGUUUCGAGCGGUUCCAGUCCGGCUCCGGGCGGUCUGAGCAGUUCCCGGGUACUUUGCACACCCCUAAAUAGAGCUAUCAAACCAAACUCAAAACAAUUGAAGUGCCAUUUUAAGCUUGUUCUGUCUCCAUUUGGGCAACUUAUAGAAAACAUCCUUUGUCAUCCCAAAUUUCUCUCUAAACUCCGCUGAUGACAAAUAAGUCUGCUACAUUUCAUGCAAAGCAAUGUCCAGGAACAGAAUGAUACAACGGGAAAAUCUUAUUUAGAUAUUACCUCUUGCAUAGCUGAAAACUUUUGCAUUGACUGCAGAACCGUCGUCCUGUAGACAAUAUAACUUCACGGCAAUGAGAGCAUACCUACUGCAAAUGGACAACAAUGAAGUCUUCCUGGGCAAGCAGGAUUUUUUCCCCAAGCUGUUAUCAAUAAGAGAAAAAUAAUGAGAGCAUAAUUUAAAGAUACAGAAAAGAAGGUAAAAUCAACCAGCCACGAAGUUGCUGAACAGAUAUCAUCAUUUCUCUAAUAAAUGACUCUUAUUCAGUCUAUGACACAAAAUGACAGUAUUAUAUACUGCUCAGUUAAACAAGCUGAUGCGAAUCUUGACAUUUAACUUAGCCUCUCGUAUGUUCAGAAAAACACAGGAUUAGAAAUUGCCACUAGAUUUGGCACCAUCUAAUGAAAUAGCAUCUUUUUCUUUUUGGUAAAAAAAUAUCAAAAAGAAAAAUGGUUAAUACCUUGAAAAAUCUCAAACUGGUACACCAGUGACAAAUUUACCCAAAUUAUUUUUUUGACCAUGAAAAAUCCCAAACCGGUACAUUUAUGACAAAUUUACCCCGACUGACCAUAAGAAACCCUAAAUUGGUACAUUUAUGACAAAUUUAUCCCAAACUAAUUUAUUUGAUGGCAAAAGAUCACAAACUGGUAAAUUUGUAACAAAUAUACACUCCGCUAAUUGAAUUAAUACCACAAAAAAAUCACAAAAAUUGUAAACUAUGACAAACGAAUCUUAAAAUCGCAAAUUGGUAUACCAGUCAACUGUCAUGUGCUAUUUAACUUAAUAAUUUGACAGUAAAAUUUAACGAAAACUAACAGAUGGUAAAUUUGUUACAAGUGUAUCAGUUUGGGGUAAAUUUGUCAAAUGUAUACCAGUUUAGGGUUUUUGUUUAUAAAAAAAAUAGUCUUAGGUAAAUUUAUCACAUGUAUACCAGAAAGGUCCAAACAUAACCUAGUGAAACUCAAUAAUGGCUAUGGAAUUGUAGAUCUCAUGGAGUUAGCAUUAUGCAACUGACAUGUGUAGACAGAAUAGGAAAUCUUCAGGGAAAAAAUAAGAUUGCUUAUUGUCAUACAAGGAUCCCGCAAGAGUAAAGCAACAACUCAAACAAAACAUGACAUGCAGUCAUCACAGCAUCAAUUGCAGAGCACAAAAGCAAGUUAGAACCUACAGUCCUCAGCUUUAACAACUUAUCUGGAUUAGACUAGUCCAGUUUCAUCCAUGAGUGACUUACAAUGUUCAAUAAAAAGGUCAAACUGAAAUGGAUCCUUCAAAGCCUUAAGUGUACUACUCCACUAUCAAUCACACGGACUUGAAAAUUGGAUCUUCCAGUUCGUAUUAAUAUGCAACAAGAGAAACAGACCCCAGCUUCUUGAAAUCUGCUUUCUCAAUUCUCCCAUUUUUUCUAAGAAAAUUUUACCCAUAGUUUUUCAUCCCCUCAUAACCAAAUCCAGCAUCCCCCAUCAACACUACUGCCAAAGCAAACCCAAAACGAACAAUCAAAUAUUCACGCUGGAACUUAAUUUUGCUUUACGAAUUUCAUGAGCAUUAUACCAGCACUGAGUUUGUUAAGAUCUUACAUGUACUGAAAAUAAUAAAUGAUAUCCAUAAAGCAAGCCGAGGGCACAAGAAAAUAUUGGAGCAUAAAGAGGCUCGCGGAAGGGAAAUAAAAUCAAGCACUUGGUGCCCAUUAUACCUGACAAUAUCCCACGCUUCCAUAGAAAGGGGGAAAAACAGUGGUCAUAACUUGCUACCUUGAAAACAAAAACACUUUGAAAUAGAGCUAAACAAAAGUAGUAUUCUUGCAAACAUGAAUUUCCCCCCCUAAAUCUUACAUACAAACACAUUCGUUCAGGUCGCCGGCUGUGGCAAAUAAGGGGAAACCAAGAAAAUGAACAAUAACAACAUAGAGAGGGGCAGCAAAGAUUACCGGCUCAAAAGGCGAGCUACGAGUAGCGUCAAGGGCAACUGGCCGACUGGCUUUAGGGGAGGUUGGGCGAGCGACGCCAGCGGCGACUGGGCUAGCGACGUCGGGGGUGGCUAGGGCGAGCGGCGGUGGUGUCGAGCAAAGGUCAACACUGGCUCACCGAGCAGAGGUCAGUGUGGCGUCGAGGGCGAGCAGUGGUGGUGUCGACCAGAGGUCAGCGAUGGCUUGCCGAGUAGAGGUCAACGGUGGCGUCGAGGACGAGCGGCGGUGGCAUCAAGCAGAGGUCGGCGGUGGCGUUGAGGGCAAGUGGCGAAGGCGUUGAGCAGAGGUAGAGAACGGAAGAAGAGAGAAUGUCGUGUGAAUGUGAAGUGCUUUUCUGAUUUGGGGCUUUAAGGAACCAAAACCACCGGUUCCCAUAAAAAGGGAAGCAGGAACCGGAACCGGUCCCUUUAGAACCCAUAACUGACCAGUUCGAUUCUUCGAUUCCCGAUUCUAUUCAGGGACCACGCUCACCCCUAGUUAUAACAUAGGUACACGAACCAUUUUACCGGCCCUACUUCUGACCAACCAUAUCAGGGUCAAGUUAGUCAGCAUCCUACUUUAUAUAUUCUCUUUCUGGCUUUCACCAUCCAUGAAAUCAAUAUGGAAGAGAAUGGUUUUUUUCUAUCAUUUGCCAACAUAUAAUAAAGAGGAUAUCACAUCGUCUUCCAGGCCGUGCUUAUAUAGGCAAGUACAAAAGAAGAAUGGCAGACCUGUAAUAUACUCAAUGAACCUCCGCAAAAGUUACGGAGCUUCAUGACUUUCGAAGCAGAGAACACACAUUUGGAAAAAGAUCAAAAAGGCAUAAGUGCUCUCGACUGUUCACUUUCAAAGAGCAAGAAUCGAUAUCUAUGAGCUUCAAGAACGUAAUAAGCAGCUAAGUCUUGUCGGAUCAAUCUCCUUAGUCCCAUCAUCUUCAUCAACAUGUAUUCGAGUUUCCUUUUGGCUGUUUAUUUAACAAAGGCAUCCGCACCCUUGUGACUCUGAAGAGAAUCACAUUGGGUGUGGCAGUUACCCAUCCCACAUAAACCGAAUAAUUUAUGGGAGAUGUGCAUUCCUAUGCUCCUGGAUGACUCCAAGAGAAUACGCAAGAAUGAUGAUUCAAAUUAUGAUCUUGAACACGAGAGAUGAACACACGUAUGACUUGAGCAACCCUAACUCAUAAUUGGACUUAUAACCACCGCUUAGUCCUUGUCAGCCUUCCAGUCAACCGCUUUUUUGUUAGGUAGCGCAAGCCAGGAAUGUUCAUCCUCAUUUCUUCUGGGAAAAUGAAGCCAGUUGGGUAGUCUCUAGUGAUUACAGCAUUUGAAUAUUUGAUCAAUCCGUCAUUUCUGAAGCCGGCAUCAGGGGGGGCAGCUGCAAAACUUGUUCUUGGUCAAAUCAGACAAAUGCAAGACCUGGACGUUACUGAUAUCAAACAAGUUUGUGUAUCUUGCCCUCGAAAGUUGCUCAUCAUCUUACUUCUCUUUGAACUACUCUUAUUGUACUUGCGUUCUUUCCAAAUUAACGAAUCAAGAUGAUUAUCAAUGCACCAAGAUAUAUUGCAUUCGCUUUCUUGAUUUCAGGCCUGAUCCUCUUCAUCCCAGAUUUAUCUUCAAGAGGCGAGCUCUAGUAAGGGCAAUUACACUGCUUUUAGCAAGUUCCAAAACAACCUCUACAGCCUCCUCAACAGGUAGAGCUUCACAAUGAAGGACGUGUUAACUGUUUCUACAACAUGACAGAAGAAGAACAUUUAGACAAAGUUUAUGGUCUCUUCCUCUGCAAGUGAAUCACAUGGAAAAGACAUCCAAAGUUUCUACUUUUUAGUAAUACCUUUCAAUUCAAUCCUUAUAAUCUUUGGAAUCGGCUCACUUAGUACUGGGAUUUAUAAUGAACCUCAUGUGUUGGUCUUAAUUGAGAUCCUCUAAAAGUAUGGCGAUCCAAUGCCAACAAUUUGGCUAAUACUAUCCAAACUUAAGUGACUACUAAUGCAACUUUCCUAUCCCUUUUUAGAGGCUAUGUUGCCGCCAAUCUCUGUCAGUCUUGCAUCAAAACAGCUACCGGCAACAUCUUAGAAUGAUGUCCAGGAGAGAAAGGGGUGACCGUAGAGUACGAUGAGUGUCUCGUGCGCUGCUCUAACAGAUCAUUCUUCUCUAUCAUGGAGUCAAUGCCGGCUUUUUCAAUGUACAACCUUAUGAAAGUAUCAGGUCCCAACCAGUUCCUCUCGGUUGUAGGGGAAACUUUCAGGAAAGUGAUGGACUCGGCAAUCUCCUCAGAAAGCUUAUUCGCAACCAUCAAUGUUAGUGUUUCAAGUUCAGCGAGCUUGUAUACACUUGCGCAGUGCACCCUUGACUUAUCAGAGUCAAUUUGUGAACAGUUGCAUGGCUGCUGCAAUCGCUCAUUUUCCUACCUUCAUUAGCGAUGGAAAGCAAGGUGCGAGAGUUCUUCUGCUGAGUUGUCGGGUGCAGUUCGAACUGUAUCCUCUUUAUGAGGAAAUUAGAUGACAAGCAACAGCACAUUCUCCAACUAACAAAACCAGCAUCGAUUCCGGUACUAGAGGUAUAAAGAUUGUAUAAUGCUCAAAACGUGCAUUCAAUUUUCAUGGUAAGCAUAUAAAGGAACUCAUUAUAAGCUGUUUUGUGUAUCAUAAUGCACUUCACUUGCUUUUACGAUCUAAACUUCGAUCAUUCUCUCUAGCUUUCUCUGAGUUCCUGUUACUAUUUAUGCCUAGUGAGAAAAAUCUGCAGACCAAAUUCAAGGAAUCACUUUGUCUUGAUAGGGGUGAAACAAACAAAAGCUCCAUGGAUUGCAAUAGUUAGCUCAGUCAUUGGAUCGUGUUUGCUCUUAUCCAUCAUAGGUUCAUGCAUUGUUUUAAACAGGACAAAGAGAUUGAAGAAAGGUAUAUAUGAAUUCAUCUUGCUUGCCAUUAGAGGACCAUCUUCUAAACUUUACCUUAUGAGAGUAACCUCUUAUACUGUCAGAGAAGGAAAACAGCCUAGAGAUUCAGUUACUGCAUCUGAGACUAGAAAUUGGAGUAGAGUUUUAAGAGGAAAACUAUCGAGGAGAAAAGCCAGUAAAUCCUCGNNNNNNNNNNNNNNNNNNNNNNNNNNNNNNNNNNNNNNNNNNNNNNNNNNNNNNNNNNNNNNNNNNNNNNNNNNNNNNNNNNNNNNNNNNNNNNNNNNNNNNNNNNNNNNNNNNNNNNNNNNNNNNNNNNNNNNNNNNNNNNNNNNNNNNNNNNNNNNNNNNNNNNNNNNNNNNNNNNNNNNNNNNNNNNNNNNNNNNNNNNNNNNNNNNNNNNNNNNNNNNNNNNNNNNNNNNNNNNNNNNNNNNNNNNNNNNNNNNNNNNNNNNNNNNNNNNNNNNNNNNNNNNNNNNNNNNNNNNNNNNNNNNNNNNNNNNNNNNNNNNNNNNNNNNNNNNNNNNNNNNNNNNNNNNNNNNNNNNNNNNNNNNNNNNNNNNNNNNNNNNNNNNNNNNNNNNNNNNNNNNNNNNNNNNNNNNNNNNNNNNNNNNNNNNNNNNNNNNNNNNNNNNNNNNNNNNNNNNNNNNNNNNNNNNNNNNNNNNNNNNNNNNNNNNNNNNNNNNNNNNNNNNNNNNNNNNNNNNNNNNNNNNNNNNNNNNNNNNNNNNNNNNNNNNNNNNNNNNNNNNNNNNNNNNNNNNNNNNNNNNNNNNNNNNNNNNNNNNNNNNNNNNNNNNNNNNNNNNNNNNNNNNNNNNNNNNNNNNNNNNNNNNNNNNNNNNNNNNNNNNNNNNNNNNNNNNNNNNNNNNNNNNNNNNNNNNNNNNNNNNNNNNNNNNNNNNNNNNNNNNNNNNNNNNNNNNNNNNNNNNNNNNNNNNNNNNNNNNNNNNNNNNNNNNNNNNNNNNNNNNNNNNNNNNNNNNNNNNNNNNNNNNNNNNNNNNNNNNNNNNNNNNNNNNNNNNNNNNNNNNNNNNNNNNNNNNNNNNNNNNNNNNNNNNNNNNNNNNNNNNNNNNNNNNNNNNNNNNNNNNNNNNNNNNNNNNNNNNNNNNNNNNNNNNNNNNNNNNNNNNNNNNNNNNNNNNNNNNNNNNNNNNNNNNNNNNNNNNNNNNNNNNNNNNNNNNNNNNNNNNNNNNNNNNNNNNNNNNNNNNNNNNNNNNNNNNNNNNNNNNNNNNNNNNNNNNNNNNNNNNNNNNNNNNNNNNNNNNNNNNNNNNNNNNNNNNNNNNNNNNNNNNNNNNNNNNNNNNNNNNNNNNNNNNNNNNNNNNNNNNNNNNNNNNNNNNNNNNNNNNNNNNNNNNNNNNNNNNNNNNNNNNNNNNNNNNNNNNNNNNNNNNNNNNNNNNNNNNNNNNNNNNNNNNNNNNNNNNNNNNNNNNNNNNNNNNNNNNNNNNNNNNNNNNNNNNNNNNNNNNNNNNNNNNNNNNNNNNNNNNNNNNNNNNNNNNNNNNNNNNNNNNNNNNNNNNNNNNNNNNNNNNNNNNNNNNNNNNNNNNNNNNNNNNNNNNNNNNNNNNNNNNNNNNNNNNNNNNNNNNNNNNNNNNNNNNNNNNNNNNNNNNNNNNNNNNNNNNNNNNNNNNNNNNNNNNNNNNNNNNNNNNNNNNNNNNNNNNNNNNNNNNNNNNNNNNNNNNNNNNNNNNNNNNNNNNNNNNNNNNNNNNNNNNNNNNNNNNNNNNNNNNNNNNNNNNNNNNNNNNNNNNNNNNNNNNNNNNNNNNNNNNNNNNNNNNNNNNNNNNNNNNNNNNNNNNNNNNNNNNNNNNNNNNNNNNNNNNNNNNNNNNNNNNNNNNNNNNNNNNNNNNNNNNNNNNNNNNNNNNNNNNNNNNNNNNNNNNNNNNNNNNNNNNNNNNNNNNNNNNNNNNNNNNNNNNNNNNNNNNNNNNNNNNNNNNNNNNNNNNNNNNNNNNNNNNNNNNNNNNNNNNNNNNNNNNNNNNNNNNNNNNNNNNNNNNNNNNNNNNNNNNNNNNNNNNNNNNNNNNNNNNNNNNNNNNNNNNNNNNNNNNNNNNNNNNNNNNNNNNNNNNNNNNNNNNNNNNNNNNNNNNNNNNNNNNNNNNNNNNNNNNNNNNNNNNNNNNNNNNNNNNNNNNNNNNNNNNNNNNNNNNNNNNNNNNNNNNNNNNNNNNNNNNNNNNNNNNNNNNNNNNNNNNNNNNNNNNNNNNNNNNNNNNNNNNNNNNNNNNNNNNNNNNNNNNNNNNNNNNNNNNNNNNNNNNNNNNNNNNNNNNNNNNNNNNNNNNNNNNNNNNNNNNNNNNNNNNNNNNNNNNNNNNNNNNNNNNNNNNNNNNNNNNNNNNNNNNNNNNNNNNNNNNNNNNNNNNNNNNNNNNNNNNNNNNNNNNNNNNNNNNNNNNNNNNNNNNNNNNNNNNNNNNNNNNNNNNNNNNNNNNNNNNNNNNNNNNNNNNNNNNNNNNNNNNNNNNNNNNNNNNNNNNNNNNNNNNNNNNNNNNNNNNNNNNNNNNNNNNNNNNNNNNNNNNNNNNNNNNNNNNNNNNNNNNNNNNNNNNNNNNNNNNNNNNNNNNNNNNNNNNNNNNNNNNNNNNNNNNNNNNNNNNNNNNNNNNNNNNNNNNNNNNNNNNNNNNNNNNNNNNNNNNNNNNNNNNNNNNNNNNNNNNNNNNNNNNNNNNNNNNNNNNNNNNNNNNNNNNNNNNNNNNNNNNNNNNNNNNNNNNNNNNNNNNNNNNNNNNNNNNNNNNNNNNNNNNNNNNNNNNNNNNNNNNNNNNNNNNNNNNNNNNNNNNNNNNNNNNNNNNNNNNNNNNNNNNNNNNNNNNNNNNNNNNNNNNNNNNNNNNNNNNNNNNNNNNNNNNNNNNNNNNNNNNNNNNNNNNNNNNNNNNNNNNNNNNNNNNNNNNNNNNNNNNNNNNNNNNNNNNNNNNNNNNNNNNNNNNNNNNNNNNNNNNNNNNNNNNNNNNNNNNNNNNNNNNNNNNNNNNNNNNNNNNNNNNNNNNNNNNNNNNNNNNNNNNNNNNNNNNNNNNNNNNNNNNNNNNNNNNNNNNNNNNNNNNNNNNNNNNNNNNNNNNNNNNNNNNNNNNNNNNNNNNNNNNNNNNNNNNNNNNNNNNNNNNNNNNNNNNNNNNNNNNNNNNNNNNNNNNNNNNNNNNNNNNNNNNNNNNNNNNNNNNNNNNNNNNNNNNNNNNNNNNNNNNNNNNNNNNNNNNNNNNNNNNNNNNNNNNNNNNNNNNNNNNNNNNNNNNNNNNNNNNNNNNNNNNNNNNNNNNNNNNNNNNNNNNNNNNNNNNNNNNNNNNNNNNNNNNNNNNNNNNNNNNNNNNNNNNNNNNNNNNNNNNNNNNNNNNNNNNNNNNNNNNNNNNNNNNNNNNNNNNNNNNNNNNNNNNNNNNNNNNNNNNNNNNNNNNNNNNNNNNNNNNNNNNNNNNNNNNNNNNNNNNNNNNNNNNNNNNNNNNNNNNNNNNNNNNNNNNNNNNNNNNNNNNNNNNNNNNNNNNNNNNNNNNNNNNNNNNNNNNNNNNNNNNNNNNNNNNNNNNNNNNNNNNNNNNNNNNNNNNNNNNNNNNNNNNNNNNNNNNNNNNNNNNNNNNNNNNNNNNNNNNNNNNNNNNNNNNNNNNNNNNNNNNNNNNNNNNNNNNNNNNNNNNNNNNNNNNNNNNNNNNNNNNNNNNNNNNNNNNNNNNNNNNNNNNNNNNNNNNNNNNNNNNNNNNNNNNNNNNNNNNNNNNNNNNNNNNNNNNNNNNNNNNNNNNNNNNNNNNNNNNNNNNNNNNNNNNNNNNNNNNNNNNNNNNNNNNNNNNNNNNNNNNNNNNNNNNNNNNNNNNNNNNNNNNNNNNNNNNNNNNNNNNNNNNNNNNNNNNNNNNNNNNNNNNNNNNNNNNNNNNNNNNNNNNNNNNNNNNNNNNNNNNNNNNNNNNNNNNNNNNNNNNNNNNNNNNNNNNNNNNNNNNNNNNNNNNNNNNNNNNNNNNNNNNNNNNNNNNNNNNNNNNNNNNNNNNNNNNNNNNNNNNNNNNNNNNNNNNNNNNNNNNNNNNNNNNNNNNNNNNNNNNNNNNNNNNNNNNNNNNNNNNNNNNNNNNNNNNNNNNNNNNNNNNNNNNNNNNNNNNNNNNNNNNNNNNNNNNNNNNNNNNNNNNNNNNNNNNNNNNNNNNNNNNNNNNNNNNNNNNNNNNNNNNNNNNNNNNNNNNNNNNNNNNNNNNNNNNNNNNNNNNNNNNNNNNNNNNNNNNNNNNNNNNNNNNNNNNNNNNNNNNNNNNNNNNNNNNNNNNNNNNNNNNNNNNNNNNNNNNNNNNNNNNNNNNNNNNNNNNNNNNNNNNNNNNNNNNNNNNNNNNNNNNNNNNNNNNNNNNNNNNNNNNNNNNNNNNNNNNNNNNNNNNNNNNNNNNNNNNNNNNNNNNNNNNNNNNNNNNNNNNNNNNNNNNNNNNNNNNNNNNNNNNNNNNNNNNNNNNNNNNNNNNNNNNNNNNNNNNNNNNNNNNNNNNNNNNNNNNNNNNNNNNNNNNNNNNNNNNNNNNNNNNNNNNNNNNNNNNNNNNNNNNNNNNNNNNNNNNNNNNNNNNNNNNNNNNNNNNNNNNNNNNNNNNNNNNNNNNCCGGGGUGAGGGCCCGCAAGCCCUCGUCCAGAUUUGGGGAGAGGGUCACGGCCCUCGCUGUGAUCCGGCGAGGGCUUGCAGCCCUUGCCACUGGUCGACUAGGGGCUGGCGACCCCGGCCGACCUUCCCCCCUCUAUCGCCGGCUCUUCCCGGCUACAGCGGGGAGGCAGCGGCAGCGAGGGCUCAACCCUCAGUUGCCCCCUUCGGCCUCCCAUUUUUUUUAAAUUUUUUAAUUUUUAGAAUAUUUUAAAUAAAAUUAAGUUUAAAUUUAAUUUAAUUAAUUUUUAUAUUAUUAUUAUUUAUACAUCAGACAUGAAACGGCAUCGUUUUUGCAUUUUAUCGCCACGUCAACAUGCAAAACGACGCCGUUUUGGACCAAACUUGCCGGAAAAUUGCCACGUCAGCCAUUUUGCCGGAUUUUCACCGGAGUGGCACCUAAGUAUUCCAUUUAACUUCAAAACUGGCAUUUAAGUGUACAUUUUCGAAGUUAUGGCACUUAAGUAUCCUCUCGUGCCAAGUUAUGGCACUCCAGGUGUUCCAAACUCGCUAGGAGACGAUACUAUCCACGAUACUAUCGCACUUACCCGACCAUCGCAGUCUACAUUCUCGGUUGGGAGAUAUGUGAAAACACUUGAUUCCAUCGGCCCGAUUCACAAAGCUUCUACUGUUAAUGAACUAACAAUUGCAAAUGUUUCACCUAGAUGACCAAGUAUCAUCAAUCCUCCUCCAAUUCAUUUCUCUUUUAUACAAUGGUAGAUAGAAUGAUAAUUACAGUGUGUGAUCUCUUUACCAUUGUGACUGCCAUUUCUAAAUCCUUUCUAAAUCGUUGAUUUCCACAAUCAUCGAUUAGUAAUUGUAAGGUUAAAAAGCCCGAUAGUUGGCAUUUCUAUCCAAUUUAUCACUUUUGUUCUAUCAUAAUUAUACAUAUACUUGAGAUAUAUAUCAAUUUGUAACCCAUUGAUAAAUUAAAAUCUAAGCAUAUAUAAAUUUGAUAUUUUACCUUUAUUUUAUUCAUUGAAAUCUAAUUUGUGAUGAAUAUUAGAAUUAAAUACUACAUAACGCAUGAGCAGAAAGACCUGAACUCAAAUCUCUCUAAACCCCCAUGUACCUUUUUUACUUGCCAAUGUUCAGCCUAUGCAUGUGGAGGAGUGUUAAAUUAUUCAUACAUUAGAUGACGUCUUCAUCUAAUAGUUUAGAGAAAAUCAUUCAAAAAGUCUUACACCUAUGAACUUUUGUUAAUUCAAUCAUAGAUAUUUUUACCUUUUGACAAUUGAGUCUAUCCAGCUAAGUUUGAUAGAAAAUCGCUAACAUGAAUGCCGGAUGUCUGAUGACAUGAACAUUUUAAAUAAUAUUUAAUAAAUUUUUAUUUUAUCAUUAUUAUUUUUUAAUCCUUCCCUUCCUUUUCUUUUCUUUUCUUGGACCCAAGUCAGCAAGGGUAUCGCAGCGUUGCCCCAAAAGGGGAGAGGGCGUCAUGGCCUUCGCUUGGGGCCAAUGCCAACAAGGGUCACCAUGCCCUUACCUUGCCUUGCCUAGAUUUGGCAUGGGCAAUGCGACCAUUGCCGAACUCUUAACCCUUGCCCACUAGCUGGCAAGGGCCAUACACCCUCUCUAGCCCGAAUCCAAAAAAUGGUAAAGAAAAUAUAAAAAGAAAACAUUAUUAGAAAUUUAAUAAGAUGUUAAAAUAUCAUUAAAAAGAAAUGUCUACAUUAGCGUCAGCCAUGCCAUGUAAGACGUUUGGCAUCUACGUCACUCAUUUCUGGCCAAAAUUGCCUAGAUGGGUUCAAUCGACAAAAAAUGAAAACAUUUAUAACUCAAUUGACACAAUUAGAAGGUUUUAAAUUGAAUUAGCAAAAUCACAAUAGGUUUAGGAUAUUUUGGAUAAUUUUGUUCACAAAAAUUCAUAAUUAAUGACCUAUUUUCAUUUGAUAUAAUUAAGUAAAAAGAAAACAAUGUGUAAUGCCAAGCAAUAGUAUCAAGUAGGGUUGUGCAACCAAACUAGUUCUACCUGGGAAUCGGAUCGGACCGCCUGAAAAAUAGGUCCACGAAUCGGUUUAGGAAUAGGUUCCAAAUUUUUGGAACUGGUUGUAAUAGGUCUAGUAAUAGGUUCCGAGUGAAAACCCACUCAAGAACUAGAUUAGACUGUCCUAUUUUGGAACCGAUUUCAUAAGCUAAAAAGCCAAAAUCCUAAUUUCUUUUUCCCAUAUUCUAACCUUAGCAUUUUUUCAUCAUUUGUCCAUCCUCAAAGCUCCUCACCAAUCUUUCCUCUUCCCUAAUUAAUGACCUAUUUUCAUUUGAUAUAAUUAAGUAAAAAGAAAACAAUAAUUAAGUAAAAAGAAAACAAUGUGUAAUGCCAAACAAUAGUAUCAAGAAGAUGUGUGCAACCAAACCAGUUCUACCCAGGAACCGAAUUGGACCGCCUGAAAAAUAGGUCCACAAACCGGUUCAGGAACAGGUUCCAAAUUUUUGGAACUGGUUGUAAUAGGUCUAGUAAUAGGUUCCGAGUGAAAACCCACCCGGGAACUAGAUCAGGCCGUCCUAUUUUGAACCAAUUUUAUAAGCUAAAAAGCCAAAAUCCUAAUUUCUUUUUCCCAUAAAUUCUAACCUUAACACUUUUUCAUCAUUUGUCAUUCCUCAAAGCUCCUCACCAAUCUUUCCUAUUUCGUAAAGUUUUAUGGAUGAUUGGAGAAUGGAAUUUUAUAAUUUACGUUAUAUGUUACAUGUUUGAACUUUUUGUCAUUAUAAUUGUAUGGGAUUACGUAUUCAUAUUAUGGAUUGUUGUUUAUGGUGGAUAGUGAUUUCUGUUGUUCAUCUUUUACAUUGAAUCAUUUCGUUACUCAUAACCUCAUAUGAUUUUGCUACAAAAAAAAUGAACCCAAAAAAGGCAUAAAAAAAAAAAAAAGGUUCUCGAGUAGACUUUGGAACUUGACUGGAAAAACAAGAUAGGUUCCAAAACUGAUUUCAAGCAAACAUGGUAGGUUACAGGGUCCAAAAACUUGGAACUGAUUAUAACAAAAUACGUUCAGGUUACCUUGAAACUACCUAUCUUGGAACCAACCACCCUUAGUAUCAAGUAAUGCAUGCGGAUGACUCAGCAACGGUAUUUGUCCACUAGACCUGCUCGUUGGCGCCCAAGGGAAAAACAUUAGCUGGCCAAGCUCGCCUAGUGGAGAAACCUUCCUUCUUUUAUUUUUAAAAUUUCUAGCUAGCGAAAAAAAUUAAAAUAAAAUAUAAUUAUAGGGUUUUGUGUUAUAUUAUUUUAUCUGUGAGUUUACUACUAUUUUUCUCUCCUAUAUCGGAAUUUUCGGCUUAAUUUGUGCUACUAGUGUUUAUAAAAUCUAUAUAUCAUAGUAAAAUCACUAAUAAAAGGAAAAACACCAAAACAUAUAUUAGCAUUCAUGAAUGACCAUUCAUAUAUCUUUACUUUGGGAAAAAAAACAAAAGCAUACUAAGUGUUACUUUUGAAAACCACCCUUCACAUCAAUUAUCAGUAUGUCUCCUUUUACUUUGUAAAAUGCCCUCUCUAAAUCCUAAUUUCUCACACCCACCCAAAUUAGCCAAAACCAACUAAAAACUAAACUAUUUAAACCCUAAGCAGUAUACUAAAAUGAAUUUUGCAUGGAGGGGUAAUUUGCUCUUUUCGAGGUGGAGUUUUGCUUAGAGGUUAUAUGAAUGGUUUGCAAAGAUUGUUUAUUCGUUGGGUCAAAAGUGAGGUAUGUAUUAAGACAUGUUUUUGUAAAUUUUUUUAAUAAUAAGGGCGCAAUAGUCCUAGCCUCAAGCCCUUGCCCAGACCUAGCCCACCCGUUGACCAGACUUGUCCAAGCUUGCUAAAUAGGCUUAAAAAAUUUAGCCAACCCCAUGCGUGAAUCAGGUCUACUAGCGGGAUAUAGGCAAAAGUUACUAAAUCUGACCAAUCAUAUCUAUCAAAUCAAUAAGGAAAAAAAAAUCUAUUAUCAUUUGCCAACAUAUAUUACUGAGAACAUAUCAUUGUCUUUCAAAAUGUACUUAUAUAAGAAAGCACAAAAGAAAAAUGAUACUCGUGAUAUUCCCCUUGAAUUUGCACAAAAAUUAUGAACUUUGAUGAAUAUUGCGUCCAUCUUUUGAAACACAAUUUCUUUCUCUAACACCUCUUACAAGACCCCCAUAAACUGGGUUGCUUGCUCAAAGCAUAGGAAAACACAUUUAGAAGAAAUUCGAAAAGAUAUCCAGAGCUGUUCACAUAUAAAAGGAGUGUUAGAAUUUGAAGAGCGAAAAAUCAACAUUUCUGACCUUCAAAAAUGUGGUGAGUUCUUAGUCCCGUGUCAUCGUCAACAAACACUGGAGUUUCAUUAGAGCAUCCUAUAUAUUUUUUCUACCAAGAACAUAUAUACCCUUAUUCCUUCGAAACAAAUCUCAUCAGGUAUAAUAGUCCUCCGUUCCCACACAUGGAAAAAUUCCUAUGCUUCUGGAUGACCCCAAAAGAAUGUGUAGGUAUGGCGAUUCGCACUCGGGCCUUGAACGAGGAGGAGGAACAUGCUUAGGAUGACUCAUAACCAUUGCCAAGUCUUUGUCGGAUAUUUUGGGUUUGACCCUUAGUUGAUUUGUAUCCAUUGUGGGGACCAAACCUUCGGAUGAUCUACUUAUAUUUAGUGCUGGCCUCUAUUGUCUCUUUGUCGGACCCCGUUUAACAACUUUUUUCGGUCUUUUGGGUUCCACCCGAUCGUUGGGAGUACAAGCCAGGAGCAUCAGGGAACGCGGAAAUCGGACUAAUUCGUCUUUGCUAACCCCGGCAUCUGGGAGAGCAGCUACAAAACUUGGUUCUUGAUCAAUUUCUUUACCUCGCCCUCCAGAUGUUGCUUAUUAUCGUACUCCUCUUGAGUUGAAAGAAAGUUCAUGGCGGUCUUUGAAUUACUCUUACUGUACUUGUGUUCUUUCCAAGUUCAAGAAAAAAAGAUUAUCGAUGUACCAGGCACUCCUGUGAGUGCACAGACAUACCUUCAAGAGCGGUGCGGAGAUAGGGGAAACUACGCUGCGUAUAGCAAGUUUCAAGACAACCUCAGCCGCCUCCUCUCCGGGGGGCUUUAGAACAAAGGACCCAUUUACGGUUUCUACACACGACGGAAAGGUGAAGAUCCCGACAAAGUUUAUGGACUCUUCCUCUGCAGGUAAAUUACAUGUGAAAACAUACCAAAAAAAUUUCAAAUUUCGAGUAAGACCUUCCAGAUCAAUCAUUGCAAUCUUUGGAAUCGGUUCACUCAGAGGUAGGAUUCAUAAUGGACCCGAUACAUUGGACUUAAUCGAAAUCCUCUACAAAGUACGGUGAUUCAAUGCCAAUCGAAAAAUUACUAUUCAGAUUUAUGUGACUACUAAUGCAACUUUACUAUGCCUCUUUAGAGGGGAUGUUGCUGCCAAUCUCUGUUGGUCUUGCAUACACGCAGCUUGUAGCACCAUCAUAGAAAGAUGUCCAGGACAGAAAGAGGCGAUCAUAUGGUACAACGAGUUGUUAGAGAAAUCUUCUUGAAGUGUUUUGAAGUUGACAAAACGUUUCUAUCAGUCUAGUCUGAAGGCUUGCAGACUCUGCUAUUUAAAGUCUGAAGACCUCCGGACAGCCAGACUAAAGACUCAAAGUCUAUCCUCAUUGACAGUCUCUAAUCCGUUGAAGAAAUGUUAUCCAGAACUUGAUGUUUUGUUAAAGAUUUAACUUUAUCAACUGGAGAAGAUCUCGUGGCUGGAGAAGACAUAACGGAGUCCUUUGAUUGAUCGAAGAUUGACUCGAUAAUUGAAGAUCCGGUGAUUGCCUAAAUAUUAUUGGAAGAUUCUGCUUAUGGAAACCGAGAUCCUGAUUGUAUGGGCGAACAGGAUUGAUGGGCUAUCAACACGUUCCUUUAAUAGCUUGAACAAUCUUCCUAAUUGAUUCCGUCCAACGGGUAGAUUGGAGGAAUUCCUUUGGUAAGUGCCAACGGGUAUGAUGGCAUAAAGGAGUAUAUAAGGAAGACGAUCUUAGUUGUUCAAGGUGUGCGCGAUAGAAGAAUUCCAAAGUCUGAAGGUCCCUUUUGUUUAGACAAAUCCUUUGAGCGAAUACUUGUAUACAAAAGAGAGUCUAUAUUUGUGAGAAAUCUUGAGGAGGUGUGGUAGAACAUCUACACUGUGGAAUCAAGGCAAAGCUGUGCUGUAACUUCUCUUAUGUUCAUAGUGGAAUCCAGCCAAUAGGCUGUCAGUGAAGAAGAGUGGACGUAGGCUUGAUAUAAGCCGAACCACUAUAAACCGCGUGUUCAAUUUUCUCUUCUCUCAGUCUUACUUUGAUUAACGUUUUCUUUUACUGUCUAGUAUUGUGCAAUCGUUGAAGAAAAAUCUUUUAUAUACCUAUUCACCCCCCUCUAGGUACUCAUACUAGCAAUAUCAAUUGGUAUUAGAGCCUGUGUACUUACUUUAUUUGAAGUGUUUUACUUCGUAGUAAAAGAUCCAUGGCUAGUAUGCUAGCACCAGGGCUGAUGGAAGGGCAAAGCAAUACCAAACCACCCUACUUUGAUGGAAAGGAUUACAACAUUUGGAAGAACAAGAUGAAAGCUUUCCUUCGAUCAAAGGAUCCUCUGGAAUGGGACGUGUAGAAAANNNNNNNNNNNNNNNNNNNNNNNNNNNNNNNNNNNNNNNNNNNNNNNNNNNNNNNNNNNNNNNNNNNNNNNNNNNNNNNNNNNNNNNNNNNNNNNNNNNNUCUAUUGAUGAUGAGGACCAAACAAAGACGUAGUCUGCUUUGAAUGUAAGAAAAAUGGACACAUCAGACCCAACUGUCCUCUUCUGAAGAAGAAGAAAGGAAAAGCUGAAAAAUUUCAAAAAGCUCUCAAAGCCGAAACCUGGAGUGAUACAGAGUGUGAAGAAAGUGAUAAUGAAUAUGCCAAUCUAUGUCUGAUGGCACAAUCAGACUCAGACUCUGGAUCAGACUCAGACAGUGAAUUUGAGGCAAGUAAUUUUAAAAUUCCUAUCAAAGUUUCUAAAUACAUUGAUGAACUGUGUUUUAGUCUUAAGACUUCUCUCAAAAGAAUUUCCGAACUGAAAAAGGAAAACUCAACUCUAAAACAAAAGGAAAAUGUUUUAGUAGAAAGAGUUAAAAGUCUAGACUUGUCUGUUUCCACUCUUAAAGAAAAUGAAGAUAAUCUUUUAAAAGAAAAUGCUAUUUUAAAAACAGACUUAUCAAAUAUUUCAAAGAAAUUUUCAAUAGGGUCUGAAAAACUUGAGAAAAUUCUUUCAGCUCAAAGACCUUACUUCAAUAAGUCCAGUCUAGGUAUGACAGCAGAAACAAUUCCCUUGAUUGAUUUUCCUAAAGUAAAAGAAAGAAUUAAGAAAAGACUCUCGAGAGAGGCUUACAAAAAUCACUUCAAGGAAGUUUUUGUAAAAUCUGUAGGUAGAAAUGCUCUCAGAUGUUCAAAAUGCAACAGUCUGGAUCACUUUGAAAAAGAGUGUCCUAUGGUUUGGAAACCUGUUAAGAAAAUAUGGGCUAAUACUGCUUAUGUUACUAACACCAAAGGACCCAAGAAAGUUUGGGUACCAAAGAAAGCUUGAGACUCUAUUUUAAAUGCAGGUCACCGUCAAGAAAAAGAUAAAGUGGUAUCUUGACAGUGGAUGCUCAAGACACAUGACAAGAGACUCAAAUUGUUUUAUAAAGCUUGCUCAAGUAAAUGGUGGAAAAGUUUCAUUUGGAGGAAACAGCAAAGGAAGUAUUGUGGGAUUUGGAACUGUAAAAAUUGGAAAUCUCACCAUAAGUAAUGUUUCCUUAGUGGAAGGACUCAAUUACAAUCUUCUCAGCAUUAGUCAAAUGUGUGAUACUGGUUUCAAGAUCUUCUUUCAAGAAGGAAUAUGUUCUGGAAUCAGUAAAGACUCUACUCAGUCUUUCAUGGGUCGAAGACAUGGAAACAUCUAUCUUCUGGAUGUGAAACCAAAUGAAUCGCAAUGUUUUAUCUCAAUUCAAGAUGAAGCAAGCUUAUGGCACAAAAAGCUUGGUCAUGUCAACAUGAAGCAAUUAGCCAAAAUCUCAUCAAAACAGCUUGUUCGAGGACUACCCAAAUUACCUUAUCAAAAGACUGAUCCAUGCACUCCAUGUAUUCUGGGAAAACAGGUAAGAAAUUCAUUUAAGCCAAUAAAUCAUGUCUCUACUAAUCAUGUACUACAGUUGCUGCAUAUGGAUCUCUUCGGACCAACCAGAACACAGAGUAUUGGAGGUAAGAAAUAUUGCCUAGUAAUUGUGGACGAUUACUCCCGUUUUACUUGGGUAUAUUUCCUUGCAAGUAAGUCCGAAACCUUCUCGUAUUUUGAAAAAUUUGCUAAAAAGGUUCAAAAUGAAAAAGGAUGUGUCAUCUCAAGUAUAAGAACAGAUCAUUGAGGUGAAUUUGAAAAUCUAGAUUUUAUAAAAUUUUGUGAUGAAUCUGGAUUUAAUCAUGUGUUCUCCUCUCCAUAUACUCCUCAGCAAAAUGGAGUUGUGGAAAAAAAGAACAGAUCUCUUCAAGAAAUGGCUAGAACUCUUUUAAUUGAAAGCAAGAUUUCUUCAUGAUUUUGGGCUGAAGCUGUUUCAACAGCAUGCUAUAUAAUCAAUAGAGUCUUCUUAAGACCUAUUCUAGAGAAAACCCCUUAUGAGUUAUUUAAAGAUAAGAAGCCUAUUGUUUCAUACUUUCAUGUAUUCGGUUACAAAUGUUUUAUAUUGAAAAAUGCAAAAGAUCGAGUUGGUAAGUUUGAAGAAAGAUCAGAUGAAGGUAUCUUCCUUGGAUAUUCUACAUCAAGCAAAGCCUUCAGAGUCUAUAACAAGAAGAGCCAGUCUGUAGAGGAGUCAAUGAAUGUCAAAUUUCAAGACUCAACGCAAGAUGAAUCAAGUCAGACUCAUCAAGAAGAGUCUGAACCUGCUCCAGACCUUCCAAAGCUUACAACUCAAGAAGCAUCUCAGACUCUGGAAAACCAGCAUCAGGAUGUUCGUGAAGAUCCAAACAAAGAGAGAGAUCAUCAACCAGACAAAUCAACAAGUAACUGGAAGCAUAAGUCCAGUCAUCCCAAAGAUCUUAUAAUCGGCGAAAUUAAUGAAGGAAUUCGCACCAGAUCCAAAAGGCGAGAAGAGUCUAGUGUUGUGGCUCUCGUUUCUGAAAUUGAACCAAAGAGCAUAGAAUAAGCUUUAUCUGAUGAAAGCUGGAUUGAAGCUAUGCAAGAAGAGCUCAGACAGUUCAGCAUUAAUGAUGUCUGGGAAUUGACAUCCAAACUAAAAGGUAAAACUGUUAUUGGAGCUAAAUGGGUGUUCAGAAACAAGAUGAAUGAGAAAGGAAAAGUCGUACGAAACAAAGCAAGACUGGUGGCCAAGCGAUAUACGCAAGAAGAAGGAAUAGACUAUGAUGAGACUUACGCUCCAGUAGCAAGGUUAGAAGCUAUUCGACUAUUACUUGCGUUUGCUUGUUAUAAGAAUUUCAGGUUAUUCCAAAUAGACGUCAAAAGCGCCUUCCUAAAUGGUUUUAUCCAUGAGGAAGUUUAUGUGGAACAACCACCAGGGUUUGAAGACCCAAAGAAGCCAGACUCAGUCUUCGGACUGAAAAAGGCUUUGUAUGGUUUAAAGCAAGCACCUCGAGCUUGGUACGACAGAUUGAGUAAGUUUUUAAUACAAAAUGGUUUUGUCAAAGGUAAAGUAGAUACGACUUUAUUUAUCAAAAAGGAAAACAAGAGUUUCUUACUUGUUCAAAUAUAUGUGGAUGACAUUAUUUUCGGAUCCUCUAAUGAAAAUGUGCAAGAAAUUUUCUAAGUCUAUGCAGGAUGAGUUUGAAAUGAGUAUGAUGGGAGAGUUAACAUUCUUUCUUGGUCUUCAAGUAAAACAAUUGAAGGAAGGAACUUUUAUUUAUCAAGAAAAAUAUGUUAAUGAUCUUGUCAAAAGAUUUGGACUGGAAAGGUGCAAAAAGACCGACAUACCGAUGUCAAGUUCUUUGAAGAUAGACAAAGACGAAGAAGGGAAGAAAGUUGAUCAAAAGCUGUACAUGAGCAUCAUUAGUUCACUCCUUUAUCUUACUGCUUCUAGACCUGACAUCUUGUUGAGUGUUUGCAUCUGUGCUAGGUUUCAAUAAGAUCCUAGAGAAUCCCAUCUUAGUGCUGCGAAACGCAUCAUUAAAUACGUUGCUUCAUCAUCAAGCAUCGGUCUUUGGUAUCCUAAGAAGGGAGACUUUAAUCUUCUGGGAUAUUCAGACGCAGAUCUGGCCGGUUGCAGAGUUGAUAGAAAGAGCACUUCAGGAACUUGCCAGUUGCUUGGAAGCAGGACAGUGUCUUGGUUUUCAAGGAAACAAAGCACUGUGUCUCUUUCAACAACAGAAGCAGAGUAUGUAGCCCUGGGAAGCUGCUGUUCGCAAAUUCUAUGGAUAAAACAACAGCUAAGAGACUUUGAAAUUGAAGACUCAUGCACGGAGAUUAAUUGCGACAACACCAGCGCUAUCAACCUCACCAAAAAUCCAAUUCUCCACUCAAGAGCAAAGCAUAUAGAGAUUCGACAUCACUUUAUUAGAGACCAUGUUCAAAAUGGAGAUGUUUCAAUUCAAUUUAUUGACUCAAAGAAUCAACUGGCGGAUAUAUUCACAAAGCCUUUGGAGAAAAAUCAAUUUGAGUCUAUACGUUCCAGACUCAACAUUUUGAGGUAUGAGGAUAUCAAAGUCUAAAGACUUUUUAGACUCAGUCUUACAAGACUUUAUCUGAAAGAUAGUUUUGGUACGACCGUCAGACUGUAAGUCUUUCUCUCUUGAAUUUCAUCUUGAAAAGGUACGAUCGUCAGACUGUGUUUAAAUUGUUGCUAUAUUUAAUUGACGUAAAUAUUACAUCGUUUCAUUUUCAAAAAGGAAGUUAUUUUUGAAAUGGCUAUUUUUGCGGAAAAAGACAGUUAUUUUGAAAAGGCAUUUUUUUUUAUUUCCUCUGUGACGGUUCGUUUAUCCCUCUUUUUAACCGAUCGUGCACUGUCAAUUCCUCUUCACUUUUCUCUCAAAAAACCCUAGAAAGCAUCGAUCCUCCAUUCCCGUUUGUCUUCUUCGUUUAAUCCUCAAAAAGUUGUCAUCUUUCCUGGGAAAGUCAAGCAAGGAAUCUUCCAAAAACUGAGAAAGAUGUCAUCUUCAAGAAAGUCUUCGAGAAUUGCAAGCAGGGGACCACGGCGGAUGAGUGAGGGGCCUACGCACUUCGAUCUUACUGAAGAAGAAGUGACUCCAGAACAGCAAGCGAGCCCACAACAUUCUCAACAGCGUCAUUCUCCUCCAUCUAGUCCUCAAGGCGUUGAUCAUCAACAACAGGAAGAAAUCAUCGAGGAUGCAGACCCUGUAAGAGUUCAAAAGCCCGUUUAUAUUUACCAGUUAUAUCGUGCCUUAAAAGGAAUUCGUACUCCUUUGAACUACAUUGAUGAUUUUCUUAAAGACAAAGGACAUGGGAACGAAUAUAUCUUUCUGCGAAAAAUGGAAAGUUUGGGAAUUGCUCGAAAAGGGGUGGCUGAGGAAACCCUUGCAAAUAUCCCAAGUGAUCCUCGUGACUGGGGGCCGAAUCCUGUAGAUAGGAAUGAUGAUGAUAAAUUAUAUAGUCAAUUUCAACCGAAAAUGGGUGUUGCGGUUGAAAAUCAAGGAAAAAUGGGAGAUUUGUUCAGAUCAAAGGAGCAAAAGGAUCUGUACUCGAAAUUGCUGAAGCGUGGGGUAAUAAACCCUAGGAGUGUGGAUUUUGAUUUUCUGGAUGCUGUGAAUAUGAACUUGAGGGAAAAGUUCAGUUAUCUUCAACUUGAAAAGUUCUGCUCUGACUCUACAGAGGCCUAUGCUGAAUUAACUGCAUAUUUCUAUUCAAAUCUAAGCUUUUUGGAUGCGAAUAGAUUCUCCUUCAGCGUUAAAGACCAAGACUAUGUUGUGGAUAUGAAUAUGUUGGCAGAUGUGUUAGAAGUCGAAAGAGGAAGAUAUCAACCAAUCAAAAUUUCCAUUGCUCGGGCCACACUUGAACUGGUGAAGGACAGGAGAACAGAUGAAAAGAUCACCUACUUAAGGAUGGGUGCAUUCAACAUCUUGCUUCACAAGAUUGUGAUUAAUUGCCUCCGACCGAAAUCAACUUCCAAGACUGAUGUUUCAAGUUCAGAGGCCAAGCUGAUGUAUGCCAUUCUCUUUGGAAAAAGGCUUUCUCUCCCUCACACUGUGAUGUUUCACAUGUAUAGAGCAAUGAUGAAGGACAGAGGUCAACUCCCUUACCCAAGCCUUGUUACGAAGUUAUUCAGACAUCUGAAUAUUCAGCCUCCACAAAUCUUUUGUGUUCGACCAUGCGAUCAUAUGGUGGUAGGACUGAAAAUGGUGACCAAACUGCGUCUGAAGGAACUGAGCAAGGAGUUGGAGAAAUUCAAGGAGAAGACUCCUGCAAAAUCUCAUCAAAUCUCUUCUGCAGCUAAAAGAAAAGGGAAGGAGCCCAUGGUUGCUCCAUCCAAGAGAAGAAGAGCUCUCCUUGUUGAGGAUGAAGAUGAUGAGGAAGACAUCACCAUCUCUGCAUUGGCUUUGAAGAAUUUAAGUCGUCCUGUUCCACAGAAAGAAUCGGAGCAAAUGACGAAAGAAGCAGAGGAGAAGGAAGAAGAAGAAAUAGAAGCUGAAAAAGAAACAGAGGAGGAAAGACCUGAAGAAGAAAGAAGAGAAGAAGGAGAACCUGAAGAACACUCUUCUCCACUUGUAGGCAUGGAAACAGGGGGAGAUCAGGAGAAAGGAGUAAAGUCUUCAUAUCCUGAUGCAAGUGAAGGAGUCAGUCGCUCACCAGCAGACCCAGAGGAUGUUUAUGCAUCUCAGUUUCCAGAAGAAGGUCAUGAAGUUUCAUCGCCAAACCUGCAAGAUUAUGCUGAUCUACCAUCGUCUGCAUUUACUCCAUCAGAUCGAGCUGAAGCAAGUACUCAAACUGAUAAUGGAGCAGAUUUUCGCAGAAUCAUGGAUAUUCUCUUGGAGAUGCAAGGUCAAAUUUAUGCCUUGGGAUGCGAAGUUCAAAGCUUGAAGAAUGAAGGUCAAGCUUCUUCCUGUUCAUUGAAUGAUAAAUUGCAAGCCCUCUCUGUUCAGAAUCAGGCCAAUGCCAAGAGUGAGGAGAUUGCACAUCUAAAGGAAGACUUUAAAAGGCUGGAAGGCAUCGUUCAGUCUAUGGAAGAUUUCCAGCUUGUCCGCGUUCCUAAGCAAUCUUAACUUCAUCUCAUCCUUUUUAAUGAUGACAAAAAGGGGGAGAGAUGCAAGAUUUGAUAAAAAAAACUUUUCAUUCAUUAAACUUUUAAUUGUUUGUUGGAUUGUUUUGUGGUUUGAACUCUGUUUGACUUUGUUUUGUGUCUGGAUGAGAACUGAACUAGACUUGGACUUGACUGCUUCUAUUAACUAAUAUUGAUAUCUUAUGGAUGGCUUCAUCAUAUACUGGACUAACCUAUUUUCUGUGGUUGCAGAUUCUAGUGUUAUUCUGUUAGCCAUUUACCUCUAUAAGAUAUGCAUAUGUGUUUGAGAAAUGUUUUGCAGGUCAAAGAUAUCCAAAUCUGCAGAAAAGUUUUGUCACCAUCAAAAAGGGGGAGAUUGUUGGAGAAAUCUUCUUGAAGUGUUUUGAAGUUGACAAAACGUUUCUAUCAGUCUAGUCUGAAGGCUUGCAGACUCUGCUAUUUAAAGUCUGAAGACCUCCAGACAGCUAGACUCAAGACUCAAAGUCUAUCCUCAUUGACAGUCUCUAAUCCGUUGAAGAAAGGUUAUCCAGAACUUGAUGUUUUGUUAAAGAUUUAACUUUAUCAACUGGAGAAGAUCUCGUGGCUGGAGAAGACAUAACGGAGUCCUUUGAUUGAUCGAAGAUUGACUCGAUAAUUGAAGAUCCGGUGAUUGCCUAAAUAUUAUUGGAAGGUUCUACUUAUGGAAACCGAGAUCCUGAUUGUAUGGGCGAACAGGAUUGAUGGGCUAUUAACACGUUCCUUUAAUAGCUUGAACAAUCUUCCUAAUUAAUUCCGUCCAACGGGUAGAUUGGAGGAAUUCAUUUGGUAAGUGCCAACGGGUAUGAUGGCAUAAAGGAGUAUAUAAGGAAGACGGUCUUAGUUGUUCAAGGUGUGCGCGAUAGAAGAAUUCCAAAGUCUGAAGCUCCUUUUUGUUUAGACAAAUCCUUUGAGCGAAUACUUGUAUACAAAAGAGAGUCUAUAUUUGUGAGAAAUCUUGAGGAGGUGUGGUAGAACAUCUACACUGUGGAAUCAAGGCAAAGCUGUGCUGUAACUUCUCUUUUGUUCAUAGUGGAAUCCAGCCAAUAGGCUGUCAGUGAAGAAGAGUGGACGUAGGCUUGAUAUAAGCCGAACCACUAUAAACCGCGUGUUCAAUUUUCUCUUCUCUCGGUCUUACUUUGAUUAACGUUUUCUUCUACUGUCUAGUAUUGUGCAAUCGUUGAAGAAAAAUCUUUUAUAUACCUAUUCACCCCCCUCUAGGUACUCAUACUAGCAAUAUCACGAGUGUCUCGUGCACUACUCUAACAUAUCAUUCUUCUCUAGCAUGGAGACAACACCAAUUAUUUUCAUUGUCAAACCUGCGGACGUUUCAGUUACCUUCAACUAGAUUGUGGGGCAAACUUUCGAUAAGGAGAAGGACUUUGAGGUGGAAGUGUUGGAUUUGGCGAGGAAUGUCACGGACUUGGCGAUCUCCUCAGAAAGCUUAUAUGCGACGAUAAACCUUAAUGUCUCAAGUUCAGUGACCCUGCAUGAGCUUGUGCAGUGCACCCCGACAUAUCAAAGUUACAUUGUAAGAGUUGCUUGCUUUCCGCCAUCAAAGAGUUUCCUACCGUUCUUAAUUAUAAAAGGGGAGGUGGGAGAAUUUUUCAGCCAAGUUGUAAUCUGCGGUACAAAAUGUAUCGUUCUGAUCAGGCACCAACUAACAAAACCCACACUGAGUCCGGCAGUAAAGGGAUGAGUUAUAUAAUACUCAAAAUGUGCACUCAAUUUGUCACGGUAAACGUAUAAUGGUACCAUUCUGUUGUUUCUAAUUCUCAAUAUAAGCUGUUUUGUGUAUCACAUUGCACUUGACUUGCUUUUACUAUCUAAACUAUGAUCAUUCUCUCCUGCUUUCAGCAAGUUCUCGGUACUAUUUACACUAGGUGAAAAUAAAAAGUCUACGGAUUUGAGGUUGUUUAGAUGCAAGGAAUUUCUCUUUCUUGACAGGGGUCAAACGAAAUCCAUGGAUUACAAUAGUUAGCUCAGUAACUGGAUCGGGGUUACUAUUAAUUAUCGUGAGUUCAUGUAUUUUUUCAAAGAGGACAAAGAGAUUAAAGAAAGGUAUAAGUGAAUUCAUCGUGCUUGCCAUUAGAAUGAUCAUCUUCUAACCUUUACCUAACGAGAGUAAACUCUUGGACUCUCAGAAAAGGAAAACAGCCAAGAGGUUCUGUUACUUCAUCUGAGACAAGAAAUUGGAGAAGAGUUUUCAAAGGAAAACUCUCGUGGAGAAAAGCCAGUGGCUUCUCAACAAUUAUCUCUAAUGCGAUUAGACAUCAUACGCACGAACACAGGAAACUUCUCCAAUGAAUGUAAACUUGGGGAAGGCGGGUUUGGCCCUGUGUACAAGGUAAGCAAUUCAGUGACUCAACACGUAUUUACGAGGAAAUUGAGAAAAUCUUCUAAUGGUAGCAAACUGGCAGAGUCAUUAUCCAUAGCAUGAACUGAAUCGGAUUUGGUUAGCAUUAGUAAUUCUCAGAUAGGGAUCUCACUACUGACUUUAAGCUAUUUCAGGGCACAUUGGCAGAUGGAAAAGAAAUUGCAGUUAAGAGGCUUUCGAGAACCUCAGGCCAAGGACUCAUCGAGUUGAAGAACGAAGUCAUCUUGAUUGCCAGACUACAACACAGGAACCUCGUCCGAUUGUUGGGAUGCUACUUGGAAGAAGAAGAAAAACUCUUGAUAUAUGAAUACUUGCCCAACAGAAGCCUGGAUGUCUUCCUUUUUGGUUUGAGCUUUAGCAGAUCCAAUGAAUUUUUGAGCUAGUUAAUUUUAGUUUUAUAAAGUUAAGUUCCAUCUGAGUCUCUCAUCUUUGACAGAUUCGAAUAUAGGGCAAUAUCUAGAUUGGAAGCUACGCAUGAACAUUGCCUGUGGAAUAGCUCGGGGACUUCUCUGUCUGGAUGAGGAUUCUCACUUGAGAAUUAUCCACCGAGAUCUGAAAGCUAGCAAUAUUUUGCUAGAUGGUGAGAUGAAUCCAAAAAUAUCAGGUUUCGGAAUGGCAAGGAUCUUCAAUGUAAAUCAAGACAAGGCGAACACAAACAGGGUUGUUGGAACCUAAUAAGUGCCUCAAUAUCUUUGUAUGUCCAUUAAAUGUUCAAAUGAUCACUAGGCCAACAAAGGACUCUAAUGAUCAACUCAACAACACCAGAUUGAGCACAUAAUAUUUCAGAAGUUCCAUAUAGAAAAUUCCUUUUUUUUGCUUCUUACUUCCAACUAAUUGCUCUUCAUCACAUAAAUCUGGUUAGUGGAUAUAUGGCACCAGAGUAUGCGAUGGAAGGACUCUUUUCUGUGAAAUCAGAUCUCUUUAGUUUUGGAGUUCUCUUGCUAGAGAUAGUAAGUGGGCACAAGAAUAAUGGUUUUCAUCUUCAAGAGGAGGGUGAAAGCCUUCUCACUUUUGUAUGUUCCUAAUCACCAUCCUAGUUUAAUACGAAAUGAAAGAUUUUCGUGCAGCUACCCCUGUUUAUUUUUCUUGAUAUUUGACAAGCAUGGAAGUUGUGGUCCGAAGGUCGAGCGUUGGAACUUAUCGAUCAGUUGAUCAAUGAGUCAUGUGAUGAAAUUGAAGUGCUGAAAUGCGUACAUGUUGGUCUAUUGUGCGUUCAAGAAGACCCGGCGGAUUGACCGACUAUGUUACUCGUGGUCCAUAAUUUAGGAGGCGAUACUAUAACACUCAGCCAACCAUCACAGCCUGCAUUCUCAGUUGGGAGAGAUGCGAAGAAACUUGAUCGUGGCAUGCCCACUCAUGGAGCCUCAACUAUUAAUGGAGUAACCCUUUCGGUUGUUGUGGCUAGGUGACCAAGUAUUAUACAAUGGAAAAGCUGUUAGUUAGAUAGCAUUAUGAUAUUUAUUUUAUCUUUUAGGAUUGUGCAUGUAUCUCCAUUGUAAUAUAUUUAGAUCAUCCUACUUUCUAUAUUUGUCAUGUAAAGCCGGCUUAUGUUCUCUUCUUUAUAUAUACAAAUAUACAUAAACUAAAAUAUUCUCCCUUUUGCAUAUUUCUUAUCUUUUUAUCUUGGGAUAAGUGUUCCAAAAGUCCUACAACUUGUCACGAAAAUGCAUUUCAAUCCUAAAACUUGCAAAAAGUGCUUUUAAGUCCUAAAACUUGUCAAAUUGUUUCAAACGAGUCCUAAGAUCGACGCCGUUAGUCUUUUCCGUUAAAAAUGCUGACGCGGCAUUUUAAAUAAUUUUUUACUUUCCAGGUGUAUUUUUAAUUAAUUUUUAUCCAUUUAAAAAAUAGAUUUAAAAACUAAAAAAAUUAAAUUUAUUCUUAUCCUAUUUUCAACAAAAACUAAAAAGAAAAGUUAAAAAAUUUAUUUUUAAAAUUAUUUAAAAAAAAUUACCGCGACUCUUCUCCCCCGCCACCCGUCGCCGGAGGGGCCAGGCGACGGUCGCCGACCCUGGGCGGGGGUGGCCGGGCCGCGCCGGCCCCAGGCUAGGGCCGACGAGGCCUCGCUUAGGGUAGGCUACGACUCACCCAGGGGGGGCGAUAGCAAACUGCCAAGAGUUUUUAAAUUAUAUUUGUCCAUUAGUAUCAUUUUCCCCCUUGUGCCACGAAGAUGGAUGACAUCAUCUAUAUUGUGCGUCCAUCUGGCUGAGCAAACUUACGUUGACCAAGGAAGCUUCUUAUUUGGGGGUAGGAAUCUGAAUGAGUCGUUAACCGGUAGGGAAACAAGUAGGAACCUGUGGCCNNNNNNNNNNNNNNNNNNNNNNNNNNNNNNNNNNNNNNNNNNNNNNNNNNNNNNNNNNNNNNNNNNNNNNNNNNNNNNNNNNNNNNNNNNNNNNNNNNNNGAGUGGUAAUCCAAGAAUUUUUCCUUAUAUAGCCUCAUUAAUUUAUUGCAUAAGUGUCAAUCAUUUCAAUAAAGUUAGUAUCGUCCUAAAUUAAGAUCCCAAUCCAUAUUGAGCUAGUAGCGCGGUGAUAAAUUUGCAAGGAGAAGGAGGCGGGGAGGGGAGGAUGAAAGUUUUCAUGUCUCUCUUAGAAUUGAUGGGAGACGUGCCUUUAUAACUGCCAGAUGUGUAUCCAUAAAAUUUCAUACCCCAUCUUCUGCUUGUCUCUUCAAUGAUAAGUUAUAUCUAUCCUCGCCCCUCCAGCAAUGGGCGCGGCGGCGGCGGGGAGAGGAGCCGCUGUUUUUUUUUUAAUAUAUAUUUUAACUUUUUUUUUUAAGUUUUGGUAAAAAUAAGAUAAAAUGAAUAAAUUUGAUUUUUUUAGUUUUUAAAUCUAAUUUAAAAAUAAUAAUUAAAAAAUUCACGUGGAAAAUAAAAAAAAUAUAUUUAAAAUGUCACGUCAGCAUAUUUAACGGAAAAGGUAACGGCGUCGAUCUUAUGACUCGUUUGAAACAAUUUGACAAGUUUUAGGACUUAAAUGCACUUUUUGCAAGUUUUAGGACUGAAACGCAUUUUCAUAACAAGUUGUGGGACUUCUGGAACACUUAUCCCUUUUAUCUUAGUGUUAGAGCUAGACGGUCUUAAGCAAAUUUUGAGUGCUUGAGUGCGACACACCCGACUGCACACCUGGAGCACACCUUCACAUCUUGUAUCAUGUGAUCCAUUUUUGUUAUAAUUAGUAAUGCCCCUUUCUCAAUGUCGAUUCUUAACAUUUUCGUCACGUAUGCAUAAACGUUAGCCUAUUGCUGUCUAACCUACACACAUCCGUCAAUUCUCUCUUCAGCACAUGAAAUCACCUCUUUGGAUCUUUACUCCCAACGCCAUUUGACUUCCUUUUUGUCACUUUGAGUUUGAGUGUUUGUUUAAGAUAAUUAAGAUUUUUACCUUGAUCCUCCAUUAUUCAGGAUUGUGAAUAUGUAUGUGACAACCUGAUCCACAUACAGCCGCAUGACAACCCUUCCUCAACACUACUUUCUCUUUGGGUCAUUCAAUUGCGACGUCCCAGGAAGCAUCGUCGACCCAAAUCAUAAUAAUAUUAAAACACACAAGCAGAAAUGUUAACAAAUCUCCAACCAUCAAAUAGCGAGGAUAGUUAAAAACAUAUUCAUAUAUAUAUAUAUAUAUAAGAGUGUUACGAGUCAACGUCUCAUACAACACGAGUUCAGGGGUUAAUCAACUAGUUUCUUCACCUCUGACACGCCUUACCGCUUCGCCACAACCUCUUCCAGAAAGGGCCCUUGGGCGUAUACCUACGCCUCUAAUACUACGAGGGUGAUUCAAAAAGUGCUAACACCCACAUCUACCUAAGCCCCAAUGUCCUCCGGGGUCCAGGCCUCCCCAUCGGGAACAUCCCAAUCCUUGGCAUCCUAGCUAAUGUCGCCCGCGGGAUAGGCCCAUAGCUCUUGCCGCCUACCCAAAAGUAGCAAGCCACAGAUUGGUGUGGCACGAGGUUAAGUAAACCCUCAUUGACCAAAAUUGUCGUGACAUAUCACCUAUAGUGCGCAUUGGCCGCUCCCACUACCAGAUGGUCUGUCACCUCCUAACUAUACUCGACAGGGAGGCCAAAACGAAUCUAACAAAAUUGUUUAGUCAUUCUUAGAACCUGAAAACAUUUCAACAAACAAAUAUGAGAUAAACUCAAUAGUGAACUUCCUAGACAUGGAAAUAUCUAGGAAGAGCCCUAAACAUGCAAAUAUCUAUCAAUGGCAAAACAUGGCAACACACUUCUCACUUUACUCUUAUCGAUCUCAUAACAACUUGUCUACCAUACAAGGCCAUCAAAGUAGAUGCAUAGACAAUUUCAUAACAUAACCUUCAUGUUCUCGAGCCAAACAUACGAAUGCGCACUAUGGUUCAAAUCAUGCGCACAUGCCAUGUAAUAAUCCGAACUUGAACACAUAUGAAUCGCAUGCACUUUCCAUACAAAAAUGUGCAGAUUAUUAUGGCCACUCAAAACCCAAAGCCAAUCCCAAGGUUCACAAAUCAUCUGGAAUAACUGGGCAUGGUCUUGCCCCAUUGAGCACAGCAUCCCGUGGACUUGGGGGCAUUCCUAUAAGGAGCUUCAUUCCAAAAUUCAUCCACGAAUGGUAUCCUAUUGACUUGGGGGCAUUCGAUCUUAAUCAGGCAUCGUCCUGCGUAAAACACCUCAAGAUGAGUUCACACAUUGCGUAAAACGCAUCAGGGUCUUAGGUGAUCACACAGGCAUACCAUCACAUACUCCAUUUCUUGUCUUUAUCAUUUAACCCGUGUGAUGCUCAUGCAAUAUGCAACUUCACAUGUCAAACGUUCCACACACAUACAUCAAUUAUCUCACACACAUAUGGACCAUUCACUUCCUAAACUCAUGACACAUAAUCUGCAUAUCAUGUUUAACCACUAAUUCACAUGGCACGUAUUCCAUUUAUAAUUUCUAAGCAUCAAUCCACAUGGAAAAUCAUCCAAAUAACAUGUUUAACCACUAAAAUACAUGGCACAUUAUUCAAAUAAUAUGUUUAACCACUUAAACACAUGGCAUGUCAUUCAAAUAACAUGUUUAACCACGAAAACACAUGGCACAUCAUUCAAUUAACAUGGAUAACCACUAAAACACAUGGCACAUAACCUAAAUAACAUGUUUAACCACUAAACUACAUGUCAUAUAACCGAAAUAAUAUGUUUAACCACUAAACCACAUGUCACAUAAUCCAAACAACAUGUUUAACCCCUAAACCACAUGUCACAUAAUCCAAAUAACAUGGAUAGCCACUAAACCACAUGUCGCAUAACCCAAAUAACAUGUUCAACCACAAAACCACAUGUCACAUAAUUCAAACAACAUGUUUAGCCACAAAACCACAUGGCACAUCACUUAAAUAACAUAGAUUACUACUAAUUCACCCUAAACUACUCCCUAAACGCAACGAAAGCCCUAAUCAAAUGCUAAAAAGCCACUCACGAAUGACUCAGUCUCCCAAACAUGCUAGGGAAAAUGACUACAAGGCCGGACAACAGCUGGCCUCACGUCCUCCGCGCGUAGGUGAGUUGGACAACAGCUGAACAACAAUCUAGCGAUUGCACGUUGGGGGUUUGAUGGGUGGUUGCCGGCAAGGAAAACAAGGGGAAAAUGGAAGAAACAAGCUUGAAAUGGUGAUGAAAAUGGCUUGGAGGGUUUGGCUACUUAAAGUGAGGGAGAGAAAGGUGAGUUUGAGAGUUCAAGUGAGAAAAAUGAAAGUGAAAGUGAGAGAGAAAGGGGUGGCCAGCGGUGAGGGGAGGGAAAGGAAGAGAGGGGAAAGAGAAAGGACAUUCUAUCUCCAUAAAUGUCCAUCCCAUCCUAUAAUCUUUAACCUACUAAGCCUAGAGUUCUUUUAAUGAGGAAGUGACAACUUGAAGAGAGAACAAAGUGAGAGUGAGGGGGAGAUAGGUGGCCGGCAGUCUUGAGGGAGAGGGAGGAGAGAGACAAGAAGAAAUCUUGCUCAUAAAUGCCCAUCACUUCCCUUGACUCUUGUCCAUCAAGCUUGCCUAAAGAAGAAGCAAGAUCUAGCAUUAAAUGGGAGGAUUUGCACUCAAGUGACUACGAUUGGACUAGACUAGGUAGCCCUUUUCCCUCCGCUCUGCCGCCCCUUCUUUGCCAUUUUUCCAUUUUUAUCCUUUUGUCUUUAGUCCAAUAGGAGGGCAUUUCCGUCACUUCACCAAGAUCUCGCAUUAUUCAUGUCUUUUUGUGCAUUUAAUGUCAAGAUUGUAUCAAAAAGGGCUUGAUGGGCUUUGAGGGGCCCAUGGGCCUCCCUUGGUUGCCCACCCCUUGGGUGUGUGGGUCUUGGGUUGCCCACUUAGGCUCAAGCCCAAUAGGUCAUCAUCCCUAACCCGUUUCCACUUUUUCUACACUCAUAUGUCCUUGCUGAUGAAAAACCAAGGUUUCGCCCUUAAAUGGUCUUUUUUGAUGCCCUCAUGGCUUAUCAAUCCUCAAGACACUCUCGUCUGACGAUCACUUACCAAAAUAAUUUCAUUCUGAAAAACCGGGUCGGAACGAGGAUGUCACAACUUUUCCCCCCUCAAAAAAAUUUCGUCCCUGAAAUUUGUAGGACCAACCACUUCCUCAAAUAGAUGGGAGUAUUGGCUCCUCAUAAUGUCCUCACUUUCCCAUGUCACUGCCUCGGUGCCGUGAUACUGCCAGACAUUUUUGACCAAGCGAAUGACUUUGUUGCACAACACCCUUUCUUUUCUAUGCACGACUCGCAUUGGCUGCUCGACAUAAGUCAAUUUGUCGUCCACCUCGAUCUCUUCAUAGCUUAGCACAUGUGUCAGGUUUGAUUCAUACUUUCUCAACAUGGAAACGUGGAAGAUUUGGUAGUACUGCCAAUUGGCAAGCUAAAGUUCCAAUUCUUUCCAAAAUUUCAAAAGGUCCUACAAAUCUGGGGCUUAGCUUCCCUUUAUUGCCAAAACAAGACAUACCUCUCCUUGACGACAGUUUAAGGAACACGUGAUCUUCUGGCGACUUUGGGCUGUCUUUAACCUUUCUCAAAUGAUCUAGAUUGCAUCCACAGAUUGUUGCACAAGCUCAAGGCCCAUAAUUUCCUUUCUCCGACCUCAUCCCAACAGACGAGCGUUCUACAUGCAUGUCCAUACAAUGCCUCAAACGGUGCCGUUCCGAUGCUCAGUUGAUAAUUGUUGUUAUAUGCGAAUUUGACGAGGUGGAGUUGGUCUUCCAUUCUCCUUUGAAAUCUACGACACAUGAUAUCAUUGGUGCCAUAUGCUACCCUAUUCGAUGUAGUCCAUGUUUAUGAUGAUUCACUAUAUUUGUGCUAUGUUCACUAAUGAGCAAAGUUAGGAUCUUAUUGCUUAAUGCCAUGCUUUAUCCUUUAUUGGGCAUUGUUGCUCACCCCUUAUUUUUUCUCUUAGAUCAUUAGCUAUGGAUGUGACACCCUUGAUGACUUAUGGCACGGCUAAGUGGGUAGAUGGCAUGUAUGGGAACUUUGAGGAUGGAGAUUCUGGUCUUGUUUUGACUCAUUAUGUGUGUAUUGUCUGCAUAGAUGAUGGACGCCCUAAUCAUUUCCCACUGCAAUUUGGGUUCAUGUAACUUAGCGUGAAUGGGAGGUUGUUUGGCCCCAUCUGUUGGUGAUGUUUUGUGCAUGGAGUAGGAGACACGCAUGGUAUGGAGGGAUGUAGUGAAGGAGGAAAAUACCGAGUAGAGGAGUUAGACAACUUUUUGGCCUCUCCCAGGUAUUUUGCUUGGGUCAUCUUGAUGAGUAUUUUUCUAUGUUUGUAAUUGUCAAGAUGUCAUUUUUCUCUUGUAAUCCUGACUUAUGAUGAAUGAAAUGGAAGCAUGUUGUUAUGGAAUUUGUUCCUAAGUAAAAUUUUCAUAUUAAAAAUGUAUACUCUUCCACUUGUGUAAUAAUAAUGAAAGAUUAUAGUCGAGGGUCUAAGGUGACGGCCUGGGACAUCACAGUUACAUUGGUAUCAGAGCUAUAGGUUAACCAUGGAGUGAUAAGGUGCGCUAGUGGUGGAAGAAGGUAGGACGCGCGCGCUAAAACACUGAUCGCUUGUGCUUGUUGUAUUGCAAUUUUGUAAAGAACAAGUAACCUCGGUUACUCAUAGGGUAUUAGUAACUUAUGUUACUUAUUAGUUGGUUAGGGUAUUCAAUCACUUAAUAACUAGUGACUGAUUAGUAGAAUGGCUGGUGCUUCAAGAGGGAGAGGAACCGGUAGAAGGACAGCCACAAGUGAAUCCCUUAUAAGGACAAAGGCUAGAUUGGAGGGGAUUUUGCAAGCUCUUGCUAAUGUAGAAGCCCUGACGGAGAGACAAACUCAAUAACAACAGCAGGGCGGUGAAUGCCAAAUGCAAGGGUUGGUUGAACCAUCAAAAUUUGCUAGUUUGGGAGACCCUUCGGAGGCUGAGGUAUGGAUAGAUGAGAUGGAAAAGAGUUUUACAUUGUUGAAUUGCACAGAUGUGGAAAAACUAUCCUUGGCAAAGUACCAACUUAUGGGAAAUGCUUACCAUUGGUUGAAGGCGAUGAAGGGAACGGUAUUCCCCGAAGGUGCUGAGGUGACUUAGGCUAGUUUUGUUUGGGCUUUUUUUGGAAAGCACUUUUCUGAUUGUGCUAGAGACAAGAAGGUGAAGUUUAUGCAGCUAACCCAAAAUAACCUAACGGUGGAUCAGUAUGAGGCAAGGUUUGUUGAACUCUCUAGGUUUGCUCCCAAGUUAGAUGAGGACGGGGAGGAUAAAGCCAAGAGAUUUUUGAAUGGUAUGAGACUUGACAUUCGUAGGCAUCUAGUGCCUCCGAACUUGAAAUAUUAUCAUGAAUUGUACGAGCGUGCUCAAUUAGUGGAAUAGGAGCUUGUGACGAAAGGGACCCUAGUAACCCAUCAGGCGAAACCAAUCCAUCAGGCUGGUCAGAGCAAUUUCCACUAUGACAAGACACUCUUUCAAGCUAGGCAACCAUCGUUCUCAUUGACUAAGAAAAGUUGGACUGGAGGACCUAGGAAGGCAUGGAAUAGUUAGUCAUCGAGGUGACCGCGAAGCCAGAGUUCUACUUGUCUGGUGUGUGGUGGAUCGCAUGUGAGCAUGUUGUGCCAAUUUAUGAAGGCAUAUUUUGGUUGUGGACAACCAAAUCACUUGGUUAAAGACUAUCCACAAAGGAGCACCCAGUAGCAACAGCCGCCACAAUCAUCAGUUGCAUCAAUGUAACAAGGAAAUAACCGCAGGUCGCUAGCUCAAGAAAGAGUCUAUGCAAUUACACAUAAUGAAGUUGAGGCCUCUAAGACAGUCAUUAUAGGUAUUAUUUCCUUGUCUAACCAAAAUGCUUAUGCUUUAUUCAAUACUAGAGCUACACACUCGUUUAUGUCUACUUAGUUUGUGCAAUUAAUUAGGAUGAGACUUAGGGAGAUGGAAGUACCCCUUAAUAUCUCCACAUUGUUAAGAGACAUAGUUUUAUCUACCCUAGUGUGUAAGGACUGUAGGAUCUUUAUAGUAGGACAAAGUUUUCCUUCAAAUUUGGUGUGUUAACUAUCUAUGAUUUUGAUGUGAUCUUGGGGAUGGAUUGGCUUCAUAAGUACCGAGCUAAUAUGGAUUGUUAUAGGAAGAUCAUUCAGUUUAAUCCUCUUGAUCGCCCUAGUUUUGAAUUUUUAUGGAGAUAGAGCGACUCCUUCCUUACCACUCAUUACUACACUUGAGGCUCAUCGACUCCUUGAGAAUGGAUGUGAGGGUUAUCUAGCUUGUGUGAAAAAUCAAGAUAGAGAAGGAGUAAAGCUAGAAGAGAUUUCGGUAGUUCGGGAGUUUCUCAAUGUUUUCCUAAGGAGUUACCAAGCCUACCCCCAGAACAAGAAGUUGAGAUCGUCAUUGAAGUGGCACCUGGUACAAAACCUAUAUCGAAGGCCUCAUAUCAAAUGGCGCUAAGUGAGUUGAAGGAACUAAAUUUGCAACUACAAGAGUUGCUUGACAAUGGGUUUGUUAUGCCAAGUGCAUCACCUUGGGGUGCGCCAAUAUUGUUCAUGAAAAAGAGGGAUGGAUCCUUAUGCCUAUGUAUAGAUUACAGGUAGCUGAAUCAAGUAACAAUUAAGAAUAAAUAUCUGUUGCCUAGGACCGAUGACCUAUUUGAUCAGUUGCAAGGAGCGUCAAUGUUUUCUAAAGUCAAUCUAAGAUCAGGGUACCAUCAACUAAGAAUCAAGAAGGAGGAUGUUCCUAAGAUGGCCUUUCGAACUAGAUAUGGACAUUACGAGUUCUUAGUUAUGCCCUUUGGAUUGACUAACGCACCAACUGCUUUUAUGGAUUUAAUGAACAGAAUAUUCAAGCCGUUCUUGGAUUGAUUCGUGAUAGUUUUCAUAGAUGAUAUCCUAGUGUGUUCAAAAGGGCGAGAAGAUCAUGGGGAGCACUUGAGGAUUGUGUUGUAAACUCUUAGAGAACAUCAGUUGUACGUCAAAUUCAGCAAAUGUGAAUUUUGGCUAGACAAAGAUAUAUUCUUAGGUCAUAUGGUGACUAGAAAAGGGAUAUCGGUAGACCGAGAAAAGGUCGAAGCCGUUCUAAAUUGGCCAAGAUUGAUGAUGGUAACCAAGAUUCGAAGUUUCCUGGGUUUGGUGGGAUACUAUAGGAGAUUCGUGGAAAGAUUUGCAUGGAUUGCAGGGCCGUUGACUCAAUUAAUUUGGAAGAACUUGAAGUUUGAAUGGACGGAGGAGUGUGAGCAAAGUUUCCAAUAACUCAAGAGGAGGCUAAACACGGCACCUAUCUCAACAAUACCUUCAGGACCCAAAGGAGACGCAUUCAUAGAAGCUGAGGUUGGAUUCUCCUUAAGAUUUGUUUUACCGGACCUCCUGCAUUUGCUAUUUUUGUGGGUUGAAAUGUGCUGCGAAUUUAAGGUUGCUUUCUUCUUGAAAAAUGUUUUAAACAUCUUCAUUUAUGACAUAUAUUUUAUUUAAGAUUUUAUGGAUUUGAAGGACUGAUUUUUCAGCUUCGUUGCAUGCAAAUUAGUAUCUUGUUUUAUGCUGGAAUCCGUGACCUUUUGGUGUUCAACAAAUUUUUAUCAACUUUUGUGGUUUGAUUUUUAAAAUGGUUCACAAAAUUUGUUCAGCGCAUCUUGAAGUUUAACAUAGUCAAAUUCUAUAGCAAAUGGCGGAAUUUUUAAUUUCAAACCAAGCUGGAUUUGAAAACGUGAUUUUUGGACAUGAGAACAGUUUUGGUGAUUGUUUUGUGCGAUUUACUUCUCUUAUUCUAGAAAGAACUGGGUUAAACAUUUUUCAUGAAAAUUAUUUUUUUAAGUGUUCUUUAUAAUAUAUUUAAAUUUAAGUAUUUUCUGAACUCCUUUGAUUAUGUUUCCGGAUUUAAUCAUAGAGCCACGCAUGAGGACUUGGUUUCUGCCGGUGAGGGCUAGUUGUGGUCUUGUUGCUAAUUUUGAUGUUUUACUUGCUAGAAAAUGCAUAUUUUGUGAUUGUGGAUGAGUUUGGCAUGCUGAGAACCAAUGCUUGAUGGGUGUGCAUGAGUAGUGUUCAUUGUGUGUGCAAAAUGAUGUGAAAUAGGCAUGGAGGUGGUGUGAAGGGCAAUUCUGUUUUAUGCAUGCUAAUGCAUUGUGAUCUUGGCAGUAUGGUGGUUUAUGUGUUUGUUGGUGGUGUCAAAAGUGUGCCCUAAUGAAAGAUUGUGAUGUGGUGAAAUGUGUGAAUGAAUCAAAUUAAGAGACAUUCCAUCGGCCAACAUCCCGAUGAUGCCCCCCAAGGAGUGGGGAUGCCCCAAACUGUGUGGUCUAGGAUGCCUCAGUUCAAGUCACAGGGCCAGCGACCUUUGGACACCAGGAUGCCUCGAAGGGAGAUGCCUAGGGCCAACGUCCCCUGGAAGUCCGGCUAGCAACCAAGAAGUGACUCGAAUGGAUCCAACCAGCGUCUUUGGUUAAAUCCGAUUCGAGGUGGAUAUGAAAUGUUCUCACAUUGAAAUUAAUUAAUAAGGCAUGUGAGUACGUGUGAUGAUGUAGUUGUGUGCCAUGUGAUGCAUGAAUGAAUUCGUGUGCACCGUGUGACACAUGAUUAGAGUUCGUAUAUGCCUUGUGGUGCGAUCUUCAUGCAUUUUACUCAUUAUAGCUGUGAUAUCCUAGAUUUUCAGUCAUAUUUUCAAUUUAAUAAAUCGGGCUUUUCAUCGACGCGCCUAUAGUGCUAUUCUCAGAGCUGAUCACUCCUGAGAUAACUAGACUAUCUGGGGAAAUUAUUAAGAGAUUUUAAUAUAAUAAACUUGAGAAUUCAACUAGGAAUCGACUAAUCGACCGUGCUCAUCUACAGAGAUCAUUACAGCACGGCAAAGAUCGAUUAGAGAUCAAAGAUAAGUCGGUUCGACUGAGAUGUGUGGUUAAACGUUGAUGGUUCCACUAAAUUGCAAAUUCUUGUCAAUCGGUACUAGAUUGAUUUUUCUAUCGUUUUGGUACCUUGUGUCUGUAUUUGAAAACUCAAGAUUUUCACGAGCACCGGGAGUCUCCAAUGUGUCGAACAGGUUCAUUGUGGCUUGAAGAAAAUCGACCACAAGCCAUUUGCACUAAAAAUUUCUAAAAGUUACUAGGUAGCCUAGGUAACGCUAAAAUCACGCCAAAUCAAAAUUAACCGCAAAUUUAAAUCCAAUUUUAGAAAUUGAAAGUUCUUUCAUGUCACAAGUCAUUUUAAGAACGUCGACUCAGUUUUUGAAGAUUUUUCUACAAAUCGAGAUUUUUGGCGAAAAGUUGACAUAGGGUUGUUUUUAUCCAGAAAAUUCAAAUGACCAUUUUUUUACCUCGCAAUUGGGAUACAAGUAGGUUCUAUUGGUAAGGAAAAAUACCAAUUUGAUCGAAAACUUGAUAAUGGAAUUUAUAGAGGCCAAAUUGAGUUGAUUCAAGAUGAAAUUGAAGUCCAAUUUGGGGAAAAUCCAAUCAAAAUUCGUAGCCUCCCCUUGGACACAACCUUUGGACCACCUCUAAGUCUUCUAGAGGAAGUUUGGCUGAGGAAGCCAGCUUGCAAGUGGGACCAAGCUAAGGGAGACAAGAGGAUAGAGAUAGGCCAAGAGGGACCCUCCACCAGCCAAAGCUGUCCCCUUCCCUCUAUCCUUGCUGCCGUCAACCCUCUCCCUCCAUUCCAACUCCUUGAAGCUUAAAAAAUUAUAGAAAACUGAGCUUCAAUCCCCCUUUGCCGUUGCAACCACCCGUCAAGCCGUCGAAUUGCCCCUCACAGCCGCUUGCUCGCUCGCACGCCACUUGCGAUUGUCUAGCCUACCCACGUCUCCAGUCGCUCAUUUCGCUACUGCUCGCAACUGUCCGAUGUCACUAGGACGUCGUGCGUCGCCGUUGUAGUCACCGAAGAUGCCGUCUACCCGCCUACACACCCAUUCAAGCUGUUACAGUCCCCAUUGAUCGUCCUCACCGCUUCAAGCCGUCGAAGCAGCUUCUUUGGCUCAACCACAAAACCGAACGGAGUGGGUCUCGCUAGCAUUGUUUGGCCCGUUUUGGUGCCCUUCCGGAACUCGAAAGGCGCACCCGUUUUGGAAUUUAUUGGUCCUCUCUGUCUCGCCGUCGUUUUGGUUCAAUCGGUUCGUUAAUCAAGUGAGUUUAACUCACUAAUCCUUGCUUAGUAAGUUAAUGAUACAUAAUGGUUGAUUAGUUUAAGUUAAUUAGGGAUUAUGUGGUUAGUUAGAACGGAUUAGUAAUUUAAUCGAUCGUUAUUGCAUGUUAGGUGGUUAGAGUAGUGUAAUUAGCAAGUAUAUAAGCUCUAGUAUUUAUCUAGAUAGGUUCAGAAAUAUUCUGAACUCGAAUCGGUAUUAAAUUAGGCUUUUCCGGCCUAAGUGUGCAUUUUUGCUAUUUAUUGGUAGUUAUUAAUUAUUUUCCGUAAUUAUUUAAUUAAUUACUAUUUUUCGAAAAUUAGAUCGGGAUAGCCGGUGACCGGAAUUUUAUGCUAAUCACAGUGGUGUGAUUUGUUUAAUUAAGUGAGUGCUAUCUUGUGCAAUUUGAGCGUGAUUUGUAAUUUUGGGGUAUUUAUCCCAAAAUUUUAUAUUUUAGUAUUUAAUUAGAAAAUACCGGUGUCGGUUUACAACGCCAAAAAUGUGUUUAUGGACUAUGAAAAUUAGUGGGAUUUUCAAAUGGGAAAAUAUUGUAUUUUGGCUAAGGCCGACCGUGUACCCACACACGAUUAUAUUUAUCGAGUAUGAUAAAAAUGGUGGCAUUCUCAGUUGGUGAGAACAAGUAUACUAUAUCAGCCUACGAGUGUCGAUAUAUCAGCUUUGGGUAAGCAGUAUAUUUUAUAGCUUAGGGUGAGCAUCAUAGGUAUACUAUAUCAGCCUACGGGCGUUGAUAUAUCAAUUUUGGGCGAAUAGUAUACCGGUAUACUAUAUCAGUCUACGGACCUUGAUAUAUCAUCUUUGGAUGAGUAGUAUACUUUAGCGGCUUUUGGUGAGCAUUGAGAGUAUACUAUAUUAGUCUACGGACCUUGAUAUAUCAGUUUUGGGUGAGCAGUAUACUCUAUUAUUAGCUUUGGAUGUGCUAUACUAUCUAUCUUCAGCUUUUGAUGAGCAAUCCUCGAUGAGAUUGAACUUUAUAGAUAGUAUUGAUUGGAUUGACCAAGUAAUGGUCAUGAUGACAUGUAAUCGACUGAGUCGAUUGAUCGAUGGUUCAAUCUGAUGUGAUGAUGUGAUUUAUUGAUGUGAUUCAAUGAUUUCAUGAACAUACUGACUUGUAGGAAGGUACCGAGGCAAAGGUAAGUCCUCUGACUCGUGUUUGUGCUUAGGCAACCCUUAGAGUGUAUUCUCUUCCUAGUCGGGUCUUAGGGGGUGAACUUGCUGAGACGUCGUCUCACCCCGUUAUGAGAUAAUAUUUUCAGGUCCUUAGAUGGCUGCUCCACCCGAGUGUUUUGGACACUGAAGAAAGUCACAAAACAUGUAUCUUACAUCCCGCUUCAUGGAGCCCUCGAGGAUGGGUCUAUGAGCUCAUAAGGUCCGUGGUCUGGGUCAAUGAGGCUUUACCCUCAUCAAUUCAGAUGAUGGUACCGACGUACGCGGGAUGGAUAGAGAGGGGGUCCCAUACCGAAGUCUGAGAUACAUGUGCAUGUGCUGGAGAUUGCUUUUGGAAAAAGGCACAACAAAUCCUCCUAGUGGGUCAGUGGUGGACCCGUAUCUAUCAAAUCCAGAGAUCUCAGUGUAUUCAGCUGAAGGCUCCAAUGAGAAUGAAGAUGAGGAUGAGGAUAAGGAGGAGGAAGAAGAUCUAUAGUUUUAUGUAACCCCACUGUUUUUCAAACCUUGUUUUAUAGACUGGCAUUGUAUAUGACAUAGUUUGGUAUGUAUAUAUAUAUAAGUGUGGCUUGGUUUGGUUUUCAAAAAAAUUGGUCCCACUUUUUUAUCACAUCUUGUUGUUAUCUGGGAAUUAUUUAUUUGCUUCUGCAUACGUAUUAAAAAGAAUGGGUCGGCGACGCAUCUUGGGACGUCUCUAUUUAAUCAAUUGCUGAGGGAUGGGCACGCGCUCGGAGGAUCAGGGCGUGACAAUAGCUUGUUUAGUUCACAUGAUAUCAUUAAUGCCAUAUGCUACCCAAUUCGAUGUAGUCCAUGUUUAUGAUGAUUCACUAUGUUUGUGCUAUGUCCAAUAAUGAGCGAAGUUAAGAUUCUUGUCUUGUUUUGACUCGUUAUGUUUGUACUGUCUAGAUAAAUGAUGGAUGUCAUAAUCCUUUCCCGAUGUGAUUUGUGUCCGUGUACCUCAAUGUGAAUGGGAGGUUGUUUGGGCCCACCCGUUGGUGAUGUUUUGGGCAUGGAGUACGAGGCACGCGUGAUAUGAAGGGAUGUAGUGAAUGAGGAAAACUACCAGGUUGAUGAGUUAGGCACCUUUUUGACAUUUCCCAAGUGUUUUGUUCGGGUCAUCUUGAUAAGUAUUUUGCUAUGUUUGUAAUUGUUAAGAUGUUGUUUUCCUCUUGUAACCCCUGCUUAUGAUGAAUGAAUGAAAGCACGUCAUUAUGGAAUUUGUUUCUGAGUAAAAUUUCCUUAUAUUAAAAAUGUAUACUCUUCCCCUUGCGUAAUAAUAAGGAAAGAUUAUAGUCGAGGGUCUAACGUGAUGGCCUGGGAUGUCACAAAAGCUAAUAUCUGAAACUUGGUCAUGGAUUUCUAUAUUAUUAUUUUAAAUUCUAAAAUCUAAUUUAAUUUUGAGCUCAAAUUCGAAGCAUAUGUUAACAAGGGUUACUCAUUUAAAGCAUAGAAAAAUACUCUUAGAAGAAAUUCGAACAGACAUCAAGAGCUGUCGACAUAUCAAAGGAGUGUAAGAUUUUGAAGAGCCAAAAAUCAACAUUUCAAAAAACUGGUGAGUUCUUAGUCCCGGGUCUUCGUCAACAAGCACUGGACUUCCAUUGGAGCAUCGUACUUGUUUUUUCUACCAAAAAGGUAUGUACCCCAUUCCUUCCAAGCAGGUCUCACCAGAUGAUAGUCCUCCGGUCCCACACAUCGAAAAAUUUCUAUGCUUCUGGAUGACUACGAGAGACUCUGCACGUGUGGCGAUUCCAACCAAGCCUUGAACGAGGAGAGGAGGAACGUGUGAUUCAUAACCGUUGCCGAGUCUUUGUCGGGUCUUUUCGGUUUGUAUCUUAGGUUGAUUUUUAUCCACCGAGGGGACAAAAACCUUUGGUUUUUUUCUUUUUUUUUUGGUCAGAAAAAUCCUUCCGUUGAUUUAUUUUUAUUUAGUGCCGGUCUUUAUGGGGUAUUUUUGGGUCCCUCUCCCCUGAUUUUUCUUCUGGUAGGGCAAGCCAGGAACGGUCACCCUCAUUUCUCCUGGGAAAAAAAAAAGCCAAGUGGAUCACCCCUGUUGACGAAGGAACGUGGGAAUUGGACUAAGUCGUCUUCGCCAACCCCGGCACCUGGGAGAGCAGCUGCAAACUUGGUUCUUGGUCAAUUUCUUUACCUCGGCCUCCAGAAGUUGCUUAUUAUCGUACUCCUCUUGAAUUGAAAGACAGUCCAUGGCCGUCUUUGAAUUACUCUUACUGAAGUUUCAUUCUUUCCAAGUUCAAGCAAAAAAGAUUAUCGAUGCACCAAGAAAUAUUUCCUUCGCUUUCUGGAUUUCAUGCCUGAUCCUCUUCAUCCCAGGCACUCCUGUCGGUGCACAGACAUAUGUUCAGGAGCGGUGUGCAGAUAGGGGCGACUACGCUUCUCCUAGCAAGUUUCAGGACAACCUCAGCAGCCUCCUCCUCAGGGGCAACUCCGCUGAUUACAGCAAAGGACCCAUUCGCGGUUUCUACAACACAACGGAAGGUGAAGAUCCGGACAAAGUUUAUGGUCUCUUCCUCUGCAGGUAAAUCACAAGCGAAAGUACCAAAAAUUUCAACUUUUGAGUAAUACCUUCCAAAUCAAUCAUUAAAAUCUUUGGAAUCGGCUCGCUUGGAACCAGGAUUUAUAAUGACCUGAUAUAUUGGUCUUAAUUGGAAUCCCCUCCAAAGUACGGUGAUCCAAUGCCAACCGAAAAGUUACCAUCCAGAUAUAAGUGAUUACUAAUGCAACUUUACUAUUUCUCUUUAGAGGGGAUGUUGCCUCCGAUCUCUGUCAGACUUGCAUCCGUAACGCUAGCAGCACCAUCAUAGACAGAUGUCCAGGACAGAAAGAGGCGACCAUAUGGUACGACGAGUGUCUCCUGCGCUACUCUAACAGAUCGUUCUUCUCUGUCAUGGAGACAACACCGAUUAUUUUUUUUAUCGACCCUGAGAGCACUUCAGUUACCUUCAACAAGAUUGUGGAGCAAACUUUCGAUGAUGAGGACUUUGCGGCAAAAGUGACAGAUUUGUUCGUGAGAAAUGUCACGGACAAUGCGAUCUCCUCGGAAAGCCUAUACGCAACCAUAAACGUUAGUGUCUCAAGUUCAGUGACCCUGCAUGAGCGUGCACAGUGCACCCCUGACAUCUCAAAGUCAGCUUGUAAGAGUUGCUUGCUUUCUGCUAUCAAAGGGUUUCCUACCGCUCUUAAUCAUAAAAGGGGAGGUGCGAGAAUUCUUCAGCCAAGUUGUUAUGUACUGUACCGAAUGUAUUUUCCUGGGGAACCUGGAGGACAAGUACCAGCACCUUCUGCAACCAGGAAAGGUAUGAGCCAUAUAACACUCAAAAUGUGUACUCAAUUUGUAAUUGAUAAGCAUAUAAUGGUAUCAUUCCAUUGCUUCUAAUUCUCAAUAUAAGCUGUUUUAUGUAUCGUAAUGCACUUGAGUUGCUUUUACGAUCUAAAGGAUCAUACUCUUUUGCUUUCAACGAGUUCUUGGUACUAUUUACACUCAGUGAAAAAAAAGUCUGCCGAUUUGUGGUAUGUUCUGCCGAUUUGUGGUAUGUUUAGAUGCAAGGAAUUUCUCUUUCUUGACAGGGCUCAAACGAACUCCAUGGAUUGCAAUAGUUAGCUCAGUAAUUGGAUCGGGGUUACUAAUAAUCAUCGUGGGUUCAUGUCUUUUCUUUAUGAGGAAAAAGAGAUUGAAGAAAGGUAUAAGUGAAUUCAUCUUGCUUGCCAUUGGGAUGACCAUUUUCUAACCUUUACCUGACUAAACUCUUGGACUCUCAGAUAUGGAAAACAGCCAAGAGGUUCAGUUACUUCAUCUACAACAAGAAAUUGGAGAAGAGUUUUCAAAGGAAAACUCUCGUGGACUGGCGGGUUCUCAAGAAUUAUCUCUGAUGCGAUUAGACAUCAUACGAGCAGCCACAGGAAACUUCUCCGAUGAAUGUAAACUUGGGGAAGGGGGGUUUGGUUCUGUGUACAAGGUAAGUAUUUCAGUGACUCAACACGUUUCUGUGGGGAAAUUGGGGAAAUCUUCUAAUGGUAGCAAAUUGGCCGAGUCAUUAUCAAUGGUUCAGGGCACAUUGGCAGAUGGAAAAGAAAUUGCAGUUAAGAGGCUUUCAAAAACCUCAGGACAAGGACUCAUCGAGUUGAAAAACGAAGUCAUCUUGAUUGCCAGACUACAACACAGGAACCUUGUCCGAUUAUUGGGAUGCUGCUUGGAAGAAGAUGAAAAACUCUUGCUAUAUGAAUACUUGCCCAACAAAAGCCUGGAUGCCUUGCUUUUUGGUUUGAGCUUUAGCAGAUGCAAUGAAUUUUUGAGCUAGUUAAUUUUAGUUUUUAAAGUUGAG
rnacentral:lncRNA from 1 species